UUUUAUUUUAUGUUGCCUUACAAUAUCUAUUGAAAUUUUAUUACGAAGUCCUAAGCUUCGUAAUUUUACUCUCAUCAACCUUCGUCCAAGGCUCAUUAUCCUCAAGGGAAUAAUGUUUCAUGGACGAAGAACGUUAACAUUUAACACUUUAUGUUGCCUUGUUCUUAAUUCAUAGCGGUUGAGAACAAGUCCCCAACAUUGGCGCCCACCUCCGGUGAACUCACUCCCACUUUUUGAGCUGAUGGCUUCGUUCAACGACCAAACUGGAGCUGCUUCGGACCCGAAGCUGGUGCUCCCGAUCACAGGUGGUUCGUCCUCAGAGCCAGCUAACAAGAAACAAAAGAAGGAAGCACAGAGAAGGGUACAACAUGUUGGGGUGCAAGGACCCUUUAUCAAGUCAAGAUGGUCUCACAUUCCUAUUACCUUCUCCCAAGAGGACCUUCAGCUCAAGGAUUACCCACACAACGAUGCCAUGGUUAUCUCUUGUGUUAUCAAAGGAUUUCUGGUCCACAAUGUCUUGGUUGACACAGGCAGUGCAGCUGAUAUCAUAUUUGCUAAGGCCUUCAGACAAAUGCAAGAGCCAGAAGAUAAGAUUCAUGAUGCUACACAUCCUCUCUGUGGCUUCGGAGGAAGACAGAUUGUAGCACUAGGCAAGAUCACCAUGUCAGUGACCUUCGGGUUCAUCAACAACACUAGAACUGAGCAAGUUGUGUUUGACAUUGUUGACAUGGAAUACCCUUACAAUGCAAUUAUUGGUCGUGGCACCCUCAAUGCCUUCGAAGCAAUCCUUCAUCCUGCCUAUCUUUGCAUGAAGAUACCUUCGGAUCAAGGACCCAUUGCUAUCCAUGGAAGUCAGGAAGCUGCAAGAAGGGCCGAAGGCAAUUGGACUGACUCAAAAGCAAUCCAUAACAUAGAUGGAGCUGAAGCUUGUGAACAGUACAAAUUCAGAAGGGAGAAAGCAGCUUCAGCAGAUCAGCCGAAGCCUAUGCUCUUAUGUGAGGACAUAGCAGAGCAGAAGGUGCUGUUAGGCUCUCAAUUAUCCGAAGAGCAGGAGAAAACUUUGAUAAGGUUUUUGUUCAACAACAAAGAUGUUUUUGCAUGGUCAGCUAAUGAUCUUUGCGGAGUAAAUAGGGAUGUUAUUGAACACUCGCUCAAUGUUGAUCCAUCUUUCAGAGCCAGAAAGCAGAGGCUUCGGAAAAUGUCAGAUGAUAAGGCCGAAGGUGCUCGUAACGAAGUUAAAAGACUCCUCAGUGCAGGAGUCAUCAGAGAAGUAAAGUACCCAGAAUGGCUGGCUAACACUGUUAUGGUAAAAAAGGCCAAUGGCAAAUGGCGAAUGUGUAUCGAUUUUACAGAUCUCAACAAGGCGUGUCCGAAGGACGAGUUUCCAUUGCCAAGGAUAGACUCUUUAGUAGAUGCAACAGCUUCUUCCGAGCUCAUGAGUCUGCUUGACUGUUACUCAGGCUAUCACCAAAUUUGGAUGAAGAAGGAAGAUGAGCCGAAGACUAGCUUCAUAACUCCAAGUGGCACAUAUUGCUAUCUUCGGAUGCCUGAGGGGCUCAAAAACGCUGGAGGAAGUUUCAGCCGAAUGACUGUGAAGGUUCUCCAAUCUCAAAUAGGCAGAAAUGUGCUAACUUAUGUUGAUGACAUCAUUGUAAAAAGCACGAAACAGCAAGAUCAUAUUGCUGAUCUGCAGGAAACCUUCGCCAGUUUCAGGCAAGCUGGCUUAAAGUUAAAUCCAGAAAAAUGCGUCUUCGGAGUAAAGAAGGGGAAAUUUCUUGGAUGCUUGGUUUCAACAAAGGGAAUUGAAGCUAAUCCAAGUAAAAUUGAAGCUAUACUUCGGUUGGAGCCACCAACUACAAAGAAGGGGGCUCAAAGAUUGACAGGAAGAUUGGCAUCUCUCAAUAGAUUCAUAUCCAGAUCAGCAGAGAGAAACUUACCAUUCUUCGAAGUGCUGAAAUCAGCCGAAGUCUUUCAAUGGGGACCGAUCCAGCAGAAGGCUUUUGAAGAGCUGAAACAGUAUUUGAUAGAUCUAACAACAUUGACUCCACCAAUGCCAGGGGCUCCUUUGUUAUUAUAUGUGGCAGCUUCGCACUCAGCGGUAAGUGCAGCGCUUGUCCAGGAGAAGCUUGAUGGUCAAGUCAAGAGGCAGGCCCCAAUAUAUUUUGUAUCCGAGGUUCUUAGUUUAUCAAAGAAAAAUUAUACAGAGUUGGAGAAGGUACUGUAUGCUGUCUUGAUGGCCUCCAGGAAGCUUCGGCACUAUUUCCAAGCUUACAACAUAAUUGUUCCUUCUUCACAACCUCUGAAGGAUAUUAUGAGGAACCGAGAAGCUACUGGAAGGAUUGGAAAAUGGGCUGCAGAGCUCAAUGAAUUUUGUAUUGAAUAUGUUCAUAGAUCUUCGAUUCAGUCCCAGGCGUUGGCAGACUUCAUUGCUGACUGGACGCCAGGGGCUCAGGAGGAAGAAACGAAUAAAGACAACGAAGCAUGGACAGUGUUUUGUGAUGGAUCUUGGGGAACCUUCGGAGCGGGAGCGGCUGCUGUAUUGGUUUCACCUUCCAAAGUCAAAACUUGUUAUGCGGCAAAACUUGAUUUUAGUUGCACAAAUAACAUUGCCGAGUACGAAGCAUUACUUCUAGGUCUUCGGAAGUUAAAAGCAAUGGGAAUCAGAAGGGCCAUACUUAAAACUGAUUCCCAGGUUGUUUCGGGUCAUAUUGACAAGAGUUGCAAGGCUAAGGAUCCGAAGCUUGAAAAAUAUUUGGAUAUGGUUCGAAGAGUUGAAGCUUCCUUCGAAGGGUUUUCUGUCAGAAAUAUCCCUCGAGGACAAAAUGAGCAUGCUGAUUUGCUAGCUAAGUCAGCAGCACAGGGGCUGCCCUUACCUUCGGAUGUGUUCUUCGAAACAAUAAAAGCACCUUCAGUGGAACUUCUUGAAAGAGCAGUCCUCAACAUAUCUCCUGUUUAUAGCGAGGAUUGGAGAACUGAGAUCAUUUCUUACCUUCAGGGAAAAUUCCUUUCAGAUGACGAAGCUUAUAACAGGAGAAUAGAGGCAAGAGCUCGUCCAUAUGUCAUGAUAGAAGGAGAGUUGUAUAAGCAUGGAGUUUGUGCUCCGCUACUCAAGUGUUUAUCCAGAACCGAAGGUAUAGAGUUGAUGAAAGAAAUACAUGCAGACCUCUGUGGAUCUCACAUUGGAUCCAGGCCAUUACUUGGAAAAAUUUUCCGCCAAGGAUUUUAUUGGCCGAAGGCAGCUUCGGAUGCAGCGGAAUUAGUUCAAAAGUGCGAAGGUUGUCAGAAAUGUGCACGAAAUCAAAAACAACCUUCGUCCCUAACACAACUCAUACAACCCAUUUGGCCAUUGCAAAGGUGGGGCCUUGACUUGUUAGGUCCGUUACCACCGGCCCAAGGGAACCUAAGAUAUGUUGUAGUGGCAGUGGAAUAUUUUUCCAAAUGGAUUGAAGCAAGGCCUUUAGCCACAAUAACUUCGGCCACCGUCCAAAAGUUUUUCUGGCAGAAUAUUGUUUGUCGUUUUGGGGUACCAAAGGCUAUUACUGUGGAUAAUGGAACACAGUUUGAUUCCGAAGCUUUUAGGGAUUUCUGUGAUCAGAUUGGUACGAAGAUCCAUUUUGCAUCAGUCAGACAUCCGGAGUCCAAUGGACUCGUUGAAAGAGCCAAUGGCAUUAUAAUGACAGGAAUAAUGAAGUUAAUCUUCAAUCAACCCAGGGGAAAAUGGCCAGAUCAGUUAACCAAAGUGGUGUGGAGCCACAAUACAACAACAUCAAGGUCUACAGGCUUUACUCCAUUCAAGUUAUUAUUCGGUGACGAAGCAAUAACUCCGGAGGAAGCUAAAACCGGAUCAAUAAGGAUAAUAGCUUCGGCAGAAUCAAGUUCCGAAGCUGCUUAUUCUGUGGAAAAAGAUGCUUUAGAAGGGAUCAGGCUGCAAGCCGUGGAGAACAUCAAUAAAUAUCAAGCCGAAACAAUUAAAUGGCGAGAUAGAAAGGUUCGGUUAAAGAAUAUUGAGCCAGGACACUUGGUGCUUCGGAGAGUGGCCAACCCAGAAACAGUGGGCAAGUUGCAGUUGAAAUGGGAUGGACCUUUCUUAGUAGCAUCUUCGUCAAGACCCGGUUCAUACAGAUUGAAGGAUAUGGACGGCAACGACAUUCCUAGGUCUUGGAAUGCAGAUGAGCUUCGGCGAUAUUAUGUAUAACUCGAUGUAAUUUUUCAUAUUUUUUAUUUUUCUUUCAUGGCACCCUUUUCCUUUCCGAAGGGGGAGAAAGGUUUUUAAUGGGGCCAGCACAUGUAAUUUCCUUUUUUAGUUCUAUAAGAGCAAAAUCCCCCAAGGAAUGUAAAUGUAAAAGUUGAGAACGCACCAUCGAGUGCCAAAAAGUAAAGGCGAAGAAGCUCCAAAGUCGUUCCUAAGGGAAUGCAGAGCUUACAGCGAAAAGUCAACGCUGAUUCCGCCAAAAGUAAAGGCGAAGAAGCUCCAAAGUCGUUCCUAAGGGAAUGCAGAGCUUACAGCGAAAAGUCAACGCUGAUUCCGCCAAAAGUAAAGGCGAAGAAGCUCCAAAGUCGUUCCUAAGGGAAUGCAGAGCUUACAGCGAAAAGUCAACGCUGAUUCCGCCAAAAGUAAAGGCGAAGAAGCUCCAAAGACGUUCCUAAGGGAAUGCAGAGCUGAGGUGCGAUUGUUUUUAAGAGAAUAAUGGCUAUGAAUAUGGCUUCGGAUACGACUUUGGCCAUUCAUUUGCACAUCACAUUACAUCAUAACAUUUGCAUUCAUAAACAUUCAUCUAGACAUAUGUAGGGUAAUCAUCUUCAUGGCAUAAAUGGUUGCUUCGGCAAAAAGAAGAAAAAGAAGGGGAAGAAAGAGCUUCGUGUACAAAAAGGAGAGCUUCGGAAAAAAAAGGAAAAUGUUGUUUUCUAUGCUUCGCUGCGUACGAAAAGAAGGGAAGGUGUUUUUUCGCCUUCGGCUCAAAAGAAAAUUUCGUCCACAUCAAAGCAUUUCCCAUACAUCAAUGGAAGGAUAAGGAUAUAUAACAAGGUAUGAACAGAAUUCAUUAAAGACAAGUUUUGGUUACAUUUACAAAAGUUAUCUCAAAAGUUUCUCAAGUACUGUCUACAGUCUACUAUCUAAUCUCCAAGGAGCUUCGGCUUUGGCGUCAUUUUUGAUCAUCGGCUUCGGCUUCGUCAUCCUACAUGAAUAAGGUCGUUGUAAGUCAAAAUCAAGCUUACAGGAAAAGGUAAGCACAAGGUAUGGUUUCUUACUGGUUCAAGGUGGCUACGAGCUUCGUCUCCAGCCUUUUCUCGCCCACCUUUGGUCCAUAUCAUUUUUACAAAUCUAUUCGAGAUACUUCGGGCGAGAUCAGGAAUGUCAUCCAGGAUUGAUGGUGAUAAAGUGAAAUUUGGCCUGUUGACAACCUUUCCAUGAUCGCAGCCAGCCUUCAGGAAAGCUGCAGCAGUACCUCGAGAAGCCACCCAAGCACAGAAGUCACCAUGCCCAGCUAUGACUUCGUCGAGCUCGUCAAUCUCCCCCUCAAUAUGUUCGAAGGUUUUCGGUAGAUCUUCAGCUGAGGGGGUGAAUUUUUCACUGCUGACUCCAACUGAGUAAAAAAUCUUUCUUAAUCGUUGAAUGCACUUGUUGCUAAAUUCCAAGCAUUUUUCUUGAAGACUUGUCAGUAGUUUUCUCAAAUCUGAAUUUUGUUGAGCUUCGGCGUCAAGUUUUGCAUUAAGAUCUUGUUUUUCUCGUUCGAACUGCUCAGACUGGCGGAGAAGCUUCGUGUUCAGUUCUGCUAUUUUUGCUUCAGCUUCCGCCAAUAAAGCUUCGGUUGCCUGGAGCUCAAAGUUCUUUUUCUCGAAAGCAUCUGAUUGCUCCUUUAUUCUGCUUUCCAAAUUUUGAAUUAUAACUUCGUGCUUUUUAUCUUCAAAAUCUUGCUGCAUUUGCAAGGCUUUGCUCAACAGCAUACUCUGCACAAAAACAACCUUCGUCAGACAUGUUUUUAUUAUUAGAAACAAUAAAAGUUAAGGGACAAGUAGUUCACCUUGAAGUUGGAAUAAAAUAAACUACCAACGACAUGUUGUCGUCGGUAGCGGCUGAUGUCUGUUUCUAGCUUCGGGAAGCCGAUACUCUUGGACAGAGUACUGAUAACUUUGGCUCCUGUCUGAUCUCGAAUACAAUCUAAUUUUUCAUCAUCAACGCCUCCGAAGAGGAGUGCCCCAGGUUUGUAUCCACAGGAUUUGGCAUACUCUCUAAGCUCUUCUAUUUCAGCUUUUGAUAGUUGUUCUCCAACUAAGUUCUGGAACAUGAAGGCUUCGUUUUCUGAAGCUUCAUCAGCAAUUUCUUUUCCUUUCCCCGACGCUGCGGUCACGGCCUCUUCGGCGGCGGUGGUAGCUUCUUCUGCAGCCAUGUUUAGCAGUAUUUGGUCAAUGUGUUCAAUUGUGCUCUCCAGGUUCAAAUCUUCAGCUGAGGCAGCUUCGGCAGCUGCGGCCUCCGAAGGUGCAAUUUCAAUAUCCGUCCCCUCUGCAGUCGCUGGUGUUUUCUGGGCUGAAGCUCUUGGCGGCGUCUUGUCAAUUACCUCUGUCACAGUGAUAAUUCUUUGUUUCUUUGCCCUGAUUGUUUUCUUCGAUUUUUCGGGCUCCUUGUCCUUCUGAAAAAACUUUGUCAGUUGAGGGCCCAGUGGACUUAGCUUCGCAGGUAAGGAUUCAGUCAUUACCUUCAGAAUUUCCUCAACGACAGCAGCAGAAGGUGAUGCGGGGGUUUCUUCUGCUCCGGAUAUUUGUUGCUUCGGAGAAGAAGCUUUCCUCUUCUUCGGAAUUUUCUUCUUUAAUGGUUCUUUUUCUUCAUUCAUGGCCUCAGUUAUCCUUUUUCUUUUUUGGCCCCCAGCACCUUUGUUCAGAUUUUCAUAAUCAGGGUAAUCAAAGCCCAAGGCGUCCAACACUCGAUUUAGCCUUCGCUUCGGACGGGUGCCGAAGGCUGCGGUCAUCAAUUGAUCUUCUUUUUUGGAAUAAUUGCCAAGUAUUUCAUUGCACAUUACUUCAAUUGUAUCUAGCCACUCUUGGCAAGGUGUUUUAAAGUACUUUUUAAACUUGAAAUAGUAAGGUAAACGUACAAGUUCACCUUCUUUCUUUUCCCCCUGUAGCUUCGGCAUUUCCCAUUCUUUCAAACUGGGAAAAACUUUGAAAGCUAAAAACUCUUGAACCAGGUCCCUUGUGCUGAUAUGCUCUGCAAUAAUUCUGAAUUCACUCAUUGCUUGCUGUGUUGGACCUUCGGGUGUCAUGUUGCAGCGAGGUCGGGUUUCUCCGAAGAUUAGUUCCAGCGGGCUUUGCACACGCUUUUCCUUGUCGUCAUCAACCUUGACAUAGAACCACUCAGAUUUCCAGCCUGCUGCCCAUUUGCUUCGGUAGCUAAUUACAGGAAACUUUGUAGUUUUCCGAUAGGCGAAGUUAUAACAACCAAAAUUGUCGUGCAAUCCAUCCUUUCUAGCCUUCGUUUGAUAAUGCAACUCGUGAACCCAGCAAAAGCUGUCUGCAAAUGGUUCCACUGCUUGGCUUCGGAGUGCCCAGAUAUAAACAAUAAGUCUAACGAUAGCGUUAGGGGUCAGCUGGUGAAAAUAGAUACCGAACCUAUUCAGUACCUCUGCAAUAAUCCCGUGUAGGUGGAACCUUAAUCCAGCCUUUAGAAAGCUUUUGAAAAUAACAAUUUCAUCUUUCUCCGGCUUUGGGGUAGUCUCUUCUCCCCCGAAGCGCAAUAGCUUCUUCUGAUUUUCAGUAAAAAAGCCCGAUUUUACCAUCUUGGACAGAUCAGCCUUCGAAACAGUAGAUUUCCCGAAGUCCAAAUGGCUGGGUUUGCUUGGCAUGGCAAUGCGAUAAUCAUCUUCGGGAUCAGUUUCCUCAAUAUCUUCUUCCUCUGCUUCAGCGAUUGCUUGUUCUGCAUCAUCACUAGGAAUCUUUUCCGAAGUCACUAGUCCGGAUCGUUGCAUGGCUUCGGAGAUAGGGACAGUCUCCGAAGCUUCAGUUUCGUCCCCCUCACGUUCAACCCUGGCGGUAGAGCGCACUCUGGCCAUUUAAAUAUGAACUUGUGGAACUUUAAUACUUUUUUUUUCCUCCGAAGCAGGUUUCAAGCAGGAGCUUCGUUUCGGUUCCGACAGACAAGCUUCGGCGACGGUUAAAAAUUUUGGCAGCAAAACAGUGUAAAUAGCAAUGAAUGCUGUGAUAACUUCACACCUACUCGUCUGUUUAUAUAGUGUUGCAGGUAAGAAGGCGAAGCGCCAGAAUUUUUACACCAGGCGGACACCCGCUCGCACUCGCUGCGUGGUGGACCGCAGAGACCGAACAGUAACUCUGCAAGGUGGGGCCGCUACACGCUGGGAGAUUGAAUCGUUUCUCGACAACGAGCUCAGGGAAGGUGUUUUUUAGACCUUCGGCGCUCCGAAGCUUAAGAGACUUUUUUCACGGAUCAAGCUCGUUACGAAAAACGAUCUAGCACCGCGAAAGGGGCUACUGUUGGGACUAUGCUUCGUCGCCGAAGGUCUUAUAGAAAGAAGUGGUCCUCGGCUGAAGCUGUUUGUAUAAGUUAGCCGAAGGUUCCUCUUCGUGAAGCUUCGGUAUUACAAACCGACUUAAAGAUAGAAUGACCUUUUAGUCCAUAAAGGUCUGAGUCAAUGUUGUAAGCUUCUAUAAGGGGCAUACUUGUAAUUCCUCACAGGCUGUGUCCUGUGCCUAUAAAUAGUGAACAGUAGUCCGUUACUGUUCACGGUUUCUGGUAAUUAUACUCGCAUCUUCUGGAAUUCAACCCUUGCCAAGGCAGAGGUAUUAUUGUAUCCAAUGAUUCAAUAUAUUAAGUAAAUAUGACAUAAUUCGUCUAUGAUUUAUUUACCCCUUUAAUACCUUUUAUUUUAUGUUGCCUUACAAUAUCUAUUGAAAUUUUAUUACGAAGUCCUAAGCUUCGUAAUUUUACUCUCAUCAACCUUCGUCCAAGGCUCAUUAUCCUCAAGGGAAUAAUGUUUCAUGGACGAAGAACGUUAACAUUUAACACUUUAUGUUGCCUUGUUCUUAAUUCAUAGCGGUUGAGAACAAGUCCCCAACAAGGAUCCUCAACAUCACUUUGCCAGUGAUACAUUUGUCUUGAGGACCUUCGGCGGAGAAGAAGACCCCCAACAUCCUCUGAAGCAUUAUUCCCUCUUGGGUAUAAUGAAUCUUAGACAAAGGUCAUAAAUAACAAGUCUACAUUAUUCACAAAUAUAAAAAUAUACUCACAAGACGUAAUAUCAUGCCAUGUAUUCAUUUCAUAAUGAAUAUAAAAGUACUUUCAAAGAUUAUAUUACAUUGAUACCUUUAGCUUGUUUGAAGGUAGUGAUGUGAGGGCGAUUACAAUUCAGCGUGAACUGUACAGGGGUACUGUUCAUCUAUUUAUAGGCAAUCGUACAACCUUGUAUGUUAUUACAUUCAUGCCCUCAACAAUUACAUAUAGGGUUUACAAAUGUCACAGGGACAUCAUUAUCAUUUGUACUCAACAACUUGAACAACACCUUCUCCCUGCACUGCCUUCCUGCUUCAUCGUGAUGAAGCUUGUUUAUGAAGCUUGCUUCGUCGUACUUCUCUUGUGUUAUGUCGAAGCUUUUCUGGUGACAAAGCUCCUGUAAUAUUUAGUAGUAAGCUAAAAGCAAAUGGUUAGCCAUAUUUUUGAGAACCUUCGGAAGAUGAAGGCCCCCAACAAUAUGAAUACUUCAUUUGACUAAAUAAAUAGUUGAUAUAUAAAAUAAACCAUGUAUUUCAUGUUGAGCUUUCUUUUUGUGCAUUUAAUGUUGGUGAUCAAACUAUAUUUGAAUUUAAAAUCAAAAAAGGAAAGAAAAUAACAAAAUAGAAAUAAAGAAAAAAAAGAACAGAGAAAAUAGCGCAUGGGCCGAUUCCCCCUCUCCGCCGGCCUAGCCCACUUCACGCACGCACGCGCUCGUCCGCCGUCUGUCUGCCGGGCCCCGCGUGUCAGCCUAAUGUACAUGGUGCGCGUUUGUGGGAGUCAGUCACUGACAUGUGGGCCCCAACCGCAGUCGUCUUCCUCAACAGAACCCCAUAAGAACCGCAUGGUGAUCUUUGGCUUGAGUUCGUCGCGCCAGCCACGGGGAUUCUCCACCCGGGAUAUAAAGCACCGUGUUGGGGGCCUUCGGCUUCCGAAGGUCCUCAAAAACAUGAUUUGACAAUGUUUCUGGAGUACAAUACAUGAGCAGGUACCUUCGGACAUGAACCCUUCGGACAAGUCAAAAUUGCUGUAUGAAGAAACACAAAGAGAACGAAGGAUGGAACAGAGCCAAAGCUGUGCGCAAUGAAGCUUCGGCAUGAUGGCAGAAAAGAGGAAACCGACUUAAAGAGGAAAAUACUAUUUAGACCCCGAUAGAUUACUAUAGAGUUAUUAUCAAAAGCAAAGGGACUGGAUGUAAUUUUACAUGGGCUGCGACCCGUGCCUAUAAAUAGGUGAACAAUACUCCUGUACUGUUCACGCUGACUUGGCAUUUGCUUUUGCAUCACGCUUGUACUUUUACCUUCUUUCAAGUCAAAGGUAUAUUUGUAACCCAACAUCAUUCCUAUUCUUCUAUAGCAAUAAAAUAAAAAUGAGUUGAUAAUAAUACAUAACUAUUCAUGUUAUCUUUUAUAUUCCAUGUAAUUCCCUUUUCAUUAUGAUAUGUAAUGUUUAUGAAGGUAUGUCCUUCAUAACCUUCGUCCGAAAAUCAUUAUAUCUCAAGGGAAAUAAUGCUUCGAAGGACGAAGGACUUUAACAUUUAACGUUUUCUGUGUUGCCUUGUUCUUAACUCUUAGCAUUUGAGAACAAGUCCCCAACAUUGGCACCCACCUCCGGUGAACUCACUUCCACUUUUUGAGUUUCGAACACCUUCGGCAAGCAUCGACCUUCAUCAUGCCGCCAAAGAAAGCUUCAGCGACAGGGGCUGCAGCUCUGCAGCCGCUGGACCCGAACCAGGAGACCCUUUCCCUUUGAGAGGCCCGAAGCCAGAAGAGGAAGGCCACCAGUCCAACGCCCCAAGAGGACGACUUGGACCAAGAGAUCAGGAAUAUGGAGAUGCUCCAUCAGCAAGUUCAAAGGAAGAAGGAAAAGAUGGCUCGGCUAGCUGAUCUGCAAAGGCAGAUAGAUGAAGCUUCUGAAGAAGUUCGUCAUCUAGCUCAAGAUGAGCAGAACCGAAGGCCUCAGCACAGAGAGCUUCAUCAAGAGGGCUUCUUCAACGAGGAUGACUGGUAUGAGGAUUUCCAUCAUGGAGAUUUUGCUUUUGAUGAUGCUUCUCCUCUGUCAGCAGAACUGCAGGCUACACCUUGGCCCCCAUCUUACAAGCCACCCCAGCUUCCCAUGUACGAUGGACACUCAGACCCGAAGCAGUUUUUGAUGAGCUACGAAGCAACCAUAUCUUCGUAUGGUGGCAAUACUGCAGUCAUGGCGAAGUCUUUCGGCAUGGCUGUCAAGAAUGUUGCACAAACCUAGUACUCCUCUCUUCGGCCAGGAACAAUCACGUCAUGGCAGAAGCUGAAGGACAUGUUGAUUACCAGUUUCCAAGGGUUUCAAACGAAGCCGGUCACCGCUCAAGCUUUAUUCCAGUGCACCCAGGAUCAUGAAGAAUACUUUCAGGCGUAUGUCCGAAGGUUCUUGCGUCUGAGGGCAUAGGCACCAACGGUGCCCAAUGAAAUUGUCAUUGAGGCCAUGAUCAAGGGGCUUCGGCCAGGACCUACGGCCCAAUACUUCACUAGGAAACCACCUCAGACCCUGGAAAAGCUGCUCCAAAAGAUGGAUGAAUACAUCCACACUGAUAAUGAUUUUCGUCAAAGAAGAGAGGAAGCUUACAGGUUCUCCGAAAUGACCAGGGGCUUCGGAGGGAGAAUCCACCCAAGACAUGUAAGAUCAAUCCAUUCCACUCAAAAUGAUGAUAGAGGAAGUCAGCAACAGCGGCCACAAUACUCCUCUCAGGCUUCGGGGCAACAACAAAGCUAUCUUCGGCCGCCAGCUCCAAGGGGCAGAGGCGUCAGGGGCUUCGGAGUAAGAUUUGGGGACCAGCCCAGGAAAAUUUAUUGCUUAUUCUGCGGUGAGGACAAGGGCCAUACUACCAGGAUGUGCCAUGUCACCAUCCAGAAACAGAAAGAGAUAGCAGAAGCUGCAGCCCAACAGAGUCAGCCGAAGCAAGUUAUGCAUACUGCUUCAUAUCAUUCACCAUACAUUCCAGAGUAUGUGGGUAACCAUCCUGUAGCUUCUGUUGCUUCGGUAAGACAACCUCAGGCGUCUUGGCAAUAGCCUCCACCUCCACCACCAAUGCAACGAGGCCAGCAGCCAGAAGGGAGCCAGCACACUCAUCAGCAACGAGACUUCAGAGAGGAGUCCGAAGCUCGCACAGUCAACAGUACUGUGCCAGAGUCGAAGCACAUCUACUAGAAGAUAUCCUACCUCAGCAACAGUUCUUGCAUUCGUUUUCAUUUUUCGUUUAAAUAAGGAACAAUCAUUAAAGCUUAAGUUUUUCUUCUCAUUUUCAAUUUCUUGUAACAGCUUCGUUUUUUACGGAGUCAGAAAAAUUGCCGAAGCACGAAAGCUCGGUCUUAAGAGCUUGUUAUUACAGAAAGUGUCUCCGAAGAUAAAAAAAGUUGUUCUACGGAACGCAGCGUAAGUUGCCAAAGUUACAAAAAGUCGUUCCUAAGGGAGCGCAGCGUAAGUUUUCUGCUCAAUAGUCGUUCCAAAGGGAUGCAGAGCUUACAGCGAAAAAUAAACGCUGAUUCCGCUGAAAUAGAAGGCGAAGAAGCUCCUAAGGGAGGCUUACAGCGAAAAAUAAACGCUGAUUCCGCUGAAAUAGAAGGCGAAGAAGCUCCUAAGGGAGGCUUACAACGAAAAAUAAACGCUGAUUCCGCCGAAAUAGAAGGCGAAGAAGCUCCUAAGGGAGGCUUGCAGCAAAAAGUCAGCACUGAUCUUCGGCACAAAUAUCAUUUUGCAUAACAUCACAUCAUCACAUCAUUUGCAUAGCAUAACAUCAUACAUCAUAUUGCAUCAAUGACGCAAGAAGGGGGUUCAAUGUUGAUCUUUGGAGAUUGUUUCGAAGAAGCAGUGCCAAGGCACAAAAUAAUUAUUGAAGAAGUAUACCUUCGUCAAACUCUAAAAUGAAAAGACCUAUUGCUUACGAGGCACAAUAUUUUUUUUCGAGGAUUGGAUGUUUUUAUGAAAUAUGGAUAUUCUUCACGAAGCAUGAAAAGAAGGGAAGGUGUUUUUUCGCCGAAGGCUCAAAAACGGUAUGUACGUAAAGUUUCAUGCAUCGUAAAGAAUUGAGUUACAAGCAGCCUAUAUAUUACAUUCAAGGUUAUAAAAAUAUUACACACUUUGUCCAGCAAAUAUUACAUUCUCAAUGUCUUUACAAUAGUAGCUAAUCUUCUCUUAAGACUACUUCCGCAACUUCGUUUAGUAGUUGAUCAACAACCUUAUCCAUAAUAGCUUCGGCCAUUUUUCUAAUUUCGUCAUCCCCCUUUGCGUUGGGGUCCACCAAUGGCUCGGCGAGCUCUGAGGGAGAAGAUAGUGCGGCUGUGUUACAAAGUGUAAAUAAGUCCGAAAUCAUAUAAUUACAACAUAAAGUCAAAACUUAGUAGUCAAUACCUAUUCGCCUCUCGAGAUCCGCACUUUUCUCAGCGGCCUCUGCUACAUUUCUAGCGUCGUGAAUACCUUUUUCACUUUUCCUUAUAAUUUCUUGAGCCAUCUCCCGGCCACCAUUUUCCCAGAUGUCGGUGAAAAAUUUACCACCAACCAAGCUUGCUUCGGCUGAGGGGUCUUUUAUAUCUUCAGAAGAUAAGGCGACCUCGGCUUGUGCCAAGGAUUUCACAUGAUCGCAGCCUCUACUCUCCAAAAUAGUGGCAAUCCCCCUAGCACCCGAGAAGGCACAUAUGUCUCUGCGACCAUUCAAAACUUCCUCAAAAGAUUCGGCUUCGUGGCUGGUCCAUUCAAUUGGGCCCUCGGGGUCAUCCUUUACGAAAUUUUCCUCGCUUGAAUACGCGCCAACAUUGGCGAAGCUAGUUUUUAUUUUCUUAACACACUCUAUAGACUUUUCAUAACACCUUUCCUUGGAUGCACGAAGUUCUUCAACAUUUUUCUCUAAAAGAUUUGUCCAUUGUUCACUGAUUUCUCGUUUAGCUUCUGCAACUGCGCAUUUUUCUUUAGCUUCGGCUAGCUGUUUCCGCAGACCCUCAAUUUCGCGCUUCUGGGCCUCAGCUUGAGCUUUGGAAGCAGCUUUGUCUUCCUUUAUUUUAUUCACCAAUGAAUGUAAUAUUUUAUCUUUCUUAAGACCUUCGUUCCUUAGCUCAAUUACUUCGGAACGAAGGUUGUUUAAAGCCAUGGCGCACCCUUCAUCUUCGGCACUUUUUUGCGCUUUGAGGGCAUUGCUGAGAAUAAGGCCCUGCAAAAGGGAUGUGAUAUUAAGAAAUAAACACACGAAUUUUUAACCACACAAAAAGUGUAUUUUCUCACCUUUAAGCUGUUAUAUGCUAAGCUGUCGGCCAAUUCAUCUUUUGACAAAACUGAAAGCCCAUCUUCUAGAGUUGGGAAUCCGAAGUUUCUUGCCAUCUCCCGACAGACAGAGAUCUCCUUGCUGUCUGGGAGGCAAUACAAGAAGUCUUCUUCUCCGCUGCCAUUGAAUAUCAAAGCCCCUUUCAGAUAUUUCAAUUUUUGCGCAUAGAACUGAGCUUCUCGCUUUUCUUUUUCAGUCAGAUUUUUACUCGAAGCAUGGCAUAAGACAUAGUUGGGAGCUUCGGGAAUAGGGAUGGCGGUUUUCUCAGAUAAAAUUUCUUCUACAGAUUCUUUUUCUGUUUCUUUUCCAAUUUCCAAGAAUUCCCUCUUGGCAGGCUCUGAAAGCUCAGUUUCGGUUUCCACUUGGCUUUUGGCAGCUUCGGCCUCAAUUUCUGUUUUUGGAGCUUCGACAGCUAUCUUCGAAGUAGAGCUUGAAGAUUUUAUUGUUUCUAGAACAUCUAGCACGUUAACCAUUCUCUUUCUCUUGGGAGUUGUUGUAAGGUACUUUUGUGCCUUCGGUGUUGGCAUUGGCACCUCAACUCUUGCUGAAGGACUUAAAACUUCCGAUGUCUUUGUCUCUUCAGCCCUCGGUUCUUCCAUUUUUUCCGUCUCCGGCAUUGCAGCCAGCUCUUCAAUAUUCUGCAGAUGAGUAGGCUCUUUGGCUUCAGUGGCUGAAGAGGUUUCACCGACAAACUCAGGCACUGUGGCCGGCUCAAUAUAGCGUGGCCGGUGCAUAAGAACUUUCAUCUUUUUUCUCUUCGGCGCUGGCUCACUAGGAGCGGCCGAAGCAACUUCCUUCACAGAAGCCGUACCUUUCCUUUUUUGACCCCGUAUUGGGUAACAGUAGUCAGGAUAGACGAACCCAAUAGCAUCAAAAACUCGGUUGAGUCUUUUCUUCUUUCGGCCUCCGAAGGCCGCAGAUAGUGCAGUAUCUUCUGUCUUCGAGUAUGGCCCAAGCAGUUCAUCGCUUGUAGCUUCAACGCAUUUCAACCAAUCGUCGUCUGGCUCGAUAAAUUGGUCUACGAACCUGAAGGUAUAUUUUAGUCGAACCAGGCCACCUUCAUGUGGGUUGUUGAUGGUUUCCUUCGGCAUUUCCCAGUUAGCUACCAAUGGCCAUAUCCUGUAGGCCACGUGCUCUUGAACUAAGUCCCUAGUCCCGAUGAAAGAGCAGACUAUGCCGAAGGCCCUCUGGCACUCUUCGGCUGCUUCAUCCAUUUCCACCUUCGUUUUCCGGAGGCCAAAAUGCUGCUAGAUAGGGCGCAUGAUGAUAUCCUUAAUAUCUUCUCGUGCCUUCAAAUCAUUUUUUACAUAGAACCAUUCCUUCAUCCAGUCUCCGAGCCAUCUCUUUCGAAAGGUUGGCACAGGACAGCUUGACCCAGAUCAAGCACCGAAGCUAUAACAACCAAAAUUGUUAUGAUAUUGUUCUUUACCCCAGGGUUUCGUCUCAUAUAAUAGCUCAUGCAUGUUGCAGAAACUUUUUGCAUUUGGCUCCAAACCAUGGCUCUUCACAGCCCAUACAAAGAUUCCCAUCCUUAUGAUUGCUUCGGGGGUAAUUUGAUGAAGGCAGAUUUCAAAUAUCUUCAAAUCUUCAACCACGAAACUGCUUAGAGGAAACCGAAGCCCAGCCUUGAAGAAGCUUCGGAAGAUUACGACUUCAUUUUCCUCGGGAGUAGGACAAGUUUUCUCUCCUUCGUCAGCCCUCACAAUAGACAAAUCCCGAAAAUAUCUACCUCUCAUAUUGGCAAGAUGGCUUUGUUUAAUGGUUGAUUUUCCAAAAAUUGCAUGGCUUGGCCGCCAGGGUCGAUCUUCCGAGUCUUCCCCCCCACUUUCGGCAUCAUAACUGUCACUAUCACCAGUAUCUUCAGAUAAACCUUCCAAAAUUUCCCUUGUAAGCUUUUCUGUAUUUGUCUUUGAUAUUGAUUCAAGAAAGCCAAGAUUCUUCUCCUCAAGAAGGCUCAGCUUUGUUUCAGCAACAACUUUUUAUCUUUAGACAUCUUCAGAAACGCUAAAAACCGCUUUUAAAGCCGAAGCUUAAAAAACUUACAAAUUAAGCAAGUCUUGUUGCGCAGGAGCUAAAAAUUGAGUGAGCAAGAGCAGAUGGCAAAGAAAGCGUACCAAAUGACAUUGCGGUGUGCUCUUAUUUAUACAUCUGGCGCAUUGAGAACAGGAGGGCACCGCUUGACAUUGACUGUUGCUAUUCUAGCAAGAGGAAGGUGUUUUUUCGGACCUUCGGCUUAGGGCCUUCGUCCAUAUCGCAAUCUAAAUUUAUUAUCCUAACAAAUUAAUAUUGCGAGGGGCUACUGUUGGGGGCCUUCGGCUUCCGAAGGUCCUCAAAAACAUGAUUUGAAAAUGUUUCUGGAGUACAAUACAUGAGCAGGUACCUUCGGACACGAACCCUUCGUAUAAGUCAAAAUUGCUGUAUGAAGAAACACAAAGAGAACGAAGGAUGGAAUAGAGCCGAAGCUGUGCGCAAGGAAGCUUCGGCAUGAUGGCAGAAAAGAGGAAACCGACUUAAAGAGGAAAAGACUAUUUAGACCCCGAUAGAUUACUAUAGAGUUAUUAUCAAAAGCAAAGGGCAUGGAUGUAAUUUUACAUGGGCUGCGACCCGUGCCUAUAAAUAGGUGAACAGUACUCCCAUACUAUUCAUGCUGACUUGGCAUUUGCUUUUGCAUCACGCUUGUACUUUUACCUUCUUUCAAGUCAAAGGUAUAUUUGUAACCCAACAUCAUUCCUAUUCUUCUAUAGCAAUAAAAUAAAAAUGAGUUGAUAAUAAUACAUAACUAUUCAUGUUAUCUUUUAUAUUCCAUGUAAUUCCCUUUUCAUUAUGAUAUGUAAUGUUUAUGAAGGUAUGUCCUUCAUAACCUUCGUCCGAAAAUCAUUAUAUCUCAAGGGAAAUAAUGCUUCGAAGGACGAAGGACUUUAACAUUUAACGUUUUCUGUGUUGCCUUGUUCUUAACUCUUAGCAUUUGAGAACAAGUCCCCAACACACCGCAACCCCCUCGGUCCUCCUAUCGUGAACUAGAGACACCAAUGGGGGCUGCCUUGUUGUCACCAAUCCUAGAGAAAUAGGGGCAGUGGGUCGCCAUGGUCCAGCUCAUGCUUCGCCAUCGCCAAUGCCGUGGGGUGUGGCCCCAGGGAACCGCCAGGGCUAGUAAAUGCUGAGAGUGGAAUUUCUCGUCGAAGCAACGGAUCCGCUGCGUUGCCGCUAUGCUAUGUGACCUGGAGCCUCAGUGCCAUCCUUCUCGGUGAGAAUGCUCCCUUAGUCCUUGCCUUCGUCUCUGCUCCGUGUAUUGUCCUUUGGAUUAGAGUUUUGCACUCAGGUACAUAAUUGGGGGAGGCCGGCAAUGGUGCCGUCGUGCCCACUCUGGGCGCCACUGUGGCCCGGUGUCAGGUGAGGGAGGUAGGGCACCAUCCGUCCGAUCUGUGUUGGACGUGGGUGAUUAGAACAUAAGGUACCUGUCGGUGUUUUGGGUCCGACCGCACACCCGGGGUUGCCCCUCAAGGUGUUUUUAGGAGUAGGACGGUGUCGCCGACUGUAGCAAAAUGGUUCGUGCCAGAUGCAUGAGGAACAGUGGACAAUGUUUACAGGUUCGGGCUGCUUAGAGAUGCGUAACACCCUACGUCCUGGUGAGUAUGCUUGGUGAAUGAGGUUACAAGGGAGCUCUCCGAAUUGAGAAUGCAGAGAGCUGAGGUGGGUGGCUGAGUAAUAGGGUCGAUCCUUUUGAAGGGGUGCCCCCUAGGCCUUAUAUAUUCGACCGUGGGGCAAUACACGUGGAUAUGAUAACUAUGUGUACCUAAAAGAUAGCGAACUGUUUGAGUCUAUCUUCCUAUGAUCCUGCCGACCUAUCCUCGCCUGGUUCCGCUGCAUGGGGCUCCAGCGCGGGAAAGUCGGAUCCUUGUUGUGGUCGCUUGCUCAACGCUAUGGACCGCCUGGGCUUGCACCAAUCCAACCUUACAUCGACCUGCUUUACCGAUUGUCUCUUCCCAGGCCCACGAAGGAAUGGCCUUACGAUUCAUUGGGCCCUUGGGCCUUUUGUGAGGUCUUUCAUACUUCUAGUGGACCCGGGGGAUAUCUGUCCCCCACAAGCCCCCGAUCUUUGGGUUGAUUUAGAGGUAAUCAGCCUAAAGAUCCCAGGUCCAGUUCGCAGUCUUGAUUUAUGAUAAGAGAUGCUUUCCAAGCAGUCUAGUAAAAAUGAUUUUUUACUGUCUCCUUCUACUUAGACCACUCGUGGACUGGAGCAUUUGCUUCAUGUUUGUGCCUUAGAGGUCGACAUUUCUUCUUGUGGGACCCUAGAUUUCAUUGGGUGCACCGGAGGUGCACCCAAUGGGUGCAGCCCCCGAGCUUUGAGUAGAUUUUGGAAAAUAAUCUGCUCGAAGGUCUUCAUCAGAAAUUAUCUUUAUUUUACUCUUGUUCUCUGGUUGAGAGCCAGCCUUGUCUUUAAUCUUGUUCCAUGCCUUAGAAGUCGGCACUAUCUUGGCUUGAAAUGGUGAUCCAUGGGGUGCACCGAAGGUGCACCCAAUGGGUGUAGCCCCCGACCUUCAAGUGGAUUUUUGAGGAUAAUCCAUUCGAAGGUCUUCCUUUUGUGUCUUUUUGUUGAAGAUUAUCCUUUCUGCCUGUAGAAGUCGGCAUGAUGCCAUCCGCAUUAUGCUUUGGAGGUCAGCAUUAUGUCAUCAAUAUUAUGCUUCAGAGGUCAGCAUGUAUUUUGUCUUUUGCAGCCGAGUUCACAAUCCACCCAUAUCUUGCUAGGUGGUAUAAUUUAUUUGCUCUGCGACUGAUUGGACAUUUGAUGGACGUUCCCUGGCUAGUCUUCACGUCGCUUCUGUCGGUCAGAUUUUGUACUUCCCCGGCUAUAUUUGGCUUUCCUCUGAUCCUUACUGAUAUCUCAUUUUUGUCUUGAGGUAUUCAUUGCAUGCCCUGCACGGAUGUGACAGUUUUGAAAAAUAUACUGAUAAUUCCUGGGCGUCCCCCCAAUGGGUGUGGGCAAGGGACGGCUUGGUACGCUGAGUGUUUUAGCCGGCUGCUUCUGAGUAGUAAUGUGAUGUGACGGCGGGUGUAAUCAUAUCCUCCGCGCUGUUGACUGGAGUCCCAAUGGGUGUUGUGUUGCGUGAAACGGCGUCAGCCGCCUGACGUGUCUUCAGACAGGCUGAAGUGCUUAUUGAAUGCUUUGCGACUGUUCAGUGACCGUGGUUGUAGGUGAGCGGUUGCCUUCUUCUUCUAUAAAUAAUGUCGUUGUCUCUCCGGCUUUUUCACAUCUCUUGUUGUUCUCUGCUGCUUGCUUCUCUUCUCUCCCUUUCGCUUCCACCAUGGGCAAGAACAACAAGCGCAAGCGCGAGCCAACUCCUCCAUCGGAGGAUUUUGGUGACUCGGAGUACUCAGAGGAGGAGUUCUCCUCUGAGUCUGAGGGGUCUCCGGCUCCCAUCCCCCUGCGUGAGUCGUCUGACGACUCAGACGACUCCCAGGGGUUCGCGGCGGAGGUCUGGACGUACAUCCGGGCCAUCGAGCGCUCCGGGCUCGAGGGCUCGGAUGAGUCGGAGUACUCCUCGGAUGAGGAGGACUCGUCCGAGGAGGACGGUGGCGGCGACGGUGAGGACAACGACGACGACGACGACGACGAAGGCGGUGGCGGCGGUGACGGUGACGGCAGCGGCGGCAGCAGCGGCGGCAAGGGUGACGACGGCGGCAGCAGCAGGGGCGGCAGCGGUGGCGGCGGCAGCAGCAGGGGCAGCAACAGGGCCAGUGGCUAGAUGCCACUGGUCAUUAGAUGUUAGUAUAGUAUAGUUAGAAUAAUGUAGUAGUAUUUAGUAGUGUAGAGUAGUAUAGUGUAGUGUAGUAGUAGUAGUAGUAUAAUGUAAUGUAGUAGUAGUAAUAGGGAAGUAUCAACUCAUAAUGAGUUGAUUUGUAAGUAUGAUGUCUUCCCUUUAAUGAAGAAAUGAUGUUGGUUUCUCUGUGAUGAUUGCUCGUUGAUAUUCACAACUCAAAGUUCUUGAAUCAUUACUCUUCCCGCCUUUUUCGUGAAGUUGAUUCCCUUGGAAUAGUAAGUGAAUAACUCGGGCAUCAUGUCGAUGCUUUUAGAGGUAGCUGCCGAGUGACUUGUAGAUGAUGUCAGGGUUUUUGAGGUAAUGCCGAUUGACUUGAAGACAAUGUCAGCGUUUUAGAGGUAACGCCGAGCGACUUGAAGACGAUGUCAGCGUGUUAGAGGUAACGCCGAGUGACUUGAGGGCAAUGUCAGCAUUUUAGAGGUAAUGCCCAGCGACUGAAGACGACGUCGGCGUUUUAGAGGUAACGCCGAGCGACUGAAGACGACGUCAGCGUUUUAGAGGUAACGCCGAGCGACUUGAAGACGACGUCAGCGUUUUAGAGGUGACGCCGAGUGAUAGCAGGCUGCGUGGGCCAUUUUGAGGAUAAUAGCCGAGUGAUGAUGUGGCGCACCGGUGUUUUGGAAAUAACUGUCGGGUGAUGACGUGGCACGCCGGUGUUUUGGAAAUAACCGCCGGGUGCUGACUGGGCGCUUUUUGAAACGGUAUCUGGCUCGGGAAUAUCCCAUAAGUGCUGCGCUUUUAGCCGCCUCUGCUUUCCGUGCCCUAGUUCUUGCUUUCUCGCUUCCAAAUUCUCUCUGCAUUUCGCCUCCCACUCUGCUCGCCGGUAGAAUCGAGAUGGCGCCCAAGAGGAAGGCCUCGAGUUCGUCUGCCGUGGUGAUUCCUCCAAUCGAUCCCAACAGCCAGUUGCCUUUCGCAGGUAACCACAUGUCUAUCAUCUCCGAGCCCGAACUUCUCCACCUCGUGUCCAUCGGGGUUCUUCCCCCGAGGGAGCUCUGCUCUUGGCGGAUUUGCCAUGGGGUCACUGUCCCGACAGAGGAUACCCAUGAGUCCGUGAUUUACGCCCCUUUUCUUCUCCGCGGCCUCGGUCUUCCCAUUUCUCCCUUUUUCCGCGGCCUUCUUGAUUUCUAUCAUCUUAACUUGACCCAUCUGAAUCCCAAUUCUAUCCUGCAAAUCACCAUUUUCGUUCAUUUAUGCGAAGCCUUUCUUGGUGUGCUGCCACAUUUUGGGUUGUGGAAGUACUUGUAUCACUGUCGCCCUGGGAUGGCCGGGGGACAACAUCAGUUGGUUGGGGGUGCUAGCUUGGAGAUGCGCCGUGGGAGGAAGACUGAGUAUCUCAAAAUCCCUCUCAAAGACAGUAUCAAGGGAUGGCGCUUGGAGUGGUUCAUUGUUGAGAAUUAUGGCAACUCUCUCCCCCCUCGGUCGGGAAGACAGCCGAACGUUCGCACCCCGAGCUGGACCGAGUCCCCCACGGAUCAGGAGGUAGCUGAGGCAGGUGCUUUGCUAGCUGAAGUUGGAUUGCUGAAGGAGAGGGGCCUGACUGCUGAAGCUGUGGUUGCUGAUUUUGUCUUCAAGAAUAUUCAGCCAUUGAAGGACAGGGCAUAACCGGCUUAUCUGUAUCGAGGCCUAGCCGACUCAACUCGGGUUACCAACAGAAGAAUUCCCUCUGUAGACUUGGUAAACCGACUUGAGAUGAUCCUUAGAGGCAAGGUGUCAAAUGUUGGUGCCCCAGUGGCAUACUUAGCCCGGAACUUGCCUCCUCCCAAAACCUUCACUCUUUUUGUGUCGAAUCCACCUGUCACUGAUGGCAGUUUGGGCCUUAGAGUGCGGCCCUCUGCUGAAGAAGUUAGUGCCUUGGUUGCCUCGCUCGGGGAGAUUCCUGAUGAUGAACGGCAAGUCCAUUUUGAGGUGCCCCUGAAUCCUAGUGAUGCAGAGAUAAGUGCUAUGCUUGAUUUGCUGGCUGAGGACUCUUCUGAUGCUGCUCCUGCUGGGACAUCCGUGGUGGCGCCCCUCCCAGAGGCUGAUACGACCUUGGAUAUUCAGAAGCCUGCUAGUACUCGCCCGAGGUGCCCUUGCCGAGCUAAUCAACCUGAUCCUCCUGCUGAUGAGCAGAAGAAGAAAAAGAGACGCCUCCGGUGAGUAUCCAGUUUGGAUCGGGAUGUUGGUACUUCGGUUCCUGCUGCUGAAGAAGUGCCUGUGACUGAAUUUAUUGACGCUGACCCCAAUGGGUGUGCCCGGUCUGCUGCUGAUCCCAAUGUGGGUGCUCCAUCUGUUGCUAAUCCCAAUGGGGGUGCUGCCUGUGUUGCUAAUGAAGACGACGGGGAGGAAGAGGAUGAAGUUCCUUUGACUCGGAAAAACAGUCGACAGUUCAUCGCUAGUGGUGAAAGUAGUGGAGUUCCUUCUCCUGCUUUGUCUGCUCUCAUUGGUCUGCAAGAACUGUCCCUGGCCAAUUUUGAUCAGACUCUUGAGGAUAUGGUUCCAGAGGAUUUGUUAUCGGAGCCAGCAGAUGAUGGUGUGAUGGAGGUUUGUGCUGAUGUGCUUGAUGCUGGGUUGAGGUCGUCCCGUGCCUCGUCGACCUUAGAGCGCGAUCUCGAGGGUCGGGAGACUGACUUGGAUCGUCCUGGUCCCAUGGAAGUAACUGAGGGCCCAUCAGCCUUAGAGGUGGCUACCACAGAGAACUUGGACCCCAAGGAUGGUGUUGACACGUGCCCAACCCCCGAGGAUGUUGUUGGGGAUGACUUGGGUCGGGUGGGAAGUGCAAGCCACUGCCCAACCCCCGAGGGUGCUGCCGGGGAUGACCCGGCUCAAGUGGGCAGUGCAAACUAUGACCCAGCCCCCGAGGAUGUCCGAGCGGGGUCUCCCUCUUGUACUUCCAUGGACGUUCAUGCGGGAUCGCCUCCGCACUCCGGCUGCAUGGUGUUAGCCCAAGCUUUGGACCAGGGGGUCGCUUUAGAGGGCAGCGUCCCCGCUGACCAAGUUGUGGGCUCUGUUGAUGGCACUGAGUUGGUUCCGGCUAGUUCGUUGCAAGCUGCUUCGGGUGGCGGCCUUACGUCCGGCCAUCAAUUGAUCUCUCAUGAUUUGGGGGUCCCUUCGUUCUUUUCCAACCUCCAGGUACUUUGGUAUACUUCAGCUUGAUUUUUUCACCGCAUGAACUGCUGUCAUUACACUCAUCUGCUCUCCUUAUCAGGCUUUGGUGGACGGGAUGGCUAGCCAGCUGAGGUUACAGGGUGCUCCUGUUCCAGAAGUAGCUUCGUCUCUUGCACGUUGGAAUCCAGUGUUACUUCAACAUCGUGUCUCUGACUUGGAGGCGGCCAACGCUGGUUAGUGCUUUUUUGCUUCUCUUUGUCUUCACUAUUAAACUGCUUUACAUUCUGAUCCCCUUUGUUUGGUUGUCUCCUGCUAGGUAUGACUCGACAGAUUUCCACUCUUGAAGAAAAACAUUCUCGAGAUCAGGCUGAAUUGGUCCAGCGGUGCUCUGACUUUGAAGAAAAGUAUUCUCAAAGUCAGACUGAACUAGCUCAGGUCUCUGCUGCCUUAGAUGACGCCAAUGCACAGAGCUCUUCCCUUCACACUCAGCUUAACUCUGAAAAGGUGACUUAUGAAACUGUGCCUUGCCUUGCUGUGCUCCUAUUGCUUGCUUGAUGUUUGAGGGAGUUGACUUUUGUUUGCAAGAAGAAAAACAUAUCCUUGCUGCUUCUCGUGACAGUCUCGACAGAUUGUAUCGCGAUUCUAGUAACUCGCUGACCAUCCUGGAGAGGAGUCAUCGCUUCACCAUGGAAGAGUUAGACAACCAACGCUGUAAGCUGCAGGAAUCCACGGAUGAGGUGACCCGGCUCAAGCAAUUGAUAUCAGCGAAGGACGCUACUAUCAAAGAACUCCGAGCUUCCAAGAAAUCCAUCGCCCAGGAGUUAGAAACUGCUCGGUUGGCUGCCAAGGUCGCUGAAGAAACUUCCGUUACUCUCAGAGCCCAGCGCGACAGAGCCAUGGAUAAGGCCAUUCGGGCGGGGCGAAUCUUGAUGAGGAGACCCGGCGUGGUUGUUCCCGAAGAUAUAAGGGCCGACGUGAAUGCUGCCCCUGAUUCCUCGAGUCGUCCUUCCUCAUCGAUUGCUCCUGAGAAAAAUAUCACAAAAUAGAGAAACAUUUUGCGUGCUUUGGGUGCGCGGUUAGCAUGGUCAGACAUUUGUUAGAGGACGUCAUUUCAGUACUUUGAGCGACAUUGUUAUUCUCAUAUUGUUUCAGAAUUCCUCAGUUCGUAAAUUUGCAGUAGUAAAAUGAUGUGCGAUGGUUUUGAAAUUUGUUUGCGGGAUAUAGAAGUCAUCCUUAUAUGAGUAAUUGUAAGCACGUCAGAUCGCCUUAAGUCGCUGCUGACUUAAGUCGAUUGCUUCUGUUAAUAGGGCGCAGUGGUCACCCUGACUUGCGUAGGCGUGAGCAUGUUGCACCGCCUUAAGUCAUUGCCGACUUAAGACGAUUGCUCCGCUAGCAGGGCAUAGUGGUCACCCCGAGUUAAGUAAGCGCGAGCAUGUUGCACCGCCUUAAGUCGUUGUCGACUUAAGCCGAUUGCUCCGUUAGCAGGGCAUAGUGGUCACCCCGAGUUAAGUAGGCGCGAGCAUGUUGCACCGCCUUAAGUCGUUGCCGACUUAAGCCGAUUGCUCCGUUAGCAGGGCAUAGUGGUCACCCUGAGUUAAGUAGGCGCGAGCAUGUUGCAUCGCCUUAAGUCGUUGCCGACUUAAGCCGAUUGCUCCGUUAGCAGGGCAUAGUGGUCACCCCGAGUUAAGUAAGCGCGAGCAUGUUGCACCGCCUUAAGUCAUUGCCGACUUAAGCCGAUUGCUCUGUUAGCAGGGCAUAGUGGUCACCCUGAGUUAAGUAGGCGCGAGCAUGUUGCACCACCUUAAGUCGUUGCCGACUUAAGCCGAUUGCUCCGUUAGCAGGGCAUAGUGGUCACCCUGACUUGCGUAGGCGUGAGCAUGUUGCACCGCCUUAAGUCGUUGCCGACUUAAGCCGAUUGCUCCGCUAGCAGGGCAUAGUGGUCACCCCGAGUUAAGUAAGCGCGAGCAUGUUGCACCGCCUUAAGUCGUUGCCGACUUAAGCCAAUUGCUCCGUUAGCAAGGCAUAGUGGUCACCCCGAGUUAAGUAGGCGCGAGCAUGUUGCACCGCCUUAAGUCGUUGCUGACUUAAGCCGAUUGCUCUGUUAGCAGGGCAUAGUGGUCACCCCGAGUUAAGUAAGCGCGAGCAUGUUGCACCGCCUUAAGUCAUUGCUGACUUAAGCUGAUUGCUCCGUUAGCAGGGCAUAGUGGUCAUCCUGAGUUAAGUAAGAAUGCAAGUCAAUCAUGAACAAGCUGAGUAUCUUUGAAGCCCUUUUUUAUUGAUGACAUAUUUCCAUUUUACAGAGUGCAUCGUCGUCCCGAUAGCUUUUGAAAUACAGCUAGGGAUAAAAUUUCCUGAGGUGUUCUAUAUUCCAGGAGUUCCCGACUUCUGUGCUGUCCAUUUGAGUGAGACGAUAUGAUCCUGGCCGAGUGACUUCUGCUACUACGAAGGGUCCUUCCCAUAAGGGUGAUAACUUGUGCCAUCCCUCCCCCGUUAGAAUUCGGCGGAGGACGAGGUCUCCUACUGAGAAGGAACGCGGUCGUACGGCCUUGUCGUGAUAGCGCCUUAGAGUCUGCUGGUACCGUGCUGAUUGGAUUACCGCAUUCAGCCGUUCUUCCUCGAGUAUAUCGAUGUCCUCCAUCCUGGUAGCUUCGGCUUCUGCUAUGCUUUCGAAGAUCAACCUUGGCGCCCCAAACUUGAGAUCGGCGGGUAACACUGCCUCCGACCCAUAGACCAUGAAGAAAGGAGUGUUUCCAUGCAGAGCUCGGCUAGGUUGGGUUCUUAGGCUCCAAACGACAUAUGGCAAUUCCCUUAUCCACUUCCCUGCGAAUUUUUCAUUCUUAUCGAAGACCUUUUUCCUGAGUGCCUCCAGUAUCAUCCCGUUGGCUCGCUCAACCUGCCCGUUGGCUCUUGGAUGUGCUACAGAAGCAUACUUGAUCUGAAUGCUUUUUUGCUCGCAGAAGUCGAAGAACUCUGAACUUGUGAAGUUGGAUCCUAGGUCAGUUAUGAUGCUGUUUGGUAUCCCGAAUCUGAAUAUUAUGUCUUGUAUGAAUUCCACGACCUUAGCUGAGGUUAAAGAAGCAAUGGGUUUGAACUCUAUCCAUUUAGUGAAUUUGUCGAUUGCUACCAGUACAUGAGUGUAUCCUCCUUGAGCCUUCUUGAAAGGUCCAAUCAUAUCCAGUCCCCAGCACAUGAAGGGCCAAGUCACUGGUAUGGUCUGCAGUUGCUGUGCUGGUAGAUGUUGUUGUUUUGACAAGUAUUGGCAAGCUUCGCACCUCUGAACUAACUCGGCUGCAUCACUCUUCGCUGUUGGCCAAUAGAAUCCUGACCUGAAGACCAUCCCGACUAGUGUUCUGGACGCUGCAUGUAUUCCACAUUGCCCAGCAUGGACCUCCUCCAGAAGUCGCUUCCCAGUAGAUGAGAGAAUGCACUUCAUGAGGACGCCUGAUGCACCCCUUCUGUACAAUGCCUCCCCAAUGAGUGUGUAGUGAGCCGACUGUCUGGCAAUGCGCUCGGCUGUAUUUUUGUCAUCUGGUUCCUCUUCAUUCUUUAUAUGCCUGAUGAUUGGCCUUCUCCAGUCAUCAGAGUCUGACUCUAGUUGAUUCACAAUAUUACACUCUUCUGCUUGAUCCAUUGAGAUGCUCGGCUGUGAUAUUUCUUGUACAAAGACUCCAGGUGGGACCUGAGUUCGACCGGAUCCUAGCUUGGACAAUACAUCGGCUGCCGUGUUCCGAUCUCUCUCUACAUGAUGAAAUUCUAGACCCUCAAAUUUAUCUUCCAGCUUUCGGACGGCAGUGCAAUACUUUCCCAUUGAAUCGCUUGAACAAUCCCACUCUUUGUUUAUCUGGCUAAUGACUACCAGAGAGUCUCCGUACACCAUCAGUCUCUUGAUGCCCAACGAUAUGGCGAUGUUCAAUCCAUGGAUCAGAGCUUCAUACUCGGCUGCAUUGUUGGAGGCCGGAAACAACAACUGGAGGGCAUACUUGAGGUGCUCGCCUCCAGGUGCGGUGAAAAGAAUUCCUGCUCCUGCUCCCUGCAGCUUCAGCGAGCCAUCAAAAUACAUUCGCCAUACUUCUGCAGUCUCUAGGUUAUCUGGUACUUGCUGUUCAGUCCACUCUGAUACGAAAUCAACCAAUGCUUGAGUUUUGAUGGCAGCGCGAGGUCGAAAUUCGAUGUCAUGAGAUCCCAGCUCACAAGCCCACUUGGCUAUUCGGCCAAUGGCUUCCUUGUUGUGAAGAAUAUCCCCUAUCGGAAAACCAGUGACUACUAUGACUUUGUGGUCAUCAAAGUAGUGACGUAGCUUGCGGGCAGUUAGGAGUACUGCAUAUAACAGCUUCUGAACUUGAGGGUACUUUUUCUUCGAGGGACCCAGAACUUCACUGAUGAAGUAAACAGGAUGUUGCACUGGGUAGGUAUGUCCUUCUUCUGCUCGCUCGACUACCAACGCGGUGCUUACCACGUGAGUCGUGCAAGAGAUGUACAGCAGCAGAUCUUCAGCUGGUUGAGUUGAUGUGGCUCGUCGUGGCGGUUUCAGUACUGGUGGUGUCGUCAAGAAUUUCUUCAGUGCGUCUAGAGCUUCCUGUGCUUCCGAAGUCCACUGAAACUUAUCCACUUUCUUGAGUAGCUUGUAAAAUGGUAAACCUUUUUCUCCCAAUCUGGAUAUGAAUCUGCUCAGAGCUGCCAUACAUCCAGUAAGUCGCUGAACCUUCUUCUGUGAUCGAGGUGCUUCCAUCUUCAUGAUAGCUUCAAUCUUAUCUAGAUUAGCCUCAAUUCCCCGGUGGCUGACAAUAAACCCGAGUAACUUGCCUGCUGGAACCCCAAAGACACAUUUUUUGGGAUUAAGCUUCCAUCGAUAUCGCCGUAGACUGUUGAAAACCAGCUGCAAGUCUUCGAUGAAGUUUUCCGAGUUCUCCGUUUUGAUUACCACAUCAUCUACGUAGGCCUCCACACGCUUGCCCCAGUGAUCGGCUAAGCAUGUUUGAAUGGCUCUCUGAUAAGUCGCUCCAGCGUUUUUGAGGCCGAACGGCAUGGAGGUAUAACAGAAAGCACCAAACGGAGUAAUGAACGCUGUUUUUUCUUCGUCUUCCUUUGCCAAACUAAUCUGGUGGUAUCCGGAAUAGCAAUCCAGGAAAGACAGCACAGAACAUCCAGCGGUGGAGUCCACCACCUGAUCUAUCCUCGGGAGCCCGAAGGGAUCCUUUGGACAGUGUUUGUUGAGAUCAGUAUAGUCGACGCACAUGCGCCAAUCCACUUUAUUCUUUUUGAGUACAGGGUUGGCUAACCACUCGGGGUGUAACACUUCUCUAAUAAAUCCAGCCGCGACCAAGCUAGCUAACUCGGCACGAAUGGCCUCUCUCUUGUCGGGCGUGAAACGACGUAGUUUUUGCCGGAUCGGCCUUGCCUGGGGAUAGACCUUCAGUUUGUGCUCGGCCAGUUCUCUUGGGACUCCCGGCAUAUCCGCAGAUUGCCACGCGAAUACGUCUCGGUUAUCUUGCAGAAACUGGACGAGCGUGCUUUCCUAUUUGUCGUCCAGGCUGGAGCUGAUGAUGGCAGUUUUGCGUUCAUCAGCGAACCCCAGGUUGAUCCUUUUAGUUUCUUCAGUCGGCCGCAUAGAGGUCGCGGCCUGAGCUUCGUUUACCGGUACUGCAAGGUCCUCCUCAGGCUUGGAGUUCGCCUGUGUUGAAGAAAUCAUCGACGACAUGGUGGUGAGGGCCGCUUGGAUGGCCACUCGGAAACACUCUACGGUGCCUUGGAAGUCGGCGCGCACAGUUAUGAUUCCUUGUGGUCCUAGCAUCUUCAGUAUCAUGUACGUGUAAUGAGGAAUGGCCAUGAAUUUGGCCAAUCCCGCCCUCCCGAUGAUGGCGUUGUACCCGCAGUCGAAGUUCGCCACUUCGAACCUCAGGAACUCGGUUUUGUAGUUCUCCGGAGUUCCGAAGGUGACGAGCAUGUAGAUGUGGCCCAGCGGGUAUUCCCCUUCAGUCGGCACGAUGCCAAAGAAGGGAGUGUCCGACUCGUGGAGCUCUUUGAGGUGAACUCCCAAGCCUUGGAGUGUCCGGGGGAAGGUGACGUUGAUGCUGCUCCCCCCGUCCACCAACACCUUCUUCACCCGGCUCUCUCGGAUCACCGGAUCGACGAGGAGCGGGUAUUUGCCUGGAUGGUCGAAGUUGAGCCAUUGAUCCUCCCGAGUGAAGGUGAUCGGGUGCUCCGACCACCGGUAUGGAGCGGGAGGACCAGUGGUUGCCACUAGUAUCUGGCGAUCGUUGAACUUUUGUUUUCUUUUGUUCUCCUGCGACCUGUGUCCGCCGAAGAUGACGUUGACCUCCCUGUCAAAGCGCGGGAAAGCUCCUCCUCCUCCCUCCUCCUGCUGAUGGGGUUGUCAUGGUUCAUCUGGUCCUCCCCUCGGCGGAGGAGGAGGUGGAGGUUGGAAGGGUCGGCCGUGCCCGACGGAGUGCUUGAAGUCCCGGCAGUUCCGAAGAGUGUGGCGCAUGUCUUUGUGGUACGGGCACUGGGCAUCGAGGAUGUCGUCCAGCGUGCGCUCGCCUCCGCGAGGUCCUCCUCGGGCGCGAGAAGCUGGUGGCCCAGCGGCGUGUACUUCUUCGCGGGGCCUCUUCUUCCAGCGUUUGUCGGCUUGCUGGUUCGCGUCGCGUCGUGGUGCCGCCGGUGCGGGCUUUGCUCCUCCGAUGAGGUCCUGGGCCCGCUCGUCGACGGUGAUGUAGAGGUCGGCUUCCCGGAACAGCUCCUCGGAGGUAGUCGGCGCCUUCUGUAAUAUGGCUCGGACGAAAGCCGAGUCAUUGGAUCCUCUGUAGAAGUCCUCGAUCACGGCCGCCUCCGUGACCUCGGGGAUACGAUUUCUCAUGGUCUGGAACCUUUUGAGGUACGACCGGAGAGUUUCGUCCCCCCGACGCUUGAUGGAUUUGAGGUCCCACGGUUGCGCCGGUUUGUCGGAGAGGGACUGGAAAUUGGUGGUGAAGCAUCGACUGAAGUCGCCCCAGUCGUCGAUGCAGUGUCGGGGUAGAUGUCGCAGCCAUUGCAGCGUGUCUUGCCCGAGGACAAUGGGUAAGUACGCGGUCAUCAUGUCUUCGGACGCCCCGGCAGCUCGAGCAGCGGUGGUGUAGACGGCCAGCCAGCCCCCUGGAUCCUGCUUAGGUUCAUAUUUGUCGACAUUGGAUACCUUGAAGUUAGGAGGCCAUUGGAUGGCCCUAAGGCAUGGAGUAAGAGCAGACACUCCACACGUGUCCUCCUGUCGUCGGGGAUGAUGUCUGUCCCGGGGAGGGGAGUAGUUGUUGUGGUUCCUCGACCGUCCCCGGGUUGUACCGCCAGUUGAGGCCGUUGCCGACUCAGUUCUGGUGGCCUGGCUCCGAGCUGGGAUGCCAUGAUCCCUGUCGUACUCCUCCCGACGGCGGAUCUCGUUCUUGUGCCGUCGUUCACGCGAAGCAUUGAUGGAGCUUCGCGCGUCUCGGCGACUGUUGAUGGCGUGUCUUAGAUCGUUCGGCGGGUGAGCAAGCGGUAGAAGAUGGUUGGCUGCCUGGGUGAACAGUCGUCGGUAGCCCUCGGCGUCGGGAGUCCGAGGGAGUCCAUCAGCUAUCCGAGCUAGUACUCCUCCAACUUCGCUCGGCGUGUUCAUGGCUCGGGCGAAGUCGGGAUUCAGGUUGCGCCCGAAGAAUGGAUUCUCCCGGUGUUGCCUUGCAUCUUGCUCGGCUUGUUCCUGAGCCCGGCGGCGAUCACGUCGUCGGGAGUUCCUUCGUUCUCUGAAGACGCGUUCCUCCGGAGUUUCUCCUAUCUCCGAGACCUCGUCCCGCGAGACAGGUUGCUCCGGAUCCCGUUCUCUGGCCGCGUGAUGUCGCCAAACGUUCCGGCGCCGGUUUCUCCAUCGGCGGGAUUCUCGUUGAGGUGGUUCUUCUCCGGGUGCUGUCGGCUCGUCGUCGGAGACGGGAGGCGACUCCACUCUCCCGAUGAAGAGGACGUCGGGAUAAAAUGGUGCUGCUGUCGUGGCGACCUUCUUUUCGUUCUCCUUUGAGGGCGGAGGAACGGAAAGAACAACUUGCUUCCCCUUGGUCUCCUUCUUCCUCGCGAUCUGCGUCCAUUCUUUUGUCGGGGAAGUAGGCAGUGGAGUUCUUCGGGUCAGCGGGCUCUCGGCCCCUGACUUUCUGGGAACGAUCUUUUUCCGGAGAGCUGGAGGUUGCGCUUCUCCGACAUUUUCGGAGUUUGUUGGAGGAGACUUCUUUUCCGGCGGAUCUGCAAUGCGGUGUAGAGUUCCCUCUUCAUCUGCUACGGAUGAGAUUGUUCCGAAGCAGAAUACGGAUCCGGGACGGAGGGUGAUCUUGCUGUGGAAGGUGACGGCCAUUGAGCUAGCUUGGAUCGUCGACACACCCCCUACCUGGCGCGCCAGCUGUCGGUGUUUUGGGUCCGACCGCACACCCGGGGUUGCCCCUCAAGGUGUUUUUAGGAGUAGGAUGGUGUCGCCGACUGUAGCAAAAUGGUUCGUGCCAGAUGCACGAGGAAUAGUGGACAAUGUUUACAGGUUCGGGCCGCUUAGAGAUGCGUAACACCCUACGUCCUGGUGAGUAUGCUUGGUGAAUGAGGUUACAAGGGAGCUCUCCGAAUUGAGAAUGCAGAGAGCUGAGGUGGGUGGCUGAGUAAUAGGGUCGAUCCUUUUGAAGGGGUGCCCCCUAGGCCUUAUAUAUUCGACCGUGGGGUAAUACACGUGGAUAUGAUAACUAUGUGUACCUAAAAGAUAGCGAACUGUUUGAGUCUAUCUUCCUAUGAUCCUGCCGACCUAUCCUCGCCUGGUUCCGCUGCAUGGGGCUCCAGCGCGGGAAAGUUGGAUCCUUGUUGUGGUCGCUUGCUCAACGCUAUGGACCGUCUGGGCUUGCACCAAUCCAGCCUUAUGUCGACCUGCUUUACCGAUUGUCUCUUCCCAGGCCCACGAAGGAAUGGCCUUACGAUUCAUUGGGCCCUUGGGCCUUUCAUGAGGUCUUUCAUACUUCUAGUGGACCCGGGGGAUAUCUGUCCCCCACAGUACCCCUUCGUGGAUGGAUUUUGGACCGUGGAUCUUAGAUCUGAUGGCCUGUGUUGCUUACUGGUUUAGAGUUAUGAGCAAACUAUUCUGGGGCAUUGGUGGACGAUCUAAUGACUGAAAUCGUCUGUACCCCUUCAUCGCGAAAUAUUUUCAUAAGAGACCCUAAGCUAUUUUAUAAUAAACCCGCCAUCCCUAACCAUUGUAAAACCAUUACACUUAAGUCCAAUUUCUUCCGAGGUCGACCCUGACCUUUUUAUAAAUAUAGCCGCAGUCCAGAAAUUCUUGAAAUUUGUCAAAUAAAUAUAGAAGAUAAACUUUAGGUAUAAAAAUUUUUCCCUAAACUUCGGAAAAUCAUAUCUCCGAUGUUUUAGCUCCGAAUUUAUCCAUUCAAGUUGCAUUAGCUUUGUAUAAAUAUUUACUAUGUAGUAACACACAUUAAUUAGGCAUACCACUUGUUUUAUAAUUCGAUAUUUACGUAACCUAUGCUUACUAGAUUAACUCUUCUAAACAAAGCUAACCUGCCCAUAAUUAUAAUUUGAUUAAAAUGUGAUCUCUAAUCAAGUUAUAACUUAGAUUAAAGUGGAAUUAGUUAAAUUCCUUAAAAUAUCUUCUCACAUGAUUAAAAUACCAUAGUUUUGCUAUUUAAGCACGAAUAUCUUUAGAAAACUAUAUCUUUCAACUGUAACUCCGAAUUUAGUGGUUCUCGAACCUACAAACUCAUUGCGAUGCGUAGAACAUUAUUAUUCAAUAUGUUCCCAUGAUUGGUGUGAUGUUAAUUUUGCCUAUACCAUGUUUGUUUGUAUCGCUAUGAGUAGCAGCGAGGUUACGAGUCACUUGAAGACCAAGUUGGUAAAGUACUUGGGAUCUCAAGUCACAGACAAGUUGUGCCCUUGAUCACUCUUCUUUACCUAAUAAUGUUCCUGUUAAUCACUGUGACAUGCUCAGAUCAACUUGAUGGGACCUAAUAGGUUUCCCUAGUUUUGUUUACCCCACCCCUUGCAGACAAAUGAACUCUGCAAUGCAUUUGAUAUAUUAAGUUUAGUUCCAUAAGUUAAUCAUGCGAGAGUCCUAAGUCGCUCUUGACCGUGAGCACGACUGAUAUACCAGAUUUACACUUUGCAGAGGUUGCGCCCUUUACCCACAAGUCGUGUUACUAAGUGUAAGUGGAUACCAACCCAAUCAAAUAAGAGAUCACAAUUAAUAAUAAGACUUAUGAUCUCUUAUUUGAUUGGGUUCGUAUCCACUUACACUUAGUAACUGCUAAUAAAAAUUUAACCAACUUUAAAAGCAAUGCUCAGCUUUAACCAUCUUCUUUGGUAAGCCUUACACUUCACAUGAGUCCCCACCGUAAGUGAGCUCAUGCACAUUAUUCCUCACAACUUGUUGAACGAUGAACGUAUGUGAGCUCACCCUUGCUGUACUCACAUCCCCCAGGUCAAGGAAAGGUACUACAAGAUGUGGAGCAAGAAAGAUGUCACGAUGAGUUCGUGAGAGGUCUAGGUCAUCGUCUCCCAGUCUACUAUGGUUGCUGUUGGGGACUUGUUCUCAAAUGCUAUGAGUUAAGAACAAGGCAACACAAAAUGUUAAAUGUUAAUGUCCUUCAUCCUUCGAAGCAUUAUUUCCCUUAGGAUAUAAUGAUCUUCAGACGAAGGUUAUGAAGGACUUACCUUCAUCAACGCGAUAUAUGUUAAUAAAAGAAAAAGCAUAUGAAAUAUAAGAGGCAAGAUAAGUAAUCACAUAACAUUAUUAAUUCAUUAUCAUUAUAUUAUUCUAAAAAGACAGAGAUAAUAUUGAAUUACAAAUGUACCUUCGACUUGAUAGAAGGCAAAAAGUAGAAGCGUGACGCAAAAGCAAGUACAAGUCAGCGUGAACAGUACGGGGGUACUAUUCAUCUAUUUAUAGGCACAGGACGCAGCCUGUGAGAAUUUACAUACAUGCCCUUUACAUUUAUUAUUGACUUAUAUACAAUUCUAUGAGGACUAGAUAACCUUUUCCCCUUUAAGUCGGUUCCUUUUUCCGCCAUUUAGCCGAAGCUCCCUUGCGCGUAGCUUCGGAGCAACUCCAUCCUUCGUCACGAUCAUGCUUUUUACAUCGUACAUGCUUUUAGCCCGAGUCCGAAGGUACCUGUUCAUAUGUCACACUUGGAAGAUAUUGUUAAAUCACGUUUUUGAGGACCUUUGGAGGACGAAGGCCUCCAAAAGUAGCCCCUUGCAGUAUUAAUUUGUUUAUGAUAGCGAAUUCAGACUGCGACAUGGACGAAGGCCUUAUGCCGAAGGUCCGAAAAAACACCUUCCCUUUGCUAGAAUAGCAACAGUCAAUGACAGACGGGCCCCCCCAAUUUGGAGCGUGCCGAGCGUAUAAAUAAGAACUCGCACCAACCACAUUUGGUACGCUGCUUGUGCCAUUUGCUUUGUUUUCUCAAUUUUAUAGCUCUUGCUCACUAACGCUUGCUAGUUUCUGAAGCUUCCUAAGCUUCAGUUAGAAAGACACAUUUUCAUCAUCUCUAGAGGAAAAAAUGUCUCAAGACAAGAAGACUGCUGCUGAGACGAAGCUAAAUGAAGAGGAGAAGCUUUUUGAGGAGAAGAAGGCUGCAAAUCCUUACAUUGCUGGAUUUAUCGAGUCAAUGGCAAAAUCGAAUACAGAAAAGAUCACUAAGGAGAUACUGGAGGUCCUGUCUGAAGAUACCGGUGACAGUGACAGUUAUGAUGCAGAAAGUGGAGGCAAAAAUUCCGAGGAUCGACCCUGGAGACCAAGUCAUGCAAUUUUCGGAAAAUCAACCAUCAAGCAAAGUCACCUCGAAAACAUGAGGGGAAGGUACUUUUGGGACAUGUCUAUUGUGAGGACUGGCGGAGACAACAACGUUCCUACGCCUGAGGAGAACGAAGUUGUGAUUUUCCGAAGCUUCUUCAAAGCUAGGCUUCGGUUCCCACUGAGCAGGUUCGUAGUUGAAGUGUUGAAAACGUUCCAAAUUUUCCUUCAUCAAUUGACCCCCGAAGCUAUAUUGAGGAUGUGAGUCUUCGUCUAGGCAGUAAGAAGCCAAGGGAUAGAGCCAAGCGCAAAAUGCUUCUGCAGCAUGCACGAACUUCUGUAUGAGACGAAGGCCACGGGGAAAGAACAGUAUCACCACAACUUCGGUUGUUAUGGUUUUAUCGCCUGUCCCAACUCAAGCCACCCAGUGCCAACAUUUCGGAAGAGAUGGCCGAGAAAUUGGAUGGAAGAAUGGUUUUAUGUGAAGAAUGACUUGAUAGCAAGAGAGGACAUCAAGGAGGUUAUUAUGCGUCCCAUAUGGUCCCGCUUCGGCCUCCGAAAGCCAAAGGUUGAAAUUGACGAAGCCGCCGAAGCAUGUCAGAAGGCAUUUGGUACUGUCUGCUUCUUUAUUGGUAUGAGAGAUUUAAUUCAAGAGCACAUAGCAUUCAGAGUAUGGCUGCUUGUAGAGAGCUGGGAAAUGCCGAAGGAGACCAUCACCGAAUCUAGUGAAGGUGUAGCAUCCCAAAAAUUCAAAUCCUGAAAUUUUCUCAAACUUGCUCUAAAUUCAAAAUGAAUUUCAAAUUUCAUUUCAAAAUGUUUUUUUGCGAGUUGAUAUCAACAAAUAAAAUAUAGUGGUCUAUAUUCUCUCCAAAAUUCUCCUCAAAAUAUCCUACAAAUAUUUCUCCAAGUGAUCCCCCUCAAAUUCUUUCCAGAAAUACUACCCAGAUAUUUCCCCAGUAGUCCCCUUCAAGUUCUUUACAGAAAUACUGCCCAAAUAUUCCACCGAUAAUUCUCCAGAUAUUUUCCUCCUCGGAAAUACCUUCAGAAUCAUUUUUAAAGUCCCCACAAAUAUUUUCUUCAUAACUUUCCUCAUGCUCAUACGUAUACGUAUGCCUACGGUGUCAUACGGUGAGCUCUACAAGCUAAUCUCACUCAUAUAAGACAAAUCCAUGCUAAUCUCCCACUAAUCCUCUCAUCCUCCCACUAAUCCUCUCAUCCCUCCCCCUAAUCCCCCACCAUGGCUAUAAAUAGAGGGGCAAGGGCCUCCUCUCAUCCCACCCCAAGCCAUUUCAUGGCAACUCUCUGCACUCCCCCCACACGCCCACUCCACCUCCCACACAAGCACACACUAGCACAAAGAUCGUUCGGUCGUUCUUCGAUCGUUCGUCCGAUGGUUCAUGGUUCGUUCGUCCGUUCGUCCGGUCGUUCGUCCGUUCAUUCGUCCAAAUAAUCUUUUUCCUGCCGUUAUGCUGCCGAAAUUCCGAUCGUUCCUUCGUUCGAUCAUUCGAUCGUUCAUCAUUCGUUCAUAGUUCCUAUUCAUCGUUCAUCGUUCGUUCACAGUCCCUAUUCAUCGUUCUUCCAGAUAAUCUUGUCCUACCGUUAUGCUGCCGAAAUUCUGAUCGUUUGUUUGUUUGAUCAUUCGAUCGUUCGUCCGUUCAUUCGUCCAAAUAAUCUUUUCCCUGCCGUUAUGCUGUCGAAAUUCCGAUUGUUCGUUCGUUGGAUCAUUCGAUCGUUCAUCAUUCGUUCAUAGUUCCUAUUCAUCGUUCAUCUUUCGUUCAUAGUCCCUAUUCAUCGUUCUUCCAGAUAAUCUUUGUCCUGCCGUUAUGCUGCCGAAAUUCCGAUCGUUCGUUCGUCCGAUCAUUCGAUCGUUCGUCCAUUCGUUCAUAGUUCCUAUUCAUCGUUCAUCGUUCUUUCAUCGUCACUAUUCAUCAUUCAUCGUUCGUUCAUAUGACUAUUCACCAUCAAUAUUCAUCGUUACUAUUCAUCGAUGAUAUCUACGGCAACCUUUUCGUUGUCACUAUUCAUCAUUACUAUUCAUCGAUCAUCUGAUCACCCCAAAUUUCAACUACUCAUCCGUCAUGCUGUCCAGUCCACCUAAGACCAGCCAGACCAAUAUUUCAGUCAUACGAACUCCGGUGACUGUGAUUUUCCUUCCAGUAGGGAACCUCCCAUCUGGUCACCCAUCCUAGGUUUCUCCAAGUUGAGCAUGCUUAACUUUGAGAUUCCUUUGAACCAGGCUUUCAAACUCAGAUUCCAAUAAUUCUUGUUUCUAAAUUCUUAUCAAACUAUUCCCUAUCCAACCAUGUCAUCCCUUAAGCCUGGUCCAUAUUCCAGAAAACUCCCAAAAUACUCUUGUCCCAUAUUCUGCCUAUAACUCUCCUGUUCAUACUAAGUCAGACGAUUCAUUCGUCACUAUUCUCACCAAUAGUGAACUUCACUGUGCUACACCACAUACACUCAGCUAUAAAUACACCCAACUACCCUCUCCCUCUCCACACACACUCAACACCCUCAGCCAAGGCAAACACCCCACCCACUCAGUUACUCUGCUCUGCCGACUACACGCAUAGUGUCGCUUCGCCUCCAGUCCACCCUCCUGGUAAGCACCUCCGCUCCACCACCAGUAAUAUCGCAACACCACAUGACACAGAUUCUACUCAAGACUCUACCCAUCCAUAUAUCGCUAUUCUGACCACUAUACUAAAUAUUUGUUGGUAUACUUGCUGGUUUGUAUGUUUGCUUGUUCAUGUUGCAUAGUUAUCAGAGCGUUCGUGCCGUCUCGUGGAGGCCAGAUCUGCAAGUCUACGCCAGGCGGUGGAGCCAGAAGCCAGUUCCGCGAGCUCUCCUUCCCCCUUCGCCGGAUAAGCACGACAAGCUCACUGGAUCCCUUUGAUGCAUAAAUUAUCUAUGAUUUUUCAACCACAACCCUCAGCCUGUUAUUUUAUGCAUGAUAUGAUUUUGAGACAAGUUAUUAUGGCCACCUAGCCGCUUGCCGCAAUCAAUCCUUGAUAUAUUUGUUACAAAUGAUUUGAGAAAAGGUGUGAGUUUUCAAAAGAAAAUGCUUUUCAAAACGUGUAUGAUGAAGGGUUUUCACCCUUAUCACCUUUGAGUAGGGAUGAUCAGGGACUCCCUGGUUUAGGGGAGGGCCUAAGGUGAUGGCUCAGCUGGUUUAGGUGUGAGCAAAAGGAUUGUCCCCUCAUAUAAGGACCGGUUUGUCAUCCUUCACUACAUGUACUCGUGAUAAGUACAACCACUCAAGACUAUAUGGGCAGUCACUCAAUCUGAACUCGUACGGUCCAAACCCCAGGGUUAUGAAGGCUGGGGAGCACCAGGAGGAUAAGGAUGGGGAAUGUUUUGUCCGAUUUGGACAUGGCGGUGGCCUGACUCCUUCCGGUAUAACCGUUAAGGUAAGGACGUGCAAGGAAAGAAAGAGAUUCGACAUUCGGGUGUCACGACGGUGAGAUCGCAGAAACCGGACUAGUGGAUAAAGUGUACCCCUCUGCGCAGAGUUCAAACCUAUUCGAAUAGUCCGUGUCCACUGGAAUGGACGAGUCUGGUGUGGUUUGGCAAUUAGUGUUUUGUUUUAAAAAAAGGGUGCAUUUGAGAAAAGUGGUUUUAAAAAGGUCUGGCGGUUGAGCCGUGAGCUAUGGUGGACGGGAAGUCCAGUAGCUGUUUUUGAAAAUGAAAACUAGUGGGAAACUGUUUAGAUACCUGGAUGGUUUAGUCCAGGGGAUUUUAUUCUAUAUUGAAAAACUUCCCUCCUUUGGGAGAGGAUGCGCUUUGAAAAAUACAAAAUGUUUUACAAAACAACCCUGCAUAAAAUAUUGUUGUUUCUGCAAAUUAUCCUGAGCUCCACAUAUUCCAUGCAUUAUAUCUGAUUUCCCCAUUCCGCGGGUGAAGGUGGGAUGUUGAGUACGUUUGUACUCACCCUUGCUUAUUUGUUGUUUUUCAGAAAAAGGAGAUCGGGUAAGAGUUACGACUGUUCCCAUCCUUGCUUGUGGCUGUUGGACCGCUGAUUUGCUUCGCUGUGUAUAUCGGGCUGCUUCAGCCCCACUCUAAUGAUAUGUCCCGAGUUGUGGACCAACUCUUAAAGUUGAUCGCCACCUUUAUAGGUUUGUCUCGUUUAAGCAGAUCUGGAAUCAACUGAUGUAUAAAUGUGUUUACUAGCCUCCUGGGACUAGUUAUUGUAUCACAUUUGAGUCCCAGAGGAUUGGGGCGCUUCAGAAGGUGAACUGGUCCGGCUGAAGUACACAUUCAGAUAUGGGGAUAAAUUCGAUGAACCAAACGAUGACUAGCUAAAAUGCAUCGAAGUUACAAGUGAUGAACUGCUUGGAUCAUAUUCCAAGGCAGAAGAUAAUGCACUAUCCACAGCCUUCGGAGGCUGGGGAAAAAAGAGAUUGAAUAGAGUUUUUGAUUCCAUUGGCUUUGUUUACCCUGACUACCGCUAUCCGUUGCGAGGACAUGGAAAGAAGAGAAAAACUGCCACUCCGACCACUCCAGACGAGCCUGUGCCAAAGGGCAAAAAGUUAAAGGUUCUUACCCACCGGUCGCGCUAUAUUGAACCAGCCGCGGUGCCUGAGUUUGGCGGAGAGGCUUCUUCAGCUGCUGAACCAAGAGAACCUGUUCCUCCCAUGCAGAAGGCUGAAGAGCCGACUAUAAUGCCGAAGGCACCUUCGGUUGAGCUAUUUGAAACAGAGGUUAACAAAGAUAAGGCUGAAAAGUCAAAAACUGAAGAAGUAACAAAGAUGCCAUGGAUUUUAUGUCCUUCAACAGAAGCAACAGCGUUGAAGGCAGAAAAGAGUUCUGCCACAACUCCCAAGAGGAGGAGGAUGGUGAAUGUGUUAGAUAUUUUAGAAACAAUCGACUCUGUAAGUCCUGCUCCCACAGGGAAGGUUGCCGAAGCUGACAAAACGCAACCGAAAGCUGAUACUAAGCAAAUAGAAGUGGAGACUACAAUAACCCAGGCUGAAGCCGAGGCAGAGCCCACGGUACCUACUAAGACGAAGCUUGCCGCCACCGAGCAGAAGGCCGAAGAAAUAACUCCAGAUAUUAAUAUAGCUUUUGAGAAGAGUGCGGCCAAAGAGGCCGAAUCCCUUGCCCCUGAAGCACUCUCCGAAGAUCUUGAUUAUAUCAUUCGACAUGCUUCGAGAAAGAGAUUAUCCGAAGAAGAAAUUUUUGAAGCUAAACACUAUGCCUGAGAACUGAAGUAUCCGAAGGGGGCCUUAGUGUUUAAUGGUACAGACGAAGAUGAUUUCCUGUAAUGCCUCCCAGACAACAAAGAAUUAUCUGUCUGCCGGGAGAUGACCAGAAGUAUGGGUUUUUCGAAGCUCGAAGCUGGCCUCUGUGCCAUGACGAAGGACGAUCUCGCAGAUAGUCUUGCAUACAAUAGUCAGAAGGUACUAAAGUUGUGAAUUUUAAAGCCCAACUCUAGAAUGGAGUCUUUUUGUUCUUAUGUUAAUCCUUUAUUCUGUCUUGCAGGGCUUAAUACUUAGCAACACACUAAGGGCGCAAAAGAAUGCUGAAGAUGAGAGUUGCACUAUAGCUCUCAACAACCUUCGAUCAGAGGUUAUCAGGCUGAGAAACGAAGCUAUGUAAAAAGACAAGAUUCUACUUUCAUUGGUGGAUAAAGUAAAGGAAGAUGAGUCUAGCUCCAAAGCUCAAUCAGAGGCCCAAAAAAUUGAGAUUGAAGACCUUUGGAAACAGCUAGCCGAAGCCAAAGAAAAAUGUGCCCUCGCAGAAGCUAACCGAGAGGCCAGUUGUCGGCGUUUCAAACCCGGGGGGGUCCCUGGAACGACGAGUAAAUUGUCACCGUGUGCCCCAGCCCAGAUGGGUCGGCGCGAGACGGAGCACGAAGGGGGGAAGGAGCCAGAGGGAGACAUGCGUGAGAGGUGAAACCCGCGGCCUUCGUGUUUGUCCCGCGCCCAGGUCGGGUGCGCUUGCAGUAGGGGGUUACAAGCGUCCACGCGGGUGGGAGCGAGCGGCCUUACGCGAGCGCCGUCCUGUCCUUCCCCGCGCGGCCAACCCUCUGUAAGAGGGCCCUGGACCUUCCUUUUAUAGGAGUAAGGAAAGGAUCCAGGUGUGCAAUGGGGGGUGUAGCAGUGUGCUAACGUGUCUAGCGGAAGAGAGCUAGUGCCCUAAGUACAUGCCAUCGUGGCAGCUGGAGAGGUUUUGGCACCCGGUUCGUGUGGUGUCGUGGCUGUCGGAGGAGCGCUGGAGCCUGGCGGAAGGACAGCUGUCAGGGCUGUCGGGUCCUUGCUGACGUACUCUUGCUUCCGUAAGGGGCCUGAGAGCCGCCGUCGUCAUAGAGCGUGCGGGGCGCCAUCAUUACAUGUUUGGCGGAGCGAGCCAGAUGGGACGCCGGUCUUGUUCCCCGUAGCCUGAGUCAGCUUGGGGUAGGGUAAUGAUGGCGCCUCCUGUGACGUGGUCGGUCCGAGCCCUGGGUUGGGCGAGGUGGAGGCUCCUUCGAGGUCGAGGUCGAGUCUGUCUUCCAACGCCGAGGUCGAGUCCGAGCCCCUGGGUCGAGCGAGGCGGAGACCGUCGGCUGAGGCCAGGGCUGAGUCCGAGCCCUGGGGUCGGGCGAAGCGGAGUUCGUCGUCCUCCGGGGCUGAGCCCGAGUCCGAGCCCUGGGGUCGGGCGAAGCGGAGUUCGUCGUCUUCCGGGGCUGAGCCCGAGUCUGAGCCCUGGGGUAGGGCGAUGCGGAGUUUCCUAUGGUGCCUGAGGCCGGACUUGGCUGCUGUCAGCCUCACUCUGUCGAGUGGCACAUCAGUCGGAGCGGCGUUGUCCUCUUGUCAGGCUGGUCAGUGGAGCAGCGAAGUGACAAUGGUCACUUCGGCUCUGUCGACUGGAGGGCGUGCGUCAGGAUAAAGGUGUCAGGCCACCUUUGCAUUAAAUGCCCCUGCGAUUCGGUCGGUUGGCGUGGCGACCUGGCCAAGGUUGCUUCUUGGUGAAGACUGGGCCUCGGGCGAGCCGAAGGUGUGUCCAUUGCCGGAGGGGGUCCUCGGGCGAGACGUAAAUCCUCCGGGGUCGGCUACCCUUGCCCGAGGCCGGGCUCGGGCGAGGCGUGAUCGCGUCCCUCGAAUGGACCGAUCCUUGACUUAAUCACACCCAUCAGGCCUUUGCAGCUUUGUGCGGAUGGGGGUUACCAGCUGAGAUUUAGGAAUCUUGAGGGUACCCAUAAUUAUGGUCCCCGACAGUAGCCCCCGAGCCUCGAAGGGAGUGUUAAUACUCGCUUGGAGGCUUUUGUCGCACUUUUUGCAAGGGGACCAACCUUUCUUGGUUGCGUUUUGUUCUGGUGGGUGCGCGCGAGCGCACCCGCCGGGUGUAGCCCCCGAGGCCUCGGAGGAGUGGUUUGACUCCUUCGAGGUCUUAAUGCAUUUUGCAAUGUUUCGGCCGGUCUGGUCGUUCCCUCAUGUGAGCUGGCUGUAGCCCGGGUGCACGGUCGGGUCCCAAGUUCUCGGGCUGGUAUGUUGACGCUGUCAAUGGUUUGGCCGUAGCCAGGUUUGCGAGAGCAGCCCCCGAGCCUCCGCACAGGGCGAGAGGACGGUCAAGGACAGACUCGACAUUUUUACAUACGCCCCUGCGUGGCCUUUCCGCAAGGAGGAGGGGGGGAAAAGCGCCAUGUUGCCCUUGGAGGGCGCCGAACAUGGUGUCUCCAGUGAGCUGCUGACGGGUAAUCCGAGUGGACGCCCGUGCCCCAUUUGUUAGGGGUCGGCUAGAGGCCCGGAGGCGCACUCCAAAAGUACCUGCGGGUGAUCUGCCGGACCCGGUCCCCUUUUGACGGGGUCCGAGGGCUUGAUGCCUCCCUCUGAUGGGAUUCCGUUACAAGAUCGUUCCCGCUGGUCUCGGAAAUGUCCUAGGGUACCUCGGGAGCGUAGCCCGAGCCUUGGUUAUGUAUCGAACGUACCCAGGGUCAUCCCUCGCUCUGUGUCUGAGGCGGCUGUGAACCCUUCGUUGGCCAGCCUACGAACCCCUGAUCAGUAGUGGGCGCGGAGCCCGAGUGGCCUGAUGCGGCCGUUGAACCCUUCCGAGGGGCCGGCCCUCGAACCUCUGACCAGUAGUGGGCGCGGAGCCCGAGCGCUCUGAGGCGGCUGUUGAACCCCUCCGAGGGGCCAGCCUUCGAACCUCUGAUCAGUAGGGGGGCUCGGGGCCCGUUUCCUUCGCGGAGAAGGAUCCCUUUCGGGGUAUCCCCCUUUUCCGGUCCCUGUUGUAAGAGAGAGAAAGAGGAAAAGGGAAAGAAUACGAAAUCGAGAUGACGUGGCGCACCUUUUUUGACGCGGUCAUUAUGGCGAAGGCAGGUGUCGCUCGCUUCUCCUAUCAAAGGCGCCGCCUGUCCCGCUACGGAGUUAAUGCGACAGGGCGAGUGGUUCGCGGGGCAGCCGUUGCGCGUGCGCGGGCCGUUCGAGGAACGGAACACGGGCGCAUCGUCUUAACGCCGUGGGAGAGGGUUCUCUCGUUGUCCCACGAGGUGACGUGAGCUUGGCUGACGACGUGACCGCCGCUUCCGCCCGCCUGCCACCGCCAUUACUGUCGGCCCAUUUUUGGCCGCAUCGACUGUCGCGCCUUCUCCCGCGGCUGACUGGCCCGUGACCGAUGCGCCUGGCUGGCACCGUUGGGUCAUACGCAGAGUUGCCUCGAGUCACGGUACUGGUUCCGUAGUCGAGGAGGCGCGGUAGUGGCGCGAGGGGCGGUGCGGUUGCUUGCACGUAGCAACUGGCGCGCCGGUUGCAUGACGUGUGGGCCUGGGCCUCCAUGCUGGGCGCGUUGGAGUCGAAGGGGUGCGCCCACCUGGUGCGGUUGCCUGCCGACUGCAUGGAUGUCCGCCCUUUCACCAGCUGGUUUGGGCGAAAACGGAGGAAUGCUUGUAACCGCUGGGCAGUUGCAUGCACCGCGCGUGGCAGUUUGGCUUCUUCCGCCUUGGGCCAGCUUGCAUGAUGCGUGGGACCCAGCCCCUGUGUCGUAGGGGGAGGAGGAGCGUGUUGGAGAAGACUCAGCCCGCGAUGGCUGAGGACGCAAGUGGGGAGAGUCGCCUUUAAAAGGAGGGUGACCCCCUUGAAAGGCGACCAUGUCUUCGCACUACCUUAUGCAUCGUGUCUUUCCACCUUCGUCGGUGCCGAGGUGGCGGCGGCUGGAGAAGUCCUCAUCGCCGACGGGAUCACCGCCACCAUCCGCGCUCCGGGCCUCCGACUCUUUGUACUUGUCCUCGCCCCUCGAGUGUAGACGUGGGCGAGGGCACUGUUGCAGCGGCGUCCGCCUCGAGGCCAUCGCUGCUGCAGUUCGGCCACCCGGAGCGGAGGUCGUUGUCGCUGCUGCUGGAGCGUGCGGCGGCGGGCGACCAGGGGCCUUGUCGCCCCGCGGGCCCUCCAAUGUGGGGGGUUGUUCGUACCCGCGGGGACAGAACCGGAGUUCCGUUUGUGAUGGCACCUUGAGUGCCGGUGUCUUGUUCAUUGCGGCUGUCGGGGCCUGAACAUGUAUGUAUUUUCGGCACGGAGCCGUGUUUUUUCUUCAUUUCGAGCACUAAGACUCGCCUGUCGACUAUCUGAACCGCUUCACCAAGCGUGAGUCGCCUCGUGCAAAGGUGACGAGUGAGGUAUCCGUAUCCCGGAGGCGUAGGAGUCCCUCGGCUCGGUCGGCCUUGCUGUCCGAGGCUUCUCUUACUUAGUUAGAGGAAACCCUCGGCCGCUCUUCGAUGAGCCGAAGCCGGAGGUAGCGGUGUCAGCACGGACAGAGGCAGAGUUGCGUUGUCCUGGCCGGGUCGUCCACUGGCGGGACCGACGCCGGAGUUGAGUUGCCGAGGCCACAAGCCGGGCCGAUGUCCUCGGAGGACAGGUGGCUGAGGUUUCGGGGUGACCGGCCCGAGCCGUCUGCUCGAGCCGGAUUCCUGGAGAAGGCCCUGGCAGUGAUGGCCCGGGCGUGGUGCUGAUGUCGUCCUUCGGAGUGGAGAUCCUCCGACCGCGUCGCCGUCCGAGGGUAGGCCGGACCUCGCCGAAGGUGUAGUUGACACCGAGGGUGCUGCUGCUCCCUUCAACUGUCAAGAUCCGAGCCUGCAGGAUCGGAUUAUCUUGUAGUGUAUGUAUGUUUUUUGCGGCCGCCGAGGCCCAAACACACCAUCGUCGUGUUGUAAAGCUGUGUUCCUUUUCCUCUUGUUUCGAGUAUCUGGACUUAUUUGUUGGUAACAUAAUUGUUUGUCCGAGCGAGAGUUACUUUUCACGGAAGGUGAUGAGUGAGGUAUCCGUAUCCCGGAGGCGUGGGAAUCCCUCGGCUCGGUCGGCCUUGCCGCUUAUGCGCAUUCUUACUCGUCCAUAGGGUUCUAUCACCGACGCAGUCGAGAAGGCCCGAAAAAUCGUUUCGGCAGAGGAGCUUUCGAGCGUGAAGACUUGUUCGGUCCGCGGAAUCACCUAUCCGAGCGCGAGUUACUUAUCGCAGAAGGUGAUGAGUGAGGUAUCCGUAUCCCGGAGGCGUAGGAGUUCCUCGGCUCGGUCAGCCUUGGCUGCUUACGUGUACUUUGUCGUUUUCAGGAUCCACUUUCGAAGUAGUCGAAAAGCACGAAAGACAUUCUGGCAGAAAAGAUCUUUUUCCGAGGAAAAUUUCGACGCAGAGGGGGUUCCCCCCUUUUAGCCCCCGAGGGAGGGUCGAGCUUUACCGAGGCAAGGUUGACCCUUCCUUGAUGACUAGACUUUGUGUGUGAACGAGGUGUACGAAUAACUUGAAAGCAUCUUAAGGGUAGAAGCGACGUAGCUGUCGGAUGUUCCAAGCGUUGCUGUAGACCUCGCCUUGACUGUUGACCAGCUUGUACGUUCCGGGCUUCAGAACCUUGGCGACGAUGAACGACCCUUCCCAGGGAGGCGUGAGCUUGUGCCGCCCUCGGGCGUCUUGUCGCAGCCGAAGCACCAGGUCGCCCACUUGGAGGUCUCGGGACCGAACCCCUCGGGCGUGGUAGCAUCGCAGGGACUGCUGGUACCACACCGAGUGUAGUAAGGCCAUGUCUCGAGCCUCUUCCAGCUGGUCCAGUGAGUCUUCUCGAUUAGCUCGAUUGCUUUUGUCGGCGUAGGCCCUCGUCCUCGGGGAACCGUAUUCUAAGUCUGUGGGCAAGAUGGCCUCGGCCCCAUAGACUAGAAAAAACGGUGUGAAGCCCGUGGCUCGGCUCGGCGUUGUCCUCAGACUCCAGACCACAGAGGGGAGCUCCUUCAUCCAUCGCUUGUCGAACUUGUUGAGGUCGUUGUAGAUCCGUGGCUUGAGCCCUUGCAGGAUCAUGCCGUUGGCACGCUCUACUUGCCCAUUCGUCAUGGGGUGAGCCACGGCGGCCCAGUCCACCCGGAUGUGGUGAUCCUCGCAGAAGUCUAGGAACUUUCUGCCGGUGAACUGGGUGCCGUUGUCGGUGUUGAUGGAGUUCGGGACCCCAAAGCGAUGGAUGAUGUUGGUGAAGAAUGCCACCGCCUGUUCGGACCUGAUGCUGUUUAGGGGUCGGACCUCGAUCCACUUGGAGAAUUUGUCGAUGGCGACCAACAGGUGCGUGUAGCCCCCGGGUGCCUUCUGUAAGGGGCCGACUAGGUCCAGACCCCACACAUCAAACGGUCAGGUGAUGGGUAUGGUCUGCAGGGCCUGAGCGGGCAGGUGGGUCUGCCUCACGUAGAACUGACACCCUUCGCAGGUGCGGACAAUUCUAGUGGCGUCGGCCACCACCGUCGGCCAGUAGAAACCUUGUCGGAAGGCGUUUCCAACAAGGGCUCGAGGUGCUGCGUGAUGGCCGCAAGCCCCCGAGUGUAUCUCUUGUAGGAGCUCCUGGCCUUCAGCGAUGGAAAUGCAUCGCUGGAGGAUGCCCGAGGGGCUGCGGUGGUAGAGUUCCUUCCCGUCUCCUAACAAGACGAACGACUUGGCGCGCCGUGCCAACCGCCGAGCUUCGGCUUGGUCGAGGGGUAGCUCUCCUUGGAGGAGAUAUUGCUGGUACGGGGUCUGCUAGUUUCGAUUAGGCGUGACCCCGCUCCGCUCCUCCUCGAUGCGCAGUGCCUCACCCUCGGGGGCCGAGGGUACCUCGGGCCGAGCCGAGGGUGCCUCGGGCCGAGCCGAGUGUGCCUCGGGCCGAGCCGAGGGUGCCUUGGACUGAGCCAAGGGUGCCUUGGGCUGGCCCGAGGCCUUCUCGGGCUCGGGCGUGUCGUCGGUCUUGACGGAGGGUUGAUGCAAGUCUCGGAAGAAGACGUCCGGGGGAACCGUCGCCCCGAGGCUAUUUUAGCCAGCUCGUCCGCAGUCUCGUUGUAGCGCUGGGCGACGUGGUUGAGCUCGAGCCCGUAGAACUUGUCUUCCAGGCGCCGAACCUCAUCGCAGUAGGCUUCCAUCUUCGGGUCGCGGCAGUGGGAGUUCUUCAUGACUUGGUCGAUGGCGAGCUGCGAGUCACCGCGAGCGUCGAGGCAUCGGACCCCUAGCUCGAUGGCGAUGCGCAACCCGUUGACCAGAGCCUCGUACUCGGCCACAUUGUUGGAUGCCGGGAAAUGGAGGCGUAGCACGUAGCGUAUGUGCUUCCCGAGGGGCGAGAUGAAGAGCAGGCCUGCGCCUGCUCCCGUCUGCAUCAGCGACCCGUCGAAAAACAUGGUCCAGAGUUCCGGUUGGAUCAGAGCUGUUGGGAGCUGGGUGUCGACCCAUUCAGCCACAAAGUCUGCCAAGACCUGGGACUUGAUGGCCUUCCGAGGGGCGAACGAGAUCGUUUCGCCCAUGAUUUCCACCGCCCACUUUGCAAUUCUACCCAAGGCCUCUCGGCACUGGAUGAUCUCCCCCAGGGGGAAGGAUGACACCACAGUUACUGGAUGAGACUCGAAGUAGUGUCGCAACUUCCACCGCGUUAGGAUCACUGCGUACAGUAGCUUCUGAAUUUGUGGGUAGCGGAUCUUGGUCUCGGACAGUACCUCACUGAUGAAGUAGACUGGCCUCUAGAUGGGCAAUACAUGCCCCUCUUCUCGUCUCUCAACCACAAUCGCGGCGCUAACCACCUGAGUGGUCGCGGCGACGUAGAUCAAGAGGGCUUCUCCGGCAGCGGGGGGCACCAAGAUGGGCGCGUUCGUGAGGAGCGCCUUCAGGUUCCCAAGGGCUUCCUCGGCCUCAGGGGUCCAAGUGAAGCACUCGGCCUUCCUUAAGAGGCGGUACAGAGGCAGGCCUCUUUCGCCGAGGCGCGAGAUGAAACGGCUCAGAGCCGCAAGGCAUCCCGUGACCCUCUGCACACCUUUCAAGUCCUUGAUGGGCCCCAUGCUAGUGAUGGCCGCGACCUUCUCCGGGUUGGCCUCGAUGCCCCGCUCGGAGACGAUGAACCCCAAGAGCAUGCCUCGGGGAACCCCGAAGACACACUUCUCGGGAUUGAGCUUCACGCCUUUCGCCUUGAGACAUCGGAAUGUCACUUCAAGGUCGGAAAGGAGGUCGGAGGCUUUCCUCGUCUUGACUACGAUGUCAUCAACGUAGGCCUCGACCGUUCGGCCAAUGUGUUCGCCAAACAUGUGGUUCAUACACCGUUGGUACGUUGCACCCGCAUUCCUCAAACCAAACGGCAUGGUGACAUAGCAGUACAUGUCGAAGGGUGUGAUGAAAGAAGUCGCGAGCUGGUCGGAUUCUUUCAUCCUGAUCUGGUGAUACCCCGAGUAGGCAUUGAGGAAAGACAGGGUUUCGCACCCAGCAGUGGAAUCCACGAUUUGAUCGAUGCGAGGCAGAGGGUAGGGAACUUUCGGACAUGCUUUGUUUAGACCAGUGUAGUCUACACACAUCCACCAUUUCCCUCCUUUCUUUCUCACAAGCAUAGGGUUGGCAAGCCAUUCGGGAUGGAAUACCUCUUUGAUGAACCCUGCCGCCAUUAGCUUAUGGAUCUCCUCGCCUAUGGCUCUGCGCUUUUCUUCGUCGAAUCGGCGCAGAGGCUGCUUCAUGGGUCGGGCUCCAGCUCGGAUAUCCAGCGAGUGCUCGGCGACAUCCCUCGGUAUGCCGGGCAUGUCCGAGGGACUCCACGCGAAAACGUUGGUGUUUGCGCGAAGAAAGUCGACGAGCACUGCUUCCUAUUUGGGAUCGAGCUCGGAGCCGAUCCGGAUCUGCUUGGAGGUGUCGUUGCUGGGGUCGAGAGGGACGGAUUUAACCGUCUCCGCUGGCUCGAAGUUGCCGGCGUGGCGCUUCACGUCUGGCGCCUCCUUAGAGAGGCUCUCCAGGUCGGCGAUGAGGGCCUCGGAUUCGGCGAGGGCUUCGGCGUACUCCACGCACUCCACGUCGCAUUCGUACGCGUGUCGGUACGUGGGGCCAACGGUGAUGACCCCGUUGGGGCCCGACAUCUUGAGCUUGAGGUAGGUGUAGUCGGGGACGGCCAUGAACUUGGCGUAGCAUGGCCUCCCCAGCACUGCGUGGUAGGUUCCUCGAAACCCGACCACUUCGAACGUGAGGGUCUCCCUUCGGAAGUUGGAGGGUGUCCCGAAGCAGACGGGUAGAUCGAGUUGUCCGAGGGGUUGGACGCGCUUCCCGGGGAUGAUCCCGUGAAAAGGCGUAGCACCCGUCCGGACCGAGGAUAGAUCGAUACGCAGGAGCCCGAGGGUCUCGGCGUAGAUGAUGUUGAGGCCGCUGCCUCCGUCCAUGAGGACCUUGGUGAGCCUUACAUUGCCGAUGACGGGGUCGACAACGAGCGGGUAUUUCCCUAGGCUCGGCACGCGGUCGGGAUGGUCGCCCUGGUCGAAGGUGAUGGGCUUGUCGGACCAGUCUAGAUAGACUGGCGCCGCCACCUUUACCGAGCAGACCUCCUGACGCUCUUGCUUGCGGUGCCGAGCUGAGGCGUUCGCCACUCGCCCACCAUAGAUCAUGUAGCAAUCGUGGACCUCAGCGAACUCUCCUGCCUUGUGAUCUUCCUUCUUAUCGUCGUCGCGAGCCCUGCCACCCUCCGCGGGUGGCCUGGCCUUGUGAAAGUGGCGCCGAAGCAUGGCGCACUCCUCAAGGGUGUGCUUGACGGGCCCCUGAUGAUAGGGGCACGGCUCCUUGAGCAUCUUGUCGAAAAGGUUGGCACCUCCGGGAGGUUUCCGAGGGUUCUUGUACUCGGCGGCGGCGACAAGGUCCGCGUCGGCGGCGUCGCGUUUCGCUUGCGACUUCUUCUUGCCUUUCUUCUUGGCGCUGCGCUGAGUUGACGCCUCGGGGACAUCUUCCGGUGGGCGGCCCUGGGGCUGCUUGUCCUUCCGGAAGAUGGCCUCAACCGCCUCCUGGCCAGAGGCGAACUUGGUGGCCAUGUCCAUCAGCUCGCUCGCCCUGGUGGGGGUCUUGCGACCCAGCUUGCUCACCAGGUCACGGCAGGUGGUGCCGGCGAGGAACGCGCUGAUGACAUCUGAAUUGGUGAUGUUGGGCAGCUCGGUGCGCUGCUUCGAGAAUCGCCGGAUGUAGUCCCGGAGAAAUUCUCCCGGCUGCCGUCGACAGCUUCUGAGAUCCCAGGAGUUUCUAGGGCGCACGUACGUGCCCUGGAAAUUGCAGGCGAAGGCUUGGACCAGGUCGUCCCAGUUGGAGAUCUGCCCCGGAGGCAGGUGCUCCAGCCAGGCUCGAGCGGUAUCGGAGAGGAACAGGGGAGGUUGUGGAUGAUGAGGUUAUCAUCGUCCGUUCCACCCAGGUGGCAGGCCAGCCGAUAGUCCGCGAGCCACAGUUCCGGUCUCGUCUCCCCCGAGUACUUUGUGAUAGUAGUCGGGGUUCGGAACUGGGUCGGGAACGGCGCCCGUCGUAUGGCGCGGCUGAAAGCCUGCAGACCGGGUGGUUCGGGCGAGGGACUCUGAUCCUCCCCGCUGUCGUAGCGUCCCCCACGCCUGGGGUGGUAGCCUCGGCGCACCCUCUCGUCGAGGUGGGCCCGAUGGUUGCGGUGAUGGUGCUCGUUGCCGAGGCGACCCGGGGCCGCAGGCGCUGUGUUGCGCGUGCGCCCGGUGUGGACCGAGGCUUCCCGCAUGAAUCGGGAAGUCGCGGUGCGAUGUUCCGAGGGGUACCCCUGCCUUCGGGAGGCGGAGCUUUCGGCCCGUCGGACCACGGCAUCCUCCAGGAGAUUCUUGAGCUCUCCCUGGAUACGCCGCCCCUCGGUGGUUGAUGGCUCCGGCAUCGCGCGGAGAAAUAUUGCCACUGCAGCCAGGUUCUGGCCGACUCCACUGGAAGUCGGUGGCGGCCUUACCCUGACAUCGUCGGCGAUGCGGUGCUGGAAGCCCUGGGGGAGAUGACGCACUUCUCCGGCUGGAGGUUGGCCCGCCCAUUCCUGCCCGAUGUCCCGACGGAUCGGCUCAAGUGUUCCUGCUCCCUCGUCGAGCCUGGCCUGCAUCUCGCGGAUUUUCUCGAGCUGUGGGUCAUGACCCCCCGCCGGGACGGGGACCACAGCUAGCUCCCGAAGGAUGUCAACGUGAGGCACAGGCCCAGGGGGAUCGCCGUUUUCCGGCAUACCAAGAUGGUUGCCUUUGCCGGGACCCCCUAGAUCGACGUGGAAACAUUCACGACUUGGGCCGCAGUCCUCGUCGCCGGGGCUGCGGCUACCGUCGGAACAGUCGGAAAGGCAAUAGUCGCAUGCGGUCAUGAAGUCCCGCAUGGCACUGGGGUUACCAAGUCCAGAGAAAUCCCAACAGAAGUCGGGCUCGUCAUCUUCCUCGUACCCCGAGGGCCCGUAGGUCGAGACGGCCGUUAGCCGGUCCCAGGGUGACCGCAUAUGAUACCCCAGAGGGUUUGGACUCGCCUCUAUGAGAGCGUCCACCGAAGCGAAGUCGCUUGGUGGGUCGAGGCUGAAUCCAAAAGGCGCGAGAUGGGAAUCGGUUGGUACCUCUUGGUCGACAGGCGGUGACGAAGUCACGUUAGGGGCCGACUGCACCGUCGUCUCAGGUACGAGGGUGACGCCCAGCAAGUCCUUCGCGAGCGUGCUGGCGUCGUCCGUUUGCUUGGGGUUGGCGUGGUUCGGGGAGACGACGCUCGUCUUCGUCUCAGACGCGAGGUCGAUGCCCGAUGUGCCCCCCGUUGGGGCGUCGGCGUCAUCGACUCGCUCGAUAGCCGACGAGGUGCCGCCUCCUGCUUGGCCUUGGUUGCAUCGCCUCCUCCUCCGUCGGCGAGGGAGGGGACGGGACAAGCCCGAAUGUUGUUCUUCCACCACGUGGGGAAGACGUCGUCGAUUCCACCGCCGGCGGGCGGGUUGUCGGCCGCCAUUGUCGCUGUCGCGCGGCGGGGGAAGGAGUAUCAUGUCGUAGCUGCCGUUGAGGGACAUGAACUCAAGACUCCCGAAACGGAGCACCGUCUCGGGCUGGAAAGGUUGCUGGAGACUGCCCAUCUGGAGCUUGACGGGAAGCUGUUCGUCAACUCGCAGCAGGCCCCUACCUGGCGUGCCAACUGUCGGCGUUUCGAACCUAGGGGGUCCCUGGACCGACGAGUAAAUUGUCGCCGCGUGCCCCAGCCCAGAUGGGUCGGCGCGAGACGGAGCGCGAAGGGGGGAAGGAGCCGGAGGGAGACAGGCGUGAGAGGUGAAACCCGCGGCCUUCGUGUUUGUCCCGCGCCCAGGUCGGGUGCGCUUGCAGUAAGGAGUUACAAGCGUCCACGCGGGUGGGAGCGAGCGGCCUUACGCGAGCGCCGUCCCGUCCUUCCCCGCGCGGCCAACCCUCUGUAAGAGGGCCCUGGACCUUCCUUUUAUAGGAGUAAGGAAAGGAUCCAGGUGUACAAUGGGGGGUGUAGCAGUGUGCUAACGUGUCUAGCGGAGGAGAGCUAGUGCCCUAAGUACAUGCCAUCGUGGUAGCCGGAGAGGUUUUGGCACCCGGUUCGUGUGGUGUCGUGGCCGUCGGAGGAGCGCUGGAGCCUGGCGGAAGGACAGCUGUCGGGGCUGUCGGGUCCUUGCUGACGUCCUCUUGCUUCCGUAAGGGGGCUGAGAGCCGCCGUCGUCAUAGAGCGUGCGGGGCGCCAUCAUUACAUGUUUGGCGGAGCGAGCCAGAUGGGACGCCGGUCUUGUUUCCCGUAGCCUGAGACAGCUUGGGGUAGGGUAAUGAUAGCGCCUCCUGUGACGUGGUCGGUCCGAGCCCUGGGUUGGGCGAGGUGGAGGCUCCUCCGAGGUCGAGGUCGAGUCUGUCUUCCAAGGCCGAGGUCGAGUCCGAGCCCCUGGGUCGAGCGAGGCGGAGACCGUCGGCUGAGGCCAGGGCUGAGUUCGAGCCCUGGGGUCGGGCGAAGCGGAGUUCGUCGUCUUCCGGGGUUGAGCCCGAGUCCGAGCCCUGGGGUCGGGCGAUGCGGAGUUUCCUAUGGUGCCUGAGGCCGGACUUGGCUGCCGUCAGCCUCACUCUGUCGAGUGGCACAACAGUCGGAGCGGCGCAGGCGGCGCUGUCCUCUUGUCAGGCCGGUCAGUGGAGCGGCGAAGUGACAACGGUCACUUCGGCUCUGUCGAUUGGAGGGCGUGCGUCAGGAUAAAGGUGUCAGGCCACCUUUGCAUUAAAUGCCCCUGCAAUUCGGUCGGUUGGCGUGGCGACCUGGCCAAGGUUGCUUCUUGGUGAAGACUGGGCCUCGGGCGAGCCGAAGGUGUGUCCGUUGCCGGAGGGGGUCCUCGGGCGAGACGUAAAUCCUCCGGGGUCGGUUACCCUUGCCCGAGGCCGGGCUCGGGCGAGGCGUGAUCGCGUCCCUCGAAUGGACCGAUCCUUGACUUAAUCGCACCCAUCAGGCCUUUGCAGCUUUGUGCUGAUGGGGGUUACCAGUUGAGAUUUAGGUGUCUUGAGGGUACCCCUAAUUAUGGUCCCCGACACCAGCGAAUAUUGGAGAAAUUAUUUAGAAAAAAAGUUGCAGAACUUCAUGCAUCCAAAGAAAGAUGCUUCGAAAAAUCCCUGAGCUGCGUGGAGAAAAUAAUGGCUAGCUUCGCGAACGUGGGCGCCUAUUCCAACGAAGAUAACUUUAUACGAGGCGACCCUGAAGGCGUUAUCGAAUGGAUAAGCGGAGAAGCUGAAGCUUUCGAAGAAAUUUUAAGUGAUCGUGGGGAUGUCUGCGCAUUCUCCGGUGCGAGAGGAAUUUCAGCCAUCUUGGAGAAGGCGGGUUGCGAACAUGUCAAAACCCUGGCCCAGGCCGAAGCUGCCUUCUCCGUGGAUGACACAAAGGAUUCCUCAGCCAAAGCAAGUUUAAUCGGCGGAAAAUUUUAUACUGACAUCUGGGCAAAUGGCGGCCGAGAAAUGGCCCACGAAAUAAUGAAGAAAGGUGAAAAGAUAUUCAUGACACUCGAGAAGCAACGAGAAGAGCUGAGGAAGCUGCAAAACGCGAGAGACAGAUAGGUAUCGUUUAAUGGUCUUUAGCUUCGUCGUUUGUUUUCGUGACUUCGAACUGAUUGAUUUUUUCUACCACAGCUGAAUUAUCUCCUCCACCGGAGCCGUUCGACCCCCUUGCCGACCCAGAAACGAAGAAAGCAAUAGAAAUCAUCAAUAUAGCCGAAUCUAUUGUUGACGAAGUUGUUAACAAGUUGCUGAAUGAGAUUGCAUAAAAGGUCCUAAAAGAGGACUGAUAUUGUAAAAACAUUUUUAGACGAUCAAUGUAGUUUUGUUGUAUGAAGACUGUAAUAUUCGAUGUGUAUAUUUUUUAAUUUAAUGUGUAGAUUACUUGUAAUUCAGUUCUUUGCGAUGCAUGAAACUUUAUAUAUAUACCGUUUUUAGCCUUCGGCGAAAAAACACCUUCCUUUCUUUUCAUGCUUCACAAAGAAGAAAAUAUGUGCUUUGUGAAAAUAUCCAUGCUUCGUAAAAACCUCCCAGCUUCGUAAAUGAAGGAUCCCUUCUUUUGCAAUAGAGCUGACGAUGCUGUAUUUCUCAGCUUACUUUGUGCCUUUGCACAUUUUCAUUUUUUAUAAAGCAGUCUCCGAAGGUCGACUUCGUAUUCAAUUUGUGUCAUCAGUGCAAUAUGAUGUAUGAUGUGAUGCUAUGCGGGAUGAUGUGAUGAUAUGAUGCGAAUGAUGCUCAUGCCGAAGAUACGCACCCACACGCCCACACUAGAACACACCAUCUCUGUGUUCCCUUAGGAACGAUUGAAGUUUCUUUACCGUUUAUUUUUCGGCUUCACCGCUUAUUUUUUGGUGUAAGUUCUACAUCCCCUUAGGAACGUCUUUUGAACUUCUUUGCCUUUUAUUUCGGCGGUAUUUUUCGCGUUGACUUUUCGCGCUUCGCCUUAUAUUUCGGCGGUAUUUGGCUAUGCAUUCCCUUAGGAAUGACUUUUGAGCAGAAAACUAACACUGUGCUCCCUUGGGAACAACUUUUUUGUAGCUUCGGCAAGACUUAUGCUACGCUCCCUUAGGAACGACUUUUUGAGCUUCGGCAAUUUUUGAGCUUCGUAAAUUUGUGAAGAAGAUAUAUUUCAUUUUAAUAGAAGCGAAACUAUUACAAAGAAUUAAAACUAGAUUUGCAUUACUUGUCCCUUAUUAAAAAACAAACUGGCAUAGAAUAAAAAAGUGUUUCAGAAAGUAGGAUAUCUCUCAAUAGAUGUGCUUUGACUCCGGCACAAUACUGUUGACUGUGCGAGCUUCGGAUUCCUCCCUGAAAUCCCGCUGAUGUUGGGUGUGUUGGCGCCCUUCUGACUGCUGACCUCGUGAAUAGGUAGGUUGUAGUGGUGGCGGAGGUGGAAGCUAUGGCCAAGAAGCCUGUGGCUGGCUAGCCGAAGCAACAAAAGCUGCAGAAUGAUUACCCACAUAUUCUAGUAUGUAGGGUGAAUGGCACGAAGCAGUGUGCAAGACCUGCUUCGGUUGAUUCUGUCGAGCUUCGGCUUCUGCGAUCUCCUUCUGCUUUUGGAUGGUGAUUUGGCACAUUCUUGUAGUAUGGCCCUUGUCUUCACCACAAAAUAAGCAGUAGAUCUUCCUAGGCUGAUCCCCAUAUCUUCCUCCGAAGUCCCUGGCGCCUCUGCCUCUUAGAGCUGGCAGCCGGAAAGAGCUUUGUUGCUGCCCCGAAGAUUGUGAGGUAUACUGUGGCCUCUGCAGCUGACUUCCUUUGUCAUCACUCUGAGUGGAGUUAUGAAUUAACCUGACAUGCCUCAGGUGGAUUCUUCUUCUGAAGCCCCUGGUCAUCUUAGAGAAUCUGUAAGCUUCCUCCCUUCUUUGGCCGAAGUCAUUGUCAGCCCGGAUGUACUCAUCCAUCUUUUGAAGCAGCUUCUCUAGAGUUUAUGGGGCCUUCGUGGAGAAAUAUUGGGCGGUAGGUCCUGGGCGAAGACCCUUAAUCAUGGCCUCAAUGACAAUCUCAUUGGGCACCGUAGGCGCUUGUGCCCUCAAUCGCAAGAACCUUCGUACAUAUGCCUGAAGGUACUCUUCGUGGUCUUGCGUGCAUUGGAACAGAGCCUGAGCUGUGACCGGCUUCAUUUGAAAGCCUUGGAAGCUGGUAACCAACAUGUCCUUAAGCUUCUGCCAUGAUGUGAUAGUCCCUGGCCGAAGAGAAGAAUACCAUGUUUGGGCUACAUUCGGGACUGCCAUGACGAAGGACUUCGCAAUAACUGCAGUAUUGCCUCUGUGGGGGACAGAUAUCCCCUGGGUCCACUAGAAGGAUAAAAGACCUCACGUAAGGCCCAAAGGCCCCAUAAUUCGUAAGGUCAUCCCCCUCGUGGGCCUAGGAGGAACGACCAGUGAGACAGAUCAGCACAAGGCCGGGUCGGUGCAAGCCCAGACGGCCCAACAACAUCCGAGCAGUAAAUCACAGCAGUGACCUGACCUUCCCGCACAGGAGCCCCGUACAUCGGAACUGGGCGAGGAUGAGUCGGCUGAAUUAUAAGGAGACAGACUCAGUUAGUUCACUAUUAUUCUGGCUCACGUUGUUAUCAUAUUCACAUGUAAUGCCCCACGGUCGAGUAUAUAAGGCCUAGGGGGCACCCCUUCAAGACGAUCAAGAGAGACAUCAUUCAUCACUUAGCCAUCCACCCCGCUCUCUACGUUUUCCAGCACUAGAGAGCUCCCUUGUAACCCAUUGCAUAAAGCAUUCCAGCCAGGACAUAGGGUGUUACGCAUCUCAAAGCGGCCCGAACCUGUACAUCAUUGUCUACUAUUUCUCGUGCGCCCAGCACGAACCAUCGAGCUACAGUCGGUAACACCGUCCUACUCCUAAAAAGCAACUUGGGGGUAACCCUGGGUGCACGGUCGGACCCGAAACACCGACAGCUGGCGCGCCAGGUAGGGGGUGUGUCAUCGAUCCAAGCUAUCUCAAUGGCCGUCACCUUCCAGCGCAAGAUCAUCCUCCACCCCGGAUCCAUAUUCUGCUUCGGUACUAUCUCAUCUGUAGCGGAUGAGGAGGGAACUCUGCAUCGCCUUGCGGAUCCGCCGGAGAAAAAGCCUUCCUCAGGAAUCUCCGGGAAAAUCGGGGCGAGGCAGGAAAAAGCGCAACCUCCAGCGCUCCUAAAAAAGAUCACCUCCAGCAAGAUAGGAGCUGAGGGUCCCUCAGCCCGGAGAACUCCGCUGUCCACCUCUCCGACGAAAGAAUGGACAUGAAUCAGAAGGAGAAAAGAAGCAAAGGAUCAUCAAAUUGAUCUUUCUGCACCUCCGCCCUCAAAGGAGAGCAGAAAGAAGAUCGAUGUGACAGCUACUCCAUUCUACCCCGACGUCCUCUUCAUCGGGAGAGUGGAGUCGCCCCCCGUCUCCGACGACGAGCCGACUGCACCCGGAGAGGAACCACCUCAGCGGGAAUCCCGCCGACAAAGGAACCGACGCCGAAAUAUCUGGCGACAUCACGAGGCCGGAGAGCGGGACCUGGCGCAGCCUGUAUCGCAAGACGAGGUCUCAGAGAUAGGAGAAACUCCGGAGGAACGUGUCUUCAGGGAACGAAGGAAUUCCCGACGGCGUGAUUGUCGACGGGCUCAAGAACAGGCCGAGCAGGAGACAAGGCAACGUCGGGAAAAUCCACUCUUCGGGCGCAACCUGAACCCCGACUUUGCCUGAGCCAUGAACACGCCGAGUGAAGUCGGAGGGGUGCUGGCUCGGAUAGCUGAUGGCCUCCCUCGGACUCCGGACGCCGAGGGCUAUCGGCGGCUGUUCACUCAAGCAGCCAAUCACCUUCUACCCCUCGCUCACCUGCCGAACGAUCUACGACACGCCAUCAACAGUCGUCGGGACGCGCGGAGCUCCAUCAAUGCUUCACGUGAACGAUGACACGAGAACGAGAUCCGUCGCCGGGAAGAGUACGACCAGGACCAUGGCAUCCCAGCACGGAGUCAGGCUACCAGGACCGAGUCGGCCACGACUUCAACUGGAGGCACCGCCCGGGGACGGUCGAGGUACCACGAUGAUCACUCCCCUCCCCGGGACAAACAACAUCAUCGAUGACAGGAGGACACGUGUGGAGUAUCGGCACUUACUCCGCGCCUCAGGGCCAUUCAAUGGCCCCCUAACUUCAAGGUAUUCAACAUCGACAAAUAUGAACCUAAGCAGGAUCCAGGAGGCUGGCUGGCCAUCUACACCACCGCUGCCCGAGCUGCUGGGGCGACCGAGGACGUAAUGACCGCAUACUUGCCUAUCGUCCUCGGGCAAGACGCGCUGCAAUGGCUGCGACACCUACCCCGACACUGCAUCAACGACUGGAGCGACUUCAGUCGGCGCUUCACCGCCAACUUUCAGUCUCUCUCCGAUAAGUCGGCGCAACCAUGGGACCUCAAAUCCAUCAAACACCGAGGGGACUAAACUCUCCGGUCAUACCUCAAAAGGUUCCAGACCAUGAGAAAUCGUAUCCCCGAGGUCGCCAAGGCGGCAGUGAUCGAGGACUUCUACAGAGGAUCCAAUGACUCGGUGUUGGGGACUUGUUCUCAAAUGCUAUGAAUUAAGAACAAGGCAACAUAAAAUGUUGAAUAUUAAUGCUCUUCGCCCGCUGAAGCAUUAUCUCCCCAAGGAUUUAAUGAACUUCGGACGAAGACCAUGAGUAGAAUAUCACGAAGGUCACACCUUCGUGAUCAGACUUACAAAAUAAUAUGAAAUAAAAUAUAAAACAUGAAACAUUAGAGAAAGAUGUACCAAAAAUAGAUAACAUUAUUCACAUAUUUUAUUAUAUGAAUUUAAAUAUCAAAACAUAAUGUUUAUGUACAUUUAUACCUUCGCCUUGGCAGAAAAUGAUAAUUCCCGAGCAAUGCGUUUGCAAUUACAGGAUUGCGUGAACAGUAAAGGAAUACUGUUCACUAUUUAUAGGCACAGGACACAGCCUGUAAGGAAUUACAAUCAUACCCCUUAUAAAAGUUUACAAUAAUGACUCAGACCCUUAUGGACUAAAAGGUCAUUCCAUCUUUAAGUCGGUUCGAUCCUUCAUCUUCGGAUACGCUAUAACACCGAAGCUUCAUGAGUGAUAGCUUCGGCAUCACGUAUAAGCAGCUUUUGCCGAAGCUGUUUCUUCCUGCAGGACCUUCGGCGACGAAGCAUGGUCCCAACAGUAGCCCCUUCGCGGUGCUAGAUCGUUUUUCGUAACGAGCUUGAUCCGUGAAAAAAGUCUCUUAGGCUUCGGGAAGCCGAAGGUCCGAAAAACACCUUCCCUGAGCUCGUUGCCGAGAAACGAUACAGUUUCCGAGCGUGGAACGGUCCCACCAUGCAGGUUCACUUUCUCGGUUUUUGCGGCCCACCGUUCAGUGGGUGCGAGCGACUGUUUGUCCGGUGUAAAAAUCUUGACGAUUCACCUUCUUACCUGCAGCACUAUAUAAAUAGACAGGUAGGUGUGAAGUUGCCACAGCAUUCAUUGCUAUUGCACUGUUUUGCUGCCAAAAAUUUAACCAUAGCCGAAGCUUGACUUUUGCAUUCAAACGAAGCUCCAGUUUGGAUUCUGCUUCAUCACGAGAAGAGCUUCGGAAAAAAGGUUAUUAAUUUCCAAGGAAUUUUCAAGAAAUUUAAAAUCAAAUGGCCAGAGUACGCUCCACUGCUAGGGUUGAGCGUGAUGGAGAUGAGACCGAAGCCGCUGAAACUAUUUCGAUUUCCGAAGCUAUGAGGCGUUCUGGGCUGGUUUCAUUAGAGGACACACCUGCUGCCGAAGCAACACAAGAUGAUGUUGAAGAAGUUGGUUCCGAAGAUGAGUACAGCUGCGGGGUGCCAAGUAAACCUAGUCAUUUGGACUUUGGAAAGUCCACCAUUUCUGAAGCUGAUCUUCCUAAAAUGGUGAAGAUGGGUUAUUUUAGUGAAGCCAAGAAGGAAUUAAUUUGUUUUGGUGGAGAGGAAACUAUCCCAAAGCCAGGAAAGGACGAGGUAGUAGUCUUCAAAAGUUUUCUUAAAGCUGGUCUAAGGUUCCCCCUGAACAAGAUGAUUGCUAUUGUACUGAAUAAGUUUGGGAUUUACCUUCAUCAGCUGACCCCCAAUGCUAUUGUUAGAUUAAGUGUUUACAUUUGGGCUCUUCAUAGCCAGGGGGUGGAACCGUUCGAUGAGGGUUUCUGCUGAGUUCAUGAAUUACACUACCAGACUAAAGCCAGAGGAGAUGGUCUGCACGGAAAUUUUGGCUGCUACAACUUUGCUUAUCGCAAGACUACGAAGUUUCCAGUGAUAAGCUACCGAAGCAAAUGGCCAGCCGAAUGGAAAUCUGAAUGGUUUUAUGUUAAAGUUGAUGAAGAUGAAGAUAAAUUGGUCCAGAGUCCGCUAGAACUAACCUUCGGAGAAACGAGGCCCCGAUGCAACAUGAUAAUGGGGAGCCCGAGUCAGACUGCUUUGGCUGAAUUUCGAGUGAUUUCAGAUCAUAUUGGCACUAGAGACCUAGUGCAGGAAUUUUUGGCUUUUAAGGUGUUCCCAACACUGAGGGAGUGGGAAAUGCCGAAGCUAGUGGGAGAAAAGAAAAAGGGAGAACUUGUUCGAUUGCCUUAUCACUACAAGUUUAAGAAACAUUUUAAAGCACCCUGCCAAGAGUGGCUGAACACAAUUGAAAUUAUGUGCAACGAGAUACUCGGCAAUUACUCUAAGAAAGAAGAUCAAUUAAUGACUGCAGCCUUCGGCACACGUCCGAAACAAAGAUUGAAUCAUGUGCUAGAUGCCUUGAAUUUUGAUUACCCUGACUAUGAGCAACUGGUCGGAGGUGCCGAAGGCCAGAAAAGAAAGAGGAUUGUGAGCGCCCUUGACAAAGAGGGCACCAAAUUGGCUAAAAAGGACAAGGAAAUUUCUGAAAAACUGAGCCCUAAGCCGAAGAUAGCUGCUCCGAAGAAAAGAAAAGCUGCAUCCCCAAAACCAAAGACGUCGGCCCGAGAGGAGGAAGCUCCUGCAACACCUUCUGCUGCCGAAGUGGAAGAGAUUCUGAAGGUAAUGACUGAACCUUUGCCUAUCAGGCUAAGUCCGCUGGCGCCGGAACUGACGAAGUUUUUUCAGAAGGACAAAGAAGCUUUGGCAACAGAAAGUCCCGCAAAGCCGAAAAAACGAAGAAUUAUCUAAGUGGCCGAUGUCAUUCAUCAGACACCGCCGCCGACAUCGGCGUCAAAAAUUGUCAUUGCCGAAACCACAGCCACCGGAGCCGAAACCACCGGAGCCGAAGCCUCCGAAGCUGAAACCACCGGAGCCGAAGCCACCGGAGCCGAAGCUACCGGAGCAACCACUGAAGCCGAAGCCACCAGAGCCGAAACCGGGACCACCGAAGAUCCUAAUCUAGAAACCACACUUGGUGGUAUUGGCAAUAUACUUCUGAGAAUGGCUGAAGAAGAAGCUGCUGCGGUUGCGGUGAAUACGACAAUUGAAAAAGGAAAAGAGCAAAUUGAAGACACUUUGGAAGAAGAAAAUUUUAAUUUUCAAGAUAUACUUGGACAAGAGUUAACAGACACUGAAAAAAAAGAGCUAAAGAAAUAUGCUAUAUCCUGUGGAUACAAACCAGGGUCUCUGCUAUUUGGUGGAGUCAAUGAAGGGAAGCUAAAAUGCCUUCGGAAUCGAACCGAGGCCAAGGUUGUUAGGACCUUCUCAAAAAGCGUUGGCCUGUCGAAGAUAGAAGCGGACCUCUACAGGUACCAGCGACACCAUAUUGCCGGUAGCUUGCUCUAUGCUAGUUUCAAGGUACAAUCUCAACUUACGAAGGUUUCUGAUGAAGGUUUUUUCUUUUUAAAAUUAAAAUGUUUUCUGACGAAGGUUGUUUUGGCAGAGUAUACUACUAAGUAAAGUCCUAAGAAUGCAACAAGAUCUUGAAGAGGAGAAAAACAAAGCUACCAUCAAAGAUCUAGAGAACAAAAUCGAAAAUUACGAAGCUACUUAGAAGAAAAAGGACUUCGUUAUUCAAGACCUUGAAAUCAAAGUUAAAGAUCGCGAAGCUGCCUUGGAAAAGAAAGACUUCGUCAUUCAUUCUAUGGAAGGUUCACUGGCUGAAGCCCAAGCCGAAAAUGACAAAUUAAACAAUGAAUUACUUAUAAAAUCAGAAAAAUCCGAGCAGGAAAAGAAGAAUCUCGAAACAAAUCUCAAGACCGAAAUCGAGAAGAAUUCAAAUUUGCAAAAAUCAUUGAAGGAGCUUCAGGAGAAAUGCUUAGAUUUCGGCAGCCGAUGUGUGUAGCGGCUGAAGGAUGUGUUUCACUCAAUUGGAGCCAGCUCUGAUAAGUUUACACCUUCAGCUGAAAACCUGCCAAGCACCUUGGAAUACAUCGAGGGCGAAGUUGAUGCACUUGACGAAGUUAUUGCUGGGCAUGCUGAUUUCUGCGCCCUGCUAGCUUCUCGAGGCACGGCUACCGCUUUCCUGAAGGCUGGCUGCACACACGGGAAAAUUGUAAAUAGGCCAAACUUCAGUUUGUCACCGGCAGAUUUGGUUGACAUCCCAAGCCUAGCCCGAAGCAUAGGAAAUAGGUUUAUGACCCAGAUUUGGAUAAACGGCGGGCGAAAAAUGGCUGGUGACGAAGCUCGGAGCCACCUUAAGCCAGUGAGAAACUUAUACUUAUUACUUUUACCUUCUCCUUGAAUUCUGCACCUUUCUCAUUCCGUUUUAAUAUGUACAGGAUGAUGAAGCUGAAGAAUGACGAGCUGAAGCUUAACAGUUGCUGCAAAAGACUUUUCUGCAAAAAAUUCUAGAGAAAUCUUUGUAAUAUAAUUGUAGAGAAACUUAUGUAAAUUUGUGCAUACCUUGUAAUAUAUUUCCCCUUUAUCCGUGUACAAUCUGCUUUGCUGUGGAUGAAAUUUUAUUUUUGAGCCGAAGGCGAAAAACACCUUCCCUUCUUUUCGUACACAUCGAAGCAUGAAAAUUCCUUCUUUCUCCGAAGUUUUUUCCUCAUAGCCGAAGCAUCUGCCUUUUCUGUAUGAUAUGAUGAUGAUGAUCCUAUGUAUGUCUAAAUGAAUGUUUAUGAAUGCAAAUGUCAUGAUGUAAGGUAUCGUGCAAAUGAAUAUCCGAAUGUAUAUUCGAAACCAUAAUCAUAGCCUUCAUUCCCUUGGGAAUGACUCAAAUCUUUUUGCCGUUUAUUUUUCGGCUUCACCGUUUACUUUUCGGUGUAUCAGCGCUGACUUUUCGCUGUAAGCCUCCCUUAGGAGCUUCUUCGCCUUUUACUUUCGGCGGAAUCAGCGUUUAUUUUUCGCUGCAAGCCUCCCUUAGGAGCUUCUUCGCCUUUUACUUUCGGCGGAAUCAGCGUUUAUUUUUCGCUGCAAGCUCUGCAUUCCCUUAGGAACGACUUUUGAGCUUCUCCCUGUUUUCUUUUCUUUUUCCUUUGCACUUGAUGGUGCGUUCUCAGCUUUUACAUUUACAUCUUUGGGGGAUAUCGCUCUUAUAGAAUUGAAAUAAGAAAAAGAAAAAUUACAUGUUGUGGCCCCAUUAAAAACCUUUCUCCCCCUUUGGAAAGGAAAAGGGUGCCACACAAGAAAGAAUAGAAAAAAUUACAUCAAGCUAAACAUAAUAUCGCCGAAGCUCGUCCGCAUUCCAUGAUCUAGGAAUGUCGUUGCCGUCCAUAUCCUUCAGUCUGUAGGAACCGGGUCUUGACGAAGAUACUACCAGAAAAGGUCCUUCCCACUUCAGCUGUAACUUGCCUACUGUCUCUGGGUUGGCUAUUCUUCGAAGCACCAAAUGUCCUGGUUCAAUGUUCUUUAGCCGAACCUUUCUAUCACGCCAUUUUAUUGUUUCAGCUUGGUAUUUGUUGAUGUUUUCCACAGCUUCAAGCUUGAUCCCCUCUAUAGCAUCUUUUUCCAUAGAGUAAUCAGCUUCAGCUUCGUCUUCUGUCGAAGCUACUAUUCUUAUUGAUCCUGCUUUGGCUUCUUCCGGAGUUAUUGCUUCGUCACCAAACAAUAGUUUGAAUGGUGUAAAACCUGUUGAUCUUGAUAUUAUUGUGUUGUGGCUCCACACCACUUUGAUUAAUUCGUCUGGCCACUUUCCCCUAGGCUGAUUGAAGAUUAACUUCAUUAUUCCUGUCAUUAUGAUGCCAUUAUCCCUUUCAACAAGUCCAUUUGACUCCGGAUGCCGAACUGAUGCAAAAUGGAUCUUCGUGCCAAUUUGUUCACAAAAAUUUCUGAAAGCUUCGGAAUCAAACUGCAUUCCAUUAUCCACAGUAAUAGCCUUCGGCACUCCGAAACGACAAACAAUAUUUUGCCAGAAAAACUUUUGAAUAGUGACCGAAGUUAUUGUGGCUAAAGGCUUUGCCUCAAUCCAUUUGGAAAAAUAUUCCACUGCCACUACAACAUAUCUUAAGUUCCCUUGUGCUGGUGGUAACGGACCUAACAAAUCAAGGCCCCACCUUUGCAACGGCCAAGUGGGUUGUAUUAACUGGGUUAGAGACGAAGGUUGUUUUUGAUCUCUUGCACAUUUCUGACAACCUUCGCACUUUUGAACUAAUUCCGCUGCAUCCGAAGCUGCCUUUGGCCAAUAAAAUCCUUGACGAAAAACUUUUCCAAGCAAAAGCCUAGAUCCAAUGUGAGAUCCACAUAGGCCUGCGUGUAUUUCCUUCAUCAAUUCUAUACCUUCGGCUCUGGAUAAACACUUGAGUAAUGGAGCACAGGCUCCAUGCUUGUACAGCUCCCCUUCUAUUAUAACAUAUGGUCGAGCUCUUGCCUCUAUCCUCCUGUUAUAAGCUUCGUCAUCUGAAAGAAAGUUACCCUGAAGGAAAGAGAUGAUCUCAGUUCUCCAGUCUUCACUAUAGACAGGAGAUAUGUUGAGGACUGCUCUUUCAAGAAGUUCGACCGAAGGUGCUUUUAUUGUUUCGAAAAAUACUUCCGAAGGUAAGGGCAGCCCCUGUGCUGCUGACUUGGCUAAUAAAUCAGCAUGUUCAUUUUCUCCUCGAGGAAUAUUUUUAACAGAAAACCCUUCAAAGGAAGCCUCAAUCCUUCGGACCGUGUCUAAAUAUUUUUCAAGCUUCAGAUCUCUUGCUUUAUAACUUUUGUCAAUAUGACCAGAAAUAACCUGGGAAUCAGUUUUAAGAACUGCCCUUCUAAUUCCCAUUGCCUUUAAUUUCCGAAGGCCCAAGAGCAAAGCUUCGUACUCAGCAAUGUUAUUUGUGCAACUGAAAUCAAGUCUUGUUGCAUAACAAGUUUUAACUUUGGAAGGUGCGACCAACACAGCAGCUGCUCCUGCUCCGAAGGUUCCCCAAGAACCAUCGCAAAAUACUGUCCAAACUUCAGCAUCUUUACUCGUUUCUUCUUCCUGAACCCCUGGCGUCCAGUCAGCAAUGAAGUCUGUCAAUGCUUGGGACUGAAUCAAAGAUCUAUGCACAUAAUCAAUGCAAAAUUCAUUGAGUUCCGCAGCCCAUUUUCCAACCCUUCCAGUAGCUUCUCUAUUUCUCAUAAUAUCCUUCGAUGGUUGUGAAGAAGGGACAAUAAUAUUGUAUGCUUGAAAAUAGUGCCGAAGCUUCCUGGAGGCCAUCAAAACAGCAUACAACACCUUCUCCAAUUCUGUAUAAUUUUUCUUUGAUAAACUAAGAACUUCGGAUACAAAGUAUAUUGGGGCUUGCUUUUUGACUUGGCCUUCAAGCUUCUCUUGGACAAGUGCUGCACUUACCGCUGAGUGCGAAGCUGCCACAUAUAACAACAGAGGAGCCCCUAGCGUAGGUGGAGUUAGUGUUGUUAGGUCUAUCAAAUAUUGCUUCAGCUCUUUGAAGGCUCUCUGCUGGACUGGUCCCCAUUGAAAAACUUCGGCUGACUUCAGCACUUCGAAGAAUGGUAAAUUUCUCUUUGCUGAUCUAGAUAUGAAUAUGUUGAGAGAUGCCAGUCUUCCUGUCAAUCUUUGAGCCCCCUUCUUUGUACUUGGUGGUUCCAUUCGAAGGAUAGCUUCAAUUUUAUUUGGAUUAGCCUCAAUCCCUUUUGUUGAAACUAGGCAGCCAAGAAAUUUCCCUUUCUUCACUCCGAAGACACACUUUUCUGGAUUCAACUUUAAACCGGCCUGUCUAAAAUUAGUGAAGGUCUCCUGCAGAUCAGCAAUGUGAUUUUCUUGCCUCGUGCUUUUUACAAUGAUACCAUCAACAUAAGUUAGCACAUUUCUGCCUAUCUGAGAAUGAAGAACCUUCGCUGUCAUUCUGCUGAAGCUUCCUCCAGCAUUCUUGAGCCCCUCAGGCAUCCAAAGGUAACAAUAUGUUCCACUAGGGGUUAUGAAGCUGGUUUUUGGCUCAUCCUCCUUCUUCAUCCAAAUUUGAUGAUAGCCUGAGUAACAAUCCAGCAGACUCAUAAGCUCUGAUGAAGCUGCUGCAUCAACUAGGGAAUCUAUCCUUGGCAAUGGAAACUCGUCCUUCGGACAGGCCUUGUUGAGAUCAGUAAAAUCAAUACACAUCCUCCAUUUACCAUUGGCCUUUUUUACCAUAACAGUGUUACCUAGCCAUUCUGGGUAUUUUACUUCUCUGAUAACUCCGGCACUGAGGAGUCUUUUCACUUCAUUCCGAGCACCUUCGGCCUUAUCAUCAGACAUCUUCCGAAGCCUCUGCUUUCUGGGUCUGAAGGAUGGAUCAACAUUGAGCGAGUGUUCAAUAACAUCCCUGUUGACUCCGCAAAGAUCAUUAGCUGACCAUGCAAAAACAUCUUUGUUGUUGAACAGAAACCUUAUCAAGGUUUUCUCCUGUUCUUCGGACAGUUGGGAUCCCAGUAGCACCUUCUGCUCUGCUAUGUCAUCACAUAAGAGCAUGGGCUUCGGCUGAUCGGCCGAAGCAGCUUUCUCCCUUCUGAACUUGUAUUGUUCACAAGCUUCAGCUCCAUCUAUGUUAUGGAUUGCUUUUGAGUCUGUCCUGUUUCCUUCGGCCCUUCUGGCAGCUUCCUGACUUCCAUGAAUAGCAAUGGGCCCUUGGUCCGAAGGUAUCUUCAUGCAAAGAUAUGCUGGAUGAAGAAUUGCUUCGAAGGCAUUGAGAGUACCACGACCAAUGAUUGCAUUGUAAGGGUAUUCCAUGUCAACAAUAUCAAACACAAUUUGUUCAGUCCUUGUAUUGUUAAUAAAUCCGAAGGUUACUGGCAUUGUGAUUUUGCCAAGUGCUACAAUCUGCCUUCCUCCGAAGCCACAAAGGGGAUGUGUGGCAUCAUGGAUCUUGUCUUCGGGCUCUUGCAUCUGUCUGAAGGCUUUGGCAAAUAUGAUAUCAGCCGCACUGCCUGUAUCAACCAAAACAUUGUGGACCAGAAAUCCUUUGAUCACACAAGAGAUAACCAUAGCAUCAUUGUGCGGGUAAUUCUUGAGCUGAAGAUCCUCUUGAGAGAAGGUAAUUGGGAUGUGAGACCAUCUUGACUUGAUGAAGGGUUUUUGUACCCCUACGUGUUGUACUCUUCUCUGUGCCUCCUUCUUCUGUUUCUUGUUGGCCGGCUCUGAGCAUGAACUGCCUGUUAUCGGGAGAAUCAACUUCGGAGCCGAAGCAGUUCCAGCUUGGUUCUUGAAUGAAGCCAUCAGCUCAAAAAGUGGAAGUGAGUUCACCGGAGGUGGGCGCUAAUGUUGGGGACUUGUUCUCAAAUGCUAUGAAUUAAGAACAAGGCAACAUAAAAUGUUGAAUAUUAAUGCUCUUCGUCCGCUGAAGCAUUAUCUCCCCAAGGAUUUAAUGAACUUCGGACGAAGACCAUGAGUAGAAUAUCACGAAGGUCACACCUUCGUGAUCAGACUUACAAAAUAAUAUGAAAUAAAAUAUAAAACAUGAAACAUUAGAGAAAGAUGUACCAAAAAUAGAUAACAUUAUUCACAUAUUUUAUUAUAUGAAUUUAAAUAUCAAAACAUAAUGUUUAGGUACAUUUAUACCUUCGCCUUGGCAGAAAAUAAUAAUUCCCGAGCAAUGCGUUUGCAAUUAUAGGAUUGUGGAACAGUAAAGGAAUAUUGUUCACUAUUUAUAGGCACAGGACACAGCCUGUAAGGAAUUACAAUCAUACCCCUUAUAAAAGUUUACAACAAUGACUCAGACCCUUAUGGACUAAAAGGUCAUUCCAUCUUUAAGCCGGUUCGAUCCUUCAUCUUCGGAUACGCUAUAACACCGAAGCUUCAUGAGUGAUAGCUUCGGCAUCACGUAUAAGCAGCUUUUGCCGAAGCUAUUUCUUCCUGCAGAACCUUCGGCGACGAAGCAUGGUCCCAACACUCGGCCUUCGUCCGAACCAUAUUACAGAAGGCGCCGACUACCUAUGAGCAACUAUUCUGGGAAGCCGACCUCUACAUCACCACCGACGAGCGAGCUCAAGACCUCAUCGGAGGAGUGAAGCCAGCACCAGCGGCACCGCGACGCGACACGAAUCAGUAGCCCAACAAGCGUUGGGAGAAGCGACCUUGCGAAGAAGUCCACGCCGCCGGACCACCUGCCUCUCGCGCCCGGGGAGGACCUCACGGAGGCGAACGCACGCUGGACGACAUCCUCGACACCCAGUGCCCGUACCACAAGGACAUGCGCCACACCCUUCGGAACUGCAGAGACUUCAAGCACUCCGUCGGGCACGGCCGACCCUUCCAGCCUCUACCUCCUCCUCCGCCACGAGGAGGACCAGGAGAACCGCGACAACCCCAGCAGCAGGAGGAGGGAGGAGGUGGAGCCUUCCUGCGUGUCGACAGAGAUGUCAAUGUCAUCUUUGGCGGACACGGAUCGCAGGAGAACAAGAGACAACAAAAGCUCAACGAUCGCCAGAUACUGGUGGCAACUACCGGCCCUCCCACCCCAUACCGAUGGUCAGAGCACCCGAUCACCUUCACUCGGGCGGAUCAGUGGCUCAACUUCGACCACCCAGGCAAAUACCCGCUCCUCGUCGAUCCGGUGAUCCGAGAGAGCAGGGUGAAGAAGGUAUUGGUGGACGGGGGGAGCAGCAUCAACGUCACCUUCCCCCGAACACUCCAAGGCUUGGGAGUUCACCUCAAAGAACUCCACGAGUUAGACACUCCUUUCUUCGGCAUCGUGUCGACUGAAGGCGAAUACUCGCUGGGCCACAUCUACAUGUCGGUCACCUUCGGAACUCCGGAGAACUAGAGAACCGAGUUCCUGAGGUUCGAAGUGGCGAACUUUGACUGUGGGUACAACGCCAUCAUCGGGAGGCCUGGAUUGGCGAAAUUCAUGGCCAUUCCGCAUUAUACAUACAUGAUAUUGAAGAUGCCAGGGCCGCAAGGGAUCAUAACUGUGCACGCUGACUUCCAAGGCGCCGCAGAAUGUUUCCGAGUGGCCAUUCAGGCGGCCCUCACCACCAAACCAUCGGCGACUUCUUCUGCGCUGGCGAACUCUAAGCCUGAGGAAGACCUCGUGGUACCCGCGAACGAGGCUCAAGCCGCGACUUCUAUGCGGCCGACUGAAGAAACCAAAAGAGUCAACCUUGGGUUCACUGAUGAACGCAAAACUGCCAUCAUCAGCUCCAGCCUGGAUGACAAAUAGGAAGGCACGCUCGUCCAGUUCCUGCAAGAUAACCGAGACGUAUUCGCGUGGCAACCUGCGGAUAUGCCGGGAGUCCCGAGAGAACUGGCCGAGCACAAAUUGAAGGUCUACCCCCAGGCGAGGCCGAUUCGGCAAAAAUUACGUCGUUUCACGCCCGACAAGAGAGAGGCCAUCCGCGCUGAGCUGGCUCGCUUGGUCGCGGCUGGAUUUAUUAGAGAGGUAUUACAUCCCGAGUGGUUAGCCAACCCUGUUCUUGUACUCAAAAGAAUAAAGUGGAUUGGCGCAUGUGCGUUGACUAUAAGAUAUCAACAAACAUUGUCCAAAGGAUCCCUUCGGGCUUCCUAGGAUAGAUCAGGUGGUAGAUUCCACCGCUGGAUGUUCUAUGCUGUCCUUCUUGGAUUGCUACUCUAGGUAUCAUCAGAUUAGCCUGGCAAAAGAAGACGAGGAAAGAACAACGUUCAUCACUCCAUUUGGUGCUUUCUGCUACACCUCCAUGCCAUUCGGCCUCAAAAACGCUGGAGCGACUUAUCAGAGAGCUAUUCAAACAUGCUUAGCCGAUCACUGGGGCAAGCGUGUGGAAGCUUAUGUGGACGAUGUGGUGAUCAAAACAGAAAAUUCGGAAAAUUUCAUUGAAGAUUUACAGCUGGUCUUCAACAGUCUACGACGAUAUCGAUGGAAGCUUAAUCCCGAAAAAUGUGUUUUCGGGGUACCAACAGGAAAGUUGCUCGGGUUUAUUGUCAGUCACCGGGGAAUUGAAGCUAAUCCAGAAAAGAUCGAAGCUAUCAUGAGGAUGGAGGCACCGCGAUCACAUAAGAAAGUUCAAAGACUUACCGGAUGUAUGGCAGCCUUGAGCAGAUUCAUAUCCAGGCUGGGAGAAAAAGGCUUACCAUUUUAUAAGUUACUCAAGAAGGUGGACAAGUUUCAGUGGACUUCAGAAGCACAGGAAGCCCUAGAUGCAUUGAAAAAGUUCUUGACGACACCACCAGUGCUGAAACCACCACGUCGAGCCACGCCGACUCAACCAGCUGAAGAUCUGCUGCUAUAUAUCUCUUGCACGACUCACGUGGUGAGCACCGCGUUGGUAGUCGAGCGAGCAGAAGAAGAACAUGCAUACCCAGUACAGCAUCCUGUUUAUUUUAUCAGUGAAGUUCUGGGUCCCUCGAAGAAGAAAUAUCCUCAAGUUCAGAAGCUAUUAUAUGCAGUACUUCUAACUGCACGCAAGCUCCGUCACUACUUCGACGACCACAAAGUCAUAGUAGUCACUGGAUUUCCGAUAGGAGAUAUUCUUCACAACAAAGAAGCCAUCGGGAGAAUAGCCAAGUGGGUCUGCGAGCUGGGAUCUCAUGACAUUGAAUUUCGACCUCGCACUGCCAUUAAAACUCAAGCACUGGUUGACUUCGUAUCGGAGUGGACCGAACAACAAGUACCAGAUAACCCAGAAACUGCAGAAGUAUGGCGAAUGUACUUCGAUGGCUCGUUAAAGCUGCAGGGAGCAGGCGCAGGGAUCCUCUUUACUGCACCUGGAGGCGAGCACCUCAGAUAUGCCCUUUAGUUGUUAUUUCCAGCCUCUAACAAUGCAGCAAAAUAUGAAGCUCUGAUUCAUGGACUGAACAUUGCUAUAUCACUGGCAUCAAGAGACUUAUGGUAUAUGGAGAUUCUCUGGUAGUCAUAAGUCAGAUAAACAAAGAAUGGGAUUGUUCGAGCGAUUCCAUGGGAAAAUACUGCACUGCCGUCCGGAAACUAGAAGACAAAUUUGAAGGUCUGGAAUUUCACCAUGUAGAGAGAGAUUGAAACACGACAGCUGAUGUAUUGUCCAAGCUAGGAUCCAGUCGAACUCAGGUCCCACCUGGAGUCUUUGUUCAAGAAAUAUCACACCCAAGCAUCUCACUGGAUCAGGCAGAAGAAUGUAAUACUUUGAGCCAACCAGAGUCAGAUUCUGAUGACUGGAGGAGGCCGAUCAUCAAAUAUAUAAAAAAUGAGGAGGAGCCAGAUGACAAGAAUACAUCCGAGCGCAUCGCAAGACAAUCAACUCACUAUACACUCAUUGGGGAAACACUAUACAGAAGGGGCGCAUCCGGAGUCCUCAUGAAAUGCGUUCUCUCAGCUACUGGAAAGCAACUUCUAAGUGAGAUCCAUGCUGGGCAAUGUGGAAUACACGCAGCAUCCAGGACCCUAGUUGGGAAGGCCUUCAGGUCAGGUUUUUACUGGCCAACAGUGAAGAGUGAUGCGGUCGAGUUAGUCCAGAGGUGCGAAGCCUGCCAGUACUUGUCAAAACAGCAGCAUCUACCAACACAGCAGCUGCAGACUAUACCCAUAACCUGGUCGUUCGUGUGCUGGGGAUUGGAUAUGAUUGGACCUUUCAAGAAAGCUCAAGGAGGAUACACUCAUGUACUGGUGGCUAUCGACAAAUUCACUAAAUGGAUAGAGUUCAAACCCAUUGCUUCUCUAACUUCAGCUAAGGCAGUGGAAUUCAUACAAGAUAUAAUAUUCAGGUUUGGGAUAUCGAAUAGCAUCAUAACUGACCUAGGAUCCAACUUCACCAGUUCAGAAUUCUUCGAUUUCUGCGAGCAAAAGAGCAUUCAGAUCAAAUAUGCCUCGGUGGCACAUCCAAGAGCCAACGGGCAAGUAGAAAGAGCCAACGGGAUGAUAUUAGAAGCACUCAGAAAGAAAGUCUUCAACAAGAAUGAGAAGUUCGCAGGAAAGUGGAUCAGAGAAUUGCCAUAUGUAGUUUGGAGCUUGAGAACUCAACCCAGUCGAGCUCUGCAUGGAAAUACCCCCUUCUUUAUGGUUUAUGGUUCAGAGGCAGUGCUACCUGCCGAUCUCAAGUUCGGGGCACCAAGGUUAAUCUUUGAUAACAUAGCAGAAGCUGAAGCUACUAGGCUGGAAGACGUUGACGUACUCGAAGAAGAGCGACUGAAUACGGUGAUUCAAUCAACGCGAUACCAGCAAACUCUAAGGCGCUAUCAUGAUAAGGCCAUACGGCGUCGAUCCUUCGCAGGGGGAGAUCUCGUCCUCCGCCGAAUUCUAACGGGGGAGGGACGACAUAAAUUGUCACCUCUAUGGGAAGGACCAUUCAUAGUAGCAGAAGUCACUCGGCCGGGAUCAUAUCGCCUCACUCAGAUGGACGGAACAGAAAUUGGGAACUCAUGGAACAUAGAACAUCUCAGGAAGUUCUACCCGUAGCUACAUCAUGGAGGCUCUCGGAACGACGAUGUAUUCUGUAAAUUGAGAAAAAUAUCAUCAAUAAAAAGGUUUCAAAGGCACUCAGAUUGUUCACUGUCAAUUGGCACGCUUACUUAACUCGGGAUGGCCACUAUGCCCUACUAACGAAGCAAUCGGCUUAAGUCGGCAAUGACUUAAGGCGGUGCGACAUGCUCACGCAUACUUAACUCGGGGUGACCACUAUGCCCUACAUCAGCCAUUAUGUCGUCAGGAACAACCACACCAGGUCUCCUCAUCAGGAUCCGCCCUAUGCAAAUAGCUUUAUCGUGCUGGGCCCUCAGAGUAGCAGAAGUCUCUUCAGCAGCCUUGACAGCCAACCACACGGUUUCUAGCUCCUGGGCGACGGAUUUCUUGGAAACACGCAGAUCCUUGAUGACAACAUCUUUGGUCGACACCAACUGCCUGAGGCGAAUCACAUCAUCCAAGGAUUCUUGCAGUUUAUAACGAUGAUUGUCUAACUCCUCCCUGGUGAAGCGAUGACUCCUCUCCAAGAUGGUCAACAAGUUGCUGGCGUCACGGUAUAGCUUGUCAAGGUUGUCGCGAGAAGUAAUGAGGGCACGUUUUUCUUCCUACAGACAAGAAUCAGUUUCCUCAAACGUUAAGCAAGCAAUAAGAACACAGCAAACAAAGCCAAGAUUCACAGGUCACCUUUUCAGAGUUGAGCUGAGCACAGAGAGUAGAGUUCAGCGUGUUAGCAUCAUUCAGAGAAGCAGAAACCCGGGCCAGUUCAGUCUGACCUUGAGAAUACUUUUCUUCAAGAUCAGAGCACCGCCGGGCCAGUUCAGCCUGACCUUGAGAAUGUUUUUCUUCCAGAUCGGAGUACUGCCGAGCCAUAUCUGUCAAGAAACAGUCAAGCAAAGGUGUUAAAAUAAAAAGCAGUAUCAGGUAGCCAAAAAGAAGCAAAAGAGCACUGACCGGCAUUUGCCACCUCUAAAUCAGAUACACGCCGCUGAAGCAGCACUGGAUUCCAAUGCGCCAGAGACAAAGCUCCUUCCGGGACAGAAGCACCCUGCAAGUUCAGCUGACUAGACAUCUCAUCGACCAACGCCUGGCAUUAAAAGCAGACAAGCAUGAGAACAAUUAUCUGCCUGGGUAAAGUCAGACCAGAAGAAACCAAAAUACAUGGAGGUUGGAGAAGAAUGAGGGGACCCCCAAGUCGUGAGAGAUCAACUGAUGGCUCGGUGAAGGAUCACCAACCGGAGCAACUCGCAACGAAUCAGCAGGAACCAAUUCAGUGUCAUCAGCAGAACCCAGAACUCUGUCGUCGGGUGCGCUGGCCUCUAAAGCGACUCCUUGACUGAAGGCUUGGGCUACCACCAUGCAACCAGAGUGUGGAGGAGAAGACCCUACGUGAACAUCCAUGGAAGUGCGGGAGGGAGAACCCACUCAGACACCCUCGGGGGCUGGGUAAGCGCCAGCACCAUCUUUGAGGGCUGAGUUCUCUGCAGCAGCCACCUCUAAGGCUGAAGGUCCCUCAGUCACUUCCAUGGGAGCAGUGCAAUCCAGACCAGCUUCCUGACCCUCAAGACCGCGCUCCAAGGUCGAUGAGGCGCGGGACGCUGCCCGGGAUGACCCCAACCCGGCAUCGAGCACAUUAGCACAAACAUCCAUCGCGCCACCAUCUGCCGGCUCUGACAACAGAUCUUCUGGAACCAUGUCUUCAAGAGUUUGAUCAAAGUUCCCCAGAGAUAAUUCUUGCAGACCAAUGAGGGCAGACAAGGCAGGAGAAGGCACACCACUACUUUCCCCACUAGCUAUGUAACGCCGGCUGUUCUUCCGAAUCAGAGAGAUUUCGUCCUCUUCUUCAUCAUCCUCAACAACAACAUGGACAACACACCCAUUGGAUGCAAAAACUAGGGCACGGAGCGUGGAGGCGUGCGACAGUGCAGUACAUAUGGGGUUUUCCCGGGCCAGACGCCGUUUCUAAAAAGUGCCCAGUCAUCACCCAGCCGUUAUUUCUAAAACACUGGUGUGCCAUGUCAUCACCCAGCCGUUAUUUCUAAAAUGUUGGCGUGCCAUGUCAUCACUCGGCCAUUAUCUCCAAAACGGCCAACGCGGCCCAAAUUGACUCAGCUGUUGUUUCUAAAAACGCUGACGUUAUUCGACUUCACUCGGACACUACUUUCAAAGCGGCCGACGCGACCCGUUAUCAUUCGGAUGUUACCUCUAAAACGCCGAUGUUGCCAGUAACCGCUCGGUGGUUAUUUCUAAAACACCGACGCGACCCGUUAUCGCUCGGCUAUCACCUCUAAAAGCCCCAACACCGCUGAUAAUCACUCAGCCACCACUACUAAAGCGCUGACAUCGUGAAGAAGGCAGUCUGAAGCACGACUCAACGAUUCUAAGUUGCUAACUCAAGCGUUAUGUUCAGAAACAGUCUCUGCAGUAGGCAUCAACACAAACGACGAUCAACAAGAAGGCAGAAUGAUACGCACAAGAGGGAUUGAAAUCAUUCUUCAUUAUACGGGAAGUACUGCCGAACUUACAAAUCAACUCAUUAUGAGCUGAUGCUUUCCCUUCUACUACAUUACAUUUAACUAACUAUACUACUAGCUACUACUACAUUAUUUCGCUAAUACUAUUUCUACUACUAAUCUACACUAACAUCUAAAACCAAUGGCGUCUAGCCACUGGCCUUGUUGCUGCCCUUGCUGCUGCCCUUGCUGCCACCACCGCCGUCGCCGCCGCCACCCUUGCCGCUGUCGUCACCGCCCUUGCCGCUACCGCCGCCGCUGUUGCCGUCGCCUCCGUCGUCGUCGCCGUCACCGCCGUCACCGCCGCUGCCCUCCUCGGACGAGUCGGAGGAAUUCUCCUCGUCCGAGGAGUACUCCGACUCAUUCGAGCCCUCGAGCCCGGCACGCUCGACGGCCCGGAUGUAGGUCCAUACCUUCGCGGCGAUCCCCUGGGAGUCGUCUGAAUCAUUAGACGACGCUGGGGGAGAAGCAGGAGCCGGAGAGCCCUCGGACUCGGAGGAGAACUCCUCCUCCGAGUAUUCCGAGUCACCGAAGUCCUCCGAGGGAGGAGUCGGCUCGCGCUUGCGCUUGUCGCCCGAGUGAUGCGAAGAGCUGCCACCUCUCUUGCUCUUGCCCAGGGCGGAAGUGGAAGGAAGGAGAGGAGAUGAAACAGCAAGCAGUAGCAAGAAGCAUGAAAACACUGGAGAAGCAAGAGCACUAUUUAUAGAAGAAGAAGGCAACCGCUCACCUCCUACCACGGCCACCGAACAGUCACAAAAAUUCAAUAUGCAAUUCAAACCGUCUGAAGACACGUUAGGUGGCCGACGCCGUUUCACGUAACACGACACCCAUUGGGACUCCAGUCAACUGCGCGGGCGAUAUGAUUACACCCGCGGUCACAUCAAGUUACUACUCAGAAGCAGUUUGCUAAACGCUCAGCGUAUCAAGCCGUCCCUUGCCUACACCCAUUGGGGGGGACGCCCAGAAAUUAUCAGUAUAUUUUCCAAAACUGUCACAUCCGUGCAGAAUAUGCAAUGAAUACUCCAAGACAGAAAAGAGAUACCAACAAGGAUCAAAGGAAAGCCAAAUAUAGCCGAUAAGGUACAAGUCUAAUCGACAGAAGCAUCAAAGCACGAAGUGACAUGAAGACUAGUCAAGAGCCAUCUAUCGAACGUCCAAUCAGUCGCAGAUCAAAUAAAUCGCCAGACCUAGCAAGAUAUGGGUAGAUCGUGUACUCGUCUUCAAAAACAAAAAUGUAUGCUGACCUCUGAAGCAUAACGUUGAUGACAUAAUGCUGACCUCUAAGGCAUUCGACAAAAGAAAAGGAUGAUUCUUAGAAAAAAGCACGAAAUGAAGACCUUCGAGUGGAUUAUUUUCAAAAAUCCACUCGAAGCUCGGGGGCUACACCCAUUGGGUGCACCUUUGGUGCACCCAAUGAGUCAUCAUCCCCGAAGAAGCAAAAUGCUGACCUCUAAAGCACAAGGCAAAGUUAAGGCAAGGCUGACCUCUGAAAAAGCACAAGUGCAAGAUGAAAGUAGUUUUUGAUAAUACCCGAAGUGAAGACCUUCGAGUGGAUUGUCUGCAAAAAUCCACUCAAAGCUCGGGGGCUACACCCACCCAAUGGACUUCACAGUUCGACAGUGCAAAAUGCUGACCUUCGAAGCAUAAACCCGAGACAGAACACCAAAUUUUGAGGAAUAAUAGCAGGAGAAGACAGUAAAAAGAAGACGUGGAUCACUCAGAAUUCUGAAGCAGUGGCCCGGCAGACUUAUUUCCAAAAGCAUUCCCUGGUAAAAUCAAAUACUGCAAGUUGGACCUAGGAUCUUUGGGACGUUUAUUUCAAAAUCAGCCCAAAGAUCGGGGGCUUAUGGUGGACAGAUAUCCCCCGGGUCCACUAGAAGGAUAAAAGACCUCACGAAAUGCCCAAAGGCCCCAUAAUUCGUAAGGUCAUCCCCCUCGUGGGCCUGGGAGGAACGACCAGUGAGACAGAUCAGCACAAGGCCGGGUCGGUGUAAGCCCAGACGACCCAACAACAUCCGAGCAGUAAAUCACAGCAGUGGCCCGACCUUCCCGCACAGGAGCCCCGUACAUCAGAACUGGGCGAGGAUGAGUCGGCUGAAUUAUAGGGAGACAGACUCAGUUAGUUCACUAUUAUUCUGGCUCACGUUGUUAUCAUAUCCACAUGUAAUGCCCCACGGUCGAGUAUAUAAGGCCUAGGGGGCACCCCUUCAAGACGAUCGAGAGAGACAUCAUUCAUCACUUAGCCAUCCACCCCGCUCUCUACGUUUUCCAGCACUAGAGAGCUCCCUUGUAACCCAUCGCAUAAAGCAUUCCAGCCAGGACGUAGGGUGUUACGCAUCUCAAAGCGGCCCGAACCUGUACAUCAUUGUCUACUAUUUCUCGUGCGCCCAGCACGAACCAUCGAGCUACAGUCGGUAACACCGUCCUACUCCUAAAAAGCACCUUGGGGGGUAACCCUGGGUGCGCGGUUGGACCCGAAACACCGACAGCCUCCAUACGAAGAUAUAGUUGCUUCAUAGCUCAUCAGAAAACUGCUUUGGAUCUGAAUUCCCAUCAUACAUGGGAAGCUGAGGUGGCUUAUAUGACGGGGGCCAUGGGGUAGCCUGCAGUUCUGCUGCCAAGGGAGAAGCAUCAUCAAAAGUAAAGGCAUCAUGAUUAAAAUCAUCAUACCAUCCAUCCUCAUUGAAUAGGCCUUCCUGAUGAAGCUCCCUGUGCUGGGGCCUUUGGUUUUGUUCAUCUUGAGCAAGAUGACGCACUUCUUCAGUAGCUUCAUCGAUCUUCCUUUGAAGAUCAACCAGCCGCGCCAUCUUCUCCUUCUUUCUUUGUACUUCCUGAUGGAUGAUCUCCAUAUCCCUGAUCUCUUGGUCCAACUCCUCCUCCUGGAGUGUUGGACUGGUGACUUUUCCUCUUCUGGCUUCGGCCUCUCGGAGAGAGAGAGUCUCCUGGUUUAGGUCCAGCGGCUGCAAUGCAGCAACCCCUAGCACUGAAGCUUUCUUCGGCGGCAUGACGAAGGUCAGUACUUGCCGAAGGUGGUCGAAAGGGUUCACCGGAGGUGGGCGCCAAUGUUGGGGACUUGUUCUCAAAUGCUAUGAGUUAAGAACAAGGCAACACAAAAUGUUAAAUGUUAAUGUUCUUCGUCCUUCGAAGCAUUAUUUCCCUUAGGAUAUAAUGAUCUUCAGACGAAGGUUAUGAAAUACUUACCUUCAUCAACGCGAUAUAUGUUAAUAAAAGAAAAAGCAUAUGAAAUAUAAGAGGAAAGAUAAGUAAUCACAUAACAUUAUUAAUUCAUUAUCAUUAUAUUAUUCUAAAAAGAUAGAGAUAAUAUUGAAUUACAAAUGUACCUUCGACUUGAUAGAAGGCAAAAAGUACAAGCGUGACGCAAAAGCAAGUACAAGUCAGCGUGAACAGUACGGGGGUACUGUUCAUCUAUUUAUAGGCACAGGACGCAGCCUGUGAGAAAUUACAUACAUGCCCUUUACAUUUAUUAUUGACUUAUAUACAAUUCUAUGAGGACUAGAUAGCCUUUUCCCAUUUAAGUCGGUUCCUUUUUCCGCCAUUUAGCCGAAGCUCCCUUGCCCGUAGCUUCGGAGCAACUCCAUCCAUCGUCACGAUCAUGCUUUUUACAUCGUACAUGCUUUUAGCCCGAGUCCGAAGGUACCUGUUCAUAUGUCACACUUGGAUGAUAUUGUUAAAUCACGUUUUUGUGGACCUUCGGAGGACGAAGGCCCCCAACAGUUGCUGGAUCGUUGUCUUCGUAUGAUGUAUUUAUUUAACUAUUUUGUACAGAACUCCUCUUAUAUAGCAAAUAUGUGACAUUCGUUUCUGUACCAUGAGUCAUCAUAUGUAUGAGACUUGAUCCUAGCACACAUUUGAUUCUCGCCCGGAUUUGGCCCUUAAAUCUGGGUGUGACAAAAUAAGAAGUUACAUUUCCAUAUUCUAAUAUGUUAUUGGUUUCCAAGGGUGUUCGAUAAUUAUUUUCUCAAAUAUUGGGAGUAGCAAGCUAUAAAUCAUCCUUACAGUGUGAUACCUGAUUCAUUGAGAAUUACAAAACACAAACAUCAUGAGGAUGGUAUAAUCUCCAAAAAGAGUACUUUGUUAGGUUGGACCCUAUAGCCAUAUAGAAUGUGCACCUAUUAGGCAUGCUAACAAAAAGUGUGACACAUACGUUUUGUGAACCUAUUGAUAUUUUAUGUCUUUUUAUAAUACUAUAUUUUAUUCAAAUACAAAUACUUAUUACUAGUAAAUUAUAAAAUCUAAUUAGCUUGAAAAUUAAUCUUUAAAGAUUCCAUCGUAACUAGAUUGAGCUUAAUAAAAUUAAAUUUUAUGAAUGGUCAAUGAUAACUAUACUUGUUUUCCAUGUCAGUUUGCUUGUAAACAAAUAGACCAAUGCCUCUAUGUUCUACAUGGCAGACGAGGGCCACGCUGGUACCCUGCGCAAGAUAGAGAUGUCAAUAUCGACAUAGUCUAAUUUCCAUUGUUCGUUUAAUAGCCAAUGAAAAUAGUCUAACCAAAACCAACAAAAAUAAACUAGUGUCCAUUGACUAUCUAAGGUCGACAAAAAUUGACCAAUUUUUGUUGUCUUAUCUAAAAGCCCACAUAAAUUAUUUUGGCUCACGAAUGUUUUUUUCCUGUGGUGAGGUAUGUGUUAUACAUAUGCAAGACUUGUUUCACAUAAGGAGUUAGGCCAUAAAAGCAAAAAAUUUGACAUGGAUUGUUAUGAAGGACCAUAACAACUGUUAUUACCAUCUCAAUGCAACAAACAUCUAAUCAACCUUUAAUUAAACUAUUACCAUGAAAAAACUUAGACUUAAAGAACAAAGUUUAACUAAGUAAAGAUUUGUGUUCAUAAAGGUGUUAUUCCCAAUCAUUCACAUGCAUGUUGUAAUCAAUUUGUACCUAAAUAACUAGACAUAAGAAGAGCGGCCAUCUCACGAGAAUCCCUGAAUAAAUUACUAGAACACCAAAUAAAUAGUAGUUUUUUCUAGAAUCGAGAAAACUUGAAUACUCAUUAGCUAGGAAAAAGUGGUGAAUUGCACCUUCCUUCUCUUAUGCUCGAUGCUCUUUCUGCAAGGGUCACUAUCACAACCAUUAUCCCUUGAGUAGUACCAACUACGUGAUUCCAUCGUAUGUAGCUCCUAGUAGUUACACCUAUGGGAAUUAAAAACUCAAUCCUGCAAUUCAACAUAUGCUCAAGCCUACAUGUUUGUUCCUUGUACAUGUGCAGAAGACAAUCAUCAUAGUCUUCAAAUGAUGACCCAUUAUUACUGAUGUCCAUUUUGUUAGCAUGAUUGAUCUCCAAAUACGAUUGAGGAGACACCAUCUUAGGUUGAUUGUGUGCACUGCAAUUCCUGGUGCAAUUAUGGGUAUAUCCCAUGUUUUGUGCUCCUUGUUAGUAUAUAUGAUCAAUAGAUAUCCGAGGCUGCCAGCCUAUUUGUAUAGCACUGGUCAUAUGGCUAGUAUCACAUUUAUUCUUUGUAAAAUGGUCACACUUUCAUGGUAACAUGAGUGGUUGAAAAACAGUAAAUGCGUAUCACACCUGCGCGGCCCACCGUCGCCAAGGUGAGGCGUGACGUGGCAUGGCGCACCACCAUCAUAGUCAUGGUCGUAUUGUAGGGUAGCGUUUUUUGGUUGGGUCCAUAAACUGCGGAUCAUUUUCUAAAUGUAACACUAGGAGUUUCAGAACUUAACUUUAGAAGUCAUAUGUUUGAUGACAAAGAGUUACCUGACCUCUGAUUUCUCGUGCCAUUUGAGCACUCCCAUCCUCUGGUGUCUUCCUGACUGUUCAUCUUUCCUGACUUACCUAUCGAAAUCUCAUCCUAAAAUUUGCUCUUGGUUUGCUUCUCUAUCACUGCUCAGCUGUCACACGAGCACUACAUUCCAACACUUAUGUGCACGAGUUCUAGGGUACCAGGCCUCCAAAAUUAAAGUCGCCCAAGUGUUUAUAUACUUGGGUGAAGGACGAUAAUCACAUUUUGGGGGAAUAUUAGCGAUAUGACUGCUUACUUCCUCCACUUCUUUUUGGUGUUUUUAUGGUGAUUGAGUCAACACAGCAAAAACAACGCACUGCAUCGACCUGUAUGAUUAUAUCAGCUGACAAUUUCUUCGUUAGGUAUGUAUAUUUUGAGGGGCUUAAGAAUAUGUUACUGUUUAUUUUGUUCAUAUUCAUUAUAUUCAAAUCACAUGUGCACCUUUCUAAUGACACCAAUUAUUUAGUAUCAAUUUUCAAGAUUAAAAUGUAAUUAAAUAUGCCUAAGUUUCUAACAAUGGGGAUUGUGUGACUCUUUCAACCAAUUAUUGCACAAGUUAACUAAACUGAAAUUAACAUUGGUGAAUAAUGUUGGUCACUCAUUUUUAAUUGCUGUAUACAAUCAAAAACAAGGCAACACAAUAUUAAAAAAUAUUAUCCUUCGUACUUGAAGUGUUCAACCUUUGGGACAUCCAACUCAGGUACGAAGGUUAUUAUAUAAUCCAUAGGAUUGUCAGAGGAUGAAGAUAAAAAUUACACAAGGUUAUGAUUUUAACGAAGCUAAAUAAGAUUACUCAUCUCAACCAACUCGAGAUCUCUUUCUUCGUAUAAAACAAAUUUACAAUAGUACCUUCGGCUUUUAACGAGAGGGAAAUCCAAAGGUGCCUUAGAAGAAAGAAUUACAUAGAGUUGUUCCCCUGUCUUCUAAAAGGUACUUUAUGCAGGGCAUUGUUCAUCUAUUUAUAGUGUGGUGGUAUAGCUUUGUGUAAAGUUACAAAUAUGUCCAUAAAACUUGUACAUGUAGUUUACAAAUGAUGCAAGGACAGUAUCGUUAUUAUGCCUUUACUGCUUUGAUUACAGAGUCUUGAAAACACCUUCUCCCAGCCUUGUUUCACUUCUACCUUCGUUUUCUUGUGUUGUUAUGACGAAGCCAACAUCUUCGUCUUCCUCCCUGUCCUGCUCCAAAGGUAUUCAGCACCGAAGCACCUGCAACAUUUAAGGAUAUGCUAACAACUAAUAGUUAAAUAUGUUUUUGAGGACCUUCGAAAGACGAAGGACCCCAACAAAUACUACCAUAAAUUAUUUUUUCUAGUGCAAAAUAGCCCAACCAAGCAGCACCUAUGUGGCUAAUGUUACACAUGUGUGAAGGUGAAUGGAUCACGCCAUUCUCACCCAUGUAUUUGGACAAUACCAAGAGGAAAAGACCACUUAUUUAUUGUAUUGUAUAGAGAGAGUCUUUCUUACAUAUAAGUUAUAACACAACAAAUUGGUCACUAAAUGUCAAAGCCAACUAGAUACCACAUCAUCUCUAGCUUAUCUUACUAAUAUUCUUUUGGCAAAAUCCAAAAUCAAUCUACAUAAGCACAAGGUCUAACAUGUGUAUAAAUACCUCCUAGAUUAGUCGGUAAUCCAUCAACCAUAUUAUUGAGACCAACAAGCAACAUAGAAAGUGGAAUACAGUAGCAACAAUAGAGCAACAAUGGCGGCCAAGAUAUUUUCCAUCCUUAUGCUCCUUGCUCUUUCUGCAUGUGUUGCUAACGCGACCAUUUUUCCUCAAUACUCACAAGCUCCUAUAGCUGCCCUUCUUCCCCCAUACCUUCCAUCAAUGACCGCUUCAGUAUGUGAAAACCCAGCCCUUCAACCCUACAGGCUCCAACAAGCAAUCGCAAAAAGCAACUUACCUUUAUCACCCCUGUUCUUUCAACAAUCGCCAGCCCUAUCUUUGGUGCAGUCAUUGGUACAAACCAUCAGGGCACAACAGCUGCAACAACUCGUGCUACCAGUGAUCAGCCAAGUAGCUCUAGCAAACCUUUCUCCCUACUCUCAACAACAACAAUUUCUUCCAUUCAACCAACUGUCUACACUGAACCCUGCUGCUUAUUUAUAGCAACAACAACUACUACCAUUCAGCCAGCUAGCUACUGCUUACUCUCAACAGCAACAAUUUCUUCCAUUUAACCAAUUGGCCGCACUGAACCCCUCUGCUUAUUUCCAGCAGCAAAUACUACUACCAUUUGGCCAGCUAGCUACAACAAGCCCCGCUUCCUUUUUGACACAACAACAAUUGCUUCCGUUCUACCAGCAGUUUGUGGCUAACCCCGCAACUCUCUUACAACUGCAACAGUUGCUGCCCUUUGUCCAACUUGCUUUGACAAACCCAGCAGCCUUCUACCAACAACACAUCAUUGGCGGUGCCAUCUUUUAGAUUGCUUAUUAGUUGUAAUUCAAUAAUGAAGUUUUUUGGCUGAUGUAUGGGGCCUCCUAGAAAUAAGAAGUUACAUUUCCAAAUUCUAAUGUGCUAUUGGUCUGCAAGGGUGUUCGAUAAUUAUUUUCCCUAAGAUUGGGAAGCAAGCUAUAAAUCAUCCUUAUAGUGUGAUACCCGAUUCAUUGAGAAUUAUAAAACACAAACAUCACGAGGAUGGUAUAAUCUCCAAAGAGCGUACUUUUUAGGUUGGACCCUACAACCAUACAAAAUGUGCACCUGUUAGGCAUGCCGAUCAAAACGUGUGACACAUACGUUUCAUGAACCUAUCGAUAUUUUAUCUGUUUUUAUAAUAUUAUAUUUUAUUCAAAUACUAAUACUUAUUACUCGUAAAUCAUAAAAUCUAAUUAGCUUGAAAACUAAUUUUUAAAGAUUCCAUUGUAACUAGAUUGAGCUUAAUAAAUUUAAAUUUUAUGAAUGGUCGAUGAUAAUUAUACUUGCUUCCAAUGUUAGUUUGCUUGUAAAUAUGCUAGACCAAUGCCUCUUUGUUCUACAUGGUAGAUAAGGGCCACACUUGUACGCUGCUCAAGAUAGAGACGUCAACAUCAGCAUAAUCUAAUUUCCAUUGUUCGUCUAAUAGCCAAUGAAAAUAGUCUGACCAAAACUAACAAAAAUAAACUAGUGUCCAUUGGCUAUCGAAGGCCGAUAAAAAUUGACCAACUUUUGUUGUCUUAUCUAAAAGCCCACAUAAACUAUUUUGGCUCAUGAAAGUUUCUUUUUCCUGCGGUGAGCUAUGUGCUAUACAUAUGCAGGCCUUGUUUCACAUAAGGAGUUAGGCCAUAAAAGCAAAAUUUUUACAUGGAUUGUUAUGAAGGACCAUAACAACUGUGACUACCGUCUCAAUGCAAGAAACAUCUAAGUAACCUUUAAUUAAACUAUUACCUUGAAAAAACUUAGACUUAAAGAACAAAGUUUAAGUAAGUAAAGGUUUGUGUUCAUAAAAGUGUUAUUCCAGAUCAUUCACAUGCAUGUUGUAAUCAUUUUGUACCUAAAUACCUAGACAGAAGAAGAGCGGCCAUCUCACGAGAGUCCCUGAAUAAACUACUAGAACACCAAAUAAAUAGUAGUUUUUUCUAGAACCGAGAAAACUUGAAUACUCAUUAGCUAGGAAAAAGUGGUGAAUUGCACCUUCCUUCUCUUAUGCUCGAUGCUCUUUCUGCAAGUGUCACUAUCACAACCAUUAUCCCUUGAGUAGUACCAUCUAUCUGAUUCCAUCGUAUGUAGCUCCUAUGUAACACCCUCUCCAAUCCCUAGACCGGCGGUACUUACUCCUGACACCUCUCUAGGAUCAUAUAUUGUCCCCACAGACCAACACGAGUCUUUUGUGCAUACUUUGUCUUCACUCAUGCGCACCCGAGAAAACUUCCCGGUCGGUCACCCAUCCCAAAUUUCUCCAAGCCAAGCACGCUUAACUUGGAGGUUCUUUCGAGAUAUGUUUUCGAAAAAGAAGAUGCACCUUGUUGGUAUGGAUACUCUAUUAAUUCUAUUAAGCCUUGGGCCAUGAAAUCACCAUCCCAGGGGCCAGGAUAUCACAAUCCACCCCUCUUAGAAGACCGACAUCCUCGUCGGUCAACCCCAAUCUAGGAACCUUCUCUCUUAGCCACGUCUGUGUGUUUAGUGUCGUCAUAUGCCAUGCCAUGUGACCACUCUGGGCCCACAUGCGCCAUGUGCCAUAUACCCGAACCCCCUAACCCACACAUGCCCGUGAAACCGUGAGGGUCAGCUCUGAUACCACUUGUAACACCCCGUCCAAUCCCUGGACCGGCGGUACUUACUCUUGGCAGCUCUCUAGGAUCAUAUAUUGUCCCCACAAACCAACACGAGUCUUUUGUGCACACUUUGUCCUCACUCAUGCGCAUCCAAUAAAACUUCUCGGUCGGUCACCCAUCCCAAAUUGCUCCAAGCCAAGCACGCUUAACCUGGAGGUUUUUUCGAGAUAGGCUUCCAAAAAAGAAGAUGCACCUUGUUGGUAUGGAUACUCUAUUAAUUCUAUUAAGCCUUGGGCUAGGAAAUCACCAUCCAGGGGCCAGGAUAUCAUAUCCUAGUAGUUACACCUAUGGGAAUUAAAAACUCGAUCCUGCAAUUCAACAUAUGUUCAAGCAAACAUGUUUGUUCCUUGUACAUGUGCAGAAGACAAUCAUCAUAGUCUUCAAAUGACGACCCAUUAUUACUGAUGUCCAUUUUGUCAGCAUAUAUGAUCUCCAACUACGAUUGAGGAGACGUCAUCUUAGGUUGAUUGUGUGCACUGCACUUCCUGGUGCAAUUAUGGGUAUAUCCCAUGUUUUUUGCUCCUUGUUAGUAUAUAUGAUCACUAGCUAUCCGAGGUUGCCAGCCUAUUUGUAUAGCACUGGUCAUAUGGCUAGUAUCGCAUUUAUUCUUUGCAAAAUGGUUACACUUUCAUGGUAACAUGAGUGGUUGAAAAACAGUAAAUGUGUAUCACACCUGCGCCCCCCACCGCCGCCAAGGUGAGGCGUGACGUGGCAUGGUGCCACCAUCAUAGUCAUGGUCGUAUUGUAGGGUAGCAUUUUUUGGUUGGGUACAUAAACUGCGGAUCAGUUUCUAAAUGUAACACUAGGAGUUUCAGAACUUAACUUUAGAAGUCAUAUGUUUGAUGACAAAGAGUUACCUGACCUCUGAUUUCUCGUGCCAUUUGAGCACUCCCAUACUCUGGUGUCUCCCUGACUAUUCAGCUUUCCUGACUUACCUAUCGAAAUCUCAUCCUAAAAUUUGCUCUUGGUUUGCUUCUCUAUCACUGCUCAGCUGUCACAUGAGCACUACAUUCCAAUACUUAUGUGCACGAGUUCUAGGAGACCAGGCCUCCGAAAUUAAAGUCGUUCAAGUGUUUAUAUACUCAGGUGAAGGACGACAAUCACAUUUUGGGGGAAUAUUAGCGAUAUGACUGCUUACUUCCUCCACUUCUUUUUGGUGUUUUUAUGGUGAUUGAUACAACACAGCAAAAACAACGCACUGCAUCGACCUGUAUGAUUAUAUCAGCUGACAAUUUCUUUGUUAGGUAUGUAUAUUAUGAGGGGCUUAAAACUAUGUUACUGUUUAUUUUGUUCAAAUUCAUUAUAUUCAAAUCACAUGUGCACCUUUCUAAUGACAACAAUUAUUUAGUAUCAAUUUUCAAGAUUAAAAUGCAAUUAAAUCUGCCUAAGUUUCUAACAAUGGGGAUCGUGUGACUCUUUCAACUGAUUAUUGCACAACUUAACUAAACUGAAAUUAACAUUGGUGAAUAAUGUUGGUCACUCAUUUUUAAUUGUUGUAUACAAUCAAAAACAAGGCAACACAAAAUUAAAAAAGAUAUUAUCCUUCGUACUUGAAGUGUUCAUCCUUCGGGACAUCCAACUCAGGUACGAAGGUUAUUAUACAAUCUACAGGAUUGUCAGAAGAUGAAGAUAAAGAUUACACAAGGUUAUGGUUUUAAUGAAGCUAAAUAAUAUUACUCAUCUCAAACAACUCGGGAUCUCUUUCUCUGUAUAAAACAAAUUUACAAUAGUACUGAAAGGGAAUUAGGCUUACACCUAGUUCCUAAAUAAUUUUGGUGGUUGAAUUGCCCAACACAAAUAAUUGGACUAACUUGUUUGCUCUAGUGCAUAAGUUAUACAGGUGUAAAAGGUUCACUCUUAGUCAAUAAAAUGUUCAAGUAUUGGGAUCAACAAAGGAGCAAAGGGUCAACCGAAGGCACCUCUGGUUGGGGCACCGGACUGUCCGGUGUACACCGGUCAGUGUCCGGUGCACCAGAGGACUCCAACUCGAACUCGUCGCCUUCGGGAAUUUUCAGAGGCACUCCGCUAUAAUUCAUCGGACUGUCCGGUGUACACCGGACAGUGUUCGGUGCUCCAAGGAAGAGCGGCCUCAGGAACUCGCCAGCUUCGGGAAAUCGCAGCGGCUGCUCCGCUAUAAUUCACAGGACAUGUCCGGUGUACACCGGACUGUCCGGUGCAACUGCGGAGCAACGACUACUUCGCGCCAACGGUCACCUGCAGGCGCAUUCAAUGUGCGCCAGAAGCGCGCAGAAGGCAGGCACGCCCAUGCUGGCGCACCAGACACUCUAUAGUACAUGUCCGGUGCGCCACCGUACAUCCAGGCGGGCCCAGAAGACAGAGCUCCAACGGUCGAAUCCCAACGGCGUUGGUGACGUGGCUGGCGCACCGGACAUGUCCGGUGUGCACCGGACUGUCCGGUGCACCAUACGACAGACAGCCUCCACCAACGGUCAUGUUUGGUGGUUGGACCUAUAAAUACCCCAACCACCCCACCAUUCAUUGCAUCCAAGUUUUCCAGCUUCCAACCACUAUACAAGAGCUAGCAUUCAUUGCAAAGCACACCAAAGAGAUCAAAUCCUCUCCCAACUCCACACAAAGCUUUAGUGACUAGAGAGAGUGAUUUGUAGUGUUCAUUUGAGCUCUUGCGCUUGGAUCACUUCUUUUCUUUCGCAUUCUUUCUUGAGAUCAUACUCACUUGUAAUUGAGGCAAGAGACACCAAUUGUGUGGUGAUCCUUGCGGGAAGCUUGAUUCCCAAGUGAUUUGAGAAAAGAAGCUCACUUGGUCCGAGGGACCGUUUGAGAGAGGGAAAGGGUUGAAAGAGACCCGGUCUUUGUGACCACCUCAACGGGGAGUAGGUUUGCGAGAACCGAACCUCGGUAAAACAAAUCCUUGUGUCACAUCCCUUAUUUGCUCGAGAUUUGUUUUGCACCCUCUCUUGCGGACUCAUUUUUAUUUCUAACGCUAACCCGACUUGUAGUUGUGUUUAUAUUUGUAAAUUUUAGUUUCGCCCUAUUCACCCCCCCUCUAGGCGACUAUCAAUUGGUAUCGGAGCCCAGUGCUUCAUUAGAGCCUAACCGCUCGAAGUGAUGUCGGGAGAUCACGCCAAGAAGGAGAUGGAGACCGGCGAAAAGCCCACUACAAGCCACGGGAGCACUUCAUCGGAAGAGUCCUGCAUCAAGAGGAAGGAGAAGAAGAAGGACUCCUCCAAAGGAAAGGAGAAGAAGAAGGACUCCUCCAAAGGGAAGGAGAAGAAAUAUUCUUCACACCACAAAGAGAAGAAGGAGAAAUCCUCUUCCCACAAGCCGCAUCGGAGUGAGGACAAGAAAAAGAGGAUGAGAACGGUGGUCUACUACGAGACCGAUUCUUCAUCGGCAUCCACCUCCGGAUCCGACACGGCGUCCGUCACUUCUAAGCGCCAAGAGCGCAAGAAGUAUAGUAAGAUCCCCCUAUGCUACCCUCGCAUUUCUAAACAUACACCUUUACUUUCCGUCCCAUUAGGCAAACCACCAACAUUUGAUGGUGAAGAUUAUGCUAGGUGGAGUGAUUUAAUGCGAUUUCAUCUAACCUCACUCCACAAAAGUAUAUGGGAUGUUGUUGAGUUUGGUGCACAGGUACCAUCCAUAGGGGAUGAAAACUAUGAUGAGGAUGAAGUAGCCCAAAUCGAGCACUUCAACUCCCAAGCCACAACCAUACUCCUCGCCUCUCUAAGUAGAGAGGAAUAUAACAAGGUGCAAGGGUUGAUGAAUGCGAAGGAGAUUUGGGAUCUACUCAAGACCGCGCACGAGGGUGAUGAACUCACCAAGAUCACCAAGCGGGAAACGAUCGAGGGGAGCUCGGUCGCUUUCGUCUUCGCCAAGGGGAGGAGCCACAAGAUAUGUACAACCGGCUCAAAACCUUGGUGAACCAAGUGCGCAACCUCGGGAGCAAGAAAUGGGAUGACCACGAGGUGGUUAAGGUUAUUCUUAGAUCACUCAUCUUCCUUAACCCCACUCAAGUUCAAUUAAUUCGUGGUAAUCCUAGAUAUACACUAAUGACCCCCGAGGAAGUUAUCGGGAAUUUUGUGAGCUUUGAAUGUAUGAUCAAGGGCUCAAAGAAAAUCAACGAGCUUGAUGAUCCCUCCACGUCCGAAGCACAACCGGUGGCUUUCAAGGCGACGGAGGAGAAGAAGGAGGAGUCUACACCAAGUAGACAACCAAUCGACGCCUCCAAACUCGACAAUGAGGAAAUGGCGCUCGUCAUCAAGAGCUUCCGCCAAAUCCUCAAACAAAGGAGGGGGAAAGACUACAAGCCCCGCUCCAAGAAGGUUUGCUACAAAUGUGGUAAGCCCGGUCAUUUUAUUGUCAAAUGUCCUAUAUCCAGUGGCAGUGACCGGGGCGACGACAAGAAGGGGAGAAGAAAGGAGAAGAAGAAAUACUACAAGAAGAGGGGCGGCGAUGCCCAUGUUUGUCGGGAGUGGGACUCCGACGAAAGCUCUAGCGACUCCUCCGACGACGAGGACGCCGCCAACAUCGCCAUCACCAAGGGACUCCUCUUCCCCAACGUCGGCCACAAGUGCCUCAUGGCAAAGGACGGCAAAAAGAAGAAGGUUAAAUCAAAAUCCUCCACUAAAUAUGAAUCUUCUAGUGAUGAUAAUGCUAGUGAUGAGGAAGAUAAUUUGCGUACUCUUUUUGCCAACCUUAACAUGGAACAAAAGGAAAAAUUAAAUGAAUUAAUUAGUGCCAUCCAUGAGAAGGAUGAUCUCUUGGACUCCCAAGAGGACUUCCUAAUCAAGGAAAAUAAAAAACAUGUUAAGGUUAAGAAUGCUUAUGCACUAGAGGUAGAAAAAUGUGAGAAAUUAACUAGUGAGCUAAGCACAUGCCAUGACACUAUUGCCAACCUUAGAAAUGAAAAUGCUAAUUUGUUAGCUAAGGUUGAUUCUCAUAUUUGUAAUGUUUCAACUUCCAAUUCUAGAGAUGAUAAUGUUGAUUUACUUGCUAGGAUUGAAGAUUUGAACAUUUCACUUGCUAGCCUUAGAAAUGAAAAUGAAAAAUUGCUUGCUAAGGCUAAAAGUUUUGAUGUUUGCAAUGCUACUAUUUCCGAUCUUAGAAGUAAAGAUAUUAAUGUUGAUGCUAUACAUGAUCACAUGACUUUAAUUAAACAACAAAAUGAUCAUAUAACUAAAUUAGAUGCUAAAAUUGCCGAGCAUAACUUAGAAAAUGAAAAAUUUAAAUUUGCUAGAAGUAUGCUCUAUAGUGGGAGACGCCCUGGCAUCAAGGAUGGCAUUGGCUUCCAAAGGGGAGACAAUGUCAAACUUAAUGCCCCUCCUAAAAGAUUGUCUAACUUUGUUAAGGUCAAGGCUCCCAUGCCUCAGGAUAACGAGGGUUACAUUUUAUACCCUGCUGGUUAUCCUGGGGACAAAAUUAGGAGAAUUCAUUCUAGGAAGUCUCACUCUGGCCCUAACCAUUCUUUUAUGUAUAAGGGUGAGACAUCUAGCUCUAGGCAACCAACCCGUGCUAAGUUGCCUAAGAAGAAAACUCCUAGUGCAUCAAAUGAACAUAGCCUUUCAUUUAAAACUUUUGAUGCAUCUUAUGUGUUGACUAACAAAUCCGGCAAGGUUGUUGCCAAGUAUGUUGGGGGCAAACACAAGAGCUCCAAAACUUGUGUUUGGGUUCCCAAAGUUCUUGUUUCUAAUGCCAAAGGACCCAAAACCGUUUGGGUACCUAAAGUCAAGAACUAAAAUUGUUUUGUAGGUUUAUGCAUCCAGGGGCUCAAGUUGGAUACUCGACAACGGGUGCACAAACCAUAUGACAGGGGAGAAGAAGAUGUUCUCCUCCUACGAGAAAAACAAGGAUCCCCAACGAGCUAUCACAUUUGGGGAUGGAAAUCAAGGUUUGGUCAAAGGCUUGGGUAAAAUAGCUAUAUCCCCUGACCAUUCCAUUUCCAAUGUUUUUCUUGUUGAUUCAUUAGAUUACAAUUUGCUUUCUGUAUCUCAAUUAUGCAAAAUGGGCUACAACUGUCUCUUUACUGAUGUAGGUGUCACUGUCUUUAGAAGAAGUGAUGAUUCAAUAGCAUUUAAGGGUGUGUUAGAGGGUCAGCUAUACUUAGUAGAUUUUGAUAAAGCUGAACUCGACACAUGCUUAAUUGCUAAGACUAACAUGGGUUGGCUCUGGCACCGCCGACUAGCCCAUGUUGGGAUGAAGAAUCUUCAUAAGCUUCUAAAGGGAGAACACAUUUUAGGACUAACAAAUGUUCAUUUUGAGAAAGACAGGGUUUGUAGCGCAUGCCAAGCAGGAAAGCAAGUUGGUGCUCAUCAUCAACACAAGAACAUCAUGACGACCGACAGGCCGCUUGAGCUACUCCACAUGGAUCUAUUCGGCCCGAUAGCUUACAUAAGCAUCGGCGGGAGUAAGUAUUGUCUUGUAAUUGUGGAUGAUUAUUCUCGCUUCACUUGGGUGUUCUUUUUGCAGGAAAAAUCUCAAACCCAAGAAACCUUAAAGGGAUUCUUGAGAUGAGCUCAAAACGAGUUCGGCUUAAGGAUCAAGAAAAUUAGAAGCGACAACGGGACGGAGUUCAAGAACUCUCAAAUCGAAGGCUUCCUUGAGGAGGAGGGCAUCAAGCAUGAGUUCUCUUCUCCCUACACGCCACAACAAAAUGGUGUAGUGGAGAGGAAGAAUAGAACUCUAUUGGACAUGGCAAGAACCAUGCUUGAUGAGUACAAGACUUCGGAUCGGUUUUGGGCCGAGGCGGUCAACACCGCCUGCUACGCCAUCAACCGGUUAUAUCUACACCGAAUCCUCAAGAAGACGUCUUAUGAACUCCUAACCGGUAAAAAGCCCAAUAUUUCAUAUUUUAGAGUCUUUGGUAGCAAAUGUUUUAUUCUUGUUAAAAGAGGUAGGAAAUCUAAAUUUGCUCCUAAGACUGUAGAAGGCUUUUUACUAGGAUAUGAUUCAAACACAAGGGCAUAUAGAGUCUUUAACAAGUCCACUGGACAAGUUGAAGUUUCUUGUGACGUUGUGUUUGAUGAGACUAACGGCUCUCAAGUAGAGCAAGUUGAUCUUGAUGAGAUAGGUGAUGAAGAGGCUCCGUGCAUUGCACUAAGGAACAUGUCCAUUGGGGAUGUGUGUCCUAAGGAAUCCAAAGAGCCUCCAAAUACACAAGAUCAACCAUCCUCCUCCACGCAAGCAUCUCCACCGACUCAAAAUGAGGAUGAAGCUCAAGUUGAUGAAGUAGAAGAUCAAGCAAAUGAGCCACCUCAAGAUGAUGGCAAUAAUCAAGGGGGAGAUACAAAUGAUCAAGACAAGGAGGAUGAAGAGCAAAGGCCGCCACACCCAAGAGUCCACCAAGCAAUCCAACGAGAUCACCCCGUCGACACCAUCCUCGGCGACAUUCAUAAGGGGGUAACCACUAGAUCUCGUAUUGCACAUUUUUGUGAGCAUUACUCCUUUGUUUCCUCUAUUGAGCCCCACAGGGUAGAGGAAGCACUCCAAGAUUCGGAUUGGGUAGUGGCGAUGCAAGAGGAGCUCAACAACUUCACUAGGAAUGAGGUAUGGCAUUUAGUUCCACGUCCUAAUCAAAAUGUUGUAGGAACCAAAUGGGUCUUCCGCAACAAGCAACAUGAGCAUGGUGUGGUGACAAGGAACAAAGCUCGACUUGUGGCCAAAGGAUACUCCCAAGUCGAAGGUUUGGAUUUCGGUGAAACCUAUGCACCCGUAGCUAGGCUUGAGUCAAUUCGCAUAUUAUUGGCCUAUGCUACUUACCAUGGCUUUAAGCUUUAUCAAAUGGACGUGAAAAGUGCCUUCCUCAAUGGACCAAUCAAGGAAGAGGUCUAUGUUGAGCAACCUCCCAGCUUUGAAGACAGUGAGUAUCCUAAUCAUGUCUAUAAGCUCUCUAAGGCGCUUUAUGGGCUCAAGCAAGCCCCAAGAGCAUGGUAUGAAUGCCUUAGAGAUUUUCUUAUUGCAAAUGGAUUCAAAGUUGGAAAGGCCCAUCCUACUUUAUUCACUAAAACUCUUGAAAAUGACUUGUUUGUAUGCCAAAUUUAUGUUGAUGAUAUUAUAUUUGGGUCUACAUGUGAAGAGUUUAGUGGGAUCAUGACACAAAAGUUUGAGAUGUCUAUGAUGGGGGAGUUGAAGUAUUUCUUAGGAUUUCAAGUGAAGCAACUCCAAGAAGGCACCUUCCUAAGCCAAACAAAGUACACUCAAGACAUUCUAAACAAGUUUGGGAUGAAGGAUGCCAAGCCCAUCAAGACACCCAUGGGAACCAAUGGGCAUCUUGACCUCGACACGGGAGGUAAGUCCGUGGAUCAAAAGGUAUAUCGGUCGAUGAUAGGUUCUUUACUCUAUUUAUGUGCAUCUCAACCGGAUAUUAUGCUUUCCGUAUGCAUGUGUGCAAGAUUCCAAGCAGACCCUAAGGAAGCUCACCUUACGGCCGUAAAACGAAUCUUGAGAUAUUUGGCUUACACUCCUAAGUUUGGGCUUUGGUAUCCUAAGGGAUCCACAUUUGAUUUGAUUGGUUAUUCGGAUGCCGAUUGGGCGGGGUGCAAAAUCAAUAGGAAGAGCACAUCGGGGACUUGCCAGUUCUUGGGAAGAUCCUUGGUGUCUUGGGCUUCAAAGAAGCAAAAUUCGGUCGCUCUUUCCAACGCCGAAGCAGAGUACAUUGUCGCAGGCCAUUGUUGCGCGCAAUUGCUUUGGAUGAGGCAAACCCUGCGGGACUACGGUUACAAAUUAACCAAAGUGCCUUUGCUAUGUGAUAAUGAGAGUGCAAUCAAGAUGGCGGAUAAUCCCGUUGAGCAUAGCCGCACUAAACACAUAGCCAUUCGGUAUCAUUUUCUUAGGGAUCACCAACAAAAGGGAGAUAUCGAGAUUUCAUACAUCAAUACUAAAGAUCAAUUAGCCGAUAUCUUUACCAAGCCUCUUGAUGAACAAACUUUUAACAAACUUAGGCAUGAGCUCAAUAUUCUUGAUUCGCGCAAUUUCUUUUGCUAAAUUGCACACAUACCUCAUUUGAAUUCCUUUGAUCAUGUCUCUUUCAUAUGCUAUGACUAAUGUGUUUUUCAAGUCUAUUUCAAACCAAGUCAUAGGUGUAUUGAAAGGAAAUUGGGGUCUUCGGCGAAGACAAAGGCUUCCACUCCGUAACUCAUCCUUCGCCGUUACUCCAUGCAUCUCUCCAUUCUUUGGGGAGAAAGCGUGAGCACCAAGCAAAAAGACUUCGUCUUUGGUAUAAUCUUAACUCACUUAUUUAUGACUAAAGGGGAAGAAAGUACUUCAAGGGCUCUAAUGAUUCCGUUUUUGGCGAUUCAUGCCAAAGGGGGAGAAAGUAUGAGCCCAAAGCAAAAGGACCGCACCACCAGUAUGAGCCCAAAGCAAAAGGACCGCACCACCACCUAAUUUUAAAAUUGGAGAUUUUCAAUUAGUAAAUUUCAAAUUGGUAUCUUAUUAUGUUCAAAAGGGGGAGAAAGUAGCAUUUCAAAAAAUGAUAUAUCAAAACCCUCUUGAACAUUAAGAGGAGGAUCUCAUUUAGGGGGAGUUUUGUUUAGUCAAAGGAAAAGCAUUUGAAACAGGGGGAGAAAAUUUCAAAUCUUGAAAAUGCUUCAUAAAAUCGUAUUCAUUUACCUCUGACUAUUUGCAAAAGAACUUUUGAAAAGGAUUUACAAAAGAGUUUGCAAAAACAAAACAUGUGGUGCAAGCGUGGUCCAAAAUGUUCAAAACAAAGGAACAAUCCAUGCAUAUCUUGUAAGUAUUUAUAUUGGCUCAAUUCCAAGCAACCUUUGCACUUACAUUAUGCAAACUAGUUCAAUCAUGCACUUCUAUAUUUGCUUUGUUUUGUGUUGGCAUCAAUCACCAAAAAGGGGGAGAUUGAAAGGGAAUUAGGCUUACACCUAGUUCCUAAAUAAUUUUGGUGGUUGAAUUGCCCAACACAAAUAAUUGGACUAACUAGUUUGCUCUAGUGCAUAAGUUAUACAGGUGUAAAAGGUUCACUCUUAGUCAAUAAAAUGUUCAAGUAUUGGGAUCAACAAAGGAGCAAAGGGUCAACCGAAGGCACCUCUGGUCUGGGGCACCGGACUGUCCGGUGUACACCGGACAGUGUCCGGUGCGCCACCGGACAGUGUCCGGUGCACCAGAGGACUUGAAAGGGAAAUGUGCCCUUGGGCCAUUUCUAAGUAUUUUGGUGAUUGAGUGCCAACUCAAGUGCUUAAAAUGUGAAUUUAUGCAAUGGAUGAACAAAGUGCAAAUCAAGAGCAAAGGUAUGUUUCUAAGUCUUAGUACAUUGGUUUUGUGUACUAAUAUACUUGUCUAAGUGUUAGAAACAGGAAGAGGAAGAGAAGAAGAAAGUUGGCUGUGUACAGCCAAGGGACUGCUUCGGUCUGGGGCACCGGACUGUCCGGUGGUGCACCGGACAGUGUCCGGUGCGCCAGGCUCCCUCGGCCGAAGAGCCCGCUCUCGGGAAUUUGCUGACGGCGUACGGCUAAAAUUCACCGGACUGUCUGGUGUGCACCGGACUGUCCGGUGAGCCAACGGUCGGCCGAGCCAACGGUCGGCCGCGGAAUCUGCGCGCGACACGUGGUCUGGCCAACGGUCGGAAGGAAGCACCGGACUGUCCGGUGUGCACCGGACUGUCCGGUGCGCCAGAUCUGCAACGGUCGGCAACGGUCGGUUUCGCUGUUUAUGGAAAUAAAUCGGGCACCGGACAGUGUCCGGUGUGCACCGGACUGUCCGGUGCGCCCGACGACAGAAGGCAAGGAUAGCCUUCCAGAUGUGUUCUCAACGACUCCUAGCUGCCUUGGGGCUAUAAAAGGGACCCCUAGGUGCAUGGAGAAGAACACCAAGCAUUCCUACAACACUCCUAAGCACCAAGACAUCGAUCUCGCGCAUUUGUUUCAUUGUGAUAGCAUAUAGAGCUCUUGUGGAGUUGUGAACUCUUUGAGUUGUGUUGCGAGCUCUUGUUGCGACUUGUGUGCGUGCUGUUGCUCUGAUCUUUUGAAGUCUUGUGUGUGUUGCUCAUCCCCUUCCUUACUCCGUGAUUCUUUGUGAACAUCAAAAGUGUAAGGGCGAGAGGCUCCAAGUUGUGGAGAUUCCUCGCAAACGGGAUUGAGAAAAGAAAAGCAAGAACACCGUGGUAUUCAAGUUGAUCAUUGGAUCACUUGAGAGGAGUUGAGUGCAACUCUCGUCCGUUGGGACGCCACAACGUGGAGUAGGCAAGUUUUUGUACUUGGCCGAACCACGGGAUAACCACCGUGUCAUCUCUGUGAUUGAUUUCUUGUGGUUAUUGUGUUUUGACUCCUCUCUAGCCACUUGGCCAUACUUGUGCUAACCCUUAACAAGUUUCUGUGGCUUAAGCUUUGAAGUUUUACAGGAUCACCUAUUCACCCCCCCCUCUAGGUGCACUCAAUUGGUAUCAGAGCCGUUCUCUUCAAGAAAGGGACUAGCCGCCCGAAGAGAUGGAUCCUAAGGGGAAGGGAAUCGUGAUCAACGAUAAGGAGAAGGAGUCCUUCGUCAAUGAGCUCAAAGAUGACAAGCCUACCGACUCCGGCUCGGGUCAUAGACGAAAGGAAGGGAAGAAGAAGAAGACGAGGCGCAUCAAGGAGAUCGUCUACUACGACGACAGUGAUGAGUCUACUUCUUCCCAAAAGGACGACGACCACAACGACUACGAGCAAAGGAAACCGGUUAAUUCUAACUUUUCCUUUGACUACUCUCGUAUUCCGCAAAGCUCAAAUUCACAUUUGCUUUCCAUUCCACUCGGCAAGCCCCCAUACUUUGAUGGGAGGACUACGGAUUUUGGAGCCACAAAAUGCGUAGUCACCUAUUUUCUCUCCAUCCUAGUAUAUGGGAGAUUGUAGAUAGUGGAAUGCACUUUAAUAGUUCAGAUAGUCCUAUAUUCAUUAAUGAGCAAAUCCAUAAGAAUGCACAAGCUACUACUGUUCUUCUAGCUUCAUUGUGCAGGGAUGAAUAUAACAAAGUGAGUGGCUUGGAUAACGCCAAGCAAAUCUGGGAUACCCUCAAGAUCUCUCAUGAGGGAAAUGACGCUACCUUGCUCACCAAAAUGGAGUUGGUGGAGGGCGAGCUUGGACGGUUCGCGAUGAUAAGGGGCGAGGAGCCAACUCAAACAUACAACCGGCUCAAGACCCUUAUCAACAAAAUAAGGAGCUACGGAAGCACGCGAUGGACGGACCACGACGUCGUCCGACUAAUGCUAAGGUCCUUUACCGUUCUUGAUCCUCAUUUGGUGAAUAAUAUUCGUGAGAAUCCCAGGUACACCAAAAUGUCGCCCGAAGAAGUCUUAGGAAAAUUCGUCAGCGGGCGAAUGAUGAUCAAGGAGGCAAGAUACGUGGACGACGCCUUGAAUGGACCGAUCAACGAACCACAACCUUUUGCUCUCAAAGCAUCAAGAAGUAAGGAGGCGCUACCUAGCAAGGUGGCACAAAUUGAGGCGGUCGGACUUAAUGAUGAAGAGAUGGCUCUCAUCAUCAAACGCUUCAAGACGGUACUAAAGGGUCACAAGGGGCAGCCAAGCAAGACCAAGACGAAGGGAAGCGCUCAUGCUUCAAGUGCGGUAAGAUUGGUCAUUUUAUCGCUAACUGCCCCGAUAAUGAUAGUGAUCAGGAAAAGGGAAACAAGAGGGAAAAGAAGAAGCAUUACAAGAAGGCAAAGGGCGAGGCGCAUCUAGGCAAGGAGUGGACUCGGAUUGCUCCUCUUCCGACUCCGACAAUGAAGGACUCGCCGCCACCGCCUUCAACAAAUCAACCCUCUUCCCCACGAGCGACACACAUGCCUUAUGGCAAAGGAGAAGAAGGUAUGUACUCGCAACUCUACCUAUGCUUCUUCAAGUGAGGACGAAUCUAGUGAUGAGGAUGAAGUAGAUUAUUCAUGUUUGUUCAAGGGCUUAGAUAGAUCUAAGAUAGACAAAAUUAAUGAAUUAAUUGAUGCCUUGAAUGAAAAGAAUAUACUUUUAGAAAAGCAAGAGGAUUUGUUGUAUGAAGAACAUGAUAAGUUUGUAGAGGCUCAAAAAUCCCUUGCAUUAGAAAUUAAGAGGAAUGAAAUGCUUGCCUGUGAAGUGUCAACAUGCCAUGAUUCUAUUUCUAACUUAAAGAGCAUAAACGAUGAUUUAAAUGCUAAACUAGUAAAAGCACAAAAUCCAAUCUUGUGUUGAACAUGUUGAAAUUUGCACUAGGUGUAAGGAUGUUGAUAUUAAUGCCUGUAGUGAACACUUAGUUUCCAUUUCAAAUUGAGUGAUGAAGUGGCUAGUCUUAAUGCUCAACUUAAGACUAGCAAAAGUGAUUUUGAAAAACUAAAUUUGCUAGGGAUGCCUACACGGUUGGUAGACACCCCUCAAUUAAGGAUGGACUUGGCUUCAAGAGGGAAGCCAAGAACUUAACAAGCCAUAAGGCUCCCAUUCCCGCCAGGAGAAAGGGAAGGCCCCUAUGGCUACUAGUGCUAAAGGAACCAUGCCUUUUUGUAUCAUGAUAAAGACAACUAGAAAUAGAAGUUAUGAUGCUUUGAUUCAUAUGUUUAUGAUUCUCAUGCCAUGUUUGCUCCUAGUUCUUCUUAUGUGUAUGAUAGAAAUGUUACUAGGAGAAAUGUUGUUCCUAAAAGAAUGUUGCAAAUGUUCAUAGAAAGUAGUGAAUGAACCCUCUACAAUUUAUUGUGCUUUGAAUGCUUCAUUUGCAAUUUGUAGAAAGGAUAGAAAGUAAUUGUAGGAAGUUAGGGGCAAAAUGCAAAGGUGAUAAAACUUGCAUUUGGGUCCCUAAGGAAAUUGUGACUAACCUUGUAGGACCCAACAAGAGUUGGUACCUAAGUCCCAGCCUAAAUUUGCCUUGCAGGUUUAUGCAUCCGGGGUUCAAGCUAGAUUAUUGAUAGCGGAUGCACAAACCAUAUGACGGGGGAGAAGAAGAUGUUCACCUCCUACGUCAAGAAUAAGGAUUCCAAGAUUCAAUUAUAUUCGGUGAUGGGAAUCAAGGCAAGGUAAAAGGGUUAGGUAAAAUUGCGAUUUCUAAUGAGCAUUCUAUCUCUAAUGUAUUUUUAGUAGAGAGUCUUGGAUAUAAUUUGCUAUCUGUUAGUCAAUUAUGUCAUAUGGGGUAUAACUGUCUAUUUACAAUGUAGAUGUGUCUGUCUUUAGAAGAAGUGAUGGUUCACUAGCCUUUAAGGGUGUAUUAGACGGCAAACUUUUAUUUAGUUGAUUUUGCAAAAGAAGAGGCCGGUCUAGAUGCAUGCUUAAUAGCUAAGACUAGCAUGGGCUGGCUGUGGCAUCGCCGCUUAGCACAUGUGGGAUGAAGAACCUUCACAAGCUUCUAAAGGAGAACACGUGAUAGGUCUAACUAAUGUUCAAUUCGAAAAAGAUAGACCUUGUGCAGCUUGUCAAGCAGGGAAACAGGUGGGAGGCUCUCAUCACACAAAAAUGUGAUGACGACAUCAAGACCCUUGGAGAUGCUGCAUAUGGACCUUUUUGGACCCGUCGCCUAUCUGAGCAUAGGAGGAAGUAAGUAUGGUUUAGUUAUUGUUGAUGACUUUUCCCGCUUCACUUGGGUGUUCUUUUUGCAGGAAAAGUCCGAAACCCAAGGACUCUCAAACGCUUCCUCAGGAGAGCUCAAAAUGAGUUUGAGCUCAAAGUGAAGAAGAUAAGGAGCGACAACGGAUCCGAGUUCAAGAACCUUCAAGUGGAGGAGUUCCUUGAAGAGGAAGGGAUCAAGCACGAGUUCUCCGCUCCUACACACCACAACAAAUGGUGUGGUAGAGAGGAGAACAGGACGCUCAUCGAUAUGGCGAGGACGAUGCUAGGAGAGUUCAAGACCCCCGAGUGCUUUGGACGGAAGUCGUUAACACUGCUUGCCACGCCAUCAACAGGGUCUACCUUCAUCGCCUCCUCAAGAAGACGUCGUAUGAGCUACUAACCGGUAACAAACCCAAUGUAUCGUACUUUCGUGUAUUGGGAGUAAAUGCUACAUUCUAGUGAAGAAGGGUAGAAAAUCUAAGUUUGCUCCCAAAGCUGUAGAAGGGUUUUUGUUAGGUUAUGACUCAAAUACAAAGGCGUAUAGAGUCUUCAACAAAUCAUCGGGUUUGGUUGAAGUCUCUAGCGACGUUGUAUUUGAUGAGACUUAUGGCUCUCCAAGAGAGCAAGUUGUUGAUUAUGAUGAUGUAGAUGAAGAAGAUGUUUCCGACGGCCGCUAUACGAACCAUGGCGAUUGGAGAAGUACGGCCACAGGAACAAGAUGAAUGAAAUCAACCUUCUUCCUCAACUAGGGUGCAUCCCUCAACCGAAGAUGACGAACAGGUACCUCAAGUGGAGGGNNNNNNNNNNNNNNNNNNNNNNNNNNNNNNNNNNNNNNNNNNNNNNNNNNNNNNNNNNNNNNNNNNNNNNNNNNNNNNNNNNNNNNNNNNNNNNNNNNNNCUUGGUCCGAGGGACCGUUUGAGAGGAAAGGGUUGAAGAGACCCGGUCUUUUGACCCUCAACGGGAGUAGGUUUGCGAGAACCGAACCUCGGUAAAACAAAUCCUUGUGUCACAUCCCUUAUUUGCUCGAGAUUUGUUUUGCACCCUCUCUUGCGGACUCAUUUAUUCUAACGCUAACCCGAUUGUAGUGUGUGUAUAUAUUUGUUAAAUUUCAGUUUCGCCCUAUUCACCCCCCUCUAGGCGACUAUCAAUUGGUAUCGGAGACCCAGGUCUUCAUUAGAGCCUAACCGCUCGAAGUGAUGUCGGGAGAUCACGCCAAGAAGGAGAUGGAGACCGGCGAAAAGCCCACUACAAGCCACGGGAGCACUUCAUCGGAAGAGUCCUGCAUCAAGAGGAAGGAGAAGAAGAAGGACUCCUCCAAAGGAAAGGAGAAGAAGAAGGACUCCUCCAAAGGGAAGGAGAAGAAAUAUUCUUCACACCACAAAGAGAAAAGGAGAAAUCCUCUUCCCACAAGCCGCAUCGGAGUGAGGACAAGAAAAAGAGGAUGAGAACGGUGGUCUACUACGAGACCGAUUCUUCAUCGGCAUCCACCUCCGGAUCCGACACGGCGUCCGUCACUUCUAAGCGCCAAGAGCGCAAGAAGUAUAGUAAGAUCCCCCUAUGCUACCCUCGCAUUUUAAACAUACACCUUUACUUUCCGUCCCAUUAGGCAAACCACCAACAUUUGAUGGUGAAGAUUAUGCUAGGUGGAGUGAUUUAAUGCGAUUUCAUCUAACCUCACUCCACAAAAGUAUAUGGGAUGUUGUUGAGUUUGGUGCACAGGUACCAUCCAUAGGGGAUGAAAACUAUGAUGAGGAUGAAGUAGCCCAAAUCGAGCACUUCAACUCCCAAGCCACAACCAUACUCCUCGCCUCUCUAAGUAGAGAGGAAUAUAACAAGGUGCAAGGGUUGAUGAAUGCGAAGGAGAUUUGGGAUCUACUCAAGACCGCGCACGAGGGUGAUGAACUCACCAAGAUCACCAAGCGGGAAACGAUCGAGGGGAGCUCGGUCGCUUUCGUCUUCGCCAAGGGGAGGAGCCACAAGAUAUGUACAACCGGCUCAAAACCUUGGUGAACCAAGUGCGCAACCUCGGGAGCAAGAAAUGGGAUGACCACGAGGUGGUUAAGGUUAUUCUUAGAUCACUCAUCUUCCUUAACCCCACUCAAGUUCAAUUAAUUCGUGUAAUCCUAGAUAUACACUAAUGACCCCCGAGGAAGUUAUCGGGAAUUUUGUGAGCUUUGAAUGUAUGAUCAAGGGCUCAAAGAAAAUCAACGAGCUUGAUGAUCCCUCCACGUCCGAAGCACAACCGGUGGCUUUCAAGGCGACGGAGGAGAAGAAGGAGGAGUCUACACCAAGUAGACAACCAAUCGACGCCUCCAAACUCGACAAUGAGGAAAUGGCGCUCGUCAUCAAGAGCUUCCGCCAAAUCCUCAAACAAAGGAGGGGGAAAGACUACAAGCCCCGCUCCAAGAAGUUUGCUACAAAUGUGGUAAGCCCGGUCAUUUUAUUGUCAAAUGUCCUAUAUCCAGUGGCAGUGACCGGGGCGACGACAAGAAGGGAGAAGAAAGGAGAAGAAGAAAUACUACAAGAAGAGGGGCGGCGAUGCCCAUGUUUGUCGGGAGUGGGACUCCGACGAAAGCUCUAGCGACUCCUCCGACGACGAGGACGCCGCCAACAUCGCCAUCACCAAGGGACUCCUCUUCCCCAACGUCGGCCACAAGUGCCUCAUGGCAAAGGACGGCAAAAAGAAGAAGGUUAAAUCAAAAUCCUCCACUAAAUAUGAAUCUUCUAGUGAUGAUAAUGCUAGUGAUGAGGAAGAUAAUUUGCGUACUCUUUUUGCCAACCUUAACAUGGAACAAAAGGAAAAAUUAAAUGAAUUAAUUAGUGCCAUCCAUGAGAAGGAUGAUCUCUUGGACUCCCAAGAGGACUUCCUAAUCAAGGAAAAUAAAAAACAUGUUAAGGUUAAGAAUGCUUAUGCACUAGAGGUAGAAAAAUGUGAGAAAUUAACUAGUGAGCUAAGCACAUGCCAUGACACUAUUGCCAACCUUAGAAAUGAAAAUGCUAAUUUGUUAGCUAAGGUGAUUCUCAUAUUUGUAAUGUUUCAACUUCCAAUUCUAGAGAUGAUAAUGUUGAUUUACUUGCUAGGAUUGAAGAUUUGAACAUUUCACUUGCUAGCCUUAGAAAUGAAAAUGAAAAAUUGCUUGCUAAGGCUAAAAGUUUUGAUGUUUGCAAUGCUACUAUUUCCGAUCUUAGAAGUAAAAAUGAAAUAUUGCAUGCUAAGGUUGUAGAACUAAAAUCUUGCAAACCCUCUACAUCUACCGUUGAGCACACUUCUAUUUGUACUAGAUGUAGAGAUAUUAAUGUUGAUGCUAUACAUGAUCACAUGACUUUAAUUAAACAACAAAAUGAUCAUAUAACUAAAUUAGAUGCUAAAUUGCCGAGCAUAACUUAGAAAAUGAAAAAUUUAAAUUUGCUAGAAGUAUGCUCUAUAGUGGGAGACGCCCUGGCAUCAAGGAUGGCAUUGGCUUCCAAAGGGGAGACAAUGUCAAACUUAAUGCCCCUCCUAAAAGAUUGUCUAACUUUGUUAAGGUCAAGGCUCCCAUGCCUCAGGAUAACGAGGGUUACAUUUUAUACCCUGCUGGUUAUCCUGGGGACAAAAUUAGGAGAAUUCAUUCUAGGAAGUCUCACUCUGGCCCUAACCAUUCUUUUAUGUAUAAGGGUGAGACAUCUAGCUCUAGGCAACCAACCCGUGCUAAGUUGCCUAAGAAGAAAACUCCUAGUGCAUCAAAUGAACAUAGCCUUUCAUUUAAAACUUUUGAUGCAUCUUAUGUGUUGACUAACAAAUCCGGCAAGGUUGUUGCCAAGUAUGUUGGGGCAAACACAAGAGCUCCAAAACUUGUGUUUGGGUUCCCAAAGUUCUUGUUUCUAAUGCCAAAGGACCCAAAACCGUUUGGGUACCUAAAGUCAAGAACUAAAAUUGUUUGUAGGUUUAUGCAUCCAGGGGCUCAAGUUGGAUACUCGACAACGGGUGCACAAACCAUAUGACAGGGGAGAAGAAGAUGUUCUCCUCCUACGAGAAAAACAAGGAUCCCCAACGAGCUAUCACAUUUGGGAUGGAAAUCAAGGUUUGGUCAAAGGCUUGGGUAAAAUAGCUAUAUCCCCUGACCAUUCCAUUUCCAAUGUUUUUCUUGUUGAUUCAUUAGAUUACAAUUUGCUUUCUGUAUCUCAAUUAUGCAAAAUGGGCUACAACUGUCUCUUUACUGAUGUAGGUGUCACUGUCUUUAGAAGAAGUGAUGAUUCAAUAGCAUUUAAGGGUGUGUUAGAGGGUCAGCUAUACUUAGUAGAUUUUGAUAAAGCUGAACUCGACACAUGCUUAAUUGCUAAGACUAACAUGGGUUGGCUCUGGCACCGCCGACUAGCCCAUGUUGGGAUGAAGAAUCUUCAUAAGCUUCUAAAGGGAGAACACAUUUUAGGACUAACAAAUGUUCAUUUUGAGAAAGACAGGGUUUGUAGCGCAUGCCAAGCAGGAAAGCAAGUUGGUGCUCAUCAUCAACACAAGAACAUCAUGACGACCGACAGGCCGCUUGAGCUACUCCACAUGGAUCUAUUCGGCCCGAUAGCUUACAUAAGCAUCGGCGGGAGUAAGUAUUGUCUUGUAAUUGUGGAUGAUUAUUCUCGCUUCACUUGGGUGUUCUUUUUGCAGGAAAAAUCUCAAACCCAAGAAACCUUAAAGGGAUUCUUGAGAUGAGCUCAAAACGAGUUCGGCUUAAGGAUCAAGAAAAUUAGAAGCGACAACGGGACGGAGUUCAAGAACUCUCAAAUCGAAGGCUUCCUUGAGGAGGAGGGCAUCAAGCAUGAGUUCUCUUCUCCCUACACGCCACAACAAAAUGGUGUAGUGGAGAGGAAGAAUAGAACUCUAUUGGACAUGGCAAGAACCAUGCUUGAUGAGUACAAGACUUCGGAUCGGUUUUGGGCCGAGGCGGUCAACACCGCCUGCUACGCCAUCAACCGGUUAUAUCUACACCGAAUCCUCAAGAAGACGUCUUAUGAACUCCUAACCGGUAAAAAGCCCAAUAUUUCAUAUUUUAGAGUCUUUGGUAGCAAAUGUUUUAUUCUUGUUAAAAGAGGUAGGAAAUCUAAAUUUGCUCCUAAGACUGUAGAAGGCUUUUUACUAGGAUAUGAUUCAAACACAAGGGCAUAUAGAGUCUUUAACAAGUCCACUGGACAAGUUGAAGUUUCUUGUGACGUUGUGUUUGAUGAGACUAACGGCUCUCAAGUAGAGCAAGUUGAUCUUGAUGAGAUAGGUGAUGAAGAGGCUCCGUGCAUUGCACUAAGGAACAUGUCCAUUGGGGAUGUGUGUCCUAAGGAAUCCAAAGAGCCUCCAAAUACACAAGAUCAACCAUCCUCCUCCACGCAAGCAUCUCCACCGACUCAAAAUGAGGAUGAAGCUCAAGUUGAUGAAGUAGAAGAUCAAGCAAAUGAGCCACCUCAAGAUGAUGGCAAUAAUCAAGGGGGAGAUACAAAUGAUCAAGACAAGGAGGAUGAAGAGCAAAGGCCGCCACACCCAAGAGUCCACCAAGCAAUCCAACGAGAUCACCCCGUCGACACCAUCCUCGGCGACAUUCAUAAGGGGGUAACCACUAGAUCUCGUAUUGCACAUUUUUGUGAGCAUUACUCCUUUGUUUCCUCUAUUGAGCCCCACAGGGUAGAGGAAGCACUCCAAGAUUCGGAUUGGGUAGUGGCGAUGCAAGAGGAGCUCAACAACUUCACUAGGAAUGAGGUAUGGCAUUUAGUUCCACGUCCUAAUCAAAAUGUUGUAGGAACCAAAUGGGUCUUCCGCAACAAGCAACAUGAGCAUGGUGUGGUGACAAGGAACAAAGCUCGACUUGUGGCCAAAGGAUACUCCCAAGUCGAAGGUUUGGAUUUCGGUGAAACCUAUGCACCCGUAGCUAGGCUUGAGUCAAUUCGCAUAUUAUUGGCCUAUGCUACUUACCAUGGCUUUAAGCUUUAUCAAAUGGACGUGAAAAGUGCCUUCCUCAAUGGACCAAUCAAGGAAGAGGUCUAUGUUGAGCAACCUCCCAGCUUUGAAGACAGUGAGUAUCCUAAUCAUGUCUAUAAGCUCUCUAAGGCGCUUUAUGGGCUCAAGCAAGCCCCAAGAGCAUGGUAUGAAUGCCUUAGAGAUUUCUUAUUGCAAAUGGAUUCAAAGUUGGAAAGGCCCAUCCUACUUUAUUCACUAAAACUCUUGAAAAUGACUUGUUUGUAUGCCAAAUUUAUGUUGAUGAUAUUAUAUUUGGGUCUACAUGUGAAGAGUUUAGUGGGAUCAUGACACAAAAGUUUGAGAUGUCUAUGAUGGGGGAGUUGAAGUAUUUCUUAGGAUUUCAAGUGAAGCAACUCCAAGAAGGCACCUUCCUAAGCCAAACAAAGUACACUCAAGACAUUCUAAACAAGUUUGGGAUGAAGGAUGCCAAGCCCAUCAAGACACCCAUGGGAACCAAUGGGCAUCUUGACCUCGACACGGGAGGUAAGUCCGUGGAUCAAAAGGUAUAUCGGUCGAUGAUAGGUUCUUUACUCUAUUUAUGUGCAUCUCAACCGGAUAUUAUGCUUUCCGUAUGCAUGUGUGCAAGAUUCCAAGCAGACCCUAAGGAAGCUCACCUUACGGCCGUAAAACGAAUCUUGAGAUAUUUGGCUUACACUCCUAAGUUUGGGCUUUGGUAUCCUAAGGGAUCCACAUUUGAUUUGAUUGGUUAUUCGGAUGCCGAUUGGGCGGGGUGCAAAAUCAAUAGGAAGAGCACAUCGGGGACUUGCCAGUUCUUGGGAAGAUCCUUGGUGUCUUGGGCUUCAAAGAAGCAAAAUUCGGUCGCUCUUUCCAACGCCGAAGCAGAGUACAUUGUCGCAGGCCAUUGUUGCGCGCAAUUGCUUUGGAUGAGGCAAACCCUGCGGGACUACGGUUACAAAUUAACCAAAGUGCCUUUGCUAUGUGAUAAUGAGAGUGCAAUCAAGAUGGCGGAUAAUCCCGUUGAGCAUAGCCGCACUAAACACAUAGCCAUUCGGUAUCAUUUUCUUAGGGAUCACCAACAAAAGGGAGAUAUCGAGAUUUCAUACAUCAAUACUAAAGAUCAAUUAGCCGAUAUCUUUACCAAGCCUCUUGAUGAACAAACUUUUAACAAACUUAGGCAUGAGCUCAAUAUUCUUGAUUCGCGCAAUUUCUUUUGCUAAAUUGCACACAUACCUCAUUUGAAUUCCUUUGAUCAUGUCUCUUUCAUAUGCUAUGACUAAUGUGUUUUUCAAGUCUAUUUCAAACCAAGUCAUAGGUGUAUUGAAAGGAAAUUGGGGUCUUCGGCGAAGACAAAGGCUUCCACUCCGUAACUCAUCCUUCGCCGUUACUCCAUGCAUCUCUCCAUUCUUUGGGGAGAAAGCGUGAGCACCAAGCAAAAAGACUUCGUCUUUGGUAUAAUCUUAACUCACUUAUUUAUGACUAAAGGGGAAGAAAGUACUUCAAGGGCUCUAAUGAUUCCGUUUUUGGCGAUUCAUGCCAAAGGGGGAGAAAGUAUGAGCCCAAAGCAAAAGGACCGCACCACCAGUAUGAGCCCAAAGCAAAAGGACCGCACCACCACCUAAUUUUAAAAUUGGAGAUUUUCAAUUAGUAAAUUUCAAAUUGGUAUCUUAUUAUGUUCAAAAGGGGGAGAAAGUAGCAUUUCAAAAAAUGAUAUAUCAAAACCCUCUUGAACAUUAAGAGGAGGAUCUCAUUUAGGGGGAGUUUUGUUUAGUCAAAGGAAAAGCAUUUGAAACAGGGGGAGAAAAUUUCAAAUCUUGAAAAUGCUUCAUAAAAUCGUAUUCAUUUACCUCUGACUAUUUGCAAAAGAACUUUUGAAAAGGAUUUACAAAAGAGUUUGCAAAAACAAAACAUGUGGUGCAAGCGUGGUCCAAAAUGUUCAAAACAAAGGAACAAUCCAUGCAUAUCUUGUAAGUAUUUAUAUUGGCUCAAUUCCAAGCAACCUUUGCACUUACAUUAUGCAAACUAGUUCAAUCAUGCACUUCUAUAUUUGCUUUGUUUUGUGUUGGCAUCAAUCACCAAAAAGGGGGAGAUUGAAAGGGAAUUAGGCUUACACCUAGUUCCUAAAUAAUUUUGGUGGUUGAAUUGCCCAACACAAAUAAUUGGACUAACUAGUUUGCUCUAGUGCAUAAGUUAUACAGGUGUAAAAGGUUCACUCUUAGUCAAUAAAAUGUUCAAGUAUUGGGAUCAACAAAGGAGCAAAGGGUCAACCGAAGGCACCUCUGGUCUGGGGCACCGGACUGUCCGGUGUACACCGGACAGUGUCCGGUGCGCCACCGGACAGUGUCCGGUGCACCAGAGGACUUGAAAGGGAAAUGUGCCCUUGGGCCAUUUCUAAGUAUUUUGGUGAUUGAGUGCCAACUCAAGUGCUUAAAAUGUGAAUUUAUGCAAUGGAUGAACAAAGUGCAAAUCAAGAGCAAAGGUAUGUUUCUAAGUCUUAGUACAUUGGUUUUGUGUACUAAUAUACUUGUCUAAGUGUUAGAAACAGGAAGAGGAAGAGAAGAAGAAAGUUGGCUGUGUACAGCCAAGGGACUGCUUCGGUCUGGGGCACCGGACUGUCCGGUGGUGCACCGGACAGUGUCCGGUGCGCCAGGCUCCCUCGGCCGAAGAGCCCGCUCUCGGGAAUUUGCUGACGGCGUACGGCUAAAAUUCACCGGACUGUCUGGUGUGCACCGGACUGUCCGGUGAGCCAACGGUCGGCCGAGCCAACGGUCGGCCGCGGAAUCUGCGCGCGACACGUGGUCUGGCCAACGGUCGGAAGGAAGCACCGGACUGUCCGGUGUGCACCGGACUGUCCGGUGCGCCAGAUCUGCAACGGUCGGCAACGGUCGGUUUCGCUGUUUAUGGAAAUAAAUCGGGCACCGGACAGUGUCCGGUGUGCACCGGACUGUCCGGUGCGCCCGACGACAGAAGGCAAGGAUAGCCUUCCAGAUGUGUUCUCAACGACUCCUAGCUGCCUUGGGGCUAUAAAAGGGACCCCUAGGUGCAUGGAGAAGAACACCAAGCAUUCCUACAACACUCCUAAGCACCAAGACAUCGAUCUCGCGCAUUUGUUUCAUUGUGAUAGCAUAUAGAGCUCUUGUGGAGUUGUGAACUCUUUGAGUUGUGUUGCGAGCUCUUGUUGCGACUUGUGUGCGUGCUGUUGCUCUGAUCUUUUGAAGUCUUGUGUGUGUUGCUCAUCCCCUUCCUUACUCCGUGAUUCUUUGUGAACAUCAAAAGUGUAAGGGCGAGAGGCUCCAAGUUGUGGAGAUUCCUCGCAAACGGGAUUGAGAAAAGAAAAGCAAGAACACCGUGGUAUUCAAGUUGAUCAUUGGAUCACUUGAGAGGAGUUGAGUGCAACUCUCGUCCGUUGGGACGCCACAACGUGGAGUAGGCAAGUUUUUGUACUUGGCCGAACCACGGGAUAACCACCGUGUCAUCUCUGUGAUUGAUUUCUUGUGGUUAUUGUGUUUUGACUCCUCUCUAGCCACUUGGCCAUACUUGUGCUAACCCUUAACAAGUUUCUGUGGCUUAAGCUUUGAAGUUUUACAGGAUCACCUAUUCACCCCCCCCCUCUAGGUGCACUCAAUUGGUAUCAGAGCCGUUCUCUUCAAGAAAGGGACUAGCCGCCCGAAGAGAUGGAUCCUAAGGGGAAGGGAAUCGUGAUCAACGAUAAGGAGAAGGAGUCCUUCGUCAAUGAGCUCAAAGAUGACAAGCCUACCGACUCCGGCUCGGGUCAUAGACGAAAGGAAGGGAAGAAGAAGAAGACGAGGCGCAUCAAGGAGAUCGUCUACUACGACGACAGUGAUGAGUCUACUUCUUCCCAAAAGGACGACGACCACAACGACUACGAGCAAAGGAAACCGGUUAAUUCUAACUUUUCCUUUGACUACUCUCGUAUUCCGCAAAGCUCAAAUUCACAUUUGCUUUCCAUUCCACUCGGCAAGCCCCCAUACUUUGAUGGGGAGGACUACGGAUUUUGGAGCCACAAAAUGCGUAGUCACCUAUUUUCUCUCCAUCCUAGUAUAUGGGAGAUUGUAGAUAGUGGAAUGCACUUUAAUAGUUCAGAUAGUCCUAUAUUCAUUAAUGAGCAAAUCCAUAAGAAUGCACAAGCUACUACUGUUCUUCUAGCUUCAUUGUGCAGGGAUGAAUAUAACAAAGUGAGUGGCUUGGAUAACGCCAAGCAAAUCUGGGAUACCCUCAAGAUCUCUCAUGAGGGAAAUGACGCUACCUUGCUCACCAAAAUGGAGUUGGUGGAGGGCGAGCUUGGACGGUUCGCGAUGAUAAGGGGCGAGGAGCCAACUCAAACAUACAACCGGCUCAAGACCCUUAUCAACAAAAUAAGGAGCUACGGAAGCACGCGAUGGACGGACCACGACGUCGUCCGACUAAUGCUAAGGUCCUUUACCGUUCUUGAUCCUCAUUUGGUGAAUAAUAUUCGUGAGAAUCCCAGGUACACCAAAAUGUCGCCCGAAGAAGUCUUAGGAAAAUUCGUCAGCGGGCGAAUGAUGAUCAAGGAGGCAAGAUACGUGGACGACGCCUUGAAUGGACCGAUCAACGAACCACAACCUUUUGCUCUCAAAGCAUCAAGAAGUAAGGAGGCGCUACCUAGCAAGGUGGCACAAAUUGAGGCGGUCGGACUUAAUGAUGAAGAGAUGGCUCUCAUCAUCAAACGCUUCAAGACGGUACUAAAGGGUCACAAGGGGCAGCCAAGCAAGACCAAGACGAAGGGAAAGCGCUCAUGCUUCAAGUGCGGUAAGAUUGGUCAUUUUAUCGCUAACUGCCCCGAUAAUGAUAGUGAUCAGGAAAAGGGAAACAAGAGGGAAAAGAAGAAGCAUUACAAGAAGGCAAAGGGCGAGGCGCAUCUAGGCAAGGAGUGGGACUCGGAUUGCUCCUCUUCCGACUCCGACAAUGAAGGACUCGCCGCCACCGCCUUCAACAAAUCAACCCUCUUCCCCAACGAGCGACACACAUGCCUUAUGGCAAAGGAGAAGAAGGUAUGUACUCGCAACUCUACCUAUGCUUCUUCAAGUGAGGACGAAUCUAGUGAUGAGGAUGAAGUAGAUUAUUCAUGUUUGUUCAAGGGCUUAGAUAGAUCUAAGAUAGACAAAAUUAAUGAAUUAAUUGAUGCCUUGAAUGAAAAGAAUAUACUUUUAGAAAAGCAAGAGGAUUUGUUGUAUGAAGAACAUGAUAAGUUUGUAGAGGCUCAAAAAUCCCUUGCAUUAGAAAUUAAGAGGAAUGAAAUGCUUGCCUGUGAAGUGUCAACAUGCCAUGAUUCUAUUUCUAACUUAAAGAGCAUAAACGAUGAUUUAAAUGCUAAACUAGUAAAAGCACAAAAAUCCAACUCUUGUGUUGAACAUGUUGAAAUUUGCACUAGGUGUAAGGAUGUUGAUAUUAAUGCCUGUAGUGAACACUUAGUUUCCAUUUCAAAAUUGAGUGAUGAAGUGGCUAGUCUUAAUGCUCAACUUAAGACUAGCAAAAGUGAUUUUGAAAAACUAAAAUUUGCUAGGGAUGCCUACACGGUUGGUAGACACCCCUCAAUUAAGGAUGGACUUGGCUUCAAGAGGGAAGCCAAGAACUUAACAAGCCAUAAGGCUCCCAUUCCCGCCAAGGAGAAAGGGAAGGCCCCUAUGGCUACUAGUGCUAAAAGGAACCAUGCCUUUUUGUAUCAUGAUAAAAGACAAACUAGAAAUAGAAGUUAUGAUGCUUUUGAUUCAUAUGUUUAUGAUUCUCAUGCCAUGUUUGCUCCUAGUUCUUCUUAUGUGUAUGAUAGAAAUGUUACUAGGAGAAAUGUUGUUCCUAAAAGAAAUGUUGCAAAUGUUCAUAGAAAAGUAGUGAAUGAACCCUCUACAAUUUAUUGUGCUUUGAAUGCUUCAUUUGCAAUUUGUAGAAAGGAUAGAAAAGUAAUUGCUAGGAAGUUAGGGGCAAAAUGCAAAGGUGAUAAAACUUGCAUUUGGGUCCCUAAGGAAAUUGUGACUAACCUUGUAGGACCCAACAAGAGUUGGGUACCUAAGUCCCAAGCCUAAAUUUGCCUUGCAGGUUUAUGCAUCCGGGGGUUCAAGCUAGAUUAUUGAUAGCGGAUGCACAAACCAUAUGACGGGGGAGAAGAAGAUGUUCACCUCCUACGUCAAGAAUAAGGAUUCCCAAGAUUCAAUUAUAUUCGGUGAUGGGAAUCAAGGCAAGGUAAAAGGGUUAGGUAAAAUUGCGAUUUCUAAUGAGCAUUCUAUCUCUAAUGUAUUUUUAGUAGAGAGUCUUGGAUAUAAUUUGCUAUCUGUUAGUCAAUUAUGUCAUAUGGGGUAUAACUGUCUAUUUACAAAUGUAGAUGUGUCUGUCUUUAGAAGAAGUGAUGGUUCACUAGCCUUUAAGGGUGUAUUAGACGGCAAACUUUAUUUAGUUGAUUUUGCAAAAGAAGAGGCCGGUCUAGAUGCAUGCUUAAUAGCUAAGACUAGCAUGGGCUGGCUGUGGCAUCGCCGCUUAGCACAUGUGGGGAUGAAGAACCUUCACAAGCUUCUAAAGGGAGAACACGUGAUAGGUCUAACUAAUGUUCAAUUCGAAAAAGAUAGACCUUGUGCAGCUUGUCAAGCAGGGAAACAGGUGGGAGGCUCUCAUCACACCAAAAAUGUGAUGACGACAUCAAGACCCUUGGAGAUGCUGCAUAUGGACCUUUUUGGACCCGUCGCCUAUCUGAGCAUAGGAGGAAGUAAGUAUGGUUUAGUUAUUGUUGAUGACUUUUCCCGCUUCACUUGGGUGUUCUUUUUGCAGGAAAAGUCCGAAACCCAAGGGACUCUCAAACGCUUCCUCAGGAGAGCUCAAAAUGAGUUUGAGCUCAAAGUGAAGAAGAUAAGGAGCGACAACGGAUCCGAGUUCAAGAACCUUCAAGUGGAGGAGUUCCUUGAAGAGGAAGGGAUCAAGCACGAGUUCUCCGCUCCCUACACACCACAACAAAAUGGUGUGGUAGAGAGGAAGAACAGGACGCUCAUCGAUAUGGCGAGGACGAUGCUAGGAGAGUUCAAGACCCCCGAGUGCUUUUGGACGGAAGUCGUUAACACUGCUUGCCACGCCAUCAACAGGGUCUACCUUCAUCGCCUCCUCAAGAAGACGUCGUAUGAGCUACUAACCGGUAACAAACCCAAUGUAUCGUACUUUCGUGUAUUUGGGAGUAAAUGCUACAUUCUAGUGAAGAAGGGUAGAAAAUCUAAGUUUGCUCCCAAAGCUGUAGAAGGGUUUUUGUUAGGUUAUGACUCAAAUACAAAGGCGUAUAGAGUCUUCAACAAAUCAUCGGGUUUGGUUGAAGUCUCUAGCGACGUUGUAUUUGAUGAGACUAAUGGCUCUCCAAGAGAGCAAGUUGUUGAUUAUGAUGAUGUAGAUGAAGAAGAUGUUCCGACGGCCGCUAUACGAACCAUGGCGAUUGGAGAAGUACGGCCACAGGAACAAGAUGAAUGAGAUCAACCUUCUUCCUCAACUAGGGUGCAUCCCUCAACCGAAGAUGACGAACAGGUACCUCAAGUGGAGGCGCUUGAUCAAGGGGGAGCACAAGAUGAUCAAGUGAUGGAGGAAGAAGCGCAACCGGCACCUCCAACCCAAGUUCGAGCGAUGAUUCAAAGGGAUCAUCCUGUCGAUCAAAUUCUGGGUGACAUUAGCAAGGGAGUAACUACUCGAUCUCGAUUAGUUAAUUUUUGUGAGCAUUACUCCUUUGUCUCUUCUAUUGAGCCUUUCAGGGUAGAGGAGGCCUUGCUAGAUCCGGAUUGGGUAUUGGCCAUGCAGGAGGAGCUCAACAACUUCAAGCGCAAUGAAGUUUGGACCCUGGUGCCUCGUCCGAAGCAAAAUGUUGUGGGAACCAAGUGGGUGUUCCGCAACAAACAGGACGAGCACGGGGUGGUGACGAGGAACAAGGCUCGACUUGUGGCAAAAGGUUAUGCCCAAGUCGCAGGUUUGGACUUUGAGGAGACUUUCGCUCCUGUGGCUAGGCUAGAGUCCAUUCGUAUCUUGCUAGCAUAUGCCGCUCACCACUCUUUCAGGUUGUACCAAAUGGAUGUGAAGAGCGCUUUCCUCAACGGGCCAAUCAAGGAGGAAGUGUACGUGGAGCAACCCCCUGGCUUCGAGGAUGAACGAUACCCCGACCAUGUGUGUAAGCUCUCUAAGGCGCUCUAUGGACUUAAGCAAGCCCCAAGAGCAUGGUAUGAAUGCCUUAGAGACUUUUUACUUGCUAAUGCUUUCAAGGUUGGGAAGGCCGAUCCAACUCUUUUUACAAAGACAUGUGAUGGUGAUUUGUUUGUGUGCCAAAUUUAUGUCGAUGACAUAAUAUUUGGUUCUACUAACCAAAAGUCUUGUGAAGAGUUUAGCACGGUGAUGACGCAGAAAUUCGAGAUGUCAAUGAUGGGCGAGUUGAACUACUUCCUUGGGUUCCAAGUGAAGCAACUCAAGGACGGCACCUUCAUCUCCCAAACGAAGUACACUCAAGAUCUGCUAAAGCGGUUUGGGAUGAAGGACGCCAAGCCCGCAAAGACUCCGAUGGGGACCGACGGACACACCGACCUCAACAAAGGAGGUAAGUCCGUUGAUCAAAAAGCAUACCGGUCAAUGAUAGGUUCUUUGCUUUAUUUAUGUGCUAGUAGACCGGAUAUUAUGCUUAGCGUAUGCAUGUGUGCUAGAUUUCAAUCCGAUCCUAAGGAGUGUCACUUAGUGGCGGUGAAGCGAAUUCUUAGAUAUUUGGUUGCUACGCCUUGCUUCGGGCUCUGGUAUCCAAAGGGGUCUACCUUUGACUUAGUUGGAUACUCAGACUCCGACUAUGCUGGAUGUAAGGUCGAUAGGAAGAGUACAUCAGGGACGUGCCAAUUCUUAGGAAGGUCCCUGGUGUCAUGGAACUCUAAGAAACAAACAUCCGUUGCCCUAUCCACCGCUGAGGCCGAGUAUGUUGCCGCAGGACAGUGUUGCGCGCAACUACUUUGGAUGAGGCAAACCCUCCGGGACUUUGGCUACAAUCUGAGUAAAGUCCCACUCCUAUGUGACAAUGAGAGUGCUAUCCGCAUGGCGGAGAAUCCUGUUGAGCACAGCCGCACAAAGCACAUAGACAUCCGGCAUCACUUUUUGAGAGACCACCAGCAAAAGGGAGAUAUCGAAGUGUUUCAUGUUAGCACCGAGAACCAGCUAGCCGAUAUCUUCACUAAGCCUCUAGAUGAGAAGACCUUUUGCAGGUUGCGUAGUGAGCUAAAUGUCAUAGAUUCGCGGAACCUGGAUUGAAUUGUAGCAUACAUGUACUUAUGCUUUUGAUCAUGUUCCUUUUUGCAUUUUGUUGCUUAUUAUGGUGCUCAAGUUGUACAAACACUCCCUGGACCUCACAAGUCCGUUGCAAAGUGAUGCACAUGCUUAGGGGGAGAUGUGUUACAACUUGACCCUUUGAGACUAACCAUGUGCUUAAGUUUGGUAAUUUAGUCUAAAAGGAGGAUUGAAAGGGAAAAGGUGGACUUGGACCAUGACAGACUUCCACUGCACUCCGAUGAGAGGGUAACUAACUCCAAGUUCAUCUCAUGAAAUCUUAUUGCCAUUUGCUCUUAAUUAAAGACUUUGGUGAGGCAAUGGGGUUAAAAGGCCAAGAUUGAUCCCAUUUUGGUGCUUGAUGCCAAAGGGGGAGAAAAUAAAGGCCAAAGCGAUAAAUGGAUCAGCUACCACUUGAGAGAUUUUGAAAAUAGUAGAAUAGAGUUUUUGUUUUGUCAAAAGCUUUUAUUGUCUCUUAUUGUCUCUAUUGUCAAAAGUUGGCUUCUUUUGGGGAGAAGUGGUGAUUAUGGGAAAUAGGGGGAGUUUUUGAAAUCCUUGAUCAAUCUCUUUUGGAAUGACUCUCUUUGUGCCUCAACAUGUGUGUUUGACAUAGAAAUAGAGAUUUGAGUUUGAUUUGCAAAAACAAACCAAGUGGUGGCAAAGGAUGAUCCAUAUAUGCCAAAAUUGAAUCAAAACCAAUUUGAGUUUUUAUUUGAAGUGAUUUUGCAUUUGUUCUAGUUGCUUUAUGUUGUGUUGGCAUAAAUCACCAAAAAGGGGGAGAUUGAAAGGGAAAUGUGCCCUUGGGCCAUUUCUAAGUAUUUUGGUGAUUGAGUGCCAACUCAAGUGCUUAAAAUGUGAAUUUAUGCAAUGGAUGAACAAAGUGCAAAUCAAGAGCAAAGGUAUGUUUCUAAGUCUUAGUACAUUGGUUUUGUGUACUAAUAUACUUGUCUAAGUGUUAGAAACAGGAAGAGGAAGAGAAGAAGAAAGUUGGCUGUGUACAGCCAAGGGACUGCUUCGGUCUGGGGCACCGGACUGUCCGGUGGUGCACCGGACAGUGUCCGGUGCGCCAGGCUCCCUCGGCCGAAGAGCCCGCUCUCGGGAAUUUGCUGACGGCGUACGGCUAAAAUUCACCGGACUGUCCGGUGUGCACCGGACUGUCCGGUGAGCCAACGGUCGGCCGAGCCAACGGUCGGCCGCGGAAUCUGCGCGCGACACGUGGUCUGGCCAACGGUCGGAAGGAAGCACCGGACUGUCCGGUGUGCACCGGACUGUCCGGUGCGCCAGAUCUGCAACGGUCGGCAACGGUCGGUUUCGCUGUUUAUGGAAAUAAAUCGGGCACCGGACAGUGUCCGGUGUGCACCGGACUGUCCGGUGCGCCCGACGACAGAAGGCAAGGAUAGCCUUCCAGAUGUGUUCUCAACGGCUCCUAGCUGCCUUGGGGCUAUAAAAGGGACCCCUAGGCGCAUGGAGAAGAACACCAAGCAUUCCUACAACACUCCUAAGCACCAAGACAUCGAUCUCGCGCAUUUGUUUCAUUGUGAUAGCAUAUAGAGCUCUUGUGGAGUUGUGAACUCUUUGAGUUGUGUUGCGAGCUCUUGUUGCGACUUGUGUGCGUGCUGUUGCUCUGAUCUUUUGAAGUCUUGUGUGUGUUGCUCAUCCCCUUCCUUACUCCGUGAUUCUUUGUGAACAUCAAAAGUGUAAGGGCGAGAGGCUCCAAGUUGUGGAGAUUCCUCGCAAACGGGAUUGAGAAAAGAAAAGCAAGAACACCGUGGUAUUCAAGUUGAUCAUUGGAUCACUUGAGAGGAGUUGAGUGCAACUCUCGUCCGUUGGGACGCCACAACGUGGAGUAGGCAAGUUUUUGUACUUGGCCGAACCACGGGAUAACCACCGUGUCAUCUCUGUGAUUGAUUUCUUGUGGUUAUUGUGUUUUGACUCCUCUCUAGCCACUUGGCCAUACUUGUGCUAACCCUUAACAAGUUUCUGUGGCUUAAGCUUUGAAGUUUUACAGGAUCACCUAUUCACCCCCCCCCCCUCUAGGUGCUCUCAGGACUCCAACUCGAACUCGUCGCCUUCGGGAAUUUUCAGAGGCACUCCGCUAUAAUUCACCGGACUGUCCGGUGUACACCGGACAGUGUCCGGUGCUCCAAGGAAGAGCGGCCUCAGGAACUCGCCAGCUUCGGGAAAUCGCAGCGGCUGCUCCGCUAUAAUUCACCGGACAUGUUCGGUGUACACCGGACUGUCCGGUGCAACUGCGGAGCAAUGGCUACUUCGCGCCAACGGUCACCUGCAGGCGCAUUCAAUUAGCGCCAGAAGCGCGCAGAAGGCAGGCACGCCCAUGCUGGCGCACCGGACAUUCUACAGUACAUGUCCGGUGCGCCACCGGACAUCCAGGCGGGCCCAGAAGACAGAGCUCCAACGGUCGAAUCCCAACGGCGUUGGUGACAUGGCUGGCGCACCGGACAUGUCCGGUGUGCACCGGACUGUCCGGUGCACCAUACGACAGACAGCCUCCACCAACGGUCAUGUUUGGUGGUUGGGGCUAUAAAUACCCCAACCACCCCACCAUUCAUUGCAUCCAAGUUUUCCAGCUUCCAACCACUAUAUAAGAGCUAGCAUUCAUUGCAAAGCACACCAAAGAGAUCAAAUCCUCUCCCAACUCCACACAAAGCUUUAGUGACUAGAGAGAGUGAUUUGUAGUGUUCAUUUGAGCUCUUGCGCUUGGAUCGCUUCUUUUCUUUCGCAUUCUUUCUUGAGAUCAUACUCACUUGUAAUUGAGGCAAGAGACACCAAUUGUGUGGUGAUCCUUGCGGGAAGCUUGAUUCCCAAGUGAUUUGAGAAAAGAAGCUCACUCGGUCCGAGGGACCGUUUGAGAGAGGGAAAGGGUUGAAAGAGACCCGGUCUUUGUGACCACCUCAACGAGGAGUAGGUUUGCGAGAACCGAACCUCGGUAAAACAAAUCCUUGUGUCACAUUCCUUAUUUGCUCGAGAUUUGUUUUGCACCCUCUCUUGCAGACUCAUUUUUAUUUCUAACGCUAACCCGACUUGUAGUUGUGUUUAUAUUUGUAAAUUUCAGUUUCGCCCUAUUCACCCCCCCUCUAGGCGACUAUCAAGUACCUUCGGCUUUUAACGAGAGGAAAAGCCGAAGGUGCCUUAGAAGAAAGAAUUACAUAAAGUUGUUCCCCCUGUCUUCUAAAAGGUACUUUAUGUAGGCAUCGUUCAUCUAUUUAUAGUGUGGUGGUACAGCUUUGUGUAAAGUUACAAAUAUGUCCAUAAAACUUGUACAUGUAGUUUACAAAUGAUGCAAGGACACUAUCGUCAUUAUGCUUUUACUGCUUUGAUUACAAAGUCUUGAAAACACCUUCUCCCAGCCUUGUUUCACUUCUACCUUCGUUUUCUUGUGUUGUUAUGACGAAGCCAACAUCUUCGCCUUCCUACUGUCCUGCUCCAAAGGUAUUCAGCAUCGAAGCACCUGCAACAUUUAAGGAUAUGCUAAAAACUAAUAGUUAAAUAUGUUUUUGAGGACCUUCGAAAGACGAAGGACCCCAACAAAUACUACCAUAAAUUAUUUUUUCUAGUGCAAAAUAGCCCAACCAAGCAGCACCUAUGUGGCUAAUGUUACACAUGUGUGAAGGUGAAUGGAUCACACCAUUCUCACCCAUGUAUUUGGAUAAUACCAAGAGGAAAAGACCACUUAUUUAUUGUAGUGUAUAGAGAUAGUCUUUCUUACAUAUAAGUUAUAACACAACAAAUUGGUCACUAAAUGUCAAAGCCAACUAGAUACCACAUCAUCUCUAGCUUAUCUUACUAAUAAUCUUUUGGCAAAAUCCAAAAUCAAUCUACAUAAGCACAAGGUCUAACAUGUGUAUAAAUACCUCCUAGAUUAGUAGCUAAUCCAUCAACCAUAUUAUUGAGACCAACAAGCAACAUAGAAAGUGGAAUACAGUAGCAACAAUAGAGCAACAAUGGCGGCAAAGAUAUUUUCCAUCCUUAUGCUCCUUGCUCUUUCUUCAUGUGUUCCUAACGCGACCAUUUUUCCUCCAUACUCACAAGCUCCUAUAGCUGCCCUUCUUCCUCCAUACCUUCCAUAACUGACCGCUUCAGUAUGUGAAAACCCAGCCCUUCAACCCUAUAGGCUCCAACAAGCAAUCGCAACAAACAACUUACCUUUAUCACACCUGUUCUUUCAACAAUCGCCAGCCCUAUCUUUGGUGCAGUCAUUGGUACAAACCAUCAGGGCACAACAGCUGCAACAACUCGUGCUACCAGUGAUCAGCUAAGUAGCUCUAGCAAACCUUUCUCCCUACUCUCAGCAACAACAAUUUCUUCCAUUCAACCAACUGUCUACACUGAACCCUGCUGCUUAUUUGCAGCAACAACAACUACUACCAUUCAGCCAGCUAGCUACUGCCUACUCUCAGCAGCAACAAUUUCUUCCAUUUAACCAAUUGGCCGCACUGAACCCCUCUGCUUAUUUCCAGCAGCAAAUACUACUACCAUUUGGCCAGCUAGCUACAACAAGCCCCGCUUCCUUCUUGACACAACAACAAGUGCUUCCGUUCUACCAGCAGUUUGUGGCUAACCCCGCAACCCUCUUACAACUGCAACAGUUGCUGCCCUUUGUCCAACUUGCUUUGACAAACCCAGCAGCCUUCUACCAACAACACAUCAUUGGCGGUGCCCUCUUUUAGAUUGCUUAUUAGUUGUAAUUCAAUAAUGAAGUUUUUUGGCUGAUGUAUGUGGCCUCCUAGAAAUAAGAAGUUAUAUUUCCAAAUUCUAAUGUGCUAUUGGUCUGCAAGGGUGUUCGAUAAUUAUUUUCCCUAAGAUUGGGAAGCAAGCUAUAAAUCAUACUUAUAGUGUGAUACCCAAUUCAUUGAGAAUUACAAAACACAAACAUCACGAGGAUGGUAUAAUCUCCAAAAAGCGUACUUUUUAGGUUGGACCCUAUAGCCAUACAAAAUGUGCACCUGUUAGGCAUGCCGAUCAAAAUGUGUGACACAUACGUUUCGUGAACCUAUCGAUAUUUUAUGUGUUUUUAUAAUAUUAUAUUUUAUUCAAAUACUAAUACUUAUUACUAGUAAAUCAUAAAAUCUAAUUAGCUUGAAAACUAAUCUUUAAAGAUUCCAUUGUAACUAGAUUGAGCUUAAUAAAUUUAAAUUUUAUGAAUGGUCGAUGAUAAUUAUACUUGCUUUCAAUGUCAGUUUGCUUGUAAAUAUGCUAGACCAAUGCCUCUUUGUUCUACAUGGUAGAUAAGGGCCACGCUUGUACGCUGCUCGAGAUAGAGACGUCAACAUCGGCAUAAUAUAAUUUCCAUUGUUCGUUUAAUAGCCAAUGAAAAUAGUCUGACCAAAACUAACAAAAAUAAACUAGUGUCCAUUGGCUAUCGAAGGCCGACAAAAAUUGACCAACUUUUGUUGUCUUAUCUAAAAGCCCACAUAAACUAUUUUGGCUCAUGAAAGUUUCUUUUUCCUAUGGUGAGGUAUGUGCUAUACAUAUGCAGGCCUUGUUUCACAUAAGGAGUUAGGCCAUAAAAGCAAAAAUUUUACAUGGAUUGUUAUGAAGGACCAUAACAACUAUGACUACCACCUCAAUGCAAGAAACAUCUAAGCAACCUUUAAUUAAACUAUUACCUUGAAAAAACUUAGACUUAAAGAACAAAGUUUAACUAAGUAAAUAUUUGUGUCCAUAAAGGUGUUAUUCCUAAUCAUUCACAUGCAUGUUGUAAUCAUUUGGUACCUAAAUACCUAGACAUAAGAAGAGCGGUCAUCUCAUGAGAGUCCCUAAAUAAACUACUAGAACACCAAAUAAAUAGUAGUUUUUUCUAGAACAGAUUUUUUUUAUACUCAUUAGCCAGGAAAAAGUGGUGAAUUGUGCCUUCCUUCUCUUAUGCUACAUGCUCUUUCUGCAAGUGUCACUAUCACAACCAUUAUCCCUUGAGUAGUACCAACUACAUAAUUCCAUCGUAUGUAGCUCCUAGUAGUUACACCUAUGGGAAUUAAAAACUCGAUCCUGCAAUUCAACAUAUGCUCAUGCCUACAUGUUUGUUCCUUAUACAUGUGCUGAAGACAAUCAUCAGUGCCUGUCAUCGCACUACAGUCUGCAAAUGAUGACCCAUUAUUACUGAUGCCCAUUUUGUUAGCAUGAUUAAUCUCCAAUUAUGAUUGAGGAGACAUCAUCUUAGGUUGAUUGUGUGCACUGCACUUCCUGGUGCAAUUAUGGGCUUAUCUGUCACGCCCGGUUUUAGAAGGUAAACCGGAUGCGAACCAUGUACGUGCCAGGAUCAUAACUCACAUACAUAACGAUUACAUAAAUGACUCAUCAUAGCACAAUGCUUCGAAUAAUUAUAAAGAGUAAGUAAUAAUAUUACAGACUAGAGUCAUUUACAUAAUAUAAAUCAAAGUGCACAUAAUAGAAACAUAGACAACGUAAAUAAACCCACCGCAGGCAGCUGACUGGGGGAGGUUGCUAGUCUAAUCCUCGAACACAUCAAAGUCCUGGAACUCCUAGAGAUUCGCCUCGACGCCUUCUUCUUUACCUGAGCAUAGGUUGCACCAAAGGCAACCUAGUGUUUUGUGAAAGCAAUGGUGAGUACACAUCAACGUACUCAGCGAAUGUCCCAUUUGGCUGAAGUGGACUAGCUUUAUGUGGAGUUAGACUGAAAGCAGGUCGCUUUUACUUUGUCAAGUUUUAUUCUUUAAUAUGAGCCAAGUUUUAUCAUUAAACCCAAGUUAUCAUCCCAAAGAGUACCUCCUCAGAGGAAAUACCAUAAUCCACUAUCAGAAUCAUCAUUAAUAGAACCAUCAUCGUCAUCUAUAAUCAUUGUAUCUUAGAUCAUCUGUAACUCUAAUCAAAGAGAAUCCCAAGGCCGCCCUUAACCGUGAGCAUGACUGAUAUAUCAAUUUCAUAACACUCUGUAGAGGUUACACACUUUACAUAUAAGCCAUGAUUCCCUUUCUGCCCGAGGAUCAUAACUCCCCAUUGAUCACUUCUAAGGUGAACUAGCAGGGUCUCACUACGUGGAUGUUCCCUAGGGUCCUCACUAUGCUAAUGGUAGAAAUGACCACUGCAUAGAUACCAUCUGAGUACCCAAGCCUAUACCCUCUGCCCUUAGGAAAAAGCCAUGGGAACGACGCCCGUACCUAGAUCCCUGGGCGAGAAUAUAAGAUUCAUAAUAGAUGCCUCCGUCCCCAAUGACCAAAACAAGCACCCAACAUAAAACUUCCCUAAUUACUUGGCCAAGAGUGUCCCAUACCAUCCUCACGGUUGAACUGUUUUCCCAGGUGGUCUCUCAGUGAAGAGGUCCUUAUGGAGAGGUACUCGGGAAACAGCCUAAGUCCCCUUCAGUGCCACAAAUUCAUCAUCAUUUGCAGAAUAAAAUCAUUGUAUCAUAAUUGUAUCUCAUCAUGUUCAUUGAUUAAAGUAGAGCACUAGCAUAAAGCUAACCACAACAACCCAAAAGGUAAUCAAGGACAAGGUGAACAGAAAGCUAGUAAAUCCUUAGGUUUCAAUUAUGUAAUAUGGGGAAAUGAAUUAUCAUGUGAAUAUGACAUAAGUAGGUCAGAGGACACUUGUCUUCACCAAACAUAUGCUCAAGGUCUUCAACCUUGUAGAACAUGAAGAGCUCGAUCUCAUGAUCACCAAAGCUUGAUCGUCGAUUCGCAGAAGUUUGGGAACGGAUCACGUUCUAUUCGCGACAUGCAGCGAACACAAAUAGGCACAAUUAAACAAACAUGUACAUGCAUAAGAACAUUACACCAUACAAGGGAAAGCAUUAUAAACAUGUAAUACCAAAUAGAAUUCGCUUCUACAGUCACGCGAGAAAAGAAACACCGAAAUCGAAGCUACUGUUCAAAAGUUAUAACUUCUGGAAGGUCUACGUGAUUAAACACGUAAAUAAUUAAUUCAGAAUGUACGUGAUAUGUAGAAGCGCUAAUCGACAUCACAUCAAACAUAAAUUCAAAUGUUUUAAUUAGCACAAUUACAUUAACAUAUAUUUUCAAAAUGUUUAACUAAAAUUAUGAUUUUUUCGAUAAAACAACUAUUUUAUUAGCCAUUAGACAAAUUAAUGAUUAAUUAAUUAAAUAAAACAUGUGACACAUAAUAUAUUGAAUAAAUAACAAUUCGGAGAUGUAACACUCAAAAUUCUGAUUUUUGCGAUUAGUAAAAGAAAUCAAAGGAAAGUGUCCUAAUAAAUAAUUAUACUAUGGAUUUUUUAAAAAAAUAAAUAUUAAUAUUAAAACAAUGUCAGUUAAAAUAAAAUAGAAACAUAAAUUCAGUUUGUAAGUUAUAAGAAAUAAAUAAUAAAAAUAGUUUAAAUUUGUUAGAAUGGAUUAUUUUCCUUCAAGUACUAUUUUUUAGUAACUCUUGAUAAAUAUUUGCUAUUGGGUAAAUAUCUCCUUUACUAAAUGUAUAUCCAGAGGCAUUCAUUUAAAUAAGAAAUAAAUAAAUAAACUUAAAUUUCGCAUUCAUGCUAGAUAUUUUGAUUGUGUAUUAAAUUUGAAUUUUGAAACCUUAGCUCGGAUUUGAAUUUGAAAUUUGUAAAUCAAAAUGAAAAUAGGAAAAGAAAAGAAAAGGAACAAAUCCCUGCUGUUGGGCUGAAUUCCUUGGCUCGGCCCACUAGCUUCACCCGGCCCAUUCCCGCUCUUACGCGCGCGGCCCGCCAGCAAACACACCCGCGCGCCUUGCGUCACCGCUGUGUGGACCCCGCUGGUCGGCCUCACGCCUGACGCGAACUCUCGGACCGGUGUGUCGAACAGGUAGGGACCAUAGUCCAGGUUCUCUCUUCCACGAUGCUGCGUUAGCCACUGUGUUGUGGGGCCAUCCUAUCGGAUCGGUCUUCUUCACCCCGCACGGGCCGCUCGGGAUAAUGUGUGUGCCUCGAUUCCGUGGCAGAGCCCCAGUCCCGCACACCAGAAAUCUAUUAUUCUGGGGGGAUCUCCGACGUGUGGGGCCGGCUCAUCAGGUUUUUCUCCACGCUUGUACCCGUUUGCAAACAGCCACCGGAGUUCAUGGGGUCCCGAUCCAGCCUGACACCAAUCGGCCUUUCCUCAAAUCCGGAAUAUAAUAAAAACCGCCCCUCCAUAAUCUCCUCGUCCAUUGAAUCUAAUCGUCGUAGCAACCCAAGCCAAGAACACACGGGCAGGUGAGAGCGACCGAGAGAGAGCAGAGAGAUGAUCCGUCGUUGGGCAUUCGCGCAUUGGCCCUCGUCGGGGACUUGUGGUCGGGUCUCUGCGCCGCUGCUAUGUUCAGCGAGAUGGAUGUCGACAUCUGGACCGUUGAUCUUCUGUAGUGCGGCUAGGAUUAAAUUCUUCCGUUACUGGUUGGGGUAUGGAAUCUGCACCGUCCGAUCGGGAGAGAGCGGUUGAGAUUAGUUUGAGCGUACCCCUUCGACCUAUUGAAUAUGCGUCGUUCGAUCUGGAUCGGAGGACACUGACUGCGUACCGGUUCGUGAAGGCUAUGAUCUAAUCCGAUCCGUAGAUUGGUGAUCCAACGGUCGAGUAAUAACCAUACCCCUUCAACCCGGAUAGUAUGCAAUUUAGCCCCUGCCCUUCUCUACAAUUGAACCCGCCGUCCAAACACAUUGAAAAAUAAAUUGCAUAUCAGUCCAAAACUUUACGGAUUUGACCUUGGGCUUUUAAACAAUAGGCACUGCAGUCCAUUAAAUAUGGAUUAUUAAUAAAUUAGAUCCGAAAAUGAUUUUUAGUGUUGAAAUAAUCCAAAAAGCCUGGAAAAUUUAUAACUUCCACGUUUUAACUCCGAUUUAAUCCCUCCAAAUUGCGUUAGCUUCGUAAUAAAAUUAUCUACACAUUAGUAACCCUACUUUAUCAUGUAACACGUUUUUAAAUAAUUAAUAUGUUUACCCUAGGUUCAUCGGAUUAACUUCUCUAAUUAGAAUUAAAGUAAUGUUUUCAGUCCCUAGUUAUGAUUUAGCUAAAAUAUGUCUUCUAAUCAAGUUAUAACUUGGAUUAGAAUUAAAUUAAUGGUUUCUUAGGAAUAUCUUUCUCACAUGAUUCAUUAAUCAACAUAGACAUAGUUUUCAUAUUCGAUCACAUAAAACUUAUGAAAAUCAUAACUUUAUAACCGUAACUCCGAUUUUAGUGUUUGUUGAACCUAGAUUUUCAUUACGAUGCGUAGGAUAUUAUUAUGUAGUUUGUUCUCAUGUUUGGAGUGAUGUUAAUUUUUGCCUAUACCAUGUUUGUGUGUAUUGCUACGACUAGCAGCGAGGUUACGAGUCAUCUGAAGACUAAGUUGGUACCUGGAAUCUCAUGUCUAAGGCAAGUUGUGCCCUUGAUCACUUUUCUUUACCCAAUAAUGUUUUUGUCAAUCACUGUGACAUGCUCAGGUUAAUCUGAUGGGACCUAAUAGAUUUUCCUAGACUUGUUUAUCUCACACCUUAUUUACCACUGAACUUUUGGGUAGUUAUGCUAUUGCUCUAUCUGGUUUUGGCAUUAAUAUUACAUUAUUACCAUGUUCCAAUGAUACUAUUGUUUUAAUUGUUGUUCAAGUGAGAUUAUCUCAUUAUUCAAAAGACAAUGUGUACUCCUUAUUUUUCCCUCAGGGUUUUUAAGGAGAUAAUAUUUUGGAGGAUAAAUUGUAGAUUAUCAAAUGGACUUGGAUUGAUCAAGGGGGAGUAUUACAAAAUAUUGUGUACAAAGUGAUCAACUCCUCCCCUGGCAGUUUUCUCCCAAGGGACACACUCCUUGAGAGACACUGCAUCCCUGUAUAUAAACAAUCCUAUCUACAAUAAAGACAACAGUUACUCUGUCAUUUCAUUCUCUCUGUUUCUCUCUCCACUAGUUUUGCCACUAAGCACUGCAACAGUUUACAACAAUAAUAAAGCAUACGCAAUUUGAACGGGGCAAAACGGAUGUUUAAUGCAAAAGAUACCGAGUUUUAAUGAAUUGAGCAAUGUGGCUCAAUCUGAUUGGCCGAAGGCUGACCACACCUAGGGCUACAGGAAAUGCGGCUGCAGACAAUCUGAUACAGUGGAUCAAACGUGGCACAACCUCCUCUCUCCUCCACACAGCCACUCACGCAGUCACGCAUGAUUCUCUCCCAAACUGCAACUGCACGCACGACAGUUCCUAGGCACGCGUGUGGGGAUUGUCUAGGGGGCUGGCGGCUGGCAGCGCCGUCGAGCAUAGGCAUGCGGAGGCGUUGGCUGCCGCCCUUGGCCGGUGGCGAGGCUGGGGCAAGGGCACGGGGAAGCGCGGCACGCAGGGCGCCAUGGCUAUGCCGCACCGCUCGGCUAGGAGGCAUACGCAGUAGGGAGCGAGGACCAGCGUGGGGGUGGCGCUCAUCCACGCUGGAGCAGGCAGGCGCGUGGCCUCGCCGGAGCAAGCGGCUGCCGCGGCCAGGAGGCACGUGCGGUGACGCGCAGCCAUGGCAGAGCGGUGGCGGCGUAUCUCGUAGUGGCGCGGGCCGGUAGGGACACACACAAGAGGGGGCACGAGCGGUUGGGGGCUUGCCGGCCGGGAAGAUGAGGCGGCGCGGGCAGAUGCAUGUGACCAGGCAGCUCGGCGGAGACAGAGAAGGUGCGGGUGACAGCAAUUCCAUGGCUUAGCACCACGCUCGCAACCGGGAACAAGAUAGGGCUGGUUGGGGAUCGCCGGCUAGCACAUCAGCGAUGUCCAUGGGGAUAUAGAGUGGAAGAGCAGAGCACGAACAUUGGUGCGCGCGGGACGUCGUGAUCGAGGACGUCGGCAAGGCUCGACGAUGCCUGAUCAGGCUGCUAGUCCAUGGGCGACGGCGGCGCAUCGCAUGGGAAGAAAGUUGUGCGGCAUAGGGGAAGAAAAGGAGUUGUGAGUGCGUAGGGGUUGGGGAGUCUGUAUAUAUUAAGGGACAUAUACAUAUCUGGUGCUUAAGGGCUGAUUUGGUGACAAGUGGAUCACGGGAGGAUUGGAGGGGGUUGAGGGGAAAAUGAACUAAUUUCCCCUUCAAUCUCCUCCAAUUCUCCCGGGAUCCGGGUCACCAAAUCAGCUCUAAAGGGGUACGGUGUUCAAGUGCACAUUUUAAAUCUGAGACAUCUAUCUCACAUCUGGAUGUGGCUACAGUUAAUUUGAUUAAGAACCCCUCUCACCAAGUAAGGAAGGUGAAAGAGGUACUUUGUAAAAUUGAUGCUUCUGUUAGAUGUUGGAUGUACGUUCCAGAUUUAAAAUGUGCACGUGAGCACCAUAUCCUUUGAGCACCAGAUACGUUCCCAUAUAUUAAAGGGAGACAACUUUCCUUUUUGCAGGCACCAUAGGGGAGAGAGGAGGCAGUUGCCGAAUUCGUCGGUGUGCGUGACGAGGCGAGGUGAGGUGCGAGAUUGAUGAAGGUAGACAAAGGUAGCUGCAGAGAGGAGGGGGUAGAUAGGGUAGAUAUCGGGGGAGAUAGGGAUAGACACAAAGAUAGACAAGAUUAGAUGUUGAGAUUGACGGGGUGUUGCAUACACGAGCGGCACACCGUUCACGCGACGGGAAGCGAUUUCACGAUCUCGAGGAAAGGAUACGUGAUCUAUAACGCAAUCAUCGAGAGGAAUAUAUAUAUAUAUAUAUAUAUAUAUAUAUAUAUAUAUAUAUAUAUAUAUAUAUAUAUAUAUAUAUAUAUAAUAUUAUUGGGUUCUCGGAAUAUUUCGGUAAACACUAAAUUUUAGAGAUUAAAAUAAUAUUAGAAAAUUUGUUUCAUAUUUAAUACUAAGAAAUGUUCGGAAGGACCCAAAAACUCUUGGAAACAUUCUCGAGAUAUUUUAACAUGUUUCGAAAACUUUUUGCACUCAUAAACACUGUGCAACGUUAUGAAUGCAACAAUCAAAACACCUCUAGGGCCUACCUCACUAGGCUUACGCCAAUAUAUUACAAAAUAACUCUCCAUUAUUUAGAAAAAAGAAAAGAAAAGCAAGUAAAGAGACGGUAACACCUGAAUUUGGUAGAUAAUUUUAUACCCCAAAUUCAGCGUAUUACAAUAUCCCAUAGUUAAUGCUCCUUGUUAGUAUAUAUGAUCACUUUCUAUCCGAGGCUACCAGCCUAUUUGUAUAGCACUGGUCAUAUGGCAAGUAUCACAUUUAUUCUUUGGAAAACAGUCACACUUUCAUGGUAACAUGAGUGGUUCAGGAAAUAGUAAAUGUGUCACACCUGUGCGCCCCACCGGCGGCAAGGUGAGGCAUGACGUGGCAUGGCACACCACCAUCAUAGUCAUGGUCAUAUUGUAGGGUAGCGUUGUUUUGGUUGGGUACACAAACUGUGGAUCAGUUUCUAAAUGUAGCACUUGGAGUUUCAGAACUUAACUUUAGAAGUCAUAUGUUUGAUGACAAAUAGUUACCUGACCUCUGAUUUCUUGUGCCCUUUGAGGUCUCCCAUCCUCUGGUGUCUCCCUGACUGUUCAGCUUUCCUGACUUACCUAUCGAAAUCCCAUCCUAAAAUUUGCUCUUGGUUCGCUUUUCUAUCACAACCCAGUUGUCACACGAGCACUACAUUCCAGCACUUAUGUGCACGAGUUCUAGGAGACUAGGCCUCCGAAAUAAAUGUCACCCAAGUGUUUACCUACUCCGGUGAAGGACAACAAUCACAUUUUGGGGGAGUAUUAGCGAUACGACUGCUUCAUCCACUUUUUAGGUGUUUUUUAUGGUGAUUGAGUCUACACAGCAAAAAUGCACUACAUCGAACUAUAUGAUUAUAUCAGCUGGAAUUUCUUCUUUGGGUAUGUAUCUUAUGAGGGUCUUAAAACUAUGUUACUAUUUAUUUUGUUCAUAUUUAUUAUAUUUAAAUGACAUGCGCACCUUUCUAUUGACACCAAUUAUUUAAUAUAAUUUUCAAGAUUAAAAUGCAACUAAAUGUGCCUGAAUUUGUAACAACGGGGAUCGUGUGACUCUUUCAACCGAUUACUGCACAAGUUAUCUAAACUAAAAUUAACAUUGGUGAAUACUGCCAUAAAUUAUUUUUUCUAGUGCAAAAUAGCCCAACCAAGCAGCACCUAUGUGGCUAAUGUUACACAUGUGUGAAGGUGAAUGGAUCACGCCAUUCUCACCCAUGUAUUUGGAAAAUACCAAAAGGAAAAGACCACUUAAUUAUUGUAUUGUAUAAAGAUUGUCUUUUUUACAUAUAAGUUAUAACACAACAAAGUGGUCACUAAAUGUCAAAGCCAACUAGAUACCACAUCAUCUCUAGCUUAUCUUACUAAUAUUCUUUUGGCAAAAUCCAAAAUCAAUCUACAUAAGAACAAGGUCUAACAUGUGUAUAAAUACCACCUAGAUUAGUAGGUAAUCCAUCAACCAUAUUAUUGAGAUCAACAAGCAACAUAGAAAGUAGAAUACAGUAGCAACAAAAGAGCAACAAUGGCGGCCAAGAUAUUUUCCCUCCUUAUGCUCCUUGCUCUUUCUGCAUGUGUUGCUAACACGACCAUUUUCCCUCAAUGUUCACAAGCUCCUAUAGCUGCCCUUAUUCCCCCAUACUCUCCAUCAAUGAUAGCUUCAGUAUGUGAAAACCCAGCUCUUGAACCUAUAGGCUCCAACAAGCAAUCGCGGCAAACAACUUACCAUUAUCACCCUUGUUCUUUCAACAAUCGACAUCCCUAUCUUUGGUGCAGUCAUUGGUACAAACCAUCAAGGUACAACAGCUACAGAAUCUCAUGCUACCUUUGAUCAGCCAAGUAGCUCUAGCAAACAUUUCUCCCUACUCUCAGCAACAAUAGUUUCUUCCAUUCAACCAAUUGUCUACACUGAACCCUGCUGCUUAUUUGCAGCAACAACAUCUACUACCAUUCAGCCAGCUAGCUACCGCAUACUCUCAGCAACAACAAUUUAUUCCAUUUAACCAAUUGGUCGUACUGAACCCCGCUACUUAUUUGCAGCAACAAAUACUACUACCAUUUGGCCAGCUAGCUGCAGCAAGCCCUGCUUCCUUCUUGACACCGCAACAGUUGCUGCCUUUCUACCUGCAGUUUGUGGCUAACCCCGCAACCCUCUUACAACUGCAACAAUUGCUGCACUUUGUCCAACUUGCUUUGACAAACCCAUCAGCCUCCUACCAACAACACAUCAUUGGUGGUGCCCUCUUCUAGAUUGCUUAUUAGUUAUAAUUCAAUAAUGAAGUUUUUUUGUUGAUGUAUGUGUCCUCCCAGAAAUAAGAAGUUACAUUUCCAUAUUCUAAUGUUCUAUUAGUCUCCAAGGGUGUUCGAUAAUUAUUUUCCCGAAGAUUGGGAGUAGCAAGCUAUAAAUCAUCCUUAAUGUGUGAUACCCGAUUCAUUGAGAAUUACAAAACAAAAACAUCAUGAGGAUCAUAUAAUCUCCAAAAAGAGUACUUUGUUAGGUUGGACUCUAUAGCCAUAUAGAAUGUGCACAUUUUAGGCAUGCCGAUCAAAACGUGUGACACAUACAUUUCGUGAACCUAUUGAUAUUUUAUGUGUUUUUAUAAUACUAUAUUUUAUUCAAAUACCAAUACUUAUUACUAGUAAAUUAGAAAACCUAAUUAGCUUGAAAACUAAUCUUUAAAGAUUCCCUCGUAACUAGACUGAGCUUAUAAAUUUAAAUUUUAUGAAUGGUCAAUGAUAAUUAUACUUGUUUUCCAAGUCAGUUUGGUUGUAAAUAUGCUAGACCAAUGCCUCUUUGUUCUACAUGGUAGACGAGGGCCACGCUAGUACGUUGCUCAAGAUAGAGACAUCAACAUCGGCAUAGUCUAAUUUCCAUUAUUCGUCUAAUAGCCAAUGAAAAUAGUCUGACCAAAACCAACAAAAAUAAAUUAGUGUCCAUUGGCUAUCUAAGGCUGACAAAAAUUGACCAAAUUUUGUUGUCUUAUCUAAAAGUCCACGUAAAUUAUUUUGGCUCAUGAAAGUUUCUUUUUCCUGUGGUGAGGUAUGUGCUAUACAUAUGCAGGCGUUGUUUCACAUAAGGAGUUAGGACAUAAAAGCAAAAUUUUGACAUGGAUUGUUAUGAAGGACCAUAACAACUGUGACUACCAUCUCAAUGCAACAAACAUCUAAGCAACAUGUAAUUAAACUAUUACCUUGAAAAAACUUAGACUUAAAGAACAAAGUUUAAGUAAGUAAAUAUUUGUGUUCAUAAAUGUGUUAUUCCCAAUCAUUCACAUGCAUGUUGUAAUAAUUUGGUACCUAAAUACCUAGACAUAUGAAGGGCGGCCAUCUCACGAGAAUCCCUGAAUAAACUACUAGAACACCCAAAAAUAGUAGUUUUUUUCUAGAUCCGAGAAAACUUGAAUACUCAUUAGCUAGGAAAAAUUGGUGAAUUGUGCCUUCCUUCUCUUAUGCUCCAUGCUAUUUCUACAAGUGUCACUAUCGUAACCAUUAUCCCUUUAGUAGUACCAGCUACCCGAUUCCAUCAUAUGUAGCUCCUAGUAGUUACACCUAUGGGAAUUAAAAACUUGAUCCUGCAAUUCAACAUAUGCUCAUGCCUACAUGUUUGUUCCUUGUACAUGUGCAGAAGACAAUCAUUGAUGCCCGUCAUCACACUACAGUCUUCAUAUGAUGACCCAUUAUUACUAAUGCCCAUUAUGUGUGAUACCCGGUUUGCAAAGAAGAGAAAUUGGAGGUUAUUCUUUCUUUGUUUUUUCUCUCUUUCGGGUGAUGCGCUUUGGGGGUUUAGAAUUUUUGGAAACUAUUCACCAGUAAGACAGUAGAAUUUUUUUGGUUAGACUAAUGCGUUGGGGUCGGGAGCUGUCGUGUGGGCGAGUUGGGCCGUGAAUCUCGAUACGACCCACUAGCCUCCCCUUCACCCUAGCCGCCCUCCCCCUAAUCCCCCCUUGUGCAGCCUCCCUCCUCCCAUCUCCUCCUCCGUCAAACUCUUGCAGCCACACCACCUAACCCUAGUCGCCCACCAUCUCCUCCUCCCCAAGGUGCCAUUCCUUGCCCGCUUGGAUCUACGUCGCGUGGUGCAAGUCUCCAAUUGGUUUUGGUGGAGGGAAGAAGGGAGGAAGGAAAGGGGGAGAAUUCAAGGUGAUUUUUGUGUUUGUCUCAUGUUUAUUUGUGCUGCAAUUCAAUUGAAUAGAUGUUGCGUAUGCGAAUUGGUAGAGGUGCUGUCCAGAAAUUUAGUGGGUGGGCGAACAGCAAUAGUUCUAGCAGUUUCUGUGAAUUUUUUGUGGGUAAUUAAUGGGGAUCAGUGGGAGAAUCAUGUAGAUCUUUGUCAUACCUUUCCAACGAGUACUUAUUCGCUCGAUUCGGAGUUAUAGUUUAGGAGAUAUCAUUGUUUGAAUUCGGGUAUGUGGCUGUCCAAAAAAACAGAUUUCUGUAGGUGGGGAACAUCAAUAGUUCUAGCAGUUUCUGGGAAUUUUUCGUGAGUAAUUAAUGGGGAUCAGUGGGAGAAUCAUGUAGAGCUUUGUCAUACCUUUCCAACGAGUAAUUAUGCGCUCGAUUCGGAGUUAUAUUUUAGGAGAUAUCAUUAUUUGAAUCCGGGUAUGUGGCUGUCCAGAAAACAGAUUUCUGCAGGUGGACGUACAACAGUAGUAUUAGCAGUAUCUGGGGAUUUUUCGUGGGUAAUUAGUGAUAAUUAGUAUGAGAAUUAUGUAGAGCUUUGUUAUACCUUUCCAACAAGUACUUAUGCGCUCAUUUCAGAGUUAUAAAUUAGGAGAUAUCGCUGUUUGAAUCCGGGUAUGUUGCUGUCCAAAAACAGAUUGCAGGAUGUACCUCGUGGACAGUUUUGGGCUAAUUAGAUGUUGGGGUUUAAAUAUAAGUUGUAUACAAAACUUGUGGAGAAUUUUAUGUUGAUGCCUCUGGAGUUUUUGGUUGUUACCACUGCUAUCAUAAUUUUAAAGAUAUGAAAUUGUUAAGCAGCGCCGCUGCAGUUUGGUGGGUGUGGGAAGAGUUGUUACCCGCGGCGGGGUUUGAAAUUGGGCGUAGGUGCGGCGUCGUUUAUGAGCGUUGUUAUGUGAAAUUUGUGCACUGAGUUGUGUGUCAAAAACAGGUGGUGGACUUCCGGAUCGUGCUUAGGGCUUUGUCCAAACCCCCCGGUGAAGGCAAGUAAAAUAGUGGUGGUUUAUACCGUUGAUUGAUUUAUGUGUCCUAUGCUUGAUCACAUCCAUGUCAAAUGUAUUCAUACUUGUACUCCAUUGUGGGAAAUGUGGCUCGAAGUUAUUCAUGUUCCAUUAUUUUCUUAUGUUGAAGAUGUGGUUUGAGCAUGUUACACGUGUUGUCUUAUCAUUUUGAGGAAAUGGUAGUUUAUGUCUACCCCAUGUGGGUGGAGGAUCUCAUGUUGUUGUCAUGCAUACUACAUACAUCAUAUUUUGCAUGGAAGUUUUGUCAUGAUCAUAUGGUCCGACCGUACCGGUACACUCAGUAUCAUAUGUUGCCCGAGGAGGGGUAUGAUGCAGCUUCAUACCCUAGAGGUAUGAAGGCAGAAGUCAUUACUGCAUCUGUAGCCAUGUGCAUUAAAGGGUGAAGUGUGGAACCGGUUGUGGUGAUGUGGAUAGUGUGGGUCUUUACUUGGUGAUUCAUUUCUUUGGAACUAAGUAAUUGGUUACUUGUUUACUUGCUGCAAAUUAAUACUCAAGAAGGAAAUUGUGAACUACAUGGUUGUUUAAGCAUGGUUUGGUUACAUAGUCCCAAUUGUUGUUUGACCUUUUUACUUGCUGAGAUGUGUCAUCUCACUCUUGCAUUGUUUGAUGCAGGCACUUUAUCUUGCCCAUGGGAAAAGAGGGAUGUAGCAGCACGAACACUUCACUUUUAAAUAAAUGUACCAAUGUUUAGUAAUGAUGUUAAACAGGGGUUCAAGUCUAGGAGAUUAAUAUGUUCUAGGCUUCAUGGUAGUCGAAUUUGUUUUUUUGUUGGCCGGAUUCCUUCUCUUUUUAUUUGGUCAUGAAUGUUUAUUACUAUCUCUCAUUCUGUCUAUACUUCGUGGAUUGUCUUUCUUUUACAUUAUGUCUAAACUUUAUAUCCCACUCGUUAUGCUACUUUCAAGGGAGGUGCUGCCGGAUUUUGUUUUAUUUUCCGUCUCUAUUACUUUUUUAUGUGGUAUAAGUUUUGUGGGAAGAGUUUUUGGUAACAUUCAUUGUGUGGGAUCAAUGGGGUGUUACAGUUGGUAUCAGAGGAAUAGGCUGUAGGUCCUAGCAAGUGGAAUAAUAAUAAAUUGACACACUGCACAUGUAGGAUGGGUUUCCUGCUUUACUAUUGAUAUAUUAUGUUAUUGUCUGUGCUGGUUUGACAUUAUCUGAUGAGGUGCUAUGCCAAUCUUAUUUACUUAUUUUCUCACCCCUGUGGCUGCAGCUAUGCCGCCUCGUAGGGCUCGUGGCAGCCCACAAGUUCCUAGUGGGGACUCGAUGAGUCCGGCGGCAAUGUUAGCCGCGAUGCAGGCCAUGCAGUAGGAGUUGGCCAUUCUGAGGCAGGCUAUUCCUAUUGCCCCUGCAGGUGCUGCUCAGGGUGCUGGUGAUGGAGGAGUGCCCGGGGGCGCUGUUCCUGCGGGUGUUGCUCCAGGUGGCAGGCCUGAGGUGCCUCUUCUCGUCAGUGGUCUUUCUCUGAUGCAGUGGAUGGGCAUGAAGUUGGACACUUUUGAUGGCAGUGAUACUCCGGUUGAGGCGGCAGAUUGGCUAACUUACGUGGAGGAUAAGAUGAAUGUCUUUGAGAUUGUGUAUGGAGAUCGUGUUCGCUUCGGCACACAGCUGCUGAAGGGAGAGGCUCAGAUUUGGUGGAGAGGUGUGCAGGCAGCUCACUCCUCUUCACCAGGAGUCCUGUUGUUGGGGGCCUUCGUCCUCCGAAGGUCCUCAAAAACAUGAUUUGACAAUGUUUUCCAAGUGAAAUAUGUGAAUAGGUACCUUCGGAUUCGGAUCAUAAGCAUACAGAGCAUGGUCAGGACGAAGCCUGAGCGAGACGAAAGGUGAUUAUGACGAAGGACAAUUUGGUCACGAAGCUGUGCGCAGGAAAGCUUCGGCAUGAUAGCAGAAAAGGAAACCGACUUAAAGAUGAAAAGGCAAUUUAGACCUCGGAGAAUUACUAUAGAGUUAUUAGCAAAUGUAAAGGGCAUGAAUGUAAUUUUACAUGGGCUGCGUCCCGUGCCUAUAAAUAGAUGAACAGUACUCCAGUACUGUUCACGCUGAUUUGGCAUUUUGCUUUUGACGUCACACUUGUGCUUUUACCUGCUUUCAAGUCAAAGGUACAUUUGUAAUUCGACAUCAUUUCUAUUUUUCCAUAGCAAUAAAAUGGAAAUGAGUUGAUAAUAAUACAUAAUUAUUUAUGUUAUCUUUUAUACUCCAUGUAAUUCCUUCUUCAUUAUGAUAUAUAAUGCUUACGAAGGUAUGUCUUUCAUAACCUUCAUCCGAAAAUCAUUAUAUCCCAAGUGGAAUAAUGCUUCGAAGGACGAAGGACUUUAACGUUUUGUCGGUGUUUCGAGACCGGGGGGUCCCUGGACCGACGAGUAAACUGUCGCCGUGUGCCCCAGCCCAGAUGGGUCGGCGCGAGACGGAGCGCGAAGGGGGGAGGCAGCCAGAGAGAGAGAGAGGUGGAAAUCCCGCGGCCUUCGUGUUUGUCCCGCGCCCAGGUCGGGUGCACUUGCAGUAGGGGGUUACAAGCGUCCACGCGGGAGGGAGCGAGCGGCCUCACGUGAGCGCCUGUCCCGUACUUUCCCCGUGCGACCAACCCUCUAUAAGAGGGCCCUGGUCCUUCCUUUUAUAGGCGUAAGGAGAGGAUCCAGGUGUACAAUGGGGGGUGUAGCAGAGUGCUAACGUGUCUAGCGGAGGAGAGCUAGCGCCCUAAGUACAUGCCAUCGUGGCAGCCGGAGAGGUUUUGGCACCCGGUUCAUGUGGUGUCGUGGCCGUCGGAGGAGCGCUGGAGCCCGGCGGAAGGACAGCUGUCGGGGCUGUCGAGUCCUUGCUGACGUCCUCUUGCUUCCGUAAGGGGGCUAAGAGCCACCGUCGUCAUAGAGCGUGCGGGGCGCCAUCAUUACUUGUCUGGCGGAGCGAGCCAGAUGGGACGCCGGUCUUGUUCCCCGUAGCCUGAGUCAGCUUGGGGUAGGGUAAUGAUGGCGCCUCCUGUUGACGUGGUCGGUCUGUGCCCUAGGUUGGGCGAUGUGGAGGCUCCUCCGAGGUCGAGGUCGAGUCUGUCUUCCGAGGCCGAGGUCGAGUCCGAGCCCCUGGGUCGGGCGAGGCGGAGAACGUCGGCUGAGGCCAGGGCUGAGUCCGAGCCCUGGGGUUGGGCGAAGCGGAGUUCGUCGUCUUCAGGGGCUGAGCCCGAGUCCGAGCCCUGGGUCGGGCGGAGCGGAGUUCAUCGUCUUUAGGGGCUGAGCCCGAGUCCGAGCCCUGGGUCGGGCGGAGCGGAGUUCACCGUCUUCCGGGGCUGAGCCCGAGUCCGAGCCCUGGGUCGGGCGGAGCGGAGUUCGCCGUCUUCCGGGGCUGAGCCCGAGUCCGAGCCCUGGGUCGGGCGGAGCGGAGUUCGCCGUCUUCCGGGGCUGAGCCCGAGUCCGAGCCCUGGGUCGGGCGAAGCGGAGUUUCCUAUGGUGCCUGAGGCCGGGCCUGGCUGCCUGUCAGCCUCACUCUGUCGAGUGGCACAGCAGUCGGAGCGGCGCAGGCGACGCUGUCCUCUUGUCAGACCGGUCAGUGGAGCGGCGAAGUGACUGCGGUCACUUCGGCUCUGUCGACUGGAGGGUGCGCGUCAGGAUAAAGGUGUCAGGCCACCUUUGCAUUAAAUGCCCCUGCAAUUUGGUCGGUUGGCGUGGCGAUUUGGCCAGGGUUGCUUCAUGGUGAAUACUGGGCCUUGGGCGAGCCGGAAGUAUGUUCAUUGCUGGAGGGGGGCCUCGGGCGAGACGUAGAUCCUCCGGGGUCGGCUGCCCUUGCCCGAGGCUGGGCUCGGGCGAGGCGUGAUCGAGUCCCUCGAAUGGACCGAUCCCUGACUUAGUCGCACCCAUCAGGCCUUUGCAGCUUUGUGCUGAUGGGGGUUACCAGCUGAGAAUUAGGAGUCUUGAGGGUACCCCUAAUUAUGGUCCCCGACAGUAGCCCUCGAGCCUCGAAGGGAGUGUUAACACUCGCUUGGAGGCUUUUGUCGCACUUUUUUGCAAGGGGACCAGCCUUUCUCGGUUGCGUUUUGUUCCGGUGGGUGCGCGCGAACGCACCCACCGGGUGUAGCCCCCGAGGCCUCGGAGGAGUGGUUUGACUCCUCCGAGGUCUUAAUGCCUCGCGCAAUGCUUCGGCUGGUCUGGUCGUUCCCUCAUGCGAGCUGGCCGUAGCCCGGGUGCACGGUCGGGUCCCAAGUUCUUGGGCUGGUAUGUUGACGCUGUCAAUGGUUUGGCCGGAGCCGGGUUUGCGAGAGCAGCCCCCGAGCCUCUGCACAGGGCGAGAGGACGGUCAAGGACAGACUCGACUUUUUUACAUACGCCCCUGCGUCGCCUUUCCGCAAGGAGGAGGGGGGGAAAGCGCCAUGUUGCCCUCGGAGGGCACCGAACAUGGUGUCUCCGGUGAGCUGCUGGCGGGUAAUCCGAGUGGACGCCUGUGCCCCAUUUGUUAGGGGUCGGCUAGAGGCCCGGAGGCGCGCUCAAAAGUACCUGCGGGUGAUCUGCCGGACCCGGUCCCCUUUCGACGGAGUCCGAGGGCUCGAUGCCUCCCUCUGAUGGGAUUCCAUUACAAGAUCAUUCCUGCUGGUCUCGGAAAUGUCCUAGGGUACCUCGGGAGCGUAGCCCGAGCCUUGGUUAUGUAUCGAACGUACCCAGGGUCAUCCCUCGCUCUUUGUCUAAGGCGGCUGUGAACCUUUCGAGGGCCAGCCUACGAACCCCUGAUAAGUAGUGGGCGCGGAGCCCGAGUAGCCUGAGGCGGCCGUUGAACCCUUCCGAGGGGCCGGCCUUCGAACCUCUGACCAGUAGUGGGUGCGGGGCCCACGCGCUCUGAGGCGGCUGUUAAACCCCUCCGAGGGGCCAGCCUUGGAACCUCUGAUCAGUAGGGAGGCUCGGAGCCUGUUUCCUUCACGGAGAAGGAUCCUUUUCGGGGUAUCCCCCUUUCCCGGUCCCUGUUGUAAGAGAGAGAAAGAGGAAAAGGAAAAGGAUACGAAAUCGAUUGACGUGGUGUACCUCUUUGGACGCGGUCAUUAUGGCGAAGGCGAAGCGUCACUUGCUUCUCCUGCCAAAGGCGCCGCCUCUCCCACCGCGGAGUUAAUGCGAUGGGGCGAGUGGUUCGCGGGGCGGCCGUUGCGCGUGCGCAAGCCGUUCGAGGAACGAAACGCGGGCGCGCCGUCUUCACGCCGUGAGAGAGGGCUCUCUCGCUGCCCCUAGAUGGGACAUAAGCUUGGCUGACGACGUGACCGCUGCUCCUGCCCGCCUGCCACCGCCAUUACUGCCAGCCCAUUUUUGGCCGUAUUGACGGUCGCGCCUGGCUGGCACUGUCGGGUCGUACGCAGGGUUGCCUCGAGGCGCGGUACUAGUUCCGCAGUCGAGGAGGCAUGGUAGUGGCGCGAGCGGCGGUGCAGUUGCUCGCACGUUGCGACCGGCGCGCCGGUUGCAUGACGCGUGGGCCUGGGCCUCCAUGCUGGGUGCGUUGGAAGUCGAAGGGGUGCGCCCACUUUGCGUGGUUGCAUGCCGCCUGCAUGGCUGCCCGCCCUUUCACCCGCUGGUCUGGGCGAAAGCGGAGGAAUGCCUGUAACCGCUGGGCGGUUGCAUGCACCGCGCGCGGCGGUUUGGCUUCUUCUGCCCUGGGCCAGCUUGCAUGACACGUGGGACCCAGCCCCCGCGCCGUAGGGGGAGGACCUUGGAGCGUGUUGGAGAAGACUCAGCCCACGACGGCUGGGGACGCAAGUAGGGAGAGUCGCCUUUAAAAGGAGGGUGACCCCCUUGAAAGGCGACCAUGUCUUCACGCUCCCUUAUGCGUCGUGUCUUUCCACCUUUCGGGCCCCCGGAUGGGGGACACCCGCAAUCCUUCUGCCUUGUCGUUGGAGGAACGCAACUCCGUGGGAGUUGGUACCUUUCAGCCAUCGUUCGGCUUCAAGGAUUUUCAUCACGCGGCCCGGCUGCACCCCCUCGCCGGUGGUCACCUAGGACGGUGACCACCAGCCCAUGGAUGGGGAGAGGCAAGCCGGGCUGCGGCCCCCGCCCCUCCCUCAGCUUCAAGGAUGCUUACCAUCCUUGCUGGGAUGGAGGGCGAGGCGAACCGGGGCUCUACCUCUCGCACGGGUCGACUGGCCACCUCCUCUUCCAGCUUCUGGUGGUGGAACCAUCCCCCAGCUCUGUGGAGGAGGCGUCCUCCAGCCAUGCCGGGGAAGGCGAACUGUUGCUGCCCAGCUAGGAUGCAACAUUCCGCCCUCUUCCUUGUUUUUGUGGCGAGGACGGGAGCGAGGACCUGCUGGUGCGCUUUGGAGCGGCCCGCGUUUGCCAGUGCGGCGUUGGUGGAGAGGCGGACGCCGUUGUCGGUGCUGACGUGGUGGCAGACGGGGGAAGCUUCCCCACCGUUGAGGCUGUCAGUGCCGCCUACAGGCCGACCCCCGGCUCUUUGGCUUUGAUGUCUGGUUCGCGUCCCUUGAGUGGGGACGCGAACGAGAGCCUUCCGGUGGCCGCGUCCGUCUUGGGACCAUAGCUGCUGCUGCAGAGGUCGCUGGCGAGUCGCCCGGAACUUGUCGCUCCGCAGGCUCCCCGGUGUGGAGGUUGUUCAUACCCGCGGGGACGGAACCGGAGUUCCGUUUGUAAUGGCACCUUGAAUGCCGGUCUUUUGUUCAUUGUGGCUGUCGGGGCCUGAACAUGUAUGUAUUUUUGGCGCGGAGCCGUGUUUUUUCCUCAUUUUCGAGCACUAAGACUCGCCUGUUGGUUAUCUGAACCGUUUCACCAAGCGUGAGUCGCCCCAUGCAAAGGUGACGAGUGAGGUAUCCGUAUCCCGGAGGCGUAGGAGUCCCUCGGCUCGGUCGGCCUUGCUGUCCGAGGCUUCUCUUGCUCAGUUAAAGGAACCCCUCGGCCGCUCUUCGAUGAGCCAAAGCCAGGGGUAGCGGUGUCAGCACGGACAGAGGCAGAGUUGGCUCGAAAAGAAGACUUGGUCGGCCAGAGCCUGGCCGGGUCGUCCACUGGCGGGACCGACGCCGGAAUUGAGUUGCCGAGGCCUCGGGCCGGGCUGAUGUCUUCGGGGGACAGCUGGCCGAGGCCUCGGGGUGACCGGCCGAGCCGCCUGCUCGAGCCGGAUUCUUGGAGAAGACCCUGGCGGCGAUGGCCCGGGCGUGAUUAUGACGUCGUCCUUCAGAGUGGAGAUCCUCGGACCGCGUCGCCGUCCGAGGCUAGGUCGGACCUCGCCGAAGGUGUAGUUGACGCCGAGGGUGCUGCUGCUUCCUUCAACUGUCAAGAUCUGAGCCUGCAUGAUCGGAUUAUCUUGUAGUGUGUGUUUUUUGCGGCCGCCGAGGCCCAAACACACCAUCGCCGUGUUGUAAAGCUGCGUUUCUUUUCCUCUUGUUUCGAGUAUCUGGACCUUUUCGUCGGUCACAGAAUUGUCUGUGCGAGCGAGAGUUGCUUUUCACGGGAGGCGAUGAGUGAGGUAUCUGUAUCCCGGAGGCGUAGGAAUCCCUCGGCUCGGUCGGCCUUGCCGCUUACGCGCGCUCUUGCCCGUCCAUGGGGUUCUGUCACCGACGCAGUCGAGAAGGCCCGAAGAAUCGCUUCGGCAGAGGAGCUUUCGAGCGUGAAGACUUGUUCGGUCCGCGGAAUCACUUAUCCGAACACGAGUUACUUAUCGCAGAAGGUGAUGAGUGAGGUAUCCGUAUCCCGGAGGCGUAGGAGUCCCUCGGCUCAGUCAGCCUUGGCUGCUUACGUGUACUCUGCCGUUUUCAGGAUCCACUUUCGAAGUAGUCGAAAAGCACGAAAGACAUUCUGGCAGAAAAGAUCCUUUUUUCGAGGAAAAUUUUGACGCAGAGGGGGUUCCCCCCUUUUAGCCCCCGAGGGAGGGUCGGGCUUUGCUGAGGCAAGGCUGACCCUUCCUUGAUGACUAAACUUUGCAUGGGAACGAGGUAUACGAACAACUUGAAAGCAUCUUAAGGGUAGAAGCGACGUAGCUGUUGGAUGUUUCAAGCGUUGCUGUAGACCUCGCCUUGACUGUUGGCCAGCUUGUACAUUCCGGGCUUCAGAACUUUGGCGAUGACGAAAGGCCCUUCCCAGGGAGGCGUGAGCUUGUGCCGCCCUCGGGCGUCUUGUCGCAGCCGAAGCACCAGGUCGCCCACCUAGAGGUCUCGGGACCGAACCCCUCGGGCGUGGUAGCGUCGCAGGGACUGCUGGUACCGCGCUGAGUGUAGUAAGGCCAUGUCCCGAGCCUCUUCCAGCUGGUCCAGUGAGUCUUCUCGAUUAGCUUGAUUGCUUUGGUCGGUGUAGGCCCUCGUCCUCGGGGAACCGUAUUCUAAGUCUAUGGGUAGGAUGGCCUCGGCCCCAUAGACUAGAAAGAACGGCGUGAAGCCCGUGGCUCGGCUCGGCGUUGUCCUCAGGCUCCAGACCACCGAGGGGAGUUCCUUCAUCCAUCGCUUGCCGAACUUGUUGAGGUCGUUGUAGAUCCGAGGCUUGAGUCCUUGUAGAAUCAUGUCAUUGGCACGCUCUACUUGCCCAUUCGUCAUGGGGUGAGCCACGGUGGCCCAGUCCACCCCGGAUGUGGUGAUCCUCGCAGAAGUCCAGGAACUUUCUGUCGGUGAACUGGGUGCCGUUGUCGGUGAUGAUGGAGUUCGGGACCCCAAAACGAUGGAUGAUGUUGGUGAAGGACGCCACCGCCUGUUCGGACCUGAUGCUGUUUAGGGGUCGGACCUCGAUCCACUUGGAGAAUUUGUCGAUGGCGACCAACAGGUGCGUGUAGGCCCUGGGUGCCUUCUGCAAGGGGCCGACGAGGUCCAGACCCCACACAGCAAAAGGCCAGGUGAUGGGUAUCGUCUGCAGAGCUUGAGCGGGCAGGUGGGUCUGCCUCGCAUAGAACUGACACCCUUCGCAGGUGCGGACAAUUCUAGUGGCGUCGGCCACCGCUGUCGGCCAGUAGAAACCUUGUCGGAAGGCGUUUCCAACAAGGGCUCGAGGUGCUGCGUGAUGGCCGCAAGCCCCCGAGUGUAUCUCUCGUAGGAGCUCCUGACCUUUGGCUAUGGGGAUGCAUCGCUGGAGGAUGCCUGAGGGGCUACGGUGGUAGAGCUCCUUCCCAUCUCCCAGCAAGACGAACGACUUGGCGCGUCGCGCCAACCGCCGAGCUUCGGCUCGGUCGAGGGGUAGCUCUCCUCGGUGGAGAUAUUGCAGGUACGGGGUCUGCCAGUUUCGAUUAGGCGUGACCCCGCUUCGCUCCUCCUCGGUGCGCAGUGCCUCACCCUCGGGGGCCGAGGGUACCUCGGGCUGAACCGAGGGUGCCUCGGGCCGAGCCGAGGGUGCCUCGGACUGAGCUGAGGGUACCUUGGGCUGGGCCGAGGGUGCCUCGGGCUCGGGCGUGUCGUCGAUCUUGACGGAGGGUUGAUGUAGGUCUCGGGAGAAGACGUCCGGGGGAACCGUUGUUCGCCCCGAGGCUAUUUUAGCCAGCUCGUCCGCAGUCUCGUUGUAGCGCCGGGCGAUGUGGUUGAGCUCGAGCCCGUAGAACUUGUCUUCCAGGCGCCGAACCUCAUCGCAGUAGGCCUCCAUCUUCGGGUCGCGGUAGUGGGAGUUCUUCAUGACUUGGUCGAUGACGAGCUGUGAGUCACCGCGAGCGUCGAGGCGUCGGACCCCUAGCUCGAUGGCGAUCCGCAACCCGUUGACCAGAGCCUCGUACUCAGCCACAUUGUUGGACGCCGGGAAAUAGAGGCGUAGCAUGUAGCGUAGGUGCUUCCCGAGGGGCGAGAUGAAGAGUAGGUCUGCGCCGGCUCCUGUCUUCAUCAACGACCCGUCAAAGAACAUGGUCCAGAGUUCCGGCUGAAUCGGAACUGUUGGGAGCUGGGUGUCGACCCAUUUAGCCACGAAGUCCGCCAAGACCUGGGACUUGAUGGCCUUCCGAGGGGCGAACGAGAUUGUUUCGCCCAUGAUUUCCACCGCCCACUUUGCAAUUCUACCCGAGGCCUCUCGGCACUGGAUGAUCUCCCCAGGGGGAAGGAUGACACCACAGUUACCAGAUGAGACUCGAAGUAGUGUCGCAACUUCCGCCGCGUCAGGAUCACCGCGUACAGCAGCUUCUGAAUUUGUGGGUAGCGGGUCUUGGUCUCGGACAGUACCUCGCUGACGAAGUAGACUGGCCUCUGGACGGGCAAUGUAUGCCCCUCUUCUCGUCUCUCAACCACAAUCGCGGCGCUAACCACCUGAGUGGUCGCGGCGACGUAGAUCAAGAGGGCUUCUCCGGCAGCGGGGGGCACCAAGAUGGGCGCGUUCGUGAGGAGCGCCUUCAGGUUCCCGAGGGCUUCCUCGGCCUCAGGGGUCCAAGCGAAGCACUCGGCCUUCCUUAAGAGGCGAUACAGAGGCAGACCUCUUUCGCCGAGGCGCGAGAUGAAGCGGCUCAGAGCCACAAGACAUCCCGUGACCCUCUGUACGCCUUUCAAGUCGUUGAUGGGCCCCAUGCUGGUGAUGGCCGCGAUCUUCUCCGGGUUGGCUUCGAUGCCCCGCUCGGAGACGAUGAACCCCAAGAGCAUGCCUCGGGGUACCCCGAAGACACACUUUUUGGGAUUGAGCUUCACGCCUUUCGCCUUGAGACAUCGGAAUGUCACUUCAAGGUCGGAAAGGAGGUCGGAGGCUUUCCUUGUCUUGACUACGAUGUCAUCGACGUAGGCCUCGACCGUCCGGCCAAUGUGUUCGCCGAACACAUGGUUCAUGCACCGCUGGUACGUCGCACCCGCAUUCCUCAAGCCGAACGGCAUGGUGACAUAGCAGUACAUGCCGAAGGGUGUGAUGAAAGAAGUCGCGAGCUGGUCGGACUCUUUCAUCCUGAUUUGGUGAUACCCUGAGUAGGCAUCGAGGAAAGACAGGGUUUCACACCCAGCAGUGGAAUCCACGAUUUGAUCGAUGCGAGGCAGAGGGUAGGGAACCUUCGGACCUGCUUUGUUUAGACCAGUGUAGUCUACACACAUCCGCCAUUUCCCUCCUUUCUUUCUCACAAGCACAGGGUUGGCAAGCCAUUCGGGAUGGAAUACCUCUUUGAUGAACCCUGCCGCCAUUAGCUUGUGGAUCUCCUCGCCUAUGGCUCUGCGCUUUUCUUCGUCGAAUCGGCACAGAGGCUGCUUCACGAGUCGGGCUCCAGCUCGGAUAUCCAGCGAGUGCUCGACGACAUCCCUCGGUAUGCCGGGCAUGUCCGAGGGACUCCACGCGAAAACAUCGGCGUUUGUGCGGAGAAAGUCAACGAGCACUGCUUCCUAUUUGGGAUCGAGCUCGGAGCCGAUCCGGAUCUGCUUGGAGGCGUCGCUACUGGGGUCGAGGGGGAUGGACUUAACCGUCUCCGCUGGCUCGAAGUUGCCGGCGUGGCGCUUCACGUCUGGCACCUCCUUAGAGAGGCUCUCCAGGUCGGCGACGAGGGCCUCGGAUUCGGCGAGGGCCUCAGCGUACUCCACGCACUCCACGUCACAUUCGAACAUGUGUCGGUACAUGGGGCCGACGGUGAUGACCCCGUUGGGGCCUGGCAUCUUGAGCUUGAGGUAGGUGUAGUUGGGGACGGCCAUGAACUUCGCGUAGCAUGGCCUCCCCAAUACUGCGUGGUAGGUUCCUUGGAACCCGACCACCUCGAACAUGAGGGUCUCCCUUCGGAAGUUGGAGGGUGUUCCGAAGCAGACGGGAAGGUCGAGUUGUCCGAGGGGCUGGACGCGCUUCCCGGGGAUGAUCCCGUGGAAAGGCGCAGCGUCUGCCCGGACCGAGGAGAGAUCAACACGAAGGAGCCCGAGGGUCUCGGCGUAGAUGAUGUUGAGGCUGCUGCCUCCGUCCAUGAGGACCUUGGUGAGCCUGACGUCGCCGAUGAUGGGGUCGACAACGAGCGGGUAUUUCCCCGGGCUCGGCACGUGGUCGGGGUGGUCGGCUUGGUCGAAGGUGAUGGGCUUGUCGGACCAGUCUAGGUAGACUGGCGCCGCCACCUUUACCGAACAGACCUCCCGACGCUCUUGCUUGCGGAGCCGAGCCGAGGCGUUCGCCGCUUGCCCACUGUAGAUCAUGAAGCAGUCGCGGACCUCGGGGAACUCUCCUGCCUGGAGAUCUUCCUUUUUGUCGUCGUCGCGAGCCCUGCCACCCUCCGCGGGUGGCCCGGCCCUGUGGAAGUGGCGCCGAAGCAUGGCGCACUCCUCAAGGGUGUGCUUGACGGGCCCCUGAUGAUAGGGGCACGACUCCUUGAGCAUCUUAUCAAAAAGGUUGGCACCUCCGGGGGGUUUCCGAGGGUUCUUGUACUCGGCGGCGGCGACAAGGUCCGCGUCGGCGGCGUCGCGUUUUGCUUGCGACUUCUUCUUGCCUUUCUUCUUGGCGCCGCGCUGAGUUGACGCCUCGGGGGCAUCUUUCGGUGGGCGGCCCUAGGACUGCUUGUCCUUCCGGAAGAUAGCCACAACCGCCUCCUGGCCAGAGGCGAACUUGGUGGCGAUGUCCAUCAGCUCGCUCGCCCUGGUGGGGGUCUUGCGACCCAGCUUGCUCACCAGGUCGCGGCAGGUGGUGCCGGCGAGGAACGCGCCGAUGACAUCCGAAUCGAUGAUGUUGGGCAGCUCGGUGCGCUGCUUCGAGAAUCGCCGGAUGUAGUCCCGGAGAGACUCUCCUGGCUGCUGUCGGUAGCUCCGGAGAUCCUAGGAGUUCCCAGGGCGCACGUACGUGCCCUAGAAAUUGCCGAUGAAGGCUUGGACUAGGUCGUCCCAGUUGGAGAUCUGCCCCGGAGGCAGGUGCUCCAACCAAGCACGAGCGGUGUCGGAGAGGAACAGAGGGAGGUUGCGGAUGAUGAGGCUGUCAUCGUCCGUUCCACCCAGUUGGCAGGCCAGCCGGUAGUCCGCGAGCCACAGUUCCGGUCUCGUCACCCCCGAGUACUUUGUGAUAGUAGUCGGGGGUCGGAACCGGGUCGGGAACGACGCCCGUCGUAUGGCGCGGCUGAAAGCCUGCGGACCGGGUGGUUCGGGCGAGGGACUCCGAUCCUCCCCGCUAUCGUAGCGUCCCCCACGCCUGGGGUGGUAGCCUCGGCGCACCCUCUCGUCAAGGUGGGCUCGGCGGUUGCGGUGAUGGUGCUCGUUGCCGAGGCGACCCGGGGCCGCAGGCGCUGUGUUGCGCGUGCGCCCGGUGUGGACCGAGGCUUCCCGCAUAAAUCGGGAAGUCGCGGCGCGAUGAUCCGUGGGGUACCCCUGCCUUCGGGAGGUGGAGCUUUCGGCCCGUCGGACCGCGGCGUCCUCCAGGAGAUUCUUGAGCUCUCCCUAGAUUCGCCGCCCCUCGGUGGUUGAUGGCUCCGGCAUCACGCGGAGGAGCAUUGCCGCUGCAGCCUGGUUCUGGCCGACCCCACUGGAAGCGGGCGACGGCCUCACCCUGACAUCGUCGGCGAUGCGGUGCUGGAAGCCCUGGGGGAGAUGACGCACUUCUCCGGCCGGAGGUUGGCUCGCCCAUUCCUGCCCGAUGUCCUGGCGGAUUGGCUCAAGUGUUCUUGCUCCCUCGUCGAGCCUGGCCUGCACCCUGCGGAUUUGCUCGAGCUGUGGGUCAUGACCCCCCGCCUGAACGGGGACCACAGCUAGCUCCCGUAGGAUGUCAACGCGAGGCACAGGCCUAAGGAGAUCACCGUUCUCCAGCAUACCAAGAUGGUUGCCUUCGGAGGAACCCCCUAGAUCGACGUGGAAACGUUCACGACUUGGGCCGCAGUCCUCGUCGCCGAGGCUGCGGCUACCGUCAGAACAGUCGGAAAGGCAGUAGUCGCAUGCGGUCAUGAAGUCCCGCAUGGCACUGGGGUUACCAAGCCUGGAGAAAUCCCAACAGAAGUCGGGCUCGUCAUCUUCCUCGGACCCCGAGGGCCCGUAGAUCGAGACGUCCGUCAGCCGGUCCCAGGGUGACCGCAUACGAUACCCCAGAGGGUUUGGACUCGCCUCUACAAGAGCGUCCACCAAAGCGAAGUCGCUUGGCGGGUCGAGGCUGAAUCCAAAAGGCGUGAGAUGGGAAUCGGUUGGUACCUCUUGGUCGACGGGCGGUGACGAAGUCACGUCAGGGACGGACUGCACCGUCGUCUCUGGUAUGAGGGUGACGCCCAGCAAGUCCCUCAAGAGCGUGCUGGCAUCGUCCGUCUGCUUGGGAUUGGCGUGUUGCGGGGAGACGGCGCUCGUCUUCGUCUCAAACGCGAGGUCGAUGCCCGACGUGCCCCCCGUUGGGGCGCCGUCGCCGUCGACUCGCUCGACAGCCGACGAGGUGCCGCCUCCUGCUUGGCCUUGGUUGCCCUGCCUCCUCCUCCGUCGGCGGGGGAGAGGACGGGGCGAGCUCGAAUGUUGUUCUUCCACCACGCGGGGAAGACGUUGUCGAUUCCGCCGCCGGCGGGCGGGCUGCCGGCCGCCAUUGUCGCUGUCGCACGGCGGGGGAAGGAGUAUCAUGUCGCAGCAGCCGUCGAGGGACAUGAACUCAAGACUCCCGAAACGGAGCACCGUCCCGGGCUGGAAAGGUUGCUGGACACUGCCCAUCUGGAGCUUGACGGGAAGCAGUUCGUCAACACGCAGCAGGCCCCUACCUGGCGCGCCAACUGUCGGCGUUUCGAGACCGGGGGGUCCCUGGACCGACGAGUAAACUGUCGCCGCGCGCCCCAGCCCAGAUGGGUCGGAGCGAGACGGAGCGCGAAGGGGGGAGGCAGCCGGAGAGAGAGAGAGGUGGAAAUCCCGCGGCCUUCGUGUUUGUCCCGCGCCCAGGUCGGGUGCGCUUGCAGUAGGGGGUUACAAGCGUCCACGCGGGAGGGAGCGAGCGGCCUCACGCGAGCGCCUGUCCCUUCCUUUCCCCGCGCGGCCAACCCUCUGUAAGAGGGCCCUGGUCCUUCCUUUUAUAGGCGUAAGGAGAGGAUCCAGGUGUACAAUGGGGGGUGUAGCAGAGUGCUAACGUGUCUAACGGAGGAGAGCUAGCGCCCUAAGUACAUGCCAUCGUGGCAGCUGGAGAGGUUUUGGCACCCGAUUCGUGUGGUGUCGUGGCCGUCGGAGGAGCGCUGGAGCCUGGCGGAAGGACAGCUGUCGGGGCUGUCGAGUCCUUGCUGACGUCCUCUUGCUUCCGUAAGGGGACUGAGAGCCGCCGUCGUCAUAGAGCGUGCGGGGCGCCAUCAUUACUUGUCUGGCGGAGCGAGCCAGAUGGGACGCCGGUCUUGUUCCCCAUAGCCUGAGUCAGCUUGGGGUAGGGUAAUGAUGGCGCCUCCUGUUGACGUGGUCGGUCCGUGCCCUAGGUUGGGCGAUGUGGAGGCUCCUCCGAGGUCGAGGUCGAGUCUGUCUUCUGAGGCCGAGGUCGAGUCUGAGCCCCUGGGUCGGGCGAGGCGGAGACCAUCGGCUGAGGCCAGGGCUGAGUCCGAGCCCUAGGGUCAGGCGAAGCGGAGUUUGUCGUCUUCAGGGGCUGAGCCCGAGUCCGAGCCCUGGGUCGGGCGGAGCGGAGUUCGUUGUCUUCAGGGGCUGAGCCCGAGUCCGAGCCCUGGGUCGGGCGGAGCGGAGUUUGCCGUCUUCCGGGGCUGAGCCCGAGUCCGAGCCCUGAGUCAGGCGGAGCGUAGUUCGCCGUCUUCCGGGGCUGAGCCCGAGUCCGAGCCCUGGGUCGGGCGGAGCGGAGUUCGCCGUCUUCCGGGGCUGAGCCCGAGUCCGAGCCCUGGGUCGGGCGGAGCGGAGUUCGCCGUCUUCCGGGGCUGAGCCCGAGUCCGAGCCCUGGGUCGGGCGGAGCGGAGUUCGCCGUCUUCCGGGGCUGAGCCCGAGUUCGAGCCCUGGGUCGGGCGAAGCGGAGUUUCCUAUGGUGCCUGAGGCCGGGCCUGGCUGCCUGUCAGCCUCACUCUGUCGAGUGGCAUAGCAGUCGAAGCGGCGCAGGCGACGCUGUCCUCUUGUCAGACCGGUCAGUGGAGCGGCGAAGUGACUGCGGUCACUUCGGCUCUGUCGACUGGAGGGCGCGCGUCAGGAUAAAGGUGUCAGGCCACCUUUGCAUUAAAUGCCCUUGCAAUUUGGUCGGUUGGCGUGGCUAUUUGGCCAGGGUUGCUUCUUGGCGAAGACUGGGCCUUGGGCAAGCCGGAAGUAUGUUUGUUGCUGGAGGGGGGCCUCGGGCGAGACGUAGAUCCUCCGGGGUCGGCUGCCCUUGCCCGAGGCUGGGCUCGGGCGAGGCGUGAUCGAGUCCCUCGAAUGGACCGAUCCCUGACUUAGUCGCACCCAUCAGGCCUUUGCAGCUUUGUGCUGAUGGGGGUUACCAGCUGAGAAUUAGGAGUCUUGAGGGUACCCCUAAUUAUGGUCCCCGACAUGUUUAACAUUUUUUGUGUUGCCUUGUUCUUAACUCUUAGCAUUUGAGAACAAGUCCCCAACACCUGUCCUGGGAUCUUUUCAUCAGGCAGUUUGAGAGGAGGUUCUACCCGGUCACCUUCCUGGAGAAAAUGAAGAUUGAUUUGCAAUCCUACAAGCAAGAGAAGAAGUCUGUCACAGACUAUGAAGUGGGCUUUAACAAGAUGGUCUGCUUUGUUCCUCAUGUGGCUUACAAUGAGAUGGAGAAGGCGAGCCAGUUCCGUCAGGGCCUGAAACCUUCUAUCAGGCAUGCCCUGGGAGCCUUUCCGUUGGUGGAUUUCUGUACUACAGUGGAGCAGGCAUUAGGUGUGGAGAUGCAACACCAGUAUACCAUGGAGUCACAGAAGUCUUCGGGUGUUGAUCAGCCUCAUGGCCAGGACGCGAGGAGGGGCAACACUGGAGGUCCAGCCCACAAGAGGGGCAAGUCUCAGCACCAGCGCCACCACCCCUACCAUGGCAAAUCUUCUGAAUCGGGUACUUCAGGAGGAAGUACUCAGAGGUAUCGGGUUGUUCCUAAACCCAGGCUGGGGCUGGUGUGUUUCCGUUGUGGUGAUGCGCAUCGUCGUGCUGAGUGUCAGUGGAGUGGCAGGUGCUCUAUCUACAGCCAAGACCACAAGGAUGUGGUGUGUAGGAGGAAUCCCAAUGGGAAGCUCAGAUGGGAGCCAGUGACUUCCUCCUCUUCUCAGGGCACUGUCAACAUGAUGUCAAGUGCUGAGCAGCAAUUUGCAGUUCCACUCCCUCCGCAGCAGUUCUAUGUGCCUGGGACUUCUCAGUUCGUGGCGAUGCAAGGUUUUCCUCAGUAUCUGGUUGCGCCAACUCCUGCACCAACUACUCCUAUGCCAUCUCAGUUUGGAGCUCCGUGUCUGCCUCACCCGACGGCUCAGUGGGGUUCUUCUGUUAACUUCACUCCGGAAGCUUCCUCUUCUGCGGGUAUUUCCGGAGCUUAUGUGCUACCCUCGGCGGAUGGCAGGGAGCAAGGAGACGUGGUGACAGGUACGAUCUCGGUUGAUUCAUUUGUGGCCCAUGCUCUUUUUGACUCUGGCGCUAGCUAUUCGUUUGUUUUGGAGAUUUUUGUGUCGUGGGCUGGUCUUUCGGUGCAGAGGUUGGUCACCCAAUUUUGGUUAGUUCUGCUAAUGGCUCCAUUAGUAGCUAUUCAGUUUGUCAGGGGUGUUCUGUCAUUCUUGCUAAUGAGGUCUUUUUGGCCAAUCUUGUUGUGAUUUCCUUGGGGGCAUUCGAUGUUAUCUUGGGUAUGGAUUGGUUAUCUCAGUAUCGUGCAGUUAUAUCCUGUUUUUGGAAGACAGUGUUAUUGCAGGCGCCGUCGGGUAGGGAGGUGGUAUUCUUGGGAAGUUCCCCAAAGUUCACGUUAUCCUUGUUGGCGCAAUUGCUUCCGGAUCGCCGGUCAAGGAAGUCAAGAAUCUUUUUCUCCAUGGUGGUGGAGGGUGAAGCUGCCUUGCGGGUGCAGGACAUCCGGGUGGUGUGUGGCUAUGCCGACGUGUUUCCAGCAGAGCUUCCAGGCAUUCCUCCGGAGCGCGAUGCAGCUUUUGAAAUCAAGCUAAUUCCGGGUACGCAGCCUAUUCAUAAGGCCCCGUAUCGGAUGGCUCCAAAGGAGCAGGUUGAAUUGAAGCGGCAAUUAGAUGAUCUGCUGGCUAAGGGUUUCAUUAGGCCUAGCAGGUCGCCUUGGGCUUCCCCAGUACUAUUUGUUGAGAAGAAGGAUAAAAGCAAGAGGUUAUGUGUGGAUUAUCGGGCUUUGAAUCAAGUGACAAUCAAGAAUAAAUAUCCGCUACCCCGUAUUGAGGUUCUCUUUGAACAGUUGAGGGGUGCCCAGGUGUUCUCCAAAAUUGAUUUGAACUCUGGUUAUCAUCAAUUGAGGAUUCGUGAGGAGGAUAUUGAGAAGAUAGCCUUUUGCACCAGGCAUGGGCAUUAUGAGUUCAUAGUCAUGUCUUUUGGCUUAACUAAUGCCCCUGCCGCUUUUAUGGAAGCAAUGAAUAGGAUGUUACAUGAGUUCUUGGACGACUUUGUGGUCGUGUUCCUGGAUGAUAUACUGAUUUAUUCAAAGACCGAGGAAGAGCAUGAGCGGCAUCUCCGUCUCAUUCUGAGUGCUCUUAGGAAGAAUCAAUUUUAUGGAAAAUUGAAGAAGUGCGCCUUUUGGCUGUCCGAAGUGGCUUUCUUAGGGCAUGUGAUUAAUCAGCAGGGCAUUGCGGUUGAUCCCAAGAAUGUCGCGGCUGUGGUGGAGUGGAAGAGACCCUCUAGUGUCUCUGAAAUCCGAAGUUUCUUGGGGAUCACUGGAUAUUAUCAUCGCUUCAUACCAAUUUUUUCCAGCAUUGCUAAGCCUUUGACUAGACUCUUGGAGAAGGGUGUUCUCUUCGUAUGGUCCAGCGAUUGCGAGGACAGCUAUCAACAUUGAAGAACAAGUUGGUGGACACCCCUAUCCUAGCUUUGCCUGAGAGCGGUAAGCGUUUCACAGUUUAUAUGGAUGCUUCUCGAAUUGGUCUUGGUUGUGUGUUGAUGCAGGAAGGCAGAGUGAUUGCUUAUGGCUCAAGGCAGUUGAGGAAGCAUGAGGGGAAUUAUCCAACUCAUGAUCUUGAAUUGGCCGCUGUGGUUUUUGCUCCAAAGUCAUGGAGGCAUUAUCUUUAUGGCGAGUCUUGUGACAUUUACACCAAUCAUAAAAGUCUCAAGUAUAUUUUCACUCAGAAGGAGCUGAAUUUGAGGCAGCGUCGGUGGCUCGAAUUGAUUAAAGAUUAUGAUUUGUCCAUUCAUUAUCAUCCGGGAAAGGCAAAUGUGGUGGCUGAUGCCCUUAGCAGGUCCGGGGUUCCAAAAGUGGCCUUGCCUUUGAUCGCUGAUCUGGACCGUUUGGGGAUUGCUUUGUGCUACAUCAGCACCGCUAGUGAGGAGACUCGGAUGCUUAUUCAAUCCUCCCUCAUGGAGAGGGUGCGCGCGGCUCAGCAGCAGGAUCGCUUAUUGCAGGAAGCUCGAAAGAGGGUUGGUGAUGGUAAACCCCAGGAGUUCACCAUUGAUGAGAAUGAUUUGGUUCGUUUUAGGGGCCGUCUUUAUGUGCCUCAGAAAUCAGAGGUGAAGAUGGAUAUCUUGAGAGAAGCUCAUAAAACGCCUUACACCGUUCACCCUGGCGAAACCAAAAUGUACAGAGAUUUGAAGCAAAACUUCUGGUGGAAGCGGAUGAAGGUUGACGUUUCUAAGUAUGUGGCCGCAUGUGAAGUAUGUCAGCGCGUGAAGGCCGAGCAUAAGAGGCCUGCAGGUUUACUGAAGCCAUUGGAAAUUCCGGAGUGGAAGUGGGAGCAUAUCACCAUGGAUUUUGUGGUGGGCUUACCUCGUUCUCCUCGGGGCAGGGAUGCUAUAUGGGUGGUAAUGGAUCGCUUGACUAAGUCUGCGCAUUUUAUUCCCAUGAAGACCACAAAUUCAGCUUCAGAAUUGGUUCCCUUGUAUUUGAGGGAAGUAAUCAGGCUCCAUGGGGUGCCUAAGUCCAUUGUUUCUGAACGAGACUCCAAAUUUGUAUCCAAAUUCUGUGAGAGUCUUCACAGUGCAUUGGGUACCAAGCUUUCACUUAGUGUCGCUUUCCACCCUCAGACUGAUGCAUGGUCAGUCGGAGCGAGCAAUCCAAACCUUGGAAGAUAUGUUGCGUGCUUGUGUUCUGUCAUGGAAGGGUAGCUGGGAGGAUCAUCUUGUAUUGGCAGAGUUUGCUUAUAACAACAGCUACCAGACUAGCAUCAAGAUGGCACAAUUUGAGGCUUUAUAUGGCAGGCGGUGUAUAUCUCCUCUGUGCUGGGAGACUUUGGGAAAGAGAUCCCUGGUUGGUCCUGAUUGGGUUCAACAGACUUCUGAGAAGGUUCAGGAAAUUCGUCAGAAUAUUUUGGCCGCUUAGAGCCGUCAGAAGAGUUACGCUGAUGUGAGGAGGCGGGAUCUGGAAUUUGCAGUGGGUGACCAAGUCCUUCUCAGGGUAUCACCUACUAAAGGAGUUGUUCGGUUCGGUGUCUCCGGAAAGCUUAGCCCGAGAUACAUUGGACCGUUCACUAUCUUGGCCCGGGUGGGCAACUUGGCUUAUCGCUUGCAAUUGCCGGAUUCCAUGGCAGGGGUACACCCGGUAUUUCAUGUCUCUAUGUUGAGGAAGUUCUUGCGGGAUCCGGACCAUCAGAUCGAGAUGGAACCAAUUGCUGUGCAGCAGGAUCUGACUCUGGAGUGUUGUCCGGUGCGUAUCUUGGAAUCCUUGGAGCGUGUUUUGAGGAAGAGAUCAAUUAAGUAUGUCAAGGUCUUAUGGACUAAUCAGUCUGAGCGCGAGGCUAUAUGGGAACUUGAGGAGCUGAUGCGGCAGAAAUAUCCCGAACUUUUCGUUGUGGGUAAGUGUUGUUGAUCAUUAAUCUUUUUUUGUCGUUCUGAUAGAAGCGUCAGAAUUCGAGGUCGAAUUCUUUUUAAGGGGGGUAGAGUGUGAUACCCGGUUUACAAAGAAGAGAAAUUGGAGGUUAUUCUUUCUUUGUUGUUUUCUCUUUCGGGUGAUGCGCUUUGGGGGUUUAGAAUUUGUGGGAAGUAUUCACCAGUAAGACAGUAGAUUUUUUUGGUUAGACUCAUGCGCUGGGGUCGGGAGCUGUCGUGUGGGCGAGUUGGGCCGUGAAUCUCGAUCUGGCCCACUAGCCUCCCCUUAACCCUAGCCGCCCUCCCCCUAAUCCCCCCCCUUGUGCAGCCGCCCCCCAUUUCCCUAACCUUUGGCCGCCGCCCCCUCCCAUUUCCUCCUCUCUCAAACUCUUGUAGUCACACCACCUAACCCUAGCCGCCCCCCAUCUCCUCCUCCCCAAGGUGCCAUUCCUUGCCCGCUUGGAUCUACGUCGCGUGGUGCAAGUAUCCAAUUGGUUUUGGUGGAGGGAAGAAGGGAGGAAGAAAAGGGGGGGGGAAUUCAAGGUGAUUUUUGUGUUUAUCUCUUCUAUAUUUGUGCUGCAAUUCAAUUGAAUAGAUGUUGCGUAUGCAAAUUGGUAGAGGUGUUGUCCAGAAAUUUAGUGGGUGGGCGAACAGCAGUAGUUCUAGCAGUUUCUGGGAAUUUUUCGUGGGUCAUUAAUGGAGAUCAGUGGGAGAAACAUGUAUAGCUUUGUCAUACCUUUCCAACGAGUACUUAUGCAUUCGAUUCAGAGUUAUAUUUUAGGAGAUAUUGUUGUUUGAAUCCGGGUAUGUGGUUGUCCAAAAAAACAGAUUUCUGCAGGUGGGCGAACAACAGUAGUUCUAGCAGUUUCUGGGAAUUUUUCGUGGAUAAUUAAUGAGGAUCAGUGGGAGAAUCAUGUAUAGCUUUGUCAUACCUUUCCAACAAGUACUUAUGCGCUCGACUCAGAGUUAUAUUUUAGGAGAUAUCGUUGUUUGAAUCCGGGUAUGUGGCUGUCCAAAAAAACAGAUUUCUGCAGGUGGGCGUACAGCAGUAGUAUUAGCAGUUUCUGGGGAUUUUUCGUGGGUAAUUAGUGAUAAUCAGUAUGAGAAUUAUGUAGAGCUUUGUCAUACCUUUCCAACAAGUACUUAUACGCUCAAUCGGAGUUAUAAAUUAGGAGAUAUCGCUGUUUGAAUCCGGGUAUGUUGCUGUCCAAAAACAGAUUGCAGGAUGUACCUCGUGGACGGUUUUGGGCUAAUUAGAUGUUGGGGUUUAAAUAUAAGUUGUAUACAAAACUUGUGGGUAAUUUUAUGUUGAUGCCUCUGGAGUUUUUGGUUGUUACCACUGCUGUCAUAAUUUUAAAGAUAUAAAAUUGUUAAGCGGCGCCGCUGCAGUUUGGUGGGUGUGGGAAGAGUUGUUACCCGCGGCGGGGUUUGAAAUUGGGCGUAGGUGCGGCGUCAUUUAUGAGCGUUGUUAUGUGAAAUUUGUGCACUGAGUUGUGUGUCAAAAACAGGUGAUGGACUUCCGGAUCGUGCUUAGGGCUUUGUCCAAACUCCCCCGUGAAGGCAAGUAAAAUAGUGGUGGUUUAUACCGUUGAUUGAUUUAUGUGUCCUAUGCUUGAUCACAUCCAUGUCAAAUGUAUUCAUACUUGCACUCCAUUGUGGGAAAUGUGGCUCGAAGUUAUUCAUGUUCCAUUAUUUUCUUAUGUUGAAGAUGUGGUUUGAGCAUGUUACACGUGUUGUCUUAUCAUUUUGAGGAAAUGGAAGUUUAUGUCUACCACAUGUGGGUGGAGGAUCUCAUGUUGUUGUCAUGCAUACUGCAUACAUCAUCUUUUGCAUAGAAGUUUUGUCGUGAUCAUAUGGUCCGACCGUACCGGUACACUCAGCAUCAUACGUUGCCCGAGGAGGGGUAUGAUGCAGCUUCAUACCCUAGAGGUAUGAAGGCAGAAGUCAUUACUGCAUCUGUAGCCAUGUGCAUUAAAGGGUGAAGUGUGGAACCUAUUGUGGUGAUGUGGAUAGUGUGGGUCUUUACUUGGUGAUUCAUUUCUUUGGAACUAAGUAAUUGGUUACUUGUUUACUUUUUGCAAAUUAAUACUCAAGAAGGAAGUUGUGAACUACGUGGUUGUUUAAGCAUGGUUUGGUUACAUAGUCCCAAUUGUUGUUUGACCUUUUUACUUGCUGAGAUGUGUCAUCUCACUCUUGCAUUGUUUGAUGCAGGCACUUGAUCUUGCUCUUGGGAAAGGAGGGAUGUAGCAGCACAAACACUUCACUUUUAAAUAAAUGUACCAAUGUUUAGUAAUGAUGUUAAACAGGGGUUCAAGUCUAGGGGAUUAAUAUGUUCUAGGCUUCAUGGUAGUCGAAUUUGUUUUUUUGGGUUGGCCGGAUUCCUUCUCUUUUUAUUUGGUCAUGAAUAUUUAUUACUAUCUCUGCAUUCUGUCUAUACUUCGUGGAUUGUCUUUCUUUUACAUUAUGUCUAAACUUUAUGUCCCUCUCGUUAUGCUACUUUCAAGGGAGGUGCUGCCGGAUUUUGUUUUAUUUUCUGUCUCUAUUACUUUUUUGAUGUGGUAUAAAUUUUGUGGGAAGGGUUUUUUGGUAACAUUCAUUGUGUGGGAACAAUGGGGUGUUACAUUAUGUAAGCAUGAUUGAUCUCCAAGUAUGAUUGUGGAGACGUCAUCUUAGGUUUAUUGUGUGCACUACACUUCCUGGUGCAAUUAUGGGCAUAUCCCAUGGUUAGUGCUCCUUGUUAUUAUAUAUGAUCACUAGCUAUCUGAGGCUACCGGCUUAUUUAUAUAGCACUAGUCAUAUGGCUAGUAUUGCAUUUAUUCUUUGCAAAACAGUCACACUUUCAUGGUAACAUGAGUGGUUGAGAAAACAGUAAAUGUGUGUCACACCUGUGUGCCCCACCGCCGCCACCAAGGUGAGGCGUGAUGUGGCAUGGCGCACCACCAUCAUAGUCAUGGUCAUAUUUUAGGGUAGCCUUUUUUGGUUGGGUACACAAGCUAUGGAUCAGUUUCUAAAUGUAACACUAGGAGUUUCACAACUUAACUUUAGAAGUCAUAUGUUUGAUGACAAAGAGUUACUUGGCCUCUGAUUUCUCAUGCCCUUUGAGAUCUCCUAUCCUCUGGUGUCUCCCUGACUAUUCAACUUUCCUGACUUACCUAUCGAAAUCCCAAUUUGCUAUUGGUUCGCUUAUCUAUCACUGCUUAGCUCUUACACGAGCACUACAUUCACUACCAGAAUCGAGCGCUUUGCCGAGUCCUUCUUAUCGGGCACUGCUUAUCACUGCUUAGCUCUUACACGAGCACUAAAUUCACUAUCAAAAUUGUAGUUACAUUCACUACUCGGCAAAGCCUGAAAAACAUCCAGCAAUGUCUUUGCUGAGUGUAGCACUCGGCAAAGAGAGCUCGACGAAUAGUACAUCGGCAAUGGCUUCUUUGCCGAGUACUUUUUAUCGGGCACUUGGCAAAGACUUUGCCGAGUGCCAGUCGGUACUCGACAAAGAAAAGCGGUCGUUGCGGCGCUGAGUAACGGAGACAACGCCUUUGUCGAGUGUUCUAGGUGACACUCGGCAAAGAAGUUACCAUUGCCGAGUGUCACUUAGAACACUCGACAAAGAAGUUACCUCUUUGCCAAGUGUCUCCAGCCUGCACUCGGCAACGAGGUCCACUAGUGGGGCCCGGCGUCAGAUUCUUUGCCGAGUGCUCUUGGAGGCACUCGGCAAAGCUUGCUUCUUUGCCGAGUGCCAUGGCCACAACACUCGGUAAAGAAGCUUUACCGGUGCCCAGGUGUUGCUUCUCUGCUGAGUGUUAUGGCCCUGACACUCGGCAAAGAGGUCCUUUGCCGAGUGUAACACUCGGCAAAGUGACCAGUAUACACCUUUUUUAUUUGUUUUUUCUAUUCCAUCCAAACAAGCAAAAGAUAUCACAUAAUCAUCACAGAUAUCACAUAUACAUCACAUAUCUCACAAAGACCAUAAAUCAAACAUAAGUAUCCAACACUCAAGAACAUAAGUCUCAAGUUCUCACAUAAGUAUCCACCACAAACAUAAAGUAUCCAACACAGCAUUACCAACAAGUCUGAAGUCUCAAGUAUCUCAUAAGUCUCAACAUUAAAAACAUAAGUCUCAUCGAGGUGGGCGGUUGGACUGGUGCGACGAUGGGCUGGGCGAUCCAUGAGGGUUGUUGGAUGCCGCCCUAGAUUGUCCCUGCACAGAGAAGAGAUUGCAUAUGUUACAUUAGAUGCAUUACCAACAUCUAACUACAAUUUUGAUACUCACAGUAGUAUGGAACAGAUCAGGGUCAACUGUAGGGAACAAUGGAGGUGGUGGAGUGAAACCCUGUGCGGCGCCAAGGCUCUACUUGUACUGGAACAUCCCCGCCAUCCUCGCCUCCAUCUCCUGACGUUCCCUCCUCUCUGUUUCUAGCUGGGUCUGUAGUAUUCCAAGCCAAUGUUAUAGUAACUCAAAGAGAAGGUAUAUAACUAAAGGAAUGAUGAUUUACAGAAGCACUAACCUCGAGUUGCUGUAUGCGAUGAUGUGAGCUGUCCUGCCGAGGUCUUAUGGCUGUACUCGAGCCAGUGCUCCUUCCUCGCACCUGAGACAGAGUGGGAGUGGACGAAGAGUCGAUUGCCCCGUCGGCAAUCCAGUACCGCCCAUGUCUCUUGCCUCCUCCGACCCUCAUGAGGACAUCGGGGUCGAUCUGCUCGGUCCUAGGAUCGUAUUCUGGGCCAUGGACCUCAUGUGCCAUGGCGGUGUAGCAUUAAGGCGGUUGUAGACGGCGGGGUUGCUUACGCCUCGGGCCCGUCAUCCGGGUUGUAGGUAACGUCGGACGUCGCCUUGCCCUUGUGGGCCAUAACAUAGGCCGAGAAGAUGGAGCAUGGCUGGCCACCAUGUGACGUUGACUACAAGAAAACCAAUGAGAUAUUUAGAAAUAAUAUCUAAUCCACUGUUAUGUACCUAAAUAAAAAAGAGGGCAUACCCAUGCUUCUGCAUAUUGGCCUAGGCUGCGGCUACCUUGGUGGUGGGAGGGACCUUGCAUCAUCAGACGUCGUUCCCGGCUAGCGUUGUGCGCCUUGUCCCACUCAGGCGAGCACCACCUAUCCACCAUCUGCUCCCAGCACAGAGGACUUGCGGCGCACCAAUAUGGAAUCAUCUACAAAGUAAACAUGUACACUACAUAUCAGAAGAUAAAAUUAAAUUCAUGCAUGGAGUGCUGGUACCAAACAUGCAUGACUUUACCUGUAGGUACUAGUCCCUGGUGAACGACAUGGUUCGGGCUUGCUGCUUGGUCAUCUUCUCCCCAAGGACAGAGCCGUGGUAGCUGACGAUGGCCUGGAUUCGUGCCUCAUAGUGCAUGUCCACGACGAGCUUCUUACAUCUUGUGGUGGCCACCACAUCCGCCCUAGCCUCGUAUCCAGCCUCGCAUCUGAAGAAAUCAUGCAUACAAAAACAAUGUAUCCAUACAUUAUUUCAAGAAUGUGCAACGAAUGCGACAUAUUUUACAUUAUAGUAAGAUUUACCCACAACUCUUGCUUCACCCGCUCCGCCUUGUUAUUGAAUUCCCUGUCGUCCCGGUCUACUGCAUUGGGGGUGACGGCGUAGUGGUCGAAGGUGUAGGCUGGGCCCAUCACUCUAGCGUACUCAACCAGUCUAGGGAAGUGUUCCCUGCACAGCAGGCCGAGGAUGCAAUUGGUGUUGCGACGAUGACCCCCAACAUUCUCCACAACCAUCCAAGACCUGUCCAAGUGAUAAAUAAAAAAUAUUAGUUUAUAUUAUGAUUUUGAACACAUAAUAUGAACAAGAAUGAAGAACAUAAAGUUACAUGCCUCUCCCCAUCCGGCCGAAUCAGCAAUCGCCUGUCCCAAAGUAUGGGACGCUAAGGGAGACUCGCGGGGCCUCGCAGAUAGACAUUCCUUGAACCUGAGGCGUCCUACUGAGCGUCGUCGUCAUCCUACUGCUGGUCAUCAUCGUCCUGCUGCGUCGCCUGCUGCUGGACGUCGUCGUCCUACCGCACCGCCUGCUGCUGGGGUCAUCGUCCUGUUAUGCCUCCUCCACCGUCCUGCUCCUCCUCCUCCUCCUCAGCCAACUGCCCACCAUCUUUGUCCAACAACCUGCAAUUAAGAGUAAACAAAUAAGCACAUAUAAAAAGAUGUAUUUAGAAAUAGGUGUGAAAUAAAAAAAUAUAGCGUUACAUCGAUUAAAAAUAAUCUUCAUAUAUGUCGGUGUUAGCCAGAUCAUAACUCUCAUCAUCACUAUCAACCAUUUCAUGGUCAACACCAUUUGAAGGCACACGUUUCUCAUUAAUGUCAUUGCCUUCAAGGAUUACUAAGUCAUUCUCAUUUUGCACCUCAUCCUCCUCCUCAUCAACAACCAUUUCAAUAUCUACGUCCAUUCUGAUAGCUUCGAUUAAGUCUAUCUCAAAUCACCGUUCUAGCCCAUCUUCUUAGAAGAACUCUCCAUCAUAUGUGUUCAGGUCUAAGUUAUAAUCUUCAUCGUUAGGAACAUGUAAUCUACUGUGCGGUGAUACCUUAUACACAACAUCCCAACCCUUAAGAUGUUCUUUCGUUUGGCACACAUAUGGGAGAUAAUACACUUGUGUGGCCUAUUGGGCCACGAUAUAGACAUUGUCUCCUAGUAAGUCAUGCAUGGAGUACUAGUACCAAACAUGCAUUUUUAAGUUUGUCUUCAUAGCUCAGUCAUACGUCCAUACCCCUUCCUCCCAAGCAUGUUCCAAUUCAUCGAUCAAAUGCUCUAUGUACACGCCCAUUUUAUUCCCUGGGUGUCCAGGAAUUAUCAACGGCACAAAUAUAUUCUGCCUUUGAAAGCACACACACCGGGGGGGGAGAUUGAUUGGGAUAACAAACACGAGCCAACAUGUGUACGGGGUAGCGCUCAUUCCAUAGGGAUUGAACCCAUCUGUGGCCAACGCAACACGUACAUUACGAGCCUCUUCGGCUUUCUCACGGUGAAUGGCAUUAAAGUGUUUCCAUGCUUCACCAUCGAAUGCGUGCACCAUCUUGUCAGGAUUGUAUCGUUUUCCAUUCUUGUGCCAUGUCAUCUGUUUUUCGGAUUCCUUGGUCAUGUAUAAACACUGGAUCCUUGGUAUGAACGAAAGGUGUCGUAGGAUUAUCUAGGGGAUGUCGAGUUGCCUCUUCUAUCCAUCACCAGAGUCUACCUCCAUAAACCUAGACGAUUUACACUUCGGACAUUGAAGCACCCCGGUCCUUUUGGGACUCAAAUGUGAUACAAUUACUAGUCCCAGGAGGCUAGUAAACACAUUUAUACAUUAGAUAGUUCUAAAUCUGCUUAAACGAGACAAACCUAUAAAGGUGGCAAUCAACUUUAAGAGUUGGUUCACAACUCGGGACAUAUCAUCAGAGUGGGGCUGAAGCAGCUCGAUAUACGCAGCGAAGCAAAUCAGCGGUCCAACAGCCACAGGCAAGGUUGGGAACAGGCGUAACUCUUACCCGAUCUCCUUUUCUGAAAAACAACAAAUAAGCAAGGGUGAGUACAAACGUACUCAAUAGCCCACCUUCACCCGUGGAAUGGGGAAAUCAGAUAUAAUGCAUGGAAUAUGUGGAGCUCAGGAUAUUUUGCAGAAACAACAAUAUUUUAUGCAGGGUUGUUUUGUAAAACAUUUUGCAUUUUUCAAAGCGCAUCCUCUCCCAAAGGAGCAGAAAGUUUUUCAAUAUAGAAUAAAAUCCCCUAGACUAAACCAUCCAGGUAUCUCAACAGUUUCCUACUGGUUUUCAUUUUUAAAAAUAGCUACUGGACUUCCCGUCCACCAUAGCUCACGGCUCAACCGCCGGACCUUUUAAAAACCACUUUUCUCAAACGCACCCUUUUUUUUAAAACAAAACACUAAUUGCCAUACCACACCAGACUCAUCCAUUCCUGUGGACACAGACUAUUCGAAUAGGUUUGAACUCUGCGCAGAGGGGUACACUUUACCCACUAGUCCGGUUUCUGCGAUCUCACCGUCGUGAGAUCCGAAUGCCGAAUCACUUUCUUUCCUCACACGUCCUUACCUUAAUGGUUAUACCGGAAGGAUUCAGGCCACCGCCAUGUCCAAACCGAACAAAACUUUCCCCCUCCUUAUCCUCCUGGUGCUCCCCAGCCUUCAAAACCCUAGGGUUUGGACCGUAUGAGUUCAGAUUGAGUGACUGCCCAUACAGUCUCGAGUGGUUGUACUUAUCAUGAGUACAGGUAGUGAAGGAUGACAAACCGGUCCUUAUGUGAGGGGACAAUCCUUCUACUCACACCUAAACCAGCUGAGCCAUCACCUUAGGCCGUCCCCUAAACCAGGGAGUCCCUAAUCAUCCCUACUCAAAGGUGAUAAGGGUGAAAACCCUUCAUCAUACACAUUUUGAAAAGCAUUAUCUUUUGAAAACUCACACCUUUUCUCAAAUCAUUUGUAACAAAUAUAUCAAGGAUUGAUUGCAGCAAGCGGCUGGGUGGCCAUAAUAAAAUGUCUCAAAAUCAAAUCAUGCAUCAAAUAACAGGUUGAGGGUUGUGGUUGAAAAAUCAUAGGUAAUUUAUGCAUCAAAGGGAUCCAGUGAGCUUGCCAUGCUUAUUCGGCGAAGGGGGAAGGGGAGCUCGUGGAACUGGCUUCUAGCUCCACAGCCUGACGUAGACUUGCAGAUCUGGCCUCCACGAGACAGUACGAACGCUUUGAUAACUAUGCAUCAUGAACAAGCAAACAUACAAACCGGCAAGUAUAUCAACAAAUAUUUAGUAUAGUGGUUAGAAUAGCGAUAUAUUGAUGGGUAGAGUCUUGAGUAGAAUCUGUGUCAUGUGGUGUUGAGAUACUACUAGUGGUGGAGCGGAGGUGCUUACCAGGAGGGUGGACUGGAGGCAAAGCGACACUUUGCGUGUAGCCGGCAGAGCGGAGUAAUUGAGUGGGUGGGGUGUUUGCCUUGGCUGAGGGUGUUGAGUGUGUGUGGAGAGGGAGAGGGUAGCUGGGUGUAUGUGGUGUAGCAUAGUGAAGUUCACUGUUGGUGAGAAUAGUGACAAAUGAAUCGUCUGACUUAGUAUGAACAAGAGAGUUAUAGGCAGAAUAUGGGACAAGAGUAUUUUGGGAGUUUUCUGGAACAAGAACCAUGCUUAAGGGAUGACAUGGUUGGAUAGGGAAUAGUUUGAUAAGAAUUUAGAAACAAGAAUUAUUGGAAUCAGAGUUUGGAAGCCUGGUUCGAAGGAAUCUCAAAGUUAAGCAUGCUCAACUUGGACAAACCUGGGAUGGGUGACCAGAUGGGAAGUUCCCUACUGGAAGGAAAAUCACAGUCACCGGAGUUUGUAUGACUAGAAUAUGGGUCUGGCUGGUCUUAGGUGGACUGGACAGCAUAACGGAUGAGUAGUUGAAAUUGGGGGUGAUCGGAUGAUCGAUGAAUAGUAACGAUGAAUAGUAACGGUUAAUAGUGACGACAAAAAGUUAUUAUAGGUAUCAUCAAUGAAUAGUAACGGUGAAUAGUAAUGAUGAAUAGUAAUGGUUAAUAGUGAUGGUGAAUAGUUCGUAUGAACGAACGAUGAGCGAUGAAUAUUGACGAUGAACGAACAAUGAACGAUGAAUAGGAACUAUGAACGAACGGACGAACGAACGAUCGGAAUUUCGGCAGCAUAACAGUAGGACAAAGAUUAUCUGAAAGAACGAUCAAUAUGGACUAUGAACGAACGAUGAACGAUGAAUAGGAACUAUGAACGAACGAUGAACGAUCGAACGAUCAGAAUUUCGGCAGCAUUACAUCAGGAAAAAGAUUAUUUGGACGAACGAACGGACGAACGAUCGAACGAUCGGACGAACGGACGAACGAACCAUGAACGAUCGGACGAACGAUCGAACGAUCGGACGAACGAACGAACAAACUAAGAACAGGGGGGCGAACGAUCGAAGAACGAUCAAACGAUCCUUGUGCUAGUGUGUGCUUGUGUGGAGCAUGGAGUGGGCGUGUGUGUGGGGGGGAGAGAGUUGCCAUUAUGAUGGAACCUCCCAAGUAAUUAGGCCCACCUACAGUUGUCCUUGUCUAACAGACAUCAGACACCCUGUAGAUGUUCCUAAGUCACUUGACAAGUUCGGUAUCUUUCCUUACCUUACUAGGAACGAUUCACCCGUCUUGCAGACAUUACAGAACAUCAGAGAUAAAGAAAUGCGGAAGCGAUUACAUAAAUUACAUUUAUUUUAAAAGCAAGCUUAAGUUAUUUUAUUACAGACCAGAACUAAAGCGAGUGCAGAGUAGUAAUAUUAUACAAACCAAGGGAGGCACAAACUCCUCCCGAUAAGUUUAAGCAAAAGAUCCUAUGUGGAGGACCAAGUCCUCCCGCACUUCAGUCUUGUUUUUCUUCAUUUGGUACCACCUUGGAGCAAAAGCAACAAAAAUUUGUCGCUUCCUCACCUAAAAACAACAAAGGGAAAAACCCUGAGUAUGGAAUUACUCAGCAAGUCUUACCCGACUAAGGAAAAGACUCUCAAGGGUAUGCUGGAUAAAUAGGAAUCAAGGAGAGGCUUUAGCAAGAAUCAACUUAGAUACUUUUGCAGAAAUAGCUUACUAAAGUGAGUCCUUACUUUCAAUAUUUUAACGCCAUAUUAAGUAUUAAUAGACUCUAUUUGCAUCUAGUCUAAUUUCAACAUCUCAUCAAUACAACAUCAUUUUUAUCCAUAGUGUUCACAUCCUGACUUUAGGUUGCAGGGAAGUGACCAAGUCUUCAUAACCGCGAAGGUACGGCGAUCCGAAUCGAUUAUACUCAGCUGAGGAUCUCCAAUCACACGACAUAUGUAGCACUUAACCCUUGCAUAUGUCAACCCGCCACCGGGGUUCUUAAGACCAGAUCAGGUUCAUGCAAACCGAGAGCACAGAUACACCACCGUCCAGCCUCUUGCCAUGGAGGGUACACGCUACUCUCGCCACCGCUCCACGCCCAUUUCGUGUUAUCUUAUUCUGGCCUUAGUCUGCCCGAGGCAAGGCUUACCCAUGACGAGGCAUGUGACCAGUUAAAGGGUCCUCGGUCAGCACGCCUACAUACGCAUUAAUCCUUAAUCAACCUGGGUAGAACAUCACCUGUUCCUAACCCAAGUCUCAAUUUAAGUAUUUCCAUCCUUAGGAUUGUGUCUGUUCCUUAGGAUGAAAGAGCAUCACAGGGAACUUUGCAGUAAGAUCCCACUAUUGCUCCAAAUGAAAAUAUUCUUGCAGGUAGAAGCCAUCCUCUCCCGGGUUAGACUGAGGACAACCUCUAUCCACAAGAUCUAAGCAAGGCUAAGCAUUUUUGUAAAUCAUAAUUUUGAUACUUCACAGAAGUAUCUAUAAAGGUAUGGAUAUCAAGGAAAGCAAUGCAUCAAAGGGUUCCAAGCAACUCCUAUGAACCUAAUGCACAUUUCACUAGACUUAAAGUGUGCGAAAAUUAUUUAAAAACACAAGGAAAGGGGUUGCAUGCACCGGGGCUUGCCUUCGUUCACAGGUGAGUCAGGUUCGGAUCCGCAAAUAUCGAAGUAGAAGCAGUUGCCUGCUUGAGAAUCUGAAGGUGGUGGUGUCCUGUCUUCAGUUACUUCGAUUUCUUCUUCACGUUCUAAUCAUAACCAUACAUAGGUAUAAGAAUGGAUGCCAUAGGAUGCUCAUGAGGAUGCAAAGAUAAUAUAAACUUAUUAUCUAUGUCUUGAAUACAACUCUCCUUCACGGAACUGCGAGAACUUAGGGUUUCCGGAGUCGGUAAAGGAGUUCAAAGGGCAGGGGGGUGGUUUUGGGUUCUAGUUAUCAAACAUGGUCCAAAUCAACUCAAAUCCUACCCAAGACUUCUAAAUAUUUCUUUAAGUUCCCAUAAAAAGUUUGGGCAUUUUUAGACUUACCAAUUAUUUUCUAAAAAUCCAUAACUGAUACUUUUAACCACUUUAAAUACCUUAAAAUUUCUUAUUUCCACCAAAAAUCACAAAACUAUUUUUACUAAAUUCUAGGGAAAAUAACAAGCCUAGGAAAAUUAGUUUCACAAUUUUAGCAUUUUUCUACAUAUUUCUAAAGCUUUCCCGAAAAAGAAAAAGGAAAAUAUUCAAUAGUGUUGGGCUGAUUCCGGCCUGAACCGACCCAACAACGCAGGAAGCGCGCGCCCGCGCCCGCGCGCGAUGGCAGAUUUGCAUAGGGGCCCUCGCGUUUCUAUUUAACUGCGAACGGGUUCAAACACUAUUCUAAAGAGUCUCUGACGCUUUGCAAAUAGAUCCCUCAUCUUCUAAUUCUUUACACCGUGAAACCCUCGAUGGCGGUCCAAGCUAGGAGCCGAGCUCCGACGAGCUAGACCGACCGAAAGAUGCCACGGCCAGAGUUCUCGAGCGACAGGAACCAAAUUAAACUCCUUCCGCACCUUUCCCCCCAAUCAAUUUCGCUAGAGAUGGUUCAUCAUGUUCUGGCCAUGGUGUCAGUGCGGGUGUUCAAGCGGAUUAUCGUGUUCUGGGUCACUGAAGGUUGGACUGGCUAAAUUGAAGCUAGGGAAAGGUUCCUGGGUUCACCAGGGUCCCUGUACAUGCUUCGGUUUGGGCAGAGCAAGACCCGAAGAACGGGUCGACGGUGGGGGGGGGGGUCACGGCGGCGUUCUAUAGGAUAGGCGUGCGCUCCGGUGAUGGGCUUCGGUCAAACUCCACUUGCCGCAUCAAGGAGCAAUAAGGGAUCAAAAACUAACUAAAACAAGGAGUAACUACGUAAGUACUGACCAGGGAAGCGUUGGGCACAGAUGUUCCUUCUCGGCGGAGCUAAGAACAGGAGAGGGAGAAAUUGUGAGCUGCACAAGUUCUCAGGCGGGAUUGAGUCGAUUGCUUAAGCACUGAGGUGCGUAAUGUGGAGAAGAAGCGGAGUCCGGGCUCAAUUUAUAGGCCGUCGACCGGAGUUGGAGAAGAAGCGCGAACUACGGAUGCGCUGGCAAGCUUUCCGCGCGGCGGUUUCCGGUGAGGACACGGGGUCGCCGUUUAACCGGAGUUCGCCACCUCGGUAACCUUUUGCUACGAUGCCGUGGAUCUUUACCGCGACCACCGACGACCGGUCACGCCGCGGUGGCGUUCUUAUCGCCGGCGGGGGGGGGGGGUGAUCCUGAUCCACGGCGCGAUAUUUUCUGAAGACGGUGAACAAUGCACUGAAUGCUGUAAAAAGCUUGACUGACUGACCAAGUUGGAGCCCAGUUUUCUCAAAUUUUCAUGUGAAACCUAAGCCAACUUUCUGUAGUAAAGUUGUAGAACUAUAAUCCAUCUAUAACUUUGCUACAAUGUGCUCUCACAAAAAGUCACUGGAUCCCAUUCGAAAUCGAGCUCAAAGUUCAUCUCAUAACACUGUUACUCUGAAUUUCAAACCUCAAGCAGUCUGACGGUCCAACUUCAGGCUCAAUUAUCUCUGGAUUUUUCUUAACAAGUGAGCUUACCCCCUUAAGCAAAGUUGUUCUCCUAUAAUUGGGCUACAAUUUUGAUGUGGUGACCUAAUAUGAAUUCUCACUAAUUUGAAAGCUACACAGCCCCAAAGUUGGGCCUAUAACCCUGAUUUCAGACUUUGCAUAGGAAUCAAAAUUGGGGUCCUUUUUGCAAAUGAGUCCAAAACUUAGGGUUUGGCUUUCAAGUCCACAUAUUUGUGAACCAAAUGACUUAAAAUACUUAUUUGGCUUGGUUUUUGCACUUUAGCCCAAAAGUGGACUAAUUUUGCACAUAGGCCCCUAGGGUUUAGUUUUAGGGUUUUCCAGGGUUCCAAUUAGGGUUUCUGGUAUCUUAGGGGUAUAAAGGUGAUUCAACUUUGUUUUUAGGGAUAUUUUAUAACUAUUUCCCUAAGGUAUUUAGGUUUUCUCAAUUUGGGUUAAGUUUUACCCAUUAAAUCCCUAUUUAAGGUAAAGCUUCCUAUCCAGGGUCCUAUUUGCAAAACAUUAAAACAAUACAACUUGUUUGAAAUUUUUGCCUAGUGAAUGCACUCUAGGUGUGUCAAACAUAUGCAAUGCCAAUGCUUAUGAUGCCAUGCUCCAGUUUUAGUUAUAGUAACACCAGGGGUGUUACAUCCUUCCCCCCAUAAAAGAAUCUCGUCCCGAGAUUAAAAGUCCUAGGGUAAGUUAUGGAAAAGGAAACGCGGAAUACUUUCAUUUACUUAUUUCUGGUACAAGGCAGGGGUGGUGUGGGGGUUCAUUCCUUUAUUGCAAUAACUAUAUACACUUUACAAAUUACAUGAGGCUAGAAAGCCUGGGAAAUUCUUAUUCAAGAAGUCUUGAGUUUCCCAAGUAGCUUCAUCUUCAGAAUGUUGGUUCCACUGUAUCUUAUAAAACUUGAGAGUUUUUCUCCGAGUAACCCUGUCCUUUUGAUCCAAGACUCGUAUAGGGUGCUCAGAGUAUGUCAAGUCCGGUUCAAGGACAACAUCGGUUAUUUCAACGGUUCGAUCCGGAACCCGAAGACACUUCUUCAAUUGUGACACGUGGAACACAUUAUGCACAACAGACAAUGUUUCGGGUAGUUGGAGUCGGUAUGCCACUGGUCCACAUUGCUCAAGCACCAGGAAUGGACCAAUGUACCUGGGUGCAAGCAUCCCUUUAACCCCGAAACGCGAUACACCCUUCAUUGGUGAAACUUUCAAGUAGACAUAAUCGCCUACCAGAAAGCAUAAGGGUUGUCGUCGUCGGUCUGCAUAACUCUUUUGUCGAGUCUGAGCUUUCUUCAUAUUAUGAAUAAUUUUCUGAACCUUUUCUUCGACCUCUUUCACCAUAUCAGGCCUAAAGAAGUACCUUUCUCCAGGUUCAGACCAAUUUAGCGGAGUUCGACACCGUCGCCCAUAUAAAGCUUCAAAAGGUGCCAUCUUAAUACUUUCUUGAUAACUGUUAUUGUAUGAAAACUCCGCUAAGGGCAAACAUUCAUCUCAUUUCUGUGAGAAGUCCAGAACACAUGCCCGCAGCAUAUCCUCAAGUAUUUGAUUGACUCUCUCAGUCUUUCCACUGGUUUGGGGAUGAUAGGCCGAACUGUGGAGCAACUUAGUACCCAAGGAUUUGUGAAGUUCUUCCCAAAACUUGGAUACGAACUGAGGUCCAUGAUCCGAUACUAUAGUUUUUGGAAUACCAUGCAAACUGAGAAUACAGCCGAUAUAUAAUGCUGCAUAAGUGGCUACUGUAUACUUUGUCCUGACAGGUAAGAAGUGGGCGAUCUUUGUAAGUCGAUCAAUGAUAACCCAAAUAGAAUCAUACCCUUUGGCCGUCCUGGGCAGUCCCACAAUAAAGUCCAUACUUAUGUCUUCCCAUUUCCAUGUUGGGAUUGGCAAAGAUUGUAAUGGACCAGCAGUUUUCAUGUGUAUGGCCUUGACACGUCUGCAAGUGUCACACUUAGCCACAUAGCGUGCAAUUUCAAUCUUCAUCUUUGUCCACCAGUAAUGUUGCUUUAAGUCUUGAUACAUCUUAGUGCUUCCGGGAUAAAUAGAAUAACGACUAAGAUGUGCUUCAUCAAGAAUUUGCUGGCGGAGUUCUUCGUUCUUUGGCACUACUAUGCGGUUUUUAAACCAUAUCACACCUUGAUCGUCUUCCUUGAAACAUUUGGCUACUCCAGCCCUUAACUUCUCUCGUAUGUGCUUCAUACCCAGAUUAUCUUUUUGAGCAUCAAUUAUCCUUUGCAAAAUGAUUGACUCAAGCUUUAGCUGAUUUAGAGUCCCUUGUUGGAUUAUCCCCAGGUUUAGCUUUUCCAUUUCUUGACACAAAGUGUUGUCAGAGGUCUUCACCAUAAGACAGUGGCAGGAAGUCUUACGGCUCAGUGCAUCUGCCACCACAUUGGCUUUGCCUGGGUGAUAAUGGAUCUCCAGUUCAUAGUCUUUAAUAAGCUCAAGCCAUCGUCUUUGUCUCAUAUUUAAUUCUGACUGGGUGAAAAUGUACUUCAAACUUUUAUGAUCUGUAUAUAUGUGACAGAUAUUUCCCAGCAGAUAGUGACGCCAAAUUUUUAGGGCAUGAACCACAGCAGCUAGCUCCAGAUCAUGAGUUGGGUAAUGCUCCUCAUGUCGGCGCAACUGCCUUGAAGCAUAUGCAAUUACUCGGCCCUCUUGCAUCAGUACACAGCCGAGCCCACUGCCAGAUUCAUCACAAUAUACAUCAAAAGGCUUAGUGAUGUCCGGUUGAGCCAAUACCGGAGCAGCGGUUAAUAAUGUCUUCAAUUUUUCAAAGGCUUCAUUACACUUAGAAGACCAAUUGAACUUAAUGUCAUUCUUCAAUAAACUUGUGAUUGGCUUCACAAGCUUAGAAAAAUCUGGUAUGAAUCUGCGAUAAUAUCCAGCUAGUCCAAGAAAACUCCGGACUUGGUGAACAGUGGUUGGGGCUUUCCACUCCAGAAUAUCUUUGACCUUGCUAGGAUCUACCGCAAUUCCUUUAGCCGAUAACACGUGCCCCAAAAAUUGAAUUUCCUCCAGCCAGAACGCGCACUUGCUGAACUUGGCAUACAGCUGAUGUUCCCUCAGGCGCGUCAAUACAAUCCGUAGAUGCUGAGCAUGGUCCUCUUCAUUUUUAGAAUAUAUCAAGAUAUCGUCGAUGAAGACCACCACGAACUUGUCCAACUCGGGCAUGAACACCGAGUUCAUCAAAUAGGUGAAGUGGGCAGGAGCAUUUGUGAGCCCGAAAGACAUUACCAGGUAUUCAAACAAUCCGUACCGCGUAGUAAACGCGGUCUUCGGUAUAUCCUCGGGCCGAAUACGGAUUUGGUGAUAGCCCGACCUGAGAUCAAUUUUGGAAAAUACCCUCGCCCCAGUCAGUUGAUCAAAUAAGAUGUCGAUCCUUGGAAGAGGGUACUUAUUCUUGAUGGUGACCUCAUUCAGGGGUCGAUAAUCCACGCACAUUCGCAAGGUUUGAUCCUUCUUCUUAACAAAAAUGGCGGGGCAACCCCAUGGGGACGAGCUUGGCCAGAUGAAUCCCUUAUUCAGUAGAUCUUGUAAUUGAAUCUUCAAUUCCGCCAACUCAUUAGGGGGCAUACGGUACGAUCUUUGGGAGAUGGGAGCCGUACCGGGCUUUAACUCAAUUACAAAUUCUACAUCUCUUUUAGGGGGCAGUCCAGGCAAAUCUUCCAGAAAUACAUCUGGAAACUCACAUACUACCGGAAUGUUCUUGAUCUCCGGUACAAUGGCUUCAUAUACUCUACCAGAAGCUUUGGUUGGAUUGGUUACGGGGAGAGACAAAAGAAUCUCUUCUUGAUUAUAGCUCAACCUGACGGUUCUGAGUUCAGUGUUGAGAAUUGCCUUGUGUUGGGUUAACCAAUUCAUACCCAAAAUUACAUCUAUAUCCUGGCCUUUCAGAACAAUCAUGUUAGCAGGAAAGUUCCGUCCGGCCAUUGUUACUGGCACUUCAUAGGCCACUUCUCUAGUAAAAAUAUGUCCCCCAGAUGAAUGAAUUUUAAAUCCCUCUUUUGAUUCAUGGCAUGCAAUGUGAUGUUGCUCCACAAAUUUCUUGCUAAUGAAUGUAUGCGAAGCACCAGAAUCAAAAAGAAUAAUUGCAGGGUGACUGGCCACGGGAAACGUACCCAUCAUCACCGGCUCUCCUUCCGGUGUAGUGGCCACUUGGGUGUAAUAUACACGCCCCGUCUUCUUUGUAUUUUUCCCCACAGCAUUUCCUUUGGGCUGAGCUGAUCUCCCAGAUCCUUGCGGAGCAUUUGAUUGAUUUUGCUUAGGAUAUGGGCAGUCUUUGAUGAAAUGUCCCGACUUGCCGCAAUUAAAACACCCAGUUGAAGAACUAGGCAAGGCAGGGAAUCGAGCGCCUGGGGCACCCGGCUGAUUUGGGGUAGUGGAGGUAUUGUAGGGGCGAAUAAUGAUUGGCUGUUUGAAAGGGAAUGAGGGUGGACGAGAAAAAGUGCGAUUUUGGCUUGAAGGUCGGAUCACAAACCGUUGCCUCUUCGUCUGGCCCUGAUUAGGCUUCUCACCACCGAAUCCCUUGUUCUUCCCAGAACUUGCGUAUUUUGCUUCAACAGAUAAGGCUGUGCUGAUAGCCUUUCCAUACGUCAAGUCAAUACAGGCAGCCAUUUUCCUCUGUAGCCGAUCAUUUAAACCCCGCAUAAAACAGUUCUUCUUCUUUAAAUCAGUAUUCACCUGGUCGAUGGCAUACUGCGACAGGUGAUUAAACUUGUUGAGAUACUGAUUGACAGUAUCUCCUCCUUGUUUUAACUUCAUAAAUUCCUCUUGUUUCAUAUGCAGCACUCCUUCGAGUUUGUAGUGCUCACGGAAGGCUGCUUUAAACUCUUCCCAGGUGAUUUGAUGGUUGACAGGUUGAAUAGCCACAAAAUUUCCCCACCAGGUACUGGCAGGACCACGUAGUUGUUGUGCUGUGAAUAAUGGCUUCUGCGUCUCCGAACAAUAGAGAAGACCAAACUUUUGUUCAAUAACCCGUAUCCACUCAUCGGCUUCCAAUGGGUCCUCUGCCUUGACGAAUAGGGGUGGACGGGUUUCAGAGAAGUCCAGAUAGGUGGUUUCACCGGGGCCUUGCUGAUAACCCCUUCCUGCCUGCUGCUGGAAUUGCUGCUGACCCGCCAUUUCCCUAAGGAAGCGGGUAUUGUCUGCGGUGGCAUUCACCAAGGCGGCAAUCGCCUCGGCUAAUGUGGGAGGAACCGGAGGUGGGUUUGGGGUAACAUCCCUUCCCCCAGAAGUUCCUGCUGCGUCCUGUCCUCGAGUCCUGGUCGGCAUCUGUGGCAAAGAACAUUUGAAGUAAACAUAAUGUGCCAGAGAAACCUUCCAUUUUACAUUACUAUAAAAAGUAAUGAUACAGACUCGAUAUUACAUAACAGGAUACAUUACCCAUUAUACAAAAGUUCAACCUAUUAUACAACAGUACGACCUACAAUACACUACUCUACUUCUAUUACACCAUUAGUCCUGCUUUCCAUUACUCUUGGCGGCCUCAUCGUCAGGUGUGGGAGUCCAGACGUCAACCAACCUCAAAGAAGGAGGGGGCUCAAAAAGGUCUAACUCCCCACCCAGCGCGCGUCCCGCAACGUGAGAGGGUCCGGCUUCCGCCUCAGCAGGGUGUGCAGGCACACUAGGGUGUAAUUGUGAGUAUAGUACAUGGACUUCCUCAUGCAACGUAUUGCAGUAGACCUGCAGGUUGUCGACAGUUGAGCUAAGUUCUUUAAUUCGGGCCUGAGCCCUUGCUUCCUUAGCACAUGCCAGCAUACGAGACUGUACUGCCCAGUCAAGUGCUAAGUCCCGAUCAGCAAGCUGAUCCUGCAGGUGACGGAUGUCCCUUCUUAGCUCAUUGAUUCUAUCUCCGUCUGCGACCCAAGCAUCGGUCCUGUGUUGCAGCGCUGCUUGAAGUCGACUCACUCGGGCUUCAAGAUCUCCUAUAGGGUCAUUACUUCCACUGCUGCUGCUUUCAUGUCGAGGGGCCAGUUGAUGCCGGGGUACUCCAAUUGGUCCCGUUGACUUGCGUGCCGUUAGCCUUGUGCGUGGCGGCAUCUUUCUAAGGGGGAAAAAUGUUAUUAGUAUGAUUCUUAGCAUGAUGCAUGUGUAAGUACAGAAUCAACCUUAGUCGAUUCAACCUUCUAUACAUUGCACUCUUCCUAUCUGGUCUUUAAGAUAGACUCUUCAGAAUACUUAGGUAAGAAGAGAAAAGAGUUUUUAGGUAAGACUUUUGAAAAUCCUUUUGAAGAUGCCUCAUAAUAUCUGCAAAGAAGGGCUACGCUCCGAUACCAGCUGUGACGGAACCUCCCAAGUAAUUAGGCCCACCUACAGUUGUCCUUGUCUAACAGACAUCAGACACCCUGUAGAUGUUCCUAAGUCACUUGACAAGUUCGGUAUCUUUCCUUACCUUACCAGGAACGAUUCACCCGUCUUGCAGACAUUACAGAACAUCGGAGAUAAAGAAAUGCGGAAGCGAUUACAUAAAUUACAUUUAUUUUAAAAGCAAGCUUAAGUUAUUUUAUUACAGACCAGAACUAAAGCGAGUGCAGAGUAGUAAUAUUAUACAAACCAAGGGAGGCACAAACUCCUCCCGAUAAGUUUAAGCAAAAGAUCCUAUGUGGAGGACCAAGUCCUCCCGCACUUCAGUCUUGUUUUUCUUCAUUUGGUACCACCUUGGAGCAAAAGCAACAAAAAUUUGUCGCUUCCUCACCUAAAAACAACAAAGGGAAAAACCCUGAGUAUGGAAUUACUCAGCAAGUCUUACCCGACUAAGGAAAAGACUCUCAAGGGUAUGCUGGAUAAAUAGGAAUCAAGGAGAGGCUUUAGCAAGAAUCAACUUAGAUACUUUUGCAGAAAUAGCUUACUAAAGUGAGUCCUUACUUUCAAUAUUUUAACGCCAUAUUAAGUAUUAAUAGACUCUAUUUGCAUCUAGUCUAAUUUCAACAUCUCAUCAAUACAACAUCAUUUUUAUCCAUAGUGUUCACAUCCUGACUUUAGGUUGCAGGGAAGUGACCAAGUCUUCAUAACCGCGAAGGUACGGCGAUCCGAAUCGAUUAUACUCAGCUGAGGAUCUCCAAUCACACGACAUAUGUAGCACUUAACCCUUGCAUAUGUCAACCCGCCACCGGGGUUCUUAAGACCAGAUCAGGUUCACGCAAACCGAGAGCACAGAUACACCACCGUCCAGCCUCUUGCCACGGAGGGUACACGCUACUCUCGCCACCGCUCCACGCCCAUUUCGUGUUAUCUUAUUCUGGCCUUGGUCUGCCCGAGGCAAGGCUUACCCAUGACGAGGCAUGUGACCAGUUAAAGGGUCCUCGGUCAGCACGCCUACAUACGCAUUAAUCCUUAAUCAACCUGGGUAGAACAUCACCUGUUCCUAACUCAUGUCUCAAUUUAAGUAUUUCCAUCCUUAGGAUUGUGUCUGUUCCUUAGGAUGAAAGAGCAUCACAGGGAACUUUGCAGUAAGAUCCCACUAUUGCUCCAAAUGAAAAUAUUCUUGCAGGUAGAAGCCAUCCUCUCCCGGGUUAGACUGAGGACAACCUCUAUCCACAAGAUCUAAGCAAGGCUAAGCAUUUUUGUAAAUCAUAAUUUUGAUACUUCACAGAAGUAUCUAUAAAGGUAUGGAUAUCAAGGAAAGCAAUGCAUCAAAGGGUUCCAAGCAACUCCUAUGAACCUAAUGCACAUUUCACUAGACUUAAAGUGUGCGAAAAUUAUUUAAAAACACAAGGAAAGGGGUUGCAUGCACCGGGGCUUGCCUUCGUUCACAGGUGAGUCGGGUUCGGAUCCGCAAAUAUCGAAGUAGAAGCAGUUGCCUGCUUGAGAAUCCGAAGGUGGUGGUGUCCUGUCUUCAGUUACUUCGAUUUCUUCUUCACGUUCUAAUCAUAACCAUACAUAGGUAUAAGAAUGGAUGCCAUGGGAUGCUCAUGAGGAUGCAAAGAUAAUAUAAACUUAUUAUCUAUGUCUUGAAUACAACUCUCCUUCACGGAACACCGAGAACUUAGGGUUUCCGGAGUCGGUAAAGGAGUUCAAAGGGCAGGGGGUGGUUUUGGGUUCUAGUUAUCAAACAUGGUCCAAAUCAACUCAAAUCCUACCCAAGGCUUCGAAAUAUUUCUUUAAGUUCCCAUAAAAAGUUUGGGCAUUUUUAGACUUACCAAUUAUUUUCUAAAAAUCCAUAACUGAUACUUUUAACCACUUUAAAUACCUUAAAAUUUCUUAUUUCCACUAAAAAUCACAAAACUAUUUUUACUAAAUUCUAGGGAAAAUAACAAGCCUAGGAAAAUUAGUUUCACAAUUUUAGCAUUUUCUACAUUUUUCUACAUAUUUCUAAAGCUUUCCCGAAAAAGAAAAAGGAAAAUAUUCAAUAGUGUUGGGCUGAUUCCGGUCUGAACAGGCCCAACAACGCAGGAAGCGCGCGCCCUCGCUCGCGCGCGAUGGCAGAUUUGCACAGGGGCCCUCGCAUUUCUGUUUAACUGCGAACGGGUUCAAACACUAUUCUAAAGAGUCUCUGACGCUUUGCAAAUAGAUCCCUCAUCUUCUAAUUCUUUACACCGUGAAACCCUCGACGGCGGUCCAAGCUAGGAGCCGAGCUCCGACGAGCUAGACCGAUCGAAAGAUGCCACGGCCGGAGUUCUCGAGCGACAGGAACCAAAUUAAACUCCUUCCGCACCUUUCCCCCAAUCAAUUUCGCUAGAGAUGGUUCAUCAUGUUCUGGCCACGGUGUCAGUGCGGGUGUUCAAGCGGAUUAUCGUGUUCCGGGUCACUGAAGGUUGGACUGGCUAAAUUGAAGCUAGGGAAAGGUUCCUGGGUUCACCAGGGUCCCUGGACAUGCUUCGGUUUGGGCAGAGCAAGACCCGAAGAACGGGUCGACGGUGGGGGGGGGGGGGUCACGGCGGCGUUCUAUAGGAUAGGCGUGCGCUCCGGUGAUGGGCUUCGGUCAAACUCCACUUGCUGCAUCAAGGAGCAAUAAGGGAUCAAAAACUAACUAAAACAGGGAGUAACUACGUAAGUACUGACCAGGGAAGCGCUGGGCACAGAUGUUCCUUCUGCGGAGCUAAGAACAGGAGAGGGAGAAAUUGUGGGCUGCACAAGUUCUCAGGCGGGAUUGAGUCGAUUGCUUAAGCACUGAGGUGCGUAAUGUGGAGAAGAAGCGGAGUCCGGGCUCAAUUUAUAGGCCGUCGACCGGAGUUGGAGAAGAAGCGCGAACUACGGAUGCGCUGGCAAGCUUUCCGCGCGGCGGUUUCCGGUGAGGACACGGGGUCGCCGUUUAACCGGAGUUCGCCACCUCGGUAACCUUUUGCUACGAUGCUGUGGAUCUUUACCGCGACCACCGACGACCAGUCACGGGGUACUGUUCAUCUAUUUAUAGGCACAUGACUCAGCCUAUGAGAGAUUACAAUUAUGCCCUUUACAUUUUCUAUUGACUUAUAGAAAAAUCUAUGAGGACUGAACAACCUUUUCCCUUUUAAGUCGGUUCCCUUUUCUGCGAUUUAGCCGAAGCUCCCUUUCGCACAGCUUCGGAGCGACGGCAACCUUCGUCACGAUCAAGCUCCUCAUCGUGUCUGCUUUUACCAUGAAUCCGAAGAUACCUGUCCAUAAAUCAUAUAUGGGAAACAUUGUUAAAUUACGUUUUUGAGGACCUUCGGAGGACGAAGGCCCCCAACAGUAGCCCCUCGCAAUAUUAAUUUGUUAAAAUAACGAAUUUAGAUUGCGACAUGGACGAAGGCCCUAAGCCGAAGGUCCGAAAAAACACCUUCCCUUUGCUAGAAUAGCAACAGUCAAUGACAGGCGGGGCCCUCCAACUUGGAGUGCGCUGGGCGUAUAAAUAGGAUCUCACACCCACUGCAUUUGGUACACUGCUUGUGCCAUUUGCCUUAUUUUCUCAAUUUGUUAACUUGCUGCUUACUAACGCUUGAUAGCUCUCAAGCUUUUUAGCUUCGGCUUGAAGGACACGUUUUCGUCAUUUCCGAAGAUAAGAUGUCUCAAGACAAGAAGACAGUUGCUGAGACGAAGCUAACCGAAGAGGAGAAGGUUCUUGAGAAGAAAACUGCUGAAUUUGUUGAGUCAAUAGCGAAAACGAAUACAGAGAAGAUAACUAAAGAAAUUCUGGAAGGCCCUUUCUUAUAACAGCUCAAGUCAGGAGGGGGAGUAUAACACAUACCCCUCGUAGGCGGUGGCUAGUUUGAGAACUAAUUGCUCAUGGCGAGCUUGUUGGAUCUUCUUAUCCAAUUUGUCUGAAGAUACUGAUGAUAGUGACAGCUAUGAUAUGGAAAGUGGAGGCGAAGACUCUGAAGAUCGGCCCUGGCGACCAAGUCAUGCAGUCUUCGGGAAAUCAACUAUCAAACAGAGUCAUCUUGAUAAUAUGAGAGGAAGGUAUUUUCGAGAUAUGUCUAUUGUGAGGGCUGACGUAGAUAGAGCCGUUCCUGCUCCCGAAGAAAACGAAGUUGUAAUCUACCAAAGCUUCUUCAAAGCUAGACUUCGGUUCCCGUUGAGCAGAUUUGUGGUUGAAGUUUUAAAGACAUACCAGAUUUUCCUUCACCAGAUCACUCCCGAAGCAAUUAUCAGAAUGGGGAUCUUUGUCUGGGCUGUGAGAAGUCAAGGUCUAGAGCCAAGUGCAAGAUGCUUUUGCAGUAUGCAUGAACUUUCGUAUGAGACGAAACCCUAGGGUAAAGAACAAUAUCAUAAUAAUUUUGGUUUCUAUAUCUUCGUGGCUCGCUCUGGCGCAAGCUACCUAGUGCCAACGUUUCGGAAGAGAUGGCCCGGGGCCUAGAUGGAGGAGUGGUUUUACGUGAAAAUGAUUUGAAGGCAAGAGAAGACAUUAAAGAAAUCAUCAUGCGCCCCAUCUGGUCCCGCUUCGGCCUCCAAAAGUCGAAAGUAAAAAUUCAUGAGGCAGCCGAAGCAUGUCGAAGGGCCUUCAGCACAGUUUGCUCUUUUAUUGGGACAAGAGACUUAAUUCAAGAGCACGUAGCCUACAGGAUAUGGCCACUGAUAGACAGCUGAGAAAUGGCGAAAGAAACCAUCACUAACCCUAGCGAAGGCGGCCUGGUUCGAUUGAAAUACACCUUCAGAUUUGGAGACCAGUUUGUCGAACCCGAUGAUGACUGGCUGAAGUGCGUUGAAAACACUAGCGAUGAGCUACUUGGAGCAUAUUCCAAGUCCGAAGAUAAUGCACUAUCUACGGCCUUCGGGAGCCGAAAAAAGAAAAGAUUAAAUAGGGUUUUUGAUGCUAUUGGAUUUGUGUACCCUGUCUAUCGCUACCCGCCACGGGGGCAGAAAAGAAAGGGUGCAACUUCUGGAAAGGUUGCUGCUUCGGCUGCUCCAAGCGAGCUUGCGCCAAAGAGGAAAAAGUUGAAGGUCCUUACCCACCGACAGCGCUACAUUGAACCGGCCAUAGUGCCUGAGUUUAGCGGGGAAACUUCUUCAGCUAUUGAAGCAAAAGGACCUGCUCCUCCUACGCAGAAGAUUGAAGAGCCAGCUGCAAUGCUGAAGGCACCUUCGGCCAAGUUAGCUAAGCCGAAGACUGAUAAAAUUGAGGAGCCAAGAAUCGAAGGGACAAAAACAUUAGAAGUUUUAAGCCCUUCGGCAGAAGCGAUGGUGCCGAAGGCACAAAAAGGUCUUACAGCGACUCCCAAAAGAAAAAUGAUGGCAAGUGUAUUAGAUGUACUAGAGUCAGUAAAAGCUUUAAGUUCUAUUCCUUCAGGGAAAAUUGCCGAGGUUGAGACAAAACCGGCCGAAGUUGAGGCUGCAAUGGGCCAGGCUAGCGCCGAAGCUAGGCCUUCGGAGCGUGCCGAUAAACAACCCUCGGAGUUUGAAGAGAAGGCGACAGAGGAAGAAGCUAUAGAGCAGAGUUUGCCUGAGAAAACUCCCGCGCCUGCCCCCGAAGCUUUAAAAGAAAAUAUUGAAUAUAUCAUCCAUCACGCUUCGGAAAAGAAACUCUCUAAAGACGAAGAACGAGAAGCUCAACACUAUGCCCAGAAGCUGAAAUAUCCAAAGGGGGCAUUAGUGUUCAACGACAGUGGAGAAGAGGAUUUCUUGUAUUGUCUCCCAGACAGCAAGGAGAUAUAUGUCUGCCGAGAGAUGAGCAGAAGCUUCGGAUUCCCAACAUUAGAAGAUGGACUUUCAGUACUGUCAAAGGAUGAAUUGGGCGACAACUUGGCAUAUAAUAGUAUAAAGGUGUGAAAAUUAAUUUUUGUACUUAAAAAUGAAUUUUUUUCAUUUGUUUAUACUUAAUAUUAUGCUCCUUUUGCAGGGCUUGAUCCUUAGCAAUGCCCUCAGGGCACAGAAAAAUACCAAAGAUGAAGGAUGCACUAUAGCCAUGAACAACCUUCGUUCGGAAGUAAUUGAACUAAGGAAUGAAGGUCUUGAAAAAGAUAAAAUAUUAAUUUCAUUGGUGAGCAAAAUAAAAGAAGACGAGGCUAGUUCCAAAGCACAAGCUGAGGCCCAUAAAAGUGAAAUUGAAGAUCUUCGGUAAUAGUUAGCCGAAGCCAAAUUAAAAUGCGCUGUUGCCGAAGCUGACCGAGAUGCCAGUGAGUACUGGAAAAAUUAUUUUGAAAAAACAGUUGCAGAACUUCACGCAUCAAAAGAAAGAUGCUUUGAAAAAUCUGUGGAAUGCGUAAAAAAGAUAAAGACUAGCUUCGCCAACGUGGGCGCGUACUCAAGCGAAGACAAUUUUAUACGGGGAGACCUUGAGGGCGUAAUCGAGUCGAUCAGCAGUGAGGCCGAAGCCUUUGAAGAGAUUUUGAGUGACCGCGGGGACAUCUGUGCCUUUUCUGGUGCGAGGGGAGUUGCAGCCAUCUUGGAGAAGGCAGGUUGCGAACAUGUUAAAACCUUGGCUCAAGCCGAAGCUGCCUUCUCCAUCGAUGAUACAAAGGACCCCUCGGCCGAAGCAAGCUCAAUAGGCGGAAAUUUUUUCACUGAUAUCUGUGAAAAUGGCGGCCGAGGGAUGGCCCAUGAAAUAAUGAAAAAGAGCGAAAAAGAUAUUCAUGACACUUGAGAAGCAGCGAAAGCAGUUGAAAAAGCUGUGGAACUUGAAAGACGGAUAUGUAUUACUUAAUGUCUUUUAACUUUAUUGUUGUUUAUUUUUGCGACUUCGAACUAAUUCAUGUCUUCUACCGCAGCUGAACUAUCUCCUCCCCCAGAGCCAUUCGACCCACUGGCCGACCCAGAGACAAGGAAAACAAUAGAAAUUAUUAAUAUGGCCGAAGCUAUUGUAGACGAAGUCAUUACCAAACUGCUGACCAAAGCUGCAAAUAAAGUUUUGAAGGAAGAAGAGUAGCUAUUGUAAAAACAUUUCUAGAAUAUUAUUGUAACAGUUGCUGAACUAUGCUUGUAAUAUUUGGUGCUUGAAUGUAAUAUAUGAAUUGUUUGUAAUUCAAUUCUUUGUGAUGCAUGAAACUUUAUGUAUAUACCGUUUUUGAGCCUUCGGCGAAAAAACACCUUCCCUUCUUUUCAUGCUUCGUAAAGAAGAGCUUUUAUGCUUCGUAAAAAUCAUCCAUACUUUGUAAAACAUUAAUGUUUUGUGAACAAUAGAUCCCUUUUUCUGCACCAGAACUGAUGAAACUUGUAAUUCUCAGCUUACUUUGUGCCUUGGUAUCUUUUCAUUUCUUGUAAAGCAUUGCCCGAAAAUCGGCCUUGUUUUCAAUUGAUGUCAUUGAUGAGAUAUGAUGUUUGAUGUGAUGUUAUGAUGUAUGAUGCGAUGAUAUGAUGCAAAUAAUGAUGCUAAUGUAUCGUGCAAAUGAAUGCCCAAACACACACAUCCGAAGCUUCAUCCACAACCUUCAUUCCCUAAGGAAUGACUGAAAUCUCCUUGCCGUUUACUUUUCGGCUGUGACGGAACCUCCCAAGUAAGUAGGCCCACCUACAGUUGUCUUUGUCCAACGGACCUCAGACAACCCUGUAGAUGUUCCUAAGUCACUUGACAAGUUCGGUAUCUUUCCUUACCUUUCCAGGAACGUUUCACCCGUCUUGCAGACAUUACAGAACAUCGGAGAUAAAGAAAUGCGGAAGCGAUUACAUAAACUUACAUUUAUUAAAAAGUAAGCUCAAGUUGUUUAUUACAGACCAGAAAUAUAAGCGAGUGCAGAGUAGUAUUAUUGCAUAACUAAGGGAGGCAAAAACUCCUCCCGGUAAGUUUUAAGCAAAAGUUUUCUAUAUGGAGGACCAAGUCCUCCCGCAUCUUCACUCUUGUUUCUCCUCCUUAGGAACCACCUUGGCACAGAAGCAACAGAAAUCUGCUACUUCCUCACCUAAAAACAACGAAGGGAUAAACCCUGAGUAUGGAAUUACUCAGCAAGUCUUACCCGACUAAAGAAAAGACUCUCAAGGGUAUGCUGGCUUAAGGGAGUCAAGGUAAGGCUUUUCAAUAAUCAAAGACUCUGUUUUGCAGAAAUGCUUACUAAAGUGGAUCCUUAAAAUCCAAUUUUAUUUGUCAAGUUAAGUACAAUUACCUGCAACUAGAGUUCUUUCUACCCUAGUUCAAUCACUGGUCCUGCACUAGCCAAUUUCUUAACAAAAACCCAUCAUCUUUAGUGGAAUGCUACGUGUAAGUCAGUGGCCAAGUCUCCAUAACCGCGGAGGUACGGCGAUCCGAAUCGAUUAUACUCAGCUGAGGAUCUCCAAUCACACGACAUAUGUAGCACUUAACCCUUGCAUAUGUCAACCCGCCACCGGGGUUCUUAAGACCAGAUCAGGUUCACGCAAACCGAGAGCACAGAUACACCACCGUCUAGCCUCUUGCCACGGAGGGUACACGCUACUCUCGCCACCGCUCCACGCCCAUUUUGUGUUAUCUUAUUCUGGCCUUAGUCCACCCGAGGCAAGGCUUACCCAUGACGAGGCAUGUGACCAGUUAAAGGGUCCUCGGUCAGCAGACCUACAUCGAGACGGUCCUUAAUCGACUCAGACGGAGACACUACACCGAGACUCUCUUCUCGUGCAAGUCACCCGCCCGGUCUCAGCUUAAUCAUUUUAACCCAAAAACUUGGUACCUGGCAGAGGUACAUCUUUUCCGAUGUUGAAUCCAUCACGACCGUGAUGGAUUCACCAUCAAGUUUUAUUUUUGAAAACAACCCUCCCACUUUGCCAAACAUCUUUUGUAAAACAAAUCCUUUUGUUUUUCUAGAGCAAUACUAAGCAUAGAAAAACCUUUUUGUAAAAACAGGGUUCAAGGAAGGUAAUCAAGUUCAAGGAAGGUAAUGCAGGAAUUGUUUAAUCAAUCAACUCCUAUCACCUAAUGCAGCAAGCAAGUGAGAAAGAUUUUAAAAACAUCAAGGGAGGUGGCAAAUGCACCGGGGCUUGCCUUCGUUCACAGGUGAGUCUGGCUCGGAUCCACAAAUAUCAAAGUAGAAGCAGUUGCCUGCUUGAGAAUCCGAGGGUGGUGGUGUCCUUUCUUCAGUGACUUCCACUUCUUCACGUUCUAACAUAACCAUAUAUAUACAUAUAUAAGAAUGAAUGCCAUGUAAUGCGCAUGAGAGUGCGAAGAUAAUAAAGAUUUAUUAUCUAAGUCUUGAAUAUAACUUUCCUUCACGGAACUCCGAGAACUUAGGGUUUCCGGAGUCGGUAAAGGAGUUCAAAGGGCAGGGGGGGUGGUUUUGGGUUCUAGUUAUCAAACAUGGUCCAAAUCAAUUCGAACUCUACCCAAGGCUUCUAAACAAUGUUUUGAGUUCAUAUAAAAAGUUUGAGCAUUUUUGGACUUAUUAUCUAUUUUCUAAAAAUCCAGAACUAAUACUUCAAACUACUUAAAAUGCUUUAAAAUUCCUUAUUUUCUCUAAAAAUCAUAUAAAUAUUUUUAUUAAAUUCUAGGGAAAAUAAGAAGUCUAGGAAAAAUUGGGUUCACAAUUUUAGGAUUUUUCUAUAAUUUUCUAGAAUUUAUUUGGUUCUGGAAGAAAAAGAAAAAGGAAAAACUUGUAACAGUCUUGGGCCGAUUCUGACCCAGGUCGGCCCAACAACUGGUGAAAGCGCGCCCGCGCGCUCGCGUGCACUUUGCACCGAAGACCCUGGCUCCUCGAAUAAUCACAGAAGAAACCCGCGCACUAUUUUGGGGAGUCACUAACAGUUUCAGAAUAGCCCCUGCGUUUCUAUUCUUUUACACGCCGACACCCUCGACGGCGAACGACGUCGCGCAGAGCUCCGACGAGCACGCGCAUCGGCCAACUUGGUCAAAUACUGGCGCCCUCCUUUGGCCGAACCCAAAUUCAAGAUCUAGUGAGUGUUUCCCCUAAGUUAAUUUUGCAAAUGGGUGCCUGGUUAUCUCUGGCCACGGUGACCGUGGAUGCUGCGGAUGGAUCAACGCGCUCCCGGCGACUAGUGGGCUCCUAGUUCAAUUGGAUGGUUUGGCGAGUAUCACAGACGUAUGCGAAUGCUUAAACAAGGGAGCAGAGGGGAGGAGCUGACCCGAAUUGGGCUGACCACGGCGAGCUUGGUUUCGCGGCGUUCUUCGAUCGAUUUGGGGAUAAUCACAAAUUGGGGAGCUGCGGGGAACGAUUGGAGCUGAGAGUUGGUUCACUGGAUGUACGACUACCUAGCGGAACGUGCUGAGGCUUCAAUUUAUAGAGCUAGUGGGCGGUGGCCGCGAAUUUGAAUGAAGACGCGCGGCGGCCAGAGGGGGAGAAGAACGCUGGUGCAGUGAACACGUGUUCACCGUCGUGGUAGUAACUCCGGUGGUCGACGGGGAGUUUAGAGGGAGUCACGGCGACGCGGUGGCGCGGUUAGGACACGCGGUGGACAACGGAGAUGGCACGACGACGGUGACCAACUUUACCCGCGGGCGGUGAGCCAGGGGAGAUGAACUACGGCUAGCCGGAGUGGCUUCCAGGUCACUGGCGGCGAAGAUAUUUGACCCCGCGACACUAUCCAACCAUCCAGAGCACAAAGUGGGCCGGCGGUCGCACGAAUCACGGCGGCAAUCGGUCGCCGACGGUAAGGUGGCUGCGCUGGCGUCCUGAUCCACACGGUUACUGUACCAUGGCGAUCCCCAUUCAGAACGGCUGACAGAGCACUUUGGAGCUCCUAUUUCUCCCAAAUUUGUGUGGUGACUAAGCUAGCUCUCUGUACCAAAAUUAUAGCCUGACCAUCCAGCUACAAUUUUGUCAUAGCAACCUUGGUCAAAUUCUCAAUAAUUCAAACUUGAAUUCAUGCUUAAAGUCUCAGUGGUCACACUGUCUGUCUGAAAAUUCAGACCUUAACAGCCUGACAGCCAGACUUUAGGCUUGAUUUUCUCCAAUUUCUUCUUAACAACUGUUGGGGACUCGUUCUCAAAUGAUAUGAAUCAAGAACAAGGCAACACAAGAUGUUAAAUAUCAAAACCCUUCGUCCUUUGAAUCAUUAUUUCCCUUCGGAUAUAAUGGAUUUCGGACGAAGGUCAUGAAGGACAAACCUUCAUGAACAUAACAAAAGAUAAAGAGUAUUCAAACACAAAAUAUAAGAAAUAACAUAAUCUCUGUAAAUAUUAUUAUUAACUUAUUUUCUACUUGUAUUACUCAUGUAAAUAAUGGUAAAUUGCAAAUAUACCUUUGGCUUGAAGGAAUGUGAAUACAUGUGUGAUGCAAAAGCAAAUGCCAAGUCAGCGUGAACAGUACGGAAAUACUGUUCACCUAUUUAUAGGCACGGGUCGCAGCCCAUGCAAAAUUACAUUAAUACCCAUUACAUUUAACAAUAACUCUAUAGUAAUUCUUCAAGGUCUAAUUUGGCUUUUCAUCUUUAAGUCGGUUCCCCUUUUCUGCCGUUAUGCCGAAGCUUUUCUGCACAUAGCUUCGUGAUCGUCUUUUCCUUCGUCGUGAUCGCCUUUCGUCCCGGUCGAGCUUCGUCUUUAACCGUGCUUUUGUAUACCCGCAAUCUAACUUCGAAGGUACCUGUUUACAUAUUUCUCUUGGAAAACAUUAUCAAAUCAUGUUUUUGAGGACCUUCGGAAGCCGAAGGCCCCCAACAGUAGCCCCUCGCAAUAUUAAUUUACCGUAAAGAUAAGUUUAUAUUGCGAUACGGACGAAGGCUAUGAGCCGAAGGUCCGAAAAAACACCUUCGUUUUGCUAGAAUAGCAACAGUCAUUGACAAGCGGGACCCUCCAGUUUUCGACUUACUGGGUGUAUAAAUAUGAGCUCACCACAAGUUAUUUGGCACGCUAUCUUGCCAUUUGCUGUGCCUGCUCAAAUAGCUCUCUGUCCACAAAUAUUUGACUGCCUCUCUAGAUUUUAAGCUUCAGACCAAAAAGCCCUUGUUUUAAAAGGACUUCCGAAGGGAUGUCUCAGGAAAAGAAAGUUGUUGCCGGAGUGAAGCUGAGCCUUUCUGAGGAGAAAAAUCUGGGCUUCAUUAAAUCAAUAGCAAAAACAAAUACAGAGAAAAUUACUAGGGAAAUUUUGGAAGGCUUAUCUGAAGAUACUGGUGAAAGUGAUAGCUAUGACGCAGAUAGUGGAGGUGAGGAUUCCGAAGAUCGACCAUGGCGACCAAGCCAUUUAGUCUUCGGAAAAUCAACUAUUGGACAAAGUCAUCUUGAAAACAUGAGGGGAAGAUAUUUUCGAGAUAUAUCCAUCGUGAGGGCAGAUGACGGAGAGAAGACUGUGCCGACUCCCGAAGAUAAUGAAGUCGUGAUCUUCCGAAGCUUUUUUAAAGCUGGGCUAUGAUUUCCUUUAAGCAGGUUUAUGGUAGAAGUUCUGAAAACAUAUCAGGUUUAUCUUCAUCAACUUACCCCUGAAGCAAUAAUAAGAAUGGGAGUCUUUGUCUGGGCUGUGAAGAGCCAGAGCCUGGAACCAAGUGCGAAAAGCUUUUGCAAUAUACAUGAGUUAAUAUAUGAGACGAAGCCCUAGGGUAAGAAGCAAUAUCAUAACAACUUUGGUUGCUACAGCUUCGGUGCUCGUUCUGGAUCAAGCCGUCCUGUGCCAACCUUUCGGAAGAGAUGGCCCGGGGAAUGGAUGAAAGAAUGGUUCUAUGUAAAAAAUGAUUUGAAGGUUCGAGAAGAUAUUAAAGAUAUCAUCAUGUGUCCUAUCUGGCAGCGCUUCGGACUCCGGAAACCGAAGGUAGAAAUGGAUGAAGUAGCCGAAGAGUGCCAAAGGGCCUUCGGCGUAGUCUGCUCUUUUAUAGGGACAAGAGAUUUAAUACAAGAACAUAUUGCCUUCAGAGUAUGGCCACUUGCAGAUAACUGGGAAAUGCCGAAAGAAACUGUUAGAGAAACUGACGAAGGUGGACUAGUCAGGCUAAAGUACACAUUCAAGUACGGAGACAAGUUUGUUGAGCCAGAUGAUGAUUGGUUAAAGAGCAUUGAGACUGUAAGUGAUGAAUUUCUUGGGGUAUAUUCAAAGGCCGAAGACACUGCAUUAUCAGUGGCCUUCGGAGGCCGAAAGAAGAAAAGACUCAACCGAGUAUUUGACGCAAUUGGGUUUGUCUACCCCGACUACCGCUAUCCAGCGCCGGGUCAAAAAGAAAAAGCACAACUUCUGCAAAAGAAACUGCUUCAGCCGCUCCUAGCGAGCCAGCGCCGAAGAGACAAAGGGUAAAGGUUCUCACACACCGGCCACGCUAUAUCGAACCAACCACGGUGCCUAAGUUCGCCGGUGAAACCUCUUCGGCCACCGAAGCUAAAGAUUCAACUCUGCUGCCAGAAAUCAAAGAGUUGGCCGAAGUGCCAGCAACAGAAAAGAUGGAAGAACCAAGGACUGAAGAAGCAAAAACAUUAGAAGUUUCAGGUCCUUCGGCAAAGGUUGAAACAGGAAAAAAUCUGAUGGGUCCAACAGUGACCCCGAAAAGAAAGAGGAUGGUUAAUGUGUUAGAUGUUCUGGAGACAAUUAAAUCUUCAAGCAUAACUCCAAAGAAAACUCUUGAAACUUCUGGAGUAUCUACUGAAGCCUUUGUUGCUGAAGCUUCAAAGCAACAGCCUGAAGCUGAAGCUGAGGCUGGACCUUCAGAGCCCACCAAGAAACAACCUUUGGAAACCGAAGAAAAAACUACAAAGGCAGCUUUGGAAACUGAAAAAAUGUCAGAGCCAAUUUUGGUUGAAGAAACUGACACUGCCGCCCCCGAAGCACCUUCCUCCAUACGCGAUUACAUUGUGCGACAUGCUUCGGGGAAGAAAUUAUCUGAAGAAGAAAUUUAUGAAGCUGAUCACUAUGCCAGAGAAUUAAAAUAUCCGAAGGGGGCACUAGUGUUCAAUGGGACAGACGAAGAUGACUUCCUAUACUGCCUCCCUGAUAAUAAAGAAUUAUCUGUCUGCCGGGAGAUGGCUAGGAGUAUGGGGUUUCCGAAACUUGAAGCUGGACUCUGCGCUAUGACGAAGGACGAUCUUGCAGAUAGUCUUGCAUAUAAUAGUCUAAAGGUAUAAGAACUAUAUAUUUAGAAAUUUAUAAUUUUCAAAUCAUUCUUUUAUUCUUAUACUAAUUCUUGUAUAUAUAUAGGGUUUGAUAUUGAGCAACGCGCUGAGAGCGCAAAAGAAUGCCGAAGACGAGAGCUAUGAUAUUGCUUUCAACAAUCUACGAUCAGAGGUUAUUAAGCUGAGAAACGAAGCUCUGGAAAAAGAUAAAAUUCUGCUUACAUUGGUGGACAAGAUAAAGGAAGACGCAGCUACCUCCAAGGCUCAAGCCGAAGCCCAAAAACGUGAAAUUAAAGAUCUUCAGAAACAGCUAGCCAGAGCUAAAGAAGAACAUAUACUUGAAGAGACAAAACGAGAGCUUAGUGAUCAAUGGGCCAAUCAUUUAGAAAUAAAUGUUAAAGAACUUCGUGCAUCCCAGAGAAGAUGCUAUGAUAAAUCUAUAGUGUGCGUUCAGAAGAUAAAAUCCAGCUUCGCCAACGUUGGUGCAUUCUCUAGCGAAGAGAAUUUCUCAAGGGGCAAUCCCGAAGGUCCGAUGGAAUGGAUCAGUCACGAAGCUGAGGCCUUCGAGGAAAUGCUGAAUAGUCGUGGAGACAUAUGUGCUUUUUUGGGUGCUAGAGGAAUUUCUACUGUUUUGGAGAGAAUCCUUAGCGCAAUCCGAAGCUACUUUGUCCUCCGAAGACAUUAAAAACCCCUCAGCCGAAGCAAGCAUGAUCGGCGGAAUUUUUUUCACCGAUAUCUGGGACAACGGCGGCCGAGAAAUGGCCCAAGAAAUUAUUCAAAAGAGCGAAAAAGGCAUCCACGAUGCUAGAAAAGUAGCAGAGGCUGCUGAGAAAAGUACAGAGCCCGAAGGGCAAAUAGGUAUUAAUUAGUGGUUUUCAUUCUAUUGUAAUUUUUGAUUCCAGGCUUUGUUCACGGUUUGUAAUAGUAAUAUAGCCGUAUCUUCUCCUCCCUCAGAACCUGCUGAAGCAUCUCCGGGCCCCCACUCGAAGGGGGACGAUGAAAUUAGAAAAAUGGCCAAAGCCAUCAUGGACAAAGUUGUCGACCAGCUACUAAACGAAGCUGCAGAAAUAGUUCUUAAGGAGGAUUAAAUGCUAUUGUAGAAACAUUUGGAAUGUAACAUGUGUAAUACAUUGUAACUUUGAAUGUAAUAUAUAAUCUAUUUUAUAGUUCAAUUCUUUACGAUGCAUGAAAUUUUGCAUACAUACCAUUUUUUGAGCCUUCGGCGAAAAAACACCUUCCCUUCUUUUCAUGCUUCGUGAAGAAAAUCUUUUAUAUAUCGCAAGAAUUUGCAAACUUCUCUGAUGGGAAAUAUCCAAGCUUCGUGAAAUAUUCUCCGAAGCUGUUUUAUGUUUCCUUUCUAAUGAAGCUACACGUCUUCUUGAUUUAUCUUGUGCCUUAACACGAUUUUCUCUUUCUCAAAUCACCCUCCGAAGACUAAUGGUGUAUCCCCUUCUUGUUUCACAUGCAAUAUGCUGUAUGAUGCUUAUGUUAUGCUAAAUGAUGUAAUGAUGUUAUGUUAUGCAAAAUGAUAUUUGUGCCGAAAGUACACACAUCCCUGCAAUAAAGCACACAAUCUUUUUAUAUCAGCGCUGACUUUUCGCUGUAAGCCUCCCUUAGGAGCUUCUUCGCCUUUUACUUCAGCGGAAUCAGCGUUUAUUUUUCACUGUAAGCCUCCCUUAGGAGCUUCUUCGCCUUUUACUUCAGCGGAAUCAGCGUUUAUUUUUCGCUGUAAGCCUCCCUUAGGAGCUUCUUCGCCUUUUACUUUCGGCGGAAUCAGCGCUUAUUUUUCGCUGUAGGCUCAGAAAACUUACACUGCGCUCCCUUAGGAACGGCUUUUUGCUGCUUUAAAUAAAUUGCAAUGCGUUCCUUAGAACAAAUUUUUGAUAACUUCGAAAAUCCUCCUUGUUAAUCAUAAAUUCUCAUGCUUGGGCAUCUCAGGCCUAUGGAGAAGAUAUAUUUUCAUUACAGUAAAGAGCGAAACUAUUACAAGAAAUUGAAAGGCGAUAAAAGACGUUAAAACUACCCUUAAUUGUUCCUUAUUAAAAAGAAAGCAAUACUGAAUGUGAAAAUGCGAAAAACUGUUGUCGAGGUAGGAUAUUUGUCAGUAAAUGUGCUUCGACUCUGGCACAGUGCUAUUGAUUGUGCGAGCUUCGGACUCCUCUCUGAAGUCCCGCUGGGGGUUAGUGCGGUGACUCCCUUCUGGCUGCUGGCCUCUUUGUGUUGGUGGUGGCGGCAGAGGCUGCUGCCAAGAUGCUUGGGGUUGGCUUGCCGAAGCAACAGAAGCUGCAGGGUGAUUGCCUACAUAUUCUGGAAUGUAAGGCGAAUGAUACGAAGCAGUAUGCAUGACUUGCUUCGGCUGAAUUUGUUGUGCUGCAGCUUCUGCUAUCUCCUUUUGCUUCUGGAUGGUAACAUGACACAUCCUGGUAGUGUGGCCCUUGUCUUCACCACAGAAUAGGUAGUAAAUCUUUCUUGGCUGAUCUCCAAAUCUUCCCCCGAAGCCCCUGGCGCCUCUGCCCCUAGGCGCUGGGGGCCGAAAAGAGCUUUGCUGCUGCCCCGAAGCUUGUGAAGAAUAUUGUGGCUUUUGCUGCUGACUCCCUCUAUCGUCAUUUUGAGUAGAAUUAUGAAUUGACCUGACGUGCCUCGGGUGAAAUCUUCCUCCGAAGCCCCUGGUCAUUUUAGAAAACCUGAAUGCUUCCUCCCUUCUUUGACGAAAGCCAUUGUCAGCUCGAAUAUACUCGUCCAUCUUCUGGAGCAGCUUCUCCAAAGUCUGUGGCGGCUUCCUGGCAAAGUAUUGCGCUGAAGGUCUCGGCCGAAGUCCCUUAAUCAUGGCCUCAAUGACAAUUUCAUUGGGCACUGUUGGCGCCCGUGCCCUCAGACGCAGAAACCUUCUGACAUACGCCUGAAGAUAUUCUUCGUGGUCCUGGGUACACUAGAAUAGAGCCUGAGCGGUGACUGGCUUUGUCUGAAAUCCUUGAAAGCUGGUUAUCAACAUAUCCUUCAGCUUUUGCCAUGAAGUAAUUGUCCCUGGUCGAAGAGAGGAGUACCAAGUCUGAGCAACACUCCUGACGGCCAUGACAAAAGAUUUUGCCAUUACUGUCGUAUUGCCACCAUACGAAGAUAUGGUUGCCUCAUAACUCAUCAGAAAUUGCUUCGGGUCUGAAUGACCAUCAUACAUGGGGAGUUGAGGUGGCUUGUAAGACUGGGGCCAUGGUGUAGCCUGCAAUUCUGUUGAUAAAGGAGAAGCAUCAUCAAAAGCAAAAUUUCUGUAAUGGAAAUCUUCAUACCAAUCAUCCUCAUUGUAGAAACCCUCCUGAUGGAGCUCUCUGCGCGGAGGCCUUCGGUUCUGGUCAUCCUGAACAAGAUGACGAACCUCUUCCGAAGCUUCAUCUAUCUGCCUAUGAAGGUCAGCUAGACGAGCCAUCUUCUCCUUCUUUCGUUGCACCUGUUGUUGGAGCAUCUCCAGGUUUUGGAUUUCCUGGUCCAAGUCAUCCUCCGGAGGCGUUGGACUGGUGGCCUUUCUCUUCUGGCUUCGGGCCUCCCUAAGAGAAAGGAUGUCCUGAUUGGGGUCCAGCGGCUGCAGAGUGGCAGCCCCUGUCGCUGAAGCCUUCUUCGGCGGCAAGACGAAGGUGAUGUUUGCCGAAGAUGUUCAAAAGCUCAAGAAAUGGAAGUGAGUUCACCGGAGGUGGGCGCCAAUGUUGGGGACUCGUUCUCAAAUGCUAUGAAUCAAGAACAAGGCAACACAAGAUGUUAAAUAUCAAAACCCUUCGUCCUUUGAAUCAUUAUUUCCCUUCGGAUAUAAUGGAUUUCGGACGAAGGUCAUGAAGGACAAACUUUCAUGAACAUAACAAAAGAUAAAGAGUAUUCAAACACAGAAUAUAAGAAAUAACAUAAUCUCUAUAAAUAUUAUUAUUAACUUAUUUUCUACUUGUAUUACUCAUGUAAAUAAUGGUAAAUUGCAAAUAUACCUUCGGCUUGAAGGAAUGUGAAUACAGGUGUGAUGCAAAAGCAAAUGCCAAGUCAGCGUGAACAGUACGGGAAUACUGUUCACCUAUUUAUAGGCACGGGUCGCAGCCCAUGCAAAAUUACAUUAAUACCCAUUACAUUUAACAAUAACUCUAUAGUAAUUCUUCAAGGUCUAAUUUGGCUUUUCAUCUUUAAGUCGGUUCCCCUUUUCUGCCGUUAUGCCGAAGCUUUUCUGCACAUAGCUUCGUGAUCGUCUUUUCCUUCGUCGUGAUCACCUUUCGUCUCGGUCGAGCUUCGUCUUUAACCGUGCUUUUGUAUACCCGCAAUCUAACUUGGAAGGUACCUGUUUACAUAUUUCUCUUGGAAAACAUUGUCAAAUCAUGUUUUUGAGGACCUUCGGAAGCCGAAGGCCCCCAACAACAACUAUGCUUACACUCUUAAGCAAAGUUGUUCUCCUAUGUUUGGGCUAUAAUUUUGAUGUGGUGACCUAGGGCAAAGGUCCCAUAUUUUAAAAGUUACAAGGACUUCAAGUUGAGUCAAUCACACUGAAAUGCAGACUUAACCAAAAAGGGUCAAGUAUGGCUCUUUUGCACUUAAGUCCAAAUCUCAAGUUUUGGAUUACAAAUCCUCAUGAUUGGGAACCAUAUGACUUAAUAUGCUUUAACAUAGUAGUUUUCACACUUUAGCCCAAAUGUGCACUGUUUUUGCACAUAUGCCCCUAGGGUUGGGAUUUAGGGUUUUCCAGGGUUCCAAUUAGGGUUUCUGGCAUCCCAGGGGUAUAAAUGUGAUUUAACUUUAUUUUUGGGGACAUUUUAUGACUAUUUCCCUAAAGCCUUUAGGUUUUCUCAACUUAGGUUAAGUUUUACCCCUUUAAUCCCUAUUUAAGGUUAAGUUCCCUACCCAGGGUUCUAUUUGCAAAACACUAAAGCAAUACAACUUGUUUGAAAUUUUUACCUAGUGAAUGCACUCUAAGUGUAUCAAACAUAUGCAAUGCCAAUGCUUAUGAUGCCAUGCUCAAGUUUUAGUUACAGUAACACCAGGGGUGUUACAUCGGCUGCACCGUUUAUUUUUCGGUGUAAGUUCUGCAUUCCCUAAGGAACGUCUUUUGAACUUCUUUGCCUUCUAUUUCGGCGGUAUUCGCGUUGACUUUUUGCGCUUCGCCUUAUAUUUCGGCGGUAUUUGGCUCUGCAUUCCCUAAGGAAUGACUUUUGAGAAGAAAACUUACGCUGCGCUCCCUUAGGAACGACUUUUUAAAUCUUCAGCAAACUUACACUGCGCUCUUUAAGAACGACUUUUUGUAGCUUCGGUGAAAUUUUUAAUGCUAUUUUUGGCUCUGCAUUCCUGAAGGAAUAUCUCUUUGUAGCUUCGGCAUUCUCGUAAGUCUGUGACGAAGGUAUAUUUCAUUUUGACAUAAACGAAGCUAGUACAGAGAAUUUAAAAAAUAACAAGAAGACUAGGUUUACAUUAAUUGUUCCUUAUUAAAAAGAAAACGACAGUGAAUGUAAAAUUGUGCCAAAGGUAGGAUAUCUAUCAAUAUAUGUGUUUUGAUUCUGGCAUAGUGCUGUUAACUAUGCGAGCUUCGGACCCCUCCCUUAAAUCUCGCUGCUGAUGGGUCUGUUGGCUCCCUUCUGGCUGCUGACCUCGUGAGUAGGCAGGCUGUAGUAGCGGCGGAGGUGGAAGCUGUGGCCAAGAAACUUGCGGUUGACUAGCCGAAGCAACAGAAGCUGUAGGAUGAUUACCCACAUAUUCUAGUAUGUAAGGUGAAUGACACGAAGCAGUGUGCAAGACCUGCUUCGGCUGAUUUUUCUGGGCUUCGGCUUGUGCAAUUUCUUUUUGCUUUUGGAUGGUGAUUUGACACGUCCUUGUAUUGUGGCCCUUGUCUUCACCACAAAAUAGGCAGUAGAUAUUCCUGGGCUGGUCCCCAUAUCUUCCUCCGAAGCCCCUGGCGCCUCUACCUCUUGGAGCUGGCGGCCGGAAAGAGCUUUGUUGCUGCCCCGAAGCUUGCGAAGAAUACUGCGGUCUCUGUUGUUGACUUCUUUUGGCAUCACUCUGGGUUGAGUUGUGAAUUGACCUGACGUGCCUCGGAUGGAUUCUUCCUUCGAAGCCCCUGGUCAUUUCAGAGAACCUGUAUGUUUCCUCCCUUCUUUGGCGGAAGUCAUUAUCAGCCCGGAUGUAUUCAUCCAUCUUCUGAAGCAGCUUCUCCAGAGUCUGUGGGGGCUUUCUAGCAAAAUACUAAGCAGUUGGUCCUGGACGAAGCCCCUUAAUCAUGGCUUCCCGACAAUUUCAUUAGGCACUGUAGGCGCUUGUGCUCUGAGAUGCAAGAACCUUCGGACAUAUGCCUGGAGGUAUUCCUCAUGAUCUUGCGUGCACUGAAACAAGGCCUGAGCUAUGACUGGCUUCGUCUGAAAGCCUUGGAAACUUGUCACCAGCAUAUCCUUGAGCUUCUGCCACGAAGUAAUGGUCCCUGGCCAAAGAGAAGAAUACCAUGUUUGGGCCACAUUCCGAACUGCCAUGACGAAGGACUUAGCCAUGACAGCUGCAUUGCCUCCAUAUGAAGAUAUAGUUGCUUCAUAACUCAUCAAAAACUGCUUUGGGUCUGAAUGCCCAUCAUACAUGGGAAGCUGAGGUGGCUUCUAUGAUGGGGGCCAUGGGAUAUCCUGCAGUUCUGCUGCCAAGGGAGAAGCAUCAUCAAAAGUAAAGGUAUCAUGAUUAAAAUCAUCAUACCACCUAUCGUUGUUGUACAAGCCUUCUUGAUAAAGCUCCCUGUGUUGGAGCCUUCAAUCUUGUUCGUCUUGAACAAGAUGUCGUACUUCUUCAGUGGCUUCGUCGAUUUGCCUUUGAAGAUCAGCUAGUCGAGCCGUCUUCUCCUUCUUCCUUUGCACUUGCUGAUGGAUUAUCUCCAUGUUUCUAAUUUCUUGGUCCAACUCCUCCUCCUGGAGUGUUGGACUAGUGGCCUUCCUCUUCUGGCUUCGGGCCUCUCGAAGAGAAAGGGUCUCCUGGUUCGGGUCCAGUGGCUGCAGCGCGGCAACCCCUGACGCCGAAGCUUUCUUCGGUGGCAUGACGAAUGUCAGUGCUUGCCGAAGGUGGUCGAAAAAAGGGUUCACCGGAGGUGGGCGCCAAUGUUGGGGACUUGUUCUCAAGUGCUAUGAGUUAAGAACAAGGCAACACAAAAGUAUUAAAUGUUAAUGCCCUUCGUCCUUCGAAACAUUAUUUCCCUUAGGAUAUAAUGAUCUUCAGACGAAGGUCGUGAAGGACAUACCUUCAUCAUUGUAGUAUAUGUUAAUAAAAGGAGAAUCAUAUGAAAUGUAAGAGAUAACAUGAACAAUUAUAUAGCAUUAUCAACUCAUUCCCAUUUUAUUAUCAUGGAAAAAUAGGAAUGAUAUCAAAUUACAAAUGAACCUUCGACUUGACAGAAGGUAAAAGUACAAGCGUGACGCACGAGCAAGUACAAGUCAGCGCGAACAGUACGGGGGUACUGUUCAUCUAUUUAUAGGCACAAGACUCAGCCUAUGAGAGAUUACAAUUAUGCCCUUUACAUUUGCUAUUGAAUUAUAGAAAAUCUAUGAGGACUGAACAACCUUUUCCCUUUUAAGUCGGUUCCCUUUUCUGCGAUUUAGCCGAAGCUCCCUUUCGCACAGCUUCGGAGCGACGGCAACCUUCGUCACGAUCAAGCUCCUCAUCGUGUCUGCUUUUACCAUGAAUCCGAAGAUACCUGUCCAUAAAUCAUACUUGGGAAACAUUGUUAAAUUACGUUUUUGAGGACCUUCGAAGCACGAAGGCCCCCAACACCUUCCUCUUGCGAAGUCCCACAUGGAUUCCUUCCUUGAUUGGUCUUCUGGUGCUUCAUCAACAAAACUUGGGUGACCACUUCUCAUCCAGAAACUUAUAUGCUUCAAUGAUCUGGUCCUCCACAAGCUUGCUACAGGCCUUCUUCUUUUUCUCCAUAGUAGGAACCUUGUUGGAACACUACCCCACUUAAAAAGAAUGAGGGUAGAACUCUUGAAUCUUAGGGAUUUGAACUCCUUGAAGUACCUCAUAACAAGGGUGUUACAGGGCCUUCUUCUGCUGUUGCUGCUUGAGCAGGCUGCGGAGAGAUGACUGACACAGGGUUGAUUCUGGGAGAACCUUCUUCUUAUCUUCUCUUCACUAUCUUCUUUUCACUGACCCUUUCUUUCUCUUUGCUCUUCCCACUGGAGGAUUCUAUCAAAGAGUAUUACCAUCAUACAGAGGUGGAAACCAAGGACUAUGAACCAUGUCUUCAACCCAAGAAUCACCAAGCAUUGUGAUCUUAGGGGCGAGGGAGUGGAAAAUGGAGUUGCUUGCGAUUUGGUAGAGGGGAUUUUAUCGGGAGUGUUUUGCUUUGAGAUGGGAACUGAGGGAGCUGGUGGGGGGAUUUAUAGGCGAGCGGCAUGCGAGGUGGUGCUCGGGUGUGGAGUGGUGAUGAUGGAGCAGGUGACACAAGGCAACAAGUGCGAUGGAGGGGGGAUGGUGCUGCUGGCGGUAAUGGUGGUGGGUGCGCUGCAAAAGGGAGGCAUGGGGUGGCGGUAGUGUGCUGCAAAGGGGGUGUGGGGCGGUGGUAGUGCGCAUGGAGGCGGGGCACGCGUGCGAGGGGCACGGGUGAGUGGUGGGGUCAAUGACCCUGACGUUUGUGGUCUCUGGUUCCAAGAAUCCUUGCUUCUAUGUAUGGUAAUAACUCCUUUUGUUAUCUUUUCCUCUUUACUUUGACUCAGGGGUAGUGCUUUGAUUCUCACGGUCGGUCCUUUUGACUGAGCGGCUAGACUGGUUUCUUCUGUAGCUUAUUCCAGGCUUCAAGGGUAAGCUUCCCGGUAUCUUCUUGGGUAAGGCACUUUUCUCUUGAGAUGGGUUAAGAUGAGAAUGGAAGCAUAAGGUGAGGAUUAGCUCUAAUUUGUGAUGUAUGUUUUUAGACAAAACCUUUCUUAAGAAGAAAGAAAACACACAAGCUCAACAAUGAUAAGCACAAACAAAUCAAAUGUUUUGAAUAAGGGAAGAAUAGAGUUUUCCAAAUCACGAACUACUCGGAUUCGGGGGCUAAGCAUAACUACUAUUGCUUGGCUCCUGAAUUGAGAACUAUGCUAAAUGCAACUUAUGAGCACUAACGUUAAUGCACUCAAAAGGGGAGAAAACAUCAAGCGAAAUUCAUUUUGAAAUGCCCUAGGGGGCCACACAAAUAGAGUUUUUCAAAACACGAGGCUACACGGUUACCUCUCAUACAUGCAGGGCUCUAGCCAAAGUGAAGAAAAACUUCACUACCCAAUGCAUGCAGAGGACUGGGCAUAACUAACUCAGAUCUGGCAGCUUCUCUUCUGGCAAGGCUGGCUCACAACUUCAAUCUAAGACAUCUCAUGGAUGGGUUAAGAGGGAGCUGAUGUUGAUGACUUCUCCUGGCGGCGACUGAGGUGGCAAGACGGGGUCAAACUCUUCUUCAAGCUGGACUGGCUCUUGUAGCUCCUCAGAGGGCGGUGGUGCUGGCGGGGUGCUUGCAGCUUCUUCUUUCAUCUCAUGGGACGGUGCUGGAAUUUUCUUCAUGGUGAGGGGCUCAAACAACUCUGGCGGGGGAUCUUGGGAGGGCUCUGGGUGCUCUUGCUUAUUCAUAGCCCGAGGGAAGACUGGCAUUCCUUCCAAGACUAUGGCUCCUUCCAGGAGUUCCCAAGCCUUCUUCUUUCCUCUGAUAGAGACCGGGUGACCUUCAAGAAUCUGGGGGUCUUCAGCUCUACUGGGUUGAACUGGGUUGGAUGAAGCGGGCUCUUGGAUCCGCAGGGCUCUACGUUGGUUAUGGGUUACCAAGUAGGCCUCCAUCAACUUUUGGACGUGCUCAUCCUUGGCUUUCUUUAGGGCUUCAACAACAAUGACUUCACGACUUUCCAAGGCAGCUACACGGGAUGGAGCUGUGGUGAGAUCCACAUGGAGCUGACGGUUGCGCUUCUCUCCAUCUUCUGCUCGGGCAAUCAUCUGACGGUGGUGCCGAGCCAAGAAAUCAUACUGGGCAUCCAGGGUGAGCAGAUAUGCAGUGAGGUACACGACUGUGGGGUCGUCCUCAAGCAGCUGCUGCCCUUCCAAUGCACGUAUCCUAGCCAUCCAAACGGGACGGUUUCUCUUAAAGGGCGAAAAGAAUCUGAGCGGGGUGUCGGCCACUUCUUCUUCAUAAAUUUGACACAGGGCCCUCAAUGCCUUGCGAGCGACGACUUGACAGGUGUCUUUGAAUCUGUGCCCAGCAGCAGUGACACUCCAUUCCACAUGGUGCAGACUGGAUCCAAUGUAUACAGUCACGACACACGUCUCUGUGCCAUGCUUAACGAAUUCACGACCAUCAUACUCUGGCUGGCUCCUGAUUCCGAGACGGACUGUGCAUGCUCUCAACAACUUGGGGAAACCAUCUUCAUUCUGGCAAAAGCUGGUUUGGCAGCGGACCUCCAUCUGACUUUUGAGAGAAGGAAAGGGGGAAAGCAUUUUUGAAAUGAAGGGAUGAGAGCAAGAAUUUUUUUAAGAAAAUAGUUUUGACUCAAAAACUUUUGGAUCAGGCUAAGGGUUACGUACUGUGGCCAACCUAACAGCUCUGAUACCACUUGAAGCACCUCGGUCCUUUUGGGACUAAAAUGUGAUACAAUUACUAGUCCCAGGAGGCUAGUAAACACAUUUAUACAUCAGAUAGUUCCAGAUCUUCUUAAACGAGACAAACCUACAAAGGUGGCGAUCAACUUUAAGAGUUGGUCCACAACUCGGUACAUAUCAUCAGAGUGGGGCUGAAGCAGCCCGAUAUACGCAGCGAAACAAAUCAGCGGUUCAACAGCCACAGGCAAGGUUGGGAACAGGCGUAACUCUUACCCGAUCUCCUUUUCUGAAAAACAGCAAAUAAGCAAGGGUGAGUACAAACGUACUCAGCAGCCCACCUUCACCCGCGGAAUGGGGAAAUCAGAUAUAAUACAUGGAAUAUGUGGAGCUCAGGAUAUUUUGCAGAAACAACAAUAUUUUAUGCAGGGUUGUUUUGUAAAACAUUUUGCAUUUUUCAAAGCGCAUCCUCUCCCAAAGGAGCAGGAAGUUUUUCAAUAUAGAAUAAAAUCCCCUAGACUAAACCAUCCAGGUAUCUCAGCAGUUUCCCACUGGUUUUCAUUUUGAAACAGCUACUGGACUUCCCGUCCACCAUAGCUCACGGCUCAACCGCCGGACCUUUUAAAAACCACUUUUCUCAAACACACCCUUUUUUUAAAACAAAACACUAAUUGCCAUACAACACCAGACUCGUCCAUUCCUGUGGACACAGACUAUUCGAAUAGGUUUGAACUCUGCGCAGAGGGGUACACUUUACCCACUAGUCUGGUUUCUACGAUCUCAUCGUCGUGAGAUCCGAAUGCCGAAUCUCUUUCUUUCCUCACACGUCCUUACCUUAACGGUUAUACCGGAAGGAGUCAGGCCACCGCCAUGUCCAAACUGGACAAAACUUUCCCCCUCCUUAUCCUCCCGGUGCUCCCGAGCCUUCAAAACCCUGGGGUUUGGACCGUACGAGUUCAGAUUGAGUGACUGCCCAUACAGUCUUGAGUUGUUGUACUUAUCAUGAGUACAGGUAGUGAAGGAUGACAAACCGUUCCUUAUGUGAGGGGACAAUCCUUCUGCUCACACCUAAACCAGCUGAGCCAUCACCUUAGGCCCUCCCCUAAACCAGGGAGUCCCUGAUCAUCCCUACUCAAAGGUGAUAAGGGUGAAAACCCUUCAUCAUACACAUUUUGAAAAGCAUUUUCUUUUGAAAACUCACACCUUUUCUCAAAUCAUUUGUAACAAAUAUAUCAAGAUUGAUUGGGGCAAGCGGCUGGGUGGCCAUAAUAACUUGUCUCAAAAUCAUAUCAUGCAUAAAAUAACAGGCUGAGGGUUGUGGUUGAAAAAUCAUAGGUAAUUUAUGCAUCAAAGGGAUCCAAUGAGCUUGUCGUGCUUAUUCGGCGAAGGGGGAAGGGGAGCUCGCGGAACUGGCUUGUAGCUCCACUGCCUGGCGUAGACUUGUAGAUCUGGCAUCCACGAGACGGUACGAACGCUCCGAUAACUAUGCAUCAUGAACAAGCAAACAUACAAACCGGCAAGUAUAUCAACAAAUAUUUAGUAUAGUGGUCAGAAUAGCGAUAUAUUGAUGGGUAGAGUCUUGAGUAGAAUCUGUGUCAUGUGGUGUUGAGAUACUACUAGUGGUGGAGCGGAGGUGCUUACCAGGAGGGUGGACUGGAGGCGAAGUGACACUAUGCGUGUAGCCGGCAGAGCGGAGUAACUGAGUGGGUGGGGUGUUUGCCUUGGCUGAGGGUGUUGAGUGUGUGUGUGGAGAGGGAGAGGGUAGCUGGGUGUAUUUAUAGCUGGGUGUAUGUGGUGUAGCACAGUGAAGUUCACUUUGGUGAGAAUAGUGACGAAUGAAUCGUCUGACUUAGUAUGAACAGGAGAGUUAUAGGCAGAAUAUGGGACAAGAGUAUUUUGGGAGUUUUCUGGAACAGGAACCAUGCUUAAGGGAUGACAUGGUUGGAUAGGGAAUAGUUUGAUAAGAAUUUAGAAACAAGAAUUAUUGGAAUCAGAGUUUGGAAGCCUGGUUCGAAUGAAUAUCAAAGUUAAGCAUGCUCAACUUGGAGAAACCUGGGAUGGGUGACCAGAUGGGAAGUUCCCUACUGGAAGGAAAAUCACAGUCACCGGAGUUCGUAUGACUGGAAUAUGGGUCUGGCUGGUCUUAGGUGGACUGGACAACAUGACGGAUGAGUAGUUGAAAUUGGGGGUGAUCGGAUGAUCGAUGAAUAGUAACGGUAAAUAGUGACGACAAAAAGUUAUUAUAGGUAUCAUCGAUGAAUAGUGACGAUGAUGAAUAGUAACAGUGAAUAGUAAUGAUGAAUAGUAAUGGUUAAUAGUGAUGGUGAAUAGUUCGUAUGAACGAACGAUGAGCGAUGAAUAUUGACGAUGAACGAACGAUGAAUAGGAACUAUGAACGAACGAACGAUUGAAUGAUCGGACGAACGAACGAUCGGAAUUUCGGCAGCAUAACAGCAGGACAAAGAUUAUCUGGAUGAACGAUGAAUAGGGAAUAUGAACGAACGAUGAACGAUGAAUAGGAACUAUGAACGAACGAUGAACGAUCGGAAUUUCGGUAGCAUAACAGCAGGAAAAAGAUUAUUUGGACGAACGAACGGAUGAACGAUUGAACGAUCGGACGAACGAACCAUGAACGAUCGGACGAACGAUCGAACGAUCGGACGAACGAACAAACAAACUAAGAACAGGGGGACGAAUGAUCGAAGAACGACUGAACGAUCCUUGUGCUAGUGUGUGCUUGUGUGGAGCAUGGAGUGGGUGUGUGUGGGGGGGGAGAGUUGCCAUGAAAUGGCUUGGGGUGGGAUGAGAGAAGGCCCUUGCCCCUCUAUUUAUAGCCAUGGUGGGGGGAUUAGGGGGAGGGAUGAGAGGAUUAGUGGGAGGAUGAGAGGAUUAGUGGGAGAUUAGCAUGGAUUUGUCUUGUAUAAGUGAGAUUAGCUUGUAGAGCUCAACGUAUGACAUCGGGGGCAUACGUAUACGUAUGAGCAUUAAGAAAGUUAUGAAGAAAAUAUUUGUAGGGACUUGAAAAAUGAUUCUAAAGGUAUUUCUCAGGAAUAAAAUACUUGGAGAUAUAUCGGUGGAAUAUCUGGGCAGUAUUUCUGGAAAGAAUUUGAGGGGGGUCACUUGGGAAAUAUCUGGGUAGUAUUUCUGGAAAGAAUUUGAGGGGGGUCACUGGGGAAAUAUUUGUAGGAUAUUUUGAGGAGGAUUUUGGAGAGAAUAUAGACCACUAAUUUAUUUGCUGAUAUCAACUCGCAAACAAACAUUUUGAAACGAAAUUUGAAAUUCAUUUUGAAUUUAGAGCGAGUUUGAGAAAAUUUCAAGAUUUGAAUUUUUGAGAUGCUACAGACAUUACUUUGCCUCCACGUAUUCUUUCCUAAAUAGCAUGUAGCCCUUCGGACAAGCUUGUAUCUGCUCAUACGUCAUCUUGAGUGCACGAAGGAGUUUCUGUGCCUCGUACAUGCUCUUUGGCAGAACGUGAUCCUCCAGAAGCAGGCUACCAAUAACCGUCAACAAGCCAUCGAAUGCGUCUCGACUCAUGUUGUACUGCGACUUGAACGCCAUUACAUGCCCAAUGGCAUCUAGUUGAGAAACCUUAGUCUGGCAGUAAUGGGGCUUCUGUGCCGUGUCAAACAUGUCAUGGAACGCCUUUGCAGUCGGCUUUGGCUCGUCAUCCAUACAUCCUUCGGCGUACUGUGCCUCGUGAUAGUCGUUCAACAUAUCCGCUAACCCCGCAUCAAUAUCAUAAUGCUCAACGUGUUGUCUCAGCACCUGCUCUCUCGUACGAUGCACUUCACCAUGAAAGAUCCACUGAGUAUAGCCCGACAUAAAUCCAUUCUUCCAAAUAUGUUCUACCAUGGACUUCUUUGAUUUUUUUCCGGUUGGCACAUUUGCUGCACGGGUAUGGGACUAGACUCGCUCCUUUAGCAGCUUCGCCAUAUGCUCGUUCCACGAAAUCAUCGGUCUUUCUAAUCUAUUCAGGGUGACAUCAUUCCUUCCUACACGGCCCGUGUACAUCCACUCACGGUCCUCCAUCCUCUAACAUACAUAAAGAAGCCUGCCAACAAAAAAAUUUGGCAGCACCUCCCAUGCACGGGGAGGUUUUCAAAGCCUGCAAAUAUAAGUAACAACACGAUGGCCGACACACGCAGAUAUACAUCAACGACACGAUGGCCACCAAUCACGAAUAUAUAUUCAAUCCAUGAGAGAUAGCACAACAAGACUACAUAACUACAUGCAAACUACAUUUUUAUUAUAUAUACUACAUGGAAAUAUAUACUCAUUUAUAGUAUAUAUACUACAUUUGUAUAACUACAUGUACACCAACUACAUACCUCAAUGUUUCGAUAGCAUAUACACUACAUGGAUAUUAAAUUUUCAAUAGCAUGUAAUUUCGUAUAGAUCAACCAUAUGCAUAUACUAAAAAUGUAUACCUUAGCGGAGAUAGUGGGGGCGACGGGUUUGGCGGCCAGGCGGAGAUCGGGACGGUCCGGCAGCGGUUGCCGAGGCAAUGUGGUUGGCGGGGGAGAUAGCCGGGGAGGCGGGCACGGUGGCGGCGGGCGAGGGCGCAGGGAGGCAGCGACGGGCGAGGGAGGCGGGCACAAUGGCGACGAGGGAGAUGGCCGGGGAGGCUGGCGCGGCGGCGGUCGAGGGCGAGGUCGAGGGGAGGCGGCGAUGGCGGGUGAGGGAGGCGGGCGCGACGGUGGGUGAGUGAGGGAGAGUGAAAGGAGAAGGAGAAGGAGAUGGCCCACGGUCUAUUAAGUUUCUCUUCUUUGCCGAGUGCCCGCGAUCUAGCUCUCGGCAAAGAUUUUUUUUUUAAUUUAAAAAUAUACUUUGUCGAGUGCCCUGUACCCGGCACUCGGCAGAGACGUCUUUGCCGAGUGCCAACUGACAAGCACUCGACAAAGUCUGUCUUUAGGGUUUUUGAAAAUCCUUUGCCGAGUGCCCCCCGUCUGACACUCGGUAAAGAUUACUUUACAGAGUGCCAUCCUCUGGGCACCCGGCAAUGUAUAUUUUUAUUUUUUUAUUUUGCCAACCAAACUUUUUGUGGUACGUUCCUACACUAUGUAGACCUAUAUGUACCAUUUUGUGAUAAUUAUAAAAUGUUUUCUAUAACUAUUAGAUUUAGUUUGUUUAUUUGAAUUUCUUCGGAAAAUUCACAUUUGAACUGCAGGCCACUCGAAACUUGGAAAACCGUGCAUGAAAAAAUGAUAUGCAUGCUAUUUAGCACAAGUUACGACGGAUUUCAGGAACAGACAGAAAUCUUCGUGCACCAUGCUCACUAAACAUGACCGUGAACUUGCCAUCCAGCUGUUUAAAAAUUGUAUAAAACACAAACAAAGUCAGCAAAUCAUGAAACUUGUCCACAUGUCAUGAUAUCAUAUAUAAAGGAUGUGAUAAAAAUUUGAGAAUUUUUCGAGAAAGUUGUGAGACAGUAUGUGUAGAAACCUAAGAGAACUACAUUGAAACUCUAUGAUUUCAUGUGUAGGUCGCUUAGGUUUCUACACAUAGUGCCACACAACUUUUUCGAAACAUUCUCAAAUUUUUAUCACAGCCUCUAUAUAUGAUAUCAUGACAUGUGGAUAAGUUUCAUGAUUUUAUAACUUUGAUUGUUUUUAUACAAUUUUUAAACAGCUGGAUGACAAGUUCACGGCCAUGUUUAGUGAGAAUGGUGCACGAAGAUUCAUGUCUAUUCCUGAAAUCGGUCGUAACUUGUGCUAAAUAGCAUGCAUAUCAUUUUUGCAUGCACGGUUUUCUAAGUUUCGAGUGACUUGCAGUUCAAAUGUGAAUUUUCCGAAGAAAUUCAAAUAAACGAACUAAAUCUAAUAGUUAUAGAAAAAAAACUUUUAUAAUUGUCCCAAAAUGGUACAUGUAGGUCUACAUAGUGUACGAACAUACCACAAAAAGUUUGGUUGGCAAAAUAAAAAAAUAAAAAAAUACUUUGCCGAGUGCCCAGAGGAUGGCACUCGUUAAAGCUUGAUCUGCCGAGUGUCAAACGAGGGACACUCGGCAAUGAAGAUUCUUUGCCGAGUGCCAGAACUGGGCUCUAGGCAAAGAUAGCGGCCGUCAACUUUAGAUGGCGGCUGAUGGUCCUUUGCCGAGUGUUUUCCUGUGCCGAGAGUCCUGCUCUCAGUAAAAGUGGUCGUUACCGCGCGAGAGCAGGACUUUGCCGAGUGCCCGAUAAAAAACACUCGGCAAAGCGCCGAGCACUCGGCAAAGAGCUGGAUUCCGGUAGUGAUUCCAGCACUUAUGUGCACGAGUUUUAGGAGACUAGGACUCCGAUAUAAAUGUUGCCCAUGUGUUUAUAUAUUCAGGUGAAGGACGACAAUCACAUUUUGGGGGAGUAUUAGUGAUACAACGGCUUACUCCCUCCACUUCUUUUUUUGUGUUUUUAUGGUCAUUGACUCAACACAGCAAAAAUAAUGCACUACAUCGGCCUGUAUGAUUAUAUCAGCUGAGAAUUUCUUCGUUGGGUAUGUAUCUUACGAGGGGCUUAAAACUAUGUAAAUGUUUAUUUUGUUCAUAUUCAUUAUAUUCAAAUCACAUGGGCACCUUUCUAUUGACACCAAUUAUUUAGUAUCAAUUUUCAAGAUUAAUAUGCAACUAAAUGUGCCUAAAUUUCUAACAACGAGGAUCAUGUGACUCUUUCAACAGAUUAUUGCACAAGUUAAUUAACUAAAGUUAACAUUGGUGUUACUGCCAUAAAAUAUUUUUUCUAGUGCAAAACAGCCCAACAAAGCAGCACCUAUGUGGCUAAUGUUACACAUGUGUAAAGGUGAAUGGAUCACACCAUUCUCACCCAUGUAUUUGGAAAAUACCAUGAGGAAAAGAUCAUCUAUUUUUUGUAUUGUAUAGAGAUUGUAUUUCUUACAUAUAAAUUAUAACAAAAUAAAGUGGUCACUAAAUGUCAAAGCCAACUAGAUACCACAUCAUCUCUAGCUUAUCUUACUAAUAUUCUUUUGGCAAAAUCUAAACUCAAUCUACAUAAGCACAAGGUCUAACAUGUGUAUAAAUACCUCCUAGAUUAAUAGGUAAUCCAUCAACCAUAUUAUUGAGACCAACAAGCAACAUAGAAAGUGGAAUCCAGUAGCAACAACAGAGCAACAAUGGCGACCAAGAUAUUUUCCCUCCUUAUGCUCCUUGCUCUUUCUGCAUGUGUUGCUAACGCGACAAUUUUCCCUCAAUGCUCACAAGCUCCUAUAGCUUCCCUUCUUCCCCCAUACCUUCCAUCAAUGAUAGCUUCAGUAUGUGAAAACCCAGCUCUUCAGCCCUAUAGGCUCCAACAAGCAAUCGCAGCAAGCAACAUACCUUUAUCACCCUUGUUGUUUCAACAAUCGCCAGCCCUAUCUUUGGUGCAGUCAUUGGUACAAACCAUCAGGGCACAGCAGCUGCAGCAACUCGUGCUACCUGUGAUCAACCAAGUAGCUCUGGCAAACCUUUCUCCCUACUCUCAGCAACAACAAUUUCUUCCAUUCAACCAACUGUCUACACUGAACCCUGCUGCUUAUUUGCAGCAACAACUAUUACCAUUCAGCCAGCUAGCUACUGCCUACUCUCAGCAACAACAACUUCUUCCAUUUAACCAAUUGGCCGCACUGAACCCCGCUGCUUAUUUGCAGCAGCAAAUACUACUACCAUUUAGCCAGCUAGCUGCAGCAAACCGUGCUUCCUUCUUGACACAGCAACAGUUGCUGCCUUUCUACCAGCAGUUUGCGGCUAACCCCGCAACCCUCUUACAACUACAACAAUUGUUGCCCUUUGUCCAACUUGCUUUGACAGACCGAGCGGCCUCCUACCAACAACACAUCAUUGGUGGUGCCCUCUUUUAGAUUGCUUAUUAGUUGUAAUUCAAUAAUAAAGUUUUUUGGAUGAUGUAUGUGGCCAACCAGAAAUAAGAAGUUACAUUUCCAGAUUUUAAUGUGAUAUUGGUCUCCAAGGGUGUUCGAUAAUUACUUUUCCUAAGAUUGGGAGUAACAAGCUUUAAAUCAUCCUUAAAGUGUGAUAACCGAUUCAUGAUGAGGAUGGUAUAGUCUCCAAAAAGCGUACUUUGUUAGGUUGGACCCUAUAGCCAUACAGAAUGUGCACCUGUUAGGCAUGCCGAUCAAAACAUGUGACACAUACGUUUCGUGAACCUAUCGAUAUUUUAUGUAUUUUUAUAAUACUAUAUUUUAUACAAAUACUAAUACUUAUUAAUAGUAAAUUAUAAAAUAUAAUUAGCUUGAUAACUAAUCUUUAAAGAUUCCAUUGUAACUAGAUUGAGCUUACUAAAUUUAAAUUUUAUUAAUAGCCGAUGACAAUUAUACUUGCUUUCCAUGUCGGUUUGCUUAUAAAUUUGCUAGACCAAUGCCUCUUUGUUCUACAUGGUAGAUGAGGGCCACACUGGUACGCUACUCAAAAUAGAGACGUCAACAUCGGCAUAGUCUAAUUUCCAUUGUUCGUCUAAUAGCCAAUGAAAAUAGUCUGACCAAAACCAACAAAAAUAAACUAGUGGCCAUUGGCUAUCUAAGGCCGACAAAAAAUGACCAAUUUUUGUUGUCUUAUCUAAAAGCCCACGUAAAUUAUUUUGGCUCACAAAAGUUUCUUUUGCAUGUGGUGAGGUAUGUGCAAUACAAAUAGAGACCUUGUUUAACUUAAGGAGUUAGGCCAUAAAGGCAAAAUUUUGACAUGUAUUGUUAUGAAGCACCAUAACAACGGUGGCUACCAUCUCAAUGCAACAAACAUCUAAGCAACCUUUAAUUAAACUAUUACCUUGAAAAAACUAAGACUUAAAGAACAAAGUUCAAGUAAACAUUUGUGUUCAUAAAGGUGUUAGGGCUUAAAACUAUGUAACUGUUUAUUUUGUUUAUAUUCAUUAUAUUCAAAUCACAUGUGCACCUUUCUAUUGACACCAAUUAUUUAGUAUCAAUUUUCAAGAUUAAUAUGCAACUAAAUGUGCCUAAAUUUCUAACAACGGGGAUCAUGUGAAUCGUUCAACUGAUUAUUGCACAAGUUAACAUUGGUGAAUACUGCCAUAAAAUAUGUUUCUAGUGCAAAAUAACCCAACAAAGCAGCAUCUAUGUGGCUAAUGUUACACAUGUGUAAAGGUGAAUGGAUCACGCCAUUCUCACCCAUGUAUUUGGAUAAUACCAUGAGGAAAAGACCACCUAUUUAUUGUAUUGUAUAGAGAUUGUCUUUCUCACAUAUAAGUUAUAACACAACAAAGUGGUCACUAAAUGUCAAAGCCAACUCGAUACCACAUCAUCUCUAGCUUAUCUUACUAAUAUUAUUUUGGCAAAAUCCAAACUCAAUCUACAUGAGCACAAGGUCUAACAUGUGUAUAAAUACCUCCUAGAUUAGUAGGUAAUCCAUCAGCCAUACUAUUGAGACCAACAAGCAACAUAGAAUGUGGAAUCCAGUAGCAACAAUAGAGCAACUAUGGCGACCAAGACAUUUUCCCUCCUUAUGCUCUUUGCACUUUCUGCAUGUGUUUCUAACGCGACAAUUUUCCCUUAAUGCUCACAAGCUCCUAUAGCUUCCCUUCUUCCCACAUACCUUCCAUCAAUGAUAGCUUCAGUAUGUGAAAACCCAGCUCUUCAACCCUAUAGGCUCCAACAAGCAAUCGCAGCAAGCAACAUACCUUUAUCACCCUUGGUGUUUCAACAAUCACCAGCCCUAUCUUUGGUGCAGUCAUUGGCACAAACCAUCAGGGCACAACAGCUGCAGCAACUCGUGCUACCUGUGAUCAGCCAAGUAGCUCUGCAAGUCUUUCUCCCUACUCUCAGCAACAACAGUUUCUUCCAUUCAACCAACUGUCUGCACUGAACCCUGCUGCUUAUUUGCAGCAACAACAACUAUUACCAUUCAGCCAGCUAGCUACUGCCUACUCUCAGCAACAACAACUUCUUCCAUUUAACCAAUUGGCCGCACUGAACCCCGCUGCUUAUUUGCAGCAGCAAAUACUACUACCAUUUUGCCAGCUAGUUGCAGCAAGUCGUGCUUCCUUGACACAGCAACAGUUGCUACCGUUCUACCAGCAGUUUGCGGCUAACCCCACAACCCUCUUACAACUGCAACAGUUGCUGCCAUUUGUCCAACUUGCUUUGACAAACCCAGCAGCCUCCUACCAACAACACAUCAUUAGUGGUGCCCUCUUUUAGAUUGCUUAUUAGUUGUAAUUCAAUAAUGAAGUUUUUUGGCUGAUGUAUGUGUCGGUGUUAGCCAGAUCAUAACUCUCAUCAUCACUAUCAACCAUUUCAUAGUCAACACCAUUUGAAGGCGCAAGUUCGUCAUUAAUGUCAUUGCCUUCAAGGAUUACUAAGUCAUUCUCAUUUUGCACCUCAUCCUUGUGGCAGAACCUUCCAAGUUAUUGGGCCCACAUGCACCUGUCCUUGUCUCAAAGACCUCAAACUGCUAUGCAUGUGCACCAGAUAACUUAAUAGGAUCCGUCCGAUUGCCCUAAGGACAUCGGAUAAACCACUUACAACCAGAAUCGCGGGAUUAAGUAACACAAAUCACACACACCAAUAUUGUUGCAGCGGAAAUCUUUCUACCAAAUUUUACAGGUUAAAAUAAAUUUUACAUUAGUUUAUCGGAGUGAUUACAAAAGUAUAAGUUUGAAAUAUAUAUGCUAGCUCAAGGGAUCAUCCUCAAUAAGAAGUAUAGAAGGGUUACUUAGACUUAUAAGAAGGCCGAGCCCACCGGCACUUAACACCAUCAUCAGCAGCACAAAACUAAAACCUGAAAAACAACAGGGAAUAAAACCCUGAGUAUGGAAUUACUCAGCAAGUCUUACCCGACUAAAGAAAAGACUCUCAAGGGUAUGCUGGUUAUAAGGGAGUCAAGGAGAGGCUUUAGCAAGAAUCAACUUAGAUACUUUUGCAGAAAUAGCUUACUAAAGUGAAUCCUUACUUUCAAUGUUUUAACGCCAGAUUAAAUAUUAAUAGACUCUGUUUGCAUCUGGUCUAAUUUCACCAUCUCAUCAAUACAACAUCAUUUUUAUUCUUGAGGUUCACAUCCUGACUUAGGUUGUAGGGAAGUGACCAAGUCUUCAUAACCGCGAAGGUACGGCGAUCCGAAUAGAUUAUACUCAGCUGAGGAUCUCCAAUCACACGACAUAUGUAGCACUUAACCCUUGCAUAUGUCAACCCGCCACCGGGGUUCUUAAGACUAGAUCAGGUUCACGCAAACCGAGAGCACAGAUACACCACCGUCCAGCCUCUUGCCACGAAGGGUACACGCUACUCUCGCCACCGCUCCACGCCCAUUUCGUGUUAUCUUAUUCUGGCCUUAGUCUGCCCGAGGCAAGGCUUACCCAUGACGAGGCAUGUGACCAGUUAAAGGGUCCUCGAUCAGCACGCCUACAUACGCAUUCAAUCCUUAAUCAACCUGGGUAGAACAUCACCUGUUCCUAACCCAAGUCUCAAUUUAAGUAUUUCCAUCCUUAGGAUUGUUUCUGUUCCUUAGGAUGAAAAGAGCAUCACCGGGAACUUUGCAGUAAGAUCCCACCAUUGCUCCAAAUGAAAAUAUUCUUGGAGGUAGAAGCCAUCCUUUCUCGAGCUAGGCUAAGGACAACCUCUAUCCACAAGAUCUAAGCAGGGCUAAGCAUUUUUGUAAAUCAUAAUUUUGAUACUUCACCAGAAGUAUCUAUAAAGGUAUGGAUUUCAAGGAAGGCAAUGCAUCCAAGGGUUUCAAGCAACUCCUAUAAACCUAAUGCACAUUUCACUAGACUUAAAGUGUGCAAAAAUUAUGUAAAAACACAAGGAAGGGGCUGCAUGCACCGGGGCUUGCCUGGGUAACACUAGGUUAGUGUUGUUAGGCGACGACCACUUGACGAUCAUCCUUGUCCUAGCACUUGAUCAGGCAGGUUCGUUCAUCACCAUCACCAUGCGGAGUAGCCCGCGCUUGGGGUCGACUUGGGUCAUCUUCCGCAUCACGUGAUUAAUUAUCGUACCUGAAUGAAAUGCAUUAUGCAUAUGAAUGCAUAUAGACAGGAAUAUUUCAAACCUAAAUAGUACUACGCGAUAGCGAAUUAAACACCUAUCGGCGUGGCGUUGUAUAAUUUUAUACGGAAACACUAGUUACAGACGUACGACUAAGCGCAAUAAUUACGCUUCUCGAACCUAACACAAACAUCACGAACAACAAACUAUACACAUGAAAUACAAUUAGCCUAAUCAUAACUUAUCAGUUAAUUAAUUUAAUUCUGAACUAAUUCCUUGCCUUAUAAAUUAUACUACAUCUUUAUAAGUGAUUAAAUUAUUUCAUCAACACACAUGCCUACUAAAAUUCUACUCGAUACACUAAUUCCGUUAAUUGGCCGGAAUAGCGAAAUAACUCGCUAUAACUGAAUAAUUUAUCAGCUUACCGUUUCCACAGCUGACAUGAAUCCACGAGAUCGGUAGCGAUUUUCCGAUCCAAGCAAUUUGUCGAGCGCUUGGGGAAUAUCGCGCUGCUAGCUUUGUCUUCACCCGAUUCUUGGGAUUCCUUGAUGACGCACGGAAUGGCGACGAUCUUUGAUUGAAGUCUUCGACCGAGUACUUGAUAAGCGAUGCACAGGAACCUCGCUUAUUUUUGUCUAAAGUCCGGGAUUCGUGGUUCGACGAGAUCGAGCAGAGAAGAACGAGGUUCGCCGGGCUCGACGACGAUACAGGAGAGUGACAUAUAUGGAGCUGUAGGUCUGGCGAGCUGACGCAAGUGACAGAGACAGCUGCGUAUGGCAGCAGUGCGUCGACAGUCUAUGGAUUUGGGUGUUUUAUUAAAUAGGCGGGAUGCGAGGAGCCGAACAAUCACUUGAACAUGGUCGACGGCGAGGCCUGCCGGGAGAGAAUAUCGGCACACGACGCGGCACGACGAACUAGCAAGCUGAGCUACGGCGAGCGAUGUCGACAACAAGGCCGGGGCGACAUAGACUCGAGGCUGCUGCACGCACAGCGCGACGACGAACGACGAUACUUGGCAAGAUCGACGACGUGAUGGGAAUUCGGGCCAAGCGAGCCGAGAGGACACGCUGGCGAGCAGAAAAUAGGACACGAGCUGCGCUGAAUCCAAACACUGCGAGAUAGGUAGGACCGAGCGCGCAGGGAACACCGCGACUUGCGAUGGCGAGCAGAGCGCAGGGCGCUCCGGCCAGGCGAGCAGGAAACGGCUGGGAACAGGGAGGGGCUCGCAGAGAAGAAGGGAACGCGAUGCUGGGAGCAGGGGCCUCGGCUGGGAGGACCUCGACUGGCGGCCAUGGACGGAGGGAAACUCGACGCGGCCAAACUUGAGGAAUAGGAGGGAGGGGCAGAGCGCGUGCCGGAGCUGGAGAAGGAGACCGCAAUCCGUACGCCGGCGAGCAGGGGGAGGAAGAAACUCCGGCCAGGCGGGCGUCGCGAGCAGAGGGAGCUUGGGCGCCGAGCUAGGACCAAGCGCCGGCCAUGGCGACGAGCACCGAGCAGAGGGGCCAGGGCACUUAGCGCGCGGCAGACAGAGCAGAGCAGGGAGGAAGCUGGAGACGCGGCCGUGGGCGAAACCGAGCGGGGCAAGAAGGGGCGCCAUGGCUGGACGCGCCAGGGGAGCUUCACGAGCGAGAUCGGAGCAGGGAGAGAAGAAAAGCAAGCGCCGAGCAGAGAAUGAGCCGGACGCUGGGAGCCUGGGAUAAGAACGAUGCUGAAAAUAUCCAGGGAGUAAGCAGUAAGCACCGUGCAGGAAAUAUCACACCGCGCGUGCGGCAGCGAUAAGAACAAGAACCGCCAGCAAGAAAAAUCUAUGCGUAGAUGAAGAUUAGGGAGAGAGGAUGGCGGGGAUAGGGACGCCAGUAGAUUUUUUUUUUCUGAUUUUUCAAUUUUCUCUUUUUCUUUUAAUUAAGAAAAUUGCAGAUAUUUUAGAAUCGAGAUCUCUAGCGACCACAAAAGAGUCGACGGUAAUUGCGACAGUUGAUUCGAUUCAAAAAUCUGAUAAAUUUACCAGAGAAUCGAAGCUCAAUUAAAAUUCUCAGACGCGCUGUCACGGUUUUGAUUUAGCGAAUACUUGGAAUCAGAUGAAUUUGCACCCGUCAAUUAUAUCCAAAGUUUUGGAUCGGGCAAGAAAUGACAGACCGAAAUAAACUGAUUUCGGCACUGAUAAUUUGUUCGGCAUGAUCCGACCGAAAUUAGCCGAAACAAUAUCUGCAAACGUAUACGCGAUUUCGUCGCCCAAAACAGCGUGCGGACCGAUAAAUUGGAUCAUAACCUCGCGCACGAUUUCGCGCGAGUUGAAUUAUUUUACCCCGAACAUUUUAGUCGUCGAAAUCAAAUGAAUUUGUCCGGGAUAAAAUCAUCCGAGUAGGUCGAGUUUCCGAAUUCGUAUUCGCGCGAGCGACGAAUUUUAAUUAAUCAUCGGGCGCACCGAUUUUUGGAACGACUAUGUUCCGAACAUCACGAAAAUUUCGGAAGAGCCCGGAUGGAUAAAAAUAAAAAUGAUGUCGCACUUGCGACCGAUGAAACAGAUGCGAUAUUGAAAUCGCGAUAGACGAAAAUGUUUAAAAUUCAGCAUUCAUUUUAUCCACUGAUAUUACGUGUUAAAGUCCGCACUCGAGGUCGAGCAGACGAUAAACACCUGGGGUGUUACAAUCCUCCUCCUCAUCAACAACCAUUUCAAUAUCUACGCCUAUUCCGAUAGCUUCGAUUAAGUCUAUCUCAAAUCACCCUUCUAGCCCAUCUUCUUAGAAGAACUCUCCAUCAUAUAUGUUUGGGUCUAAGUUAUAAUCUUCAUCGUUAGGAACAAGUAAUCUACCGUGCGGCGAUACCUUAUACACAACAUCCCAACCCUUAAGAUGUUCUUUCGUUUGGCACGCAUAUGGGAGAUAAUACACUUGUGUGGCAUGUUGGGCGAUGAUAUAGACAUCGUCUCCUAGUAAGUCAUGCAUGGAGUACUGGUACCAAACAUGCAUUUUUAAGUUUGUCUUCAUAGCUCAGUCAUACGUCCAUAUCCCUUCCUCCCAAGCACGUUCCAAUUCAUCGAUCAAAGGCUCCAUGUACACGCCCAUUUUAUUCCCUGGGUGUCCGGGAUUAUCAACGACACAAAUAUAUUCUGCCUUUGAAAGCACACACCGGGGGGAGAGAUUGAUUGGGAUAACAAACAUGGGCCAACAUGUGUACAGGGCAGCGCUCAUUCCAUAGGGAUUGAACCCAUCUGUGGCCAACACAACACAUACAUUACGAGCCUCUUCGGCUUUCUCACGGUGAAUGGCAUCAAAGUGUUUCCAUGCUUCACCAUCGGAUGUGUGCACCAUCUUAUCAGGAUUGUAUCGUUUUCCAUUCUUGUGCCAUGUCAUCUGUUUUGCGGAUUCCUCGGUCAUGUAUAAACAUUGGAUCCUCGGUAUGAAUGGAAGGUGUUAUAGGAUUGUCAAGGGGAUGUCGAGCUGCCUCUUCUGUCCAUAACCAGAGUCUACCUCCAUAAACCUAGACAAUUUACACUUCAGACAUUACUUUGCCUCCGCGUAUUCUUUCCUAAAUAGCAUGUAGCCCUUCGGACAAGCAUGUAUCUGCUCAUACGUCAUCUUGAGUGCAAGAAGGAGUUUCUGUGCCUCGUACAUGCUCUUUCGCAGAACGUGAUCCUCCGGAAGCAGGCUGCCAAUAAUCGUCAACAAGCCAUCGAAUGUGUCUCGACUCAUGUUGUACUGCGACUUGAACGCCAUUACACGCCCAAUGGCAUCUAGUUGAGAAACCUUAGUCUGGCCGUAAAGGGGCUUCUGUGCCCGGUCAAACAUGUCGUAGAACGCCUUUGCAGUCGGCUUUGGCUCGUGAUAGUCGUUCAACAUAUCCGCUAACCCCGCAUCAGUAUCAUAAUGCUCAACGUGUUGUCUCAGCACCUGCUCUCUCGUACGAUGCACUUCACCAUGAAAGAUCCACUUAGUAUAGCCCGACAUAAAUCCAUUCUUCCAAAUAUGUUCUACCAUAGACUUCUUUGAUUUUGUUUUCCGGUUGGCACAUUUGCUGCACGGGCAUGGGACUAGACUCACUCUUUUAGCAGCUUCGCCAUAUGCCCGUUCCUCGAAAUCAUCGGUCUUUCUAAUCCAUUCAGGGUGACAUCAUUCCUUCCUACACGGCCCGUGUACAUCCACUCACGGUCCUCCAUCCUCUAACAUAUAUAAAGAAGCCUGUCAACAAAAAAAAUUGGCAGCACCUCCCCUGCACGGGGAGGUUUUCAAAGCCUGUAAGUAACAACACGAUUGCUGACACACGCAGAUAUACAUCAAUGACACGACGGCCACCAAUCACGAAUAUAUAUUCAAUCCAUGAGAGAUAGCACAAUAAGACUACAUAACUACACACAAACUACAUUUUUAUUAUACAUACUACAUGGAAACUAUAAAUUGAUUUAUAGUAUAUAUACUACAUUUAUAUAACUACAUGUACACCAACUACAUACCUCAAUGUUUCGAUAGCAUAUACACUACAUGGAUAUUAAAUUUUCAAUAGCAUGUAAUUUCGUAUAGAUCAACCAUAUGCAUAUACUAAAAAUGUAUACCUUAGCAGAGAUGGCCGGGGCGACGGGUUUGGCGGCCAGGCGGAGAUCGGGACGGUCCGGCAGCGGUUGCCAAGGCGAUGUGGUUGGCGGGGGAGAUGGCCGGGGAGGCGGGCACGGCGGCGGCGGGCGAGGGCGCAGGGAGGCGGCGGUGGGCGAGGGAGGCAUGCGCAAUGGCGAUGAGGGAGAUGGCCGGGGGAGGCUGGCGCGGCGGCGGCGGUCGAGGGCGAGGGCGCGGGGAGGCGGCGACGGCGGGUGAGGGAGGCGGGCGCGGCGGUGGGUGAGUGAAAGAGAGUGAAAGGAGAAGGAGACGGAGAUGGACCGCGGUCUGUUAAGUUUCUCUUCUUUGCCGAGUGCCCGCGAUCUAGCUCUCGGCAAAGAUGUUUUUUAAUUAAAAAGGCAAAGACGUCUUUGCCGAGUGCCAACUAACAAGCACUCGACAAAGUCUGUCUUUAGGGUUUUUGAAAAUCCUUUGCCGAGUGCCCCCCAUCUGACACACGGUAAAGAUUACUUUACCGAGUGCCAUCCUCUGGGCACCCCGCAAAGUAUAUUUUUAUUUUUUUUAUUUUGCCAACCAAACUUUUUGUGGUACGUUUCUACACUAUGUAGACCUACAUGUACUAUUUUGGGACAAUUAUAAAAGUGUUUUCUAUAACUAUUAGAUUUAGUUCGUUUAUUUGAAUUUCUUCGAAAAAUUCACAUUUGAACUGCAGGCCACUCGAAACAUGGAAAAUCGUGCAUGCAAAAAUGAUAUACAUGCUAUUUAGCACAAGUUACGACCAAUUUUAGGAACAGACAGAAAUCUUCGUGCACCAUGCUCACUAAACAUGGCCAUGAACUUGCCAUCCAGCUGUUUAAAAAUUGUAUAAAACACAAACAAAGUCAAAAAAUCAUAAAACUUGUCCACAUGUCAUGAUAUCAUAUAUAGAAGCUGUGAUAAAAAAUUGAGAUUUUUUUGAGAAAGUUGUGAGGCAUUAUGUGUAGAAACCUAAGGGAACUACAUUGAAACUCUAUGAUUUCAUGUGUAGGUCGCUUAGGUUUCUACACAUAGUGCCACACAACUUUCUCGAAACAAUCUCAAAUUUUUAUCACAGCCUCUAUAUAUGAUAUCAUGACAUGUGGAUAAGUUUCAUGAUUUUAUAACUUUGAUUGUGUUUUAUACAAUUUUUAAACAGCCGGAUGACAAGUUCACGACCAUAUUUAGUGAGAAUGGUGCACGAAGAUUCAUGUCUAUUCCUGAAAUCGGUCGUAACUUGUGCUAAAUAGCAUGCAUAUCAUUUUUGCAUGUGCGGUUUUCCAAGUUUCGAGUGACUUGUAGUUCAAAUGUGAAUUUUCUGAAGAAAUUCAAAUAAACGAACUAAAUCUAAUAGUUAUAGAAAAAACUUUUAUAAUUGUCCCAAAAUGAUACAUGUAGGUCUACAUAGUGUAGGAACAUACCACAAAAAGUUUGGUUGACAAAAUAAAAAAAUAAAAAUAUACUUUGUCGAGUGCCCAGAGGAUGGCACUCGUUAAAGCUUGAUUUGCCGAGUGUCAAACGGGGGACACUCGACAAAGAAGAUUCUUUGCCGAGUGCCAGAACUCGGCUCUCGGCAAAGAUAGCGGACGUCAGCUUUAGAUGGCGACUGAUGGUCCUUUGCCGAGCGUUGCUGUUCGCCGAGUGUUUAGCACUCGGCAAAGAUGUCUUUGCCGAGUGUUUUCCUGUGCCGAGAGUCCUGCUCUAAGUAAAAGUGGUCGUUUCCGCGCGAGAGCAGGACUUUGCCGAGUGCCCGACAAAAAACACUCGGCAAAGAGCUGGAUUCCGGUAGUGAUUCCAGCACUUAUGUGCACGAGUUCUAGGAGACUAGGACUCCGAUAUAAAUGUUGCCCAUGUGUUUAUAUACUCAGGUGAAGGACGACAAUCACAUUUUAGGGGAGUAUUAGUGAUAUGACUGCUUACUCCCUCCACUUCUUUUUUUGUGUUUUUAUGGUGAUUGAGUCAACACAGCAAAAACAAUGCACUGCAUCGACCUGUAUGAUUAUAUCAGCUGACAAUUUCUUCGUUGGGUAUGUAUCUUACGAGGGGCUUAAAACUAGGUAAAUGUUUAUUUUGUUCAUAUUCAUUAUAUUCAAAUCACAUGGGCACCUUUCUAUUGACACCAAUUAUUUAGUAUCAAUUUUCAAGAUUAAUAUGCAACUAAAUGUGCCUAAAUUUCUAACAACGAGGAUCAUGUGACUCUUUCAACUGAUUAUUGCACAAGUUAAUUAACUAAAGUUAACAUUGGUGAUUACUGCCAUAAAAUAUUUUUUCUAGUGCAAAACAGCCCAACAAAGCAGCACCUAUGUGGCUAAUGUUACACAUGUGUAAAGGUGAAUGGAUCACACCAUUCUCACCCAUGUAUUUGGAAAAUACCAUGAGAAAAAGAUCAUCUAUUUUUUGUAUUCUAUAGAGAUUGUAUUUCUUACAUAUAAAUUAUAACAAAAUAAAGUGGUCACUAAAUGUCAAAGCCAACUAGAUACCACAUCAUCUCUAGCUUAUCUUACUAAUAUUCUUUUGGCAAAAAUCCAAACUCAAUCUACAUAAGCACAAGGUCUAACAUGUGUAUAAAUACCUCCUAGAUUAAUAGGUAAUCCAUCAACCAUAUUAUUGAGACCAACAAGCAACAUAGAAAGUGGAAUCCAGUAGCAACAAUAGAGCAACAAUGGCGACCAAGAUAUUUUCCCUCCUUAUGCUCCUUGCUCUUUCUACAUGUGUUGCUAACGCGACAAUUUUCCCUCAAUGCUCACAAGCUCCUAUAGCUUCCCUUCUUCCCCCAUACCUUCCAUCAAUUAUAGCUUCAAUAUGUGAAAACCCAGCUCUUCAACCAUAUAGGCUUCAACAAGCAAUCGCAGCAAGCAACAUACCUUUAUCGCCCUUGUUGUUUCAACAAUCGCCAGCCCUAUCUUUGGUGCAGUCAUUGGUACAAACCAUCAGGGCACAACAGCUGCAGCAACUCGUGCUACCUCUGAUCAACCAAGUAGCUCUGGCAAACCUUUCUCCCUACUCUCAGCAACAACAAUUUCUUCCAUUCAACCAACUGUCUACACUGAACCCUGCUGCUUAUUUGCAGCAACAACUAUUACCAUUUAGCCAGCUAGCUACUGCCUACUCUCAGCAACAACAACUUCUUCCAUUUAACCAAUUGGCCGCACUGAACCCCGCUGCUUAUUUGCAGCAGCAAAUACUACUACCAUUUAGCCAGCUAGCUGCAGCAAACCGUGCUUCCUUCUUGACACAGCAACAGUUGCUGCCUUUCUACCAGCAGUUUGCGGCUAACCCCGCAACCCUCUUACAACUACAACAAUUGUUGCCCUUUGUCCAACUUGCUUUGACAGACCCAGCGGCCUCCUACCAACAACACAUCAUUGGUGGUGCCCUCUUUUAGAUUGCUUAUUAGUUGUAAUUCAAUAAUAAAGUUUUUUGGAUGAUGUAUGUGGCCAACCAGAAAUAAGAAGUUACAUUUCCAGAUUCUAAUGUGAUAUUGGUCUCCAAGGGAGUUCGAUAAUUACUUUUCCUAAGAUUGGGAGUAACAAGCUUUAAAUCAUCCUUACAGUGUGAUAACCGAUUCAUGAUGAGGAUGGUAUAGUCUCCAAAAAGCGUACUUUGUUAGGUUGGACCCUAUAGCCAUACAGAAUGUGCACCUGUUAGGCAUGCCGAUCAAAACAUGUGACACAUACGUUUCGUGAACCUAUCGAUAUUUUAUGUAUUUUUAUAAUACUAUAUUUUAUACAAAUACUAAUACUUAUUAAUAGUAAAUUAUAAAAUAUAAUUAGCUUGAUAACUAAUCUUUAAAGAUUCCAUUGUAACUAGAUUGAGCUUACUAAAUUUAAAUUUUAUUAAUAGCCUAUGACAAUUAUACUUGCUUUCCAUGUCGGUUUGCUUGUAAAUUUGCUGGACCAAUGCCUCUUUGUUCUACAUGGUAGAUGAGGGCCACACUGGUACGCUACUCAAAAUAGAGACGUCAACAUCGGCAUAGUCUAAUUUCCAUUGUUCGUCUAAUAGCCAAUGAAAAUAGUCUGACCAAAACCAACAAAAAUAAACUAGUGGCCAUUGGCUAUCUAAGGCCGACAAAAAAUGACCAAUUUUUGUUGUCUUAUCUAAAAGCCCACGUAAAUUAUUUUGGCUCAUGAAAGUUUUUUUUUGCAUGUGGUGAGGUAUGUGCAAUACAAAUAGAGACCUUGUUUAACUUAAGGAGUUAGGCCAUAAAGGCAAAAUUUUGACAUGUAUUGUUAUGAAGCACCAUAACAACGGUGGCUACCAUCUCAAUGCAACAAACAUCUAAGCAACCUUUAAUUAAACUAUUACCUUGAAAAAACUAAGACUUAAAGAACAAAGUUCAAGUAAAGAUUUGUGUUCAUAAAGGUGUUAGGGCUUAAAACUAUGUAACUGUUUAUUUUGUUUAUAUUCAUUAUAUUCAAAUCACAUGUGCACCUUUCUAUUGACACCAAUUAUUUAGUAUCAAUUUGCAAGAUUAAUAUGCAACUAAAUGUGCCUAAAUUUCUAACAACGGGGAUCAUGUGACUCGUUCAACUGAUUAUUGCACAAGUUAACUAAACUAAAGUUAACGUUGGUGAAUACUGCCAUAAAAUAUUUUUUCUAGUGCAAAAUAACCCAACAAAGCAGCAUCUAUGUGGCUAAUGUUACACAUGUGUAAAGGUGAAUGGAUCACGUCAUUCUCACCCAUGUAUUUGGAUAAUACCAUGAGGAAAAGACCACAUAUUUAUUGUAUUGUAUAGAGAUUGUCUUUCUCACAUAUAAGUUAUAACACAACAAAGUGGUCACUAAAUGUCAAAGCCAACUUGAUACCACAUCAUCUCUAGCUUAUCUUACUAAUAUUAUUUUGGCAAAAUCCAAACUCAAUCUACAUGAGCACAAGGUCUAACAUGUGUAUAAAUACCUCCUAGAUUAGUAGGUAAUCCAUCAGCCAUAUUAUUGAGACCAACAAGCAACAUAGAAUGUGGAAUCCAGUAGCAGCAAUAGAGCAACAAUGGCGACCAAGACAUUUUCCCUCCUUAUGCUCUUUGCACUUUCUUGAUGUGUUGCUAACGCGACAAUUUUCCCUUAAUGCUCACAAGCUCCUAUAGCUUCCCUUCUUCCCACAUACCUUCCAUCAAUGAUAGCUUCAGUAUGUGAAAACCCAGCUCUUCAACCCUAUAGGCUCCAACAAGCAAUCGCAGCAAGCAACAUACCUUUAUCACCCUUGGUGUUUCAACAAUCGCCAGCCCUAUCUUUGGUGCAGUCAUUGGUACAAACCAUGAGGGCACAACAGCUGCAGCAACUCGUGCUACCUAUGUUUAGCCAAGUAGCUCUGCAAACCUUUCUCCCUACUCUCAGCAACAACAGUUUCUUCCAUUCAACUAACCGUCUACACUGAACCCUGCUGCUUAUUUGCAGCAACAACAACUAUUACCAUUCAGCCAGCUAGCUACUGCCUACUCUCAGCAACAACUUCUUCCAUUUAAUAAAUUGGCCGCAUUGGACCUCGCUGCUUAUUUGCAGCAGCAAAUACUACUACCAUUUAGCCAGCUAGUUGCGGCAAGCCGUGCUUCCUUGACACAACAACAAUUGCUACCGUUCUACUAGUAGUUUGCCGCUAACCCCACAACCCUCUUACAACUGCAACAGUUGCUGCCCUUUGUCCAACUUGCAUUGACAAACCCAGCAGCCUCCUACCAACAACACAUCAUUAGAGGUGCCCUCUUUUAGAUUGCUUAUUAGUUGUAAUUCAAUAAUGAAGUUUUUUGGCUCGUGGAAGUUUUUUUCCUGUGGUGAGGUAUGUGCAAUACAUAUGCAGACCUUGUUUAACUAAAGGAGUUAGGCCAUAAAGGCAAAAUUAUGACAUGUAUUGUUUUGAAGCACCAUUGAGAGCACCUAGAGGGGGGUGAAUAGGUGAUCCUGUAAAAUUCAACAACUAAUAGCCACAAAACUUGGUUAAGUGUUAGUAUGGCUAAGUAGCGAGCUCUUGCUAACACUAGUAUCACAAAAAACAAUCACAAAAGACACGCGAGUUUAUCCCGUGGUUCGGCCAAGUAUAACACUUGCCUACUCCACGUUGUGGCGUCCCAAUGGACGAGGGUUGCACUCAACCCCUUACAAGUGAUCCAAUGAUCAACUUGAAUACCACGAUAUUCUUUGCUUAUCUCUUUUCCCGUUCGCGAGGAAUCUCCACAAGUUGGAGUGUCUCGCCCUUACAAUAAAGAUCACGGUGAAAGCACAAGAGUAAGGGUGGGAAGCAACACACACAAAUCCGCAGCAAUACACACGCACACAAGCCAAGACUUGAGCUCAAAAUGAAGCACAACGAGUUCACUACAAGAACGGAACUCAAAUCACUAACACGGUUGAUCAAGUGCGCGGAGACGGAGUGUGGAAGACUUAGAAUGCUCAAAGUAUGCUUGGGUGACUCCUCCAUGCGCCUAGGGGUCCCUUUUAUAGCUCCAAGGCAGUUAGGAGCCGUUGGAAGCCAACAAGGAAGGCUAUCCUUGCCUUCUGUCGGGUGGCGCACCGGACAGUCCGGUGCACCACCGGACAUCCACUGUAGACGGUCCGGUGCGGAUCUGUUUCCUUUUCGGGCGCAGUUGACCAUUGCAACUCCAGGCUAGUUGGCGCACCGGACACUGUCUGGUGCCCCCAGCCGACCGUUGGCGCGGGCCACGCGUUGCUCGCAGAUUGCACGGUCGACUGUUGCGUUGGCGGCCGUUGGCUCACCGGGCAGUCCGGUGCACCACUGGACAGUCCGGUGCACCACGGGACAGUCCGGUGCACCACCGGACAGUCCGGUGAAUUAUAGUCGUACGUCGCCAAAGUUUCCCGAGAGUGGCCUGUUCGCCGGAGUCCAGCCUGGCGCACCGGACACUGUCCGGUGCACCACCGGAUAGUCCGGUGUGCCAGACCGAGCUGAGUCUUGGCUGUUCCAGCCAAGUCCUUUUCUUGCUCUCUUUUCUCUGAGUCUAGCACUUAGACAAAUAUAUUAGUACACACAAAAACCAAUGUACUAAGUCUAGAACCAUACCUUUGCCUUGAUUACCACUUCUCUCUUUGUUUAGCACAUGAGAGCUUAUUUAAAUGUGUUGGACACUUAAUCACCAAAACAUAAUAGAAAUUGCCCAAAGGCACAUUUCCCUUUCAAUCUCCCCCCUUUUUGGUGAUUUAUGCCAACACAUUCAAAAGCAAUACAAAACAUGCAACAUUGAUUCAAAUUGAAGACCAAAUUGUUUUUUACUCAAAUUUGGCAUAUUUGGAUCAUUCUUUGCCACCACUUGGUUUGUUUUUGCAAAUCAAAAUCAUUUUCCUCUCUCUAAGUCAAACACACAUGUUUAGGCACAAGGAGAGAUAUUCUAAUUGAAAAAUUGAUCGAGUGCCAAAAACUCCCCCUUUUUCUCAUAAUCAUUAAUUCUCCCCACAAGAGACCAAAUUUUGACAAUAAGAGUGUUUUGACAAAUCAAAAGUUCUAGCUCUACUAUUUUCAAAAUUCUCAAGUGGUAGCUGAUCCAUUUGCUUUGGCCUUAAUUUCUCCCCCUUUGGCAUUAAGCACCAAAACGGGAUCAUUUUUGGCCCUUUUAACCCCAUUGCCUCACCAAAAUUGUCAAUUAAGAGCAAAAAGGCAAUAAGAGCAUAGAUAUGAACUUGGAGUUAAUUACCCUCUCAUCGGAGUGCAAUGGAAGUCUUGCAUGGUCCAAGUUCACCUUUCCCUUUCAAUGCAUCUUUGAGACUAAAUCAAAUAAUCUUAAACACACGGUUAGUCUCAAAGGGUCAAGUUGUAGCACUUCUCCCCCUAUAUAUGUGCAUCAUUCACACAUGGACUUGUGAGGUCCGGGGAUCCCUUGCACAACUUGAACACCAUAAAUAAACAACAAGUCUCAUAAAUUGCAUAAAGUAACAUGAUCAAAGUCAUAACACACAUGCAUGCUACAGAUCAAUCCAAAUUACACAAUCUAAGACAUUUAGCUCACUACGCAGCCUGCAAAAGGUUUUCUCAUCUAAAGGCUUGGUAAAGAUAUCGGCUAGCUGGUUCUUGGUGCUAAUAUAGAACACUUCGAUAUCUCCCUUUUGCUGGUGGUCUCUCAAAAAGUGAUGCCGGAUGUCUAUGUGCUUAGUGCGGCUGUGUUCAACAGGAUUAUCCGCCAUGCGGAUUGCACUCUCAUUGUCACAUAGGAGUGGGACUUUGCUCAGAUUGUAGCCAAAGUCCCGGAGGGUUUGCCUCAUCCAAAGUAGUUGCGCACAACACUAUCCUGUGGCAACAUACUCGGCCUUAGCGGUGGAUAGGGCAACGGAGGUUUGUUUCUUAGAACUCCAAGACACCAGGGACCUUCCUAGGAAUUGGCACGUCCCUGAUGUGCUCUUCCUAUCAACCUUGCAUCCAGCAUAAUCGGAGUCUGAAUAUCCAAUCAAGUCAAAAGUAGACCCCUUUGGAUACCAGAUCCCAAAGCAAGGCGUAGCAACUAAAUAUCUAAGAAUUCGCUUAACGGCUACAAGGUGACACCCCUUGGAUCGGAUUGAAAUCUAGCACACAUGCAUACGCUAAGCAUAAUAUCCGGUCUACUAGCACAUAAAUAAAGCAAAAAACCUAUCAUAGACCGGUAUGCCUUUUGAUCAACGGACUUACCUCCUUUGUUGAGGUCAACAUGUCCAUCGGUGCCCAUUGAUGUCUUCGCGGGCUUGGCGUCCUUCAUCCCGAACCGCUUGAGCAAGUCUUGCGUGUACUUCAUUUGGGAGAUGAAGGUGCCGUCCUUGAGUUGCUUCACUUGGAACCCAAGGAAGUAGUUCAACUCGCCCAUCAUCAAAAUCUCAAAUUUCUGUGUCAUCACCCUGCCAAACUCCUCACAAGACUUUUGGUUAGUAGAACCAAAUAUUAUGUCAUCGACAUAAAUUUGGCACACAAAUAGGUCACCAUCACAAGUCUUAGUGAAAAGAGUUGGAUCGGCUUUCCCAACCUUGAAAGCAUUAGCAAUUAGGAAAUCUCUAAGGCAUUCAUACCAUGCUCUUGGGGCUUGCUUAAGUCCAUAGAGCGCCUUAGAGAGCUUACACACAUGGUCGGGGUACCGUUCAUCCUCAAAGCCAGGGGGUUGCUCCACGUACACCUCCUCCUUGAUUGGCCCGUUGAGGAAAGCGCUCUUUAUGAUCAUUUGAAACAACCUGAAAGAAUGGUGAGCGGCAUUGGCUAACAAAAUGCGAAUAGACUCUAGCCUAGCCACAGGAGCAAAAGUCUCCUCAAAAUCCAAACCUGCGACUUGGGCAUAACCUUUUGCCACAAGUCGAGCCUUGUUUCUUGUCACCACCCCGUGCUUGUCUUGCUUGUUGCAGAACACCCACUUGGUUCCCACAACAUUUUGCUUUGGACAUGGCACAAGGCUCCAAACUUCAUUUCGCUUGAAGUUGUUGAGCUCCUCCUGCAUGGCCAACAUCCAGUCCGGAUCUUGCAAGGCCUCUUCUACCCUAAAAGGCUCAAUAGAAGAGACAAACGAGUAAUGCUCACAAAAAUUAGCUAAUCGUGAGCGAGUAGUUACUCCCUUGCUUAUGUCACCCAGAAUCUAAUCGACGGGGUGAUUCCUUUGAAUUGUCUCUCGGACUUGAGUUGGAGGGGCCAGUGGUACUUCUUCCUCUAUCACUUGUUCUUCUUGUGCUCCCCCUUGAUCGCACGCCUCUUCUUGAUGAACCUGUUCAUCAUCUUGAGUUGGGGGGUGCACCAUCGUUGAGGAAGAAGGUUGAUCUUGCUCUUGUUGUUCAUGUGGUCGCACAUCUCCAAUCGCCAUGGUGCGUAUUGUGUCACACCUGGUUUUGAAGGUAAACCGAAUGCGAACCAUGUACGUGCCAGAAUCAGUAAUUCACGUACACAACGAUUACAUAAAUGACUCAUCAUAGCACAAUACUUCGAAUUACAAUAAAGAGUAAGUAAUAAUAUUACAGACUAGAGCCAUUUACAUAAUAUAAAUCAAAGUACAUAGAAUCAAAACGUAGCCAACGUAAACAACCCACCAUAGGCAGCUGACUAGGGGAGGUCGCUAGCCUAAUCCUUGAACUCAUUGAUGUCCUGGAACUCCUGGAGAUCCGCCUCGACACCUUCUUCUUUACCUGAGCAUAGAUUGCACCAAAGGCAACCUGGUGUUUUGUGAAAGCAAGGGUGAGUACACAUCAACGUACUCAGCAAAUGUCCCGUUUGGCUUAAGUGGACUAGCUUUAUGUGGGGUUAAGGUCAAGCAGUUGCUUUUAGUUGGUCAGGUAAUUAUUAAUAGUAGAGAGCCAUGUUUUAACAUUAACCCAAGUUGUUAACCCAAAAGUACUCUUUCCAAAUGGAAAGAAUACCACUUACCAUUACCAUAGUCAAAACCAUCAUCCUCGUCACCACAUGUAAACCAACCAUCUCUGAUCAAGUAUCUCUAAUCAAUGGAGCUCCAUUGGCCGCUCAUAACCGUGAGCACGGCUGAUAUAUCAGUUUCAUAACACCCUGCAGAGGUUGCGCACUUUACCCACAAGCCCUGAUUCCCUCUCUAGCCCGGGCUUGCAAGACCCUUAUUCACUCCCGAGGUUAAUGGCUAGGGAUUCACUACGAGGCCUGUACAAAGAUUCCCUGAGGCUGUAGCAGCCCGUUAGGUUUCCUAAAUGCACCGCACUCCUCCCCAAGGGGCGAACCAACCUUGGCAGAGCGAGCCGCAUACAUCGAGCCCCAUUAACGGCACGACGACGAAGCGAACUACACCCCAGUUCCUCUAAUUAUUCAGCUAAGGGCGUCCCAUUCUACCCUCAUGGUUGCACUGUUUUUCCCGGGCGGUCAUCCAAUGAACAGGUCCUUACGGAGAGGCACUCGAGAAACUGCUCGAGCCCCCUAAAGUAUCACCAGUCCAACAUCAUAAUCAUAGAGACAACAUUGUAUUAUAAGUGUUCACAUCAUGUUCAUUGAUUAAAGUAAAGCAAUAGCACGAGUCUAACCAUAGUAGCCCAAAAGGUAAUCAAGGACUAGAUAAAUAGAAAGCUAGUCAACCCUUAGGCUGGUCAAAGUAUGUGGGACAGUGAAUUAUAAAGUAAAUGGGACAUAAUGGGUUAGAGAACACUUGCCUUCACCAAACAGAUGCUCAGGGUCUUCAAUCUCGUAGAACUCGAAGAACCGGAUCACUUGGUCACCAUGCUUGAUCUUCAAUUCCUUGAGGCUCGGAAAUGGAUCGCAGUCUAUUCGCGACGCACGACGAAUACAAACAGGCACAGGCAAACAUAUACUUGUGUUAGAACAUUAUACCAUGCAAAGGAAAACAUGAUAAAAAUAUGUAAUACGGAAUAUAGCUUGCUUCUACGAUCAUGUGAGGAAAAAUGAAUGCAACAGUCGGAGCUACGGUCAAGAAGUUAUAACGUUUACGUUACGCAAGUAAUAGUCAGGACAUUUAUAAAAUAUAAAUUAACAUCACUGCUUAGUUUCGAUUAAUUUGAUAUUAUAAUAGUUAACAACUACACAUGUGAUUAAUCAAUAUGAAUGAUCAUAAGCCAAACAAUUUAAUAACGCGCGCGACAACGCGCAAAAGACGUGUGACGACGUGCGACACUGCGUGAAACAGCGCGCGGACGGCACGCGAGACAACGAGCGUGACAGCGCGCGAUACGCGCGAGCCAACACGACUACGCGCGUAAACAACACGAUGACACGCAAAAGAUGUCGUGUACGAACAACAACAAACAAAUAAUUAAUUAACAAUAUUUAGGCUGAUAUUAAUCAGGUUGAUUAACAUCUAUUUAUAAAAGCAUGAGUUAAAAACUAUAAAACAGUUUUAAUUAGAAGGUCACUUUAAUAAGUAUCGAAUGAAUAGCUAAUUAAAUAAUAUAGACUUAUGGCGUGAUGAAAUAUUAUUAUUAUUAGUAUGUUGACGAUAUUGUUAUGAAGUUAACGUAACACGAGUGGGUCGACACAGAUUUAAUAACGUGUGCGACCGCGCGGAACAGCGUAAACGACGAACAUGGAUGGCACAUGGAUCAGCACGUAACCACGUGCAAAACACGUGCGGGACACGAGAGGAUCACUAAUAAAUAUCGUGUUUAUUAUAAACGAGUGAUAAUUCAGAACCUGCGAGUUGACAUUAAUCACGCUACGCACACACCUAGAAAUUACUUAACCCCACAAAUAGACUCCAUCUAUUCUACCAGCUAGAACACAAACACCUAGCAUCCUUGCAUUUUACUCUAAUCUUACGUCACACAAAUGAAAAGUCACCUAAAUUACACUAUGCGUAUAUCUUAGACAAUUUAAUUUCUUUUGACACCUCCAUUUACCAAUCACAUGACAUACAAGAUUAACACCACAAAGACAAGGGAAAAGAUAGGGGAAAGUUAAUUUCCUAUUGCCGAGAUGGAGCACCACAUCGGCAACAUAAAUCUGGAGGUCGCCAUAUAACAUGCCUCCGCGCAACCAAACUAGACUCGAACCCCCAAUGUCGACGAUGAAUCCUGGUGAACUCAAUGUCGAUGAUGCCAGAGGGGCGGAGCUUGUUGUUGAGGCCGGGCUUGGCCAGCCUGCCGAACACCGUGUCACUGAGGUCGAAGUGGCACUUGGACACCGGGUAAUAGUUCAUGUCGGUGAUGAUCACCGUCUUUGUUGUCGUCGGGGCCGGCGUCGUUGGGCUGGCCAUACCAGGUGGCUCGGGCCCUCCUAGGGGCCUCAGCACACGGCGACGGCGGUGGGGGAUCCGCGCCUAGGGCUGCCGGGCGCGCAACGCAGUGCAAGUGCCCGCGACGGCCAUGGCUGAACUCGCCGAGGACGGGGAAGAGGAGAAUGGGGCGCAGCAAGGCCGACCACGACCGAGGUUGCGGCUGCUCGGCCGAGACUCGCGCGCGGGGAGAGGGGGGAGCUCGCCCGGCCAUGGGGUUGGGGUGGGGCUCACCCGCGUGAGGGAGCAGGGCGCUUGGCAUUCCUCACCAGGGCGCGCACGACAUGGCUGCUUGGGGCGCGACGAGGGCUGGGCAGGCGCGACGCGCUAGGCUGCGCGGCAGGGAGAGCGCGCAGGCGGCUGGGCGAGCGCCUUGCAGGUGGCGGCACUAGGGUUUGGGAUGCUGGGUUGUGUGCGCUGUGGCCGCUAGGGGAGGUCGCGGCUGGGCGGGAGAGACAGUUUUCCGGGAGGGAUGACGCGCGGGGCCCGCACGCAGGCGGCGGUGGCUGGGGCACGCCCGCGAGCUACGGUUUUGGGGUAGGGGCGCCAACGCUGGGUGGGCUGCGCGGCUGAGCGCGAGGGUGGGCCGGGGGGUGGCUGGGCCGCGGCCAGGGGAGCGGGCUAGUGCGCUGGUGGGCCGCGAAGAGCUGGUCGCGGAAGGCUGGGGAGCGUGGCGCGCGGGGUGGGCCGCGGAGUGGGCUAGGGAAGGAGGGGUUGAGGGAGGUUUCCCUUUAUAUUUCUUUCCCUUUCUUAUUUCUAUUCGAAUUUAACUAUAGUUUUUGAAUCAAAGAUUCAAAUAUAUUUAGUGAGUUUGAAUUGAUGCACAAACAUAACAAUUCAACAAAAAGAAAUGUCUCGGCAUGCUAUGCAGCAAUCAAGGACUCUUUUUUAUGGUUUCAUUUUACUAGGCUUAUAGAUAUAUAAAACAAAAUAACUUCUCCAUUUUUAGGAAAAAGAGAAGAAAAGCAAGGAACUGAGAGAGUAACACCUGAAUUUGGUGGAUUUUAGAAAAGAAAUUUUAUACCCCCAAAUUCAGGGUGUUACAAAUCUAACCCCCUUAACAGAAUCUCGCCCUCGAGAUUUAAGAAGAGGCUAGCAAGAAAAUGAGAUUGGUUCAUUGGUUGUUCACAGCUUUCUUGAGUUGACUUUGACUCUACAAACUUAACUUGUGGACUGGUUGCUUUGACCUUUAGAUGCUUGAGACCGAUCGAUGCAAUUCUUGAGGAUCCCUUGGACCUGUGGGUUAGGACCCACACAUGCUUCCGCUGCUUCACUUUGAUCUUGUUUGUUGAUGUUGAUCACAUUGUCUUCAUUGGGGUUAGCGGCUAACCCCCUUAAUAGGAGCGUUGAUAUGCACUUGGUGAAGAUGUUGCUGACUCUGAUCUUGACUGAUUUGGAGGAUUUGGAGGUUGCCAAAUGGACAGGUGCAAGAGGAAAGAAUAGCGAGAAAAGGUAAGUAUAGACGGAUUAGAGAGAGCAGGGGGAGAACCCAACUACUUAAAUCUAUGGCACUCACCUAGUAAACAGAUUCCUUUGCGGACCAAGGGCCACAACACACCAACACUCAUCACAAAGAAGCAAAUCAGUCAUAACACAAAGACAAAUAGCACAAGCAUACAACAACAAACAUCUCAUUGCUAUACGUAACUUUUAAUUAAAUGGUGGUCUUUCCUUACCAAGGGGAAACUAUUCUAAGGCCAUCAAAAGGCAAGGGGAAUAAUAAGACAUGUAGGAUAGGGGCAUGAGCAUAAUAAAGAAUGGAGCUAAAUCAAGGAUUGGAACCGACAGGGAGAGAAUGCAACCAAGGUCAGGAUAGGUAAAACACCAUUCUCAAAUUGAGAUGGGAAAGAUGAUAAGUCAAAAGGUAGGCAUAAGAUAAGCAUCAUGGAAAGAUCUAGACAUUACUAAGGUAAUGGAGAUGAAAGGCAAAAGCACACCAAAAGAUAGAGUUAGGACAAGACUUGCAACACGACAAAGGAAAAGGGAACGAACAAGAGUGGGAUAGGUAAGACAUAGCUCUUGAAAUGAAAUGGGAGAGGAGGCUUUAAAAUGCCGGUGCAAGAUAAGCAUCAUGGUAAAGAUCAAGGGAUGACAAGGGUUAAGGUGAUAACAGACAAACACCACCAAGGAUGUAUUUUAGACAAAACUCGUGAGGCAUCAAAGAAGGGGAAGCAAUCAAUGGUGAAGUAGGUGAGGCAUUAUCCUCAAACAGCGAUGAAAAAGAGGAGGCUUUAAAGGGUAGGUUCAAAGUAGGCAUGUGGCAAGGGCAUAGGUAUCACGAGGGUUUAAAGGGGAUAAUGGACAAGGAUGUAGGAGAGGAGGUAAAUGUGCAUAAGAACCAAGAAUAUAAAUACCACAAAGGAUGGAGUUAAGACAGGACCUGCAAAUGGAAAAGGAGAGGGUGCGUCCAAGGGCCAGAUAGAUAAAUUGCCACUCUCCAAUUGAGGUGGAAGAGAGGGGAUUUUUAAGAAGUAGGAAUAAAGAUGAGUAUCAAGGCAAAAUCGAUGGAUGACAAGGUGAUGGUGAUAGCAAAUAAAAACACAGCAAAGGAUGGAAUUAAGACAGAACUUGUAAGGCGACAAGGAGUGAAAAGGAAUCAAGGGAUAGAUAGGUAACUCACAGCUCCCAAACUGGGUUGAAAGAAAGGGGAGGCUUCUAAAGGAUAAUUCCAAGGCAAGUGUUUAGGUAGAAGAAAUCAAUAUCGUAAGGGUCAAAGGCGAUAACAGACAAGGGUAUGAGUGAAAAGAUGAAGGCAUUGAAGAGCCAGUGGUAUGAGUACAACAAAGAAUGGAGUUGCGCCCAGGCUUACCUGUGGUAAAGAAGAGGAUAUUUCCAAGGGUGGGGUAAGUAAAACAACGCUCCUAAACUAGGAUAGGAUAUAACCACGGGUGAUAUAAGUAAGAGACCACGCUUGAACUAAGGUGGGAGAUUGGAGGUUUUAGAUAACGAACAUAGCGUGAUCGCCAAGGUAAGAUUGAGAGAUGAGAAGGGUAAAGGCAAUAAGAAACAAAAGCAUAACAAAGGAUGAGGUUACAAACUCGCGAGCCAAAGAAGAGGAUAUGACCAAGAGAAAGAAGGUAUGAGACGGAAGAGGGGCGAUUUUAAAGGGCAGGUAUGAGAUGAACAUCAAUGCAAUAUAUAGAAGUGUCAAGGGUAAAGGUGAUAAUAACAAAGAGCAUAGGAAAGGAUGGAGCUAAGGCAAGACUCAUGAAAUGGCGAGAUGGAGAAAACAAUCACAGGUGAGGUGGGUAAGGUUCCAACAGAAUGGUUUAGUCAAAGAAAUUAUUACCGAGGGAAGUUAUAAGGAAUUAAUGAGAUCACCAAGGAUGUGCAAAAUAAAAUGACCGCUCAUGGAUCAUUAAGAAACAAGGGUGAUCAAGGGCAUGUUAACUGAAAUGUCUUAAACAGACAUUGGGGCAUGAAGAUAAGCAUACACGAAAAUAUAAGAGUAUGCAAGACUCAAAUGAUACGAGCGUACUAAGACCAAGGUAAUAGAAAUUGUCGAAAGAUAGCGUCUUAACAACAGAAUAAGAAAGGAUCUCAGAAGAUAAGAAGGUCAUAGACACAUAAACUGAACUGUUUAAAUAGGCAGCGGAGGUACAAGGGUAAGUGCUUUAGAUUAAGGGAUAAGGGUAUUAAAAAUGCAAGGAUACGAGCAUGUCAAUAACAAAAUGGAAUAAAGAUGGUCAAAUAGUAGCAAUUUAAUAAUGGACGAGGAAAGAGUCCCAAAAGACUAAAGGCUAUGGUCAGGGGGCAUUUACAAAGAUGUUGCAAGCACAAGAUGAGAUCAGAUCUAAUAGAUUGAGAGAAGUAUAGACCAUACUAGAAUAAAAUACUUUUUGGCAAGGGGGCAUAUAGGAGCACAACAUAGCAUUAGUCGAGGUGACUAAUAUUUUGGAGCAGAAUCAAGGAUGAGAUGAAGUAAUAAUCAAUAAGUCCUUAAAACGGCCAAUGCUACUCUAGGUCAGCGGUCCUACAGUCAGCACGGCUUUGAUAACAUUUAUGUCACACCCGGUUUUGAAGGUAAACCGAAUGCGAACCAUGUACGUUCCAAGAUCAGUAAUUCACGUACACAGCGAUUACAUAAAUGACUCAUCAUAGCACAAUGAUUCGAAUUACAAUAAAUAGUAAGUAAUAAUAUUACAGACUAGAGCCAUUUACAUAAUAUAAAUCAAAGUACACAGAAUCGAAACGUAGCCAACGUAAACAACCCACCACAAGCAGCUGACUGGGAGAGGUCGCUAGCCUAAUCCUUGAACUCGUUGAUGUCCUGGAACUCCUGGAGAUCCGCCUUGACACCUUCUUCUUUACCUGAGCAUAGAUUGCACCAAAGGCAACCUGGUGUUUUGUGAAAGCAAGGGUGAGUACACAUCAACGUACUCAGCAAAUGUCCCGUUUGGCUUAAGUGGACUAGCUUUAUGUGGGGUUAAGGUCAAGCAGUUGCUUUUUGUUGGUCAGGUAAUUAUUAAUAGUAGAGAGCCAUGUUUUAACAUUAACCCAAGUUGUUAACCCAAAAGUACUCUUUCCAAAUGGAAAGAAUACCACUUACCAUUACCAUAGUCAAAACCAUCAUCCUCGUCACCACAUGUAAACCAACCAUCUCUGAUCAAGUAUCUCUAAUCAAUGGAGCUCCCUUGGCCGCUCAUAACCGUGAGCACGGCUAAUAUAUCAGUUUCAUAACACUCUGCAGAGGUUGCACACUUUACCCACAAGCCGUGAUUCCCUCUCUAGCCCGGGCUUGCAAGACCCUUAUUCACUCCCGAGGUGAAUGGCCAGGGAUUCACUAUGAAGCCUUUGUGGCGGAACCGCCCGAAUUAUUCCAACUUAAGUGCCUAAGUCCCGCCUUAGAGGCUAGACCACACUUAAAUAGGAAUAACACGUCAGUCCCUCGGAUCUAGUCUGACGAGGCCACUAACAGGAUCAAGUACCACGUACUCACUCGAUGGUGAGGCACAGAGCAAAUACAAUAAAGCAUAAAACCAUACAUUAAGGAGUAUCAAAUUAUUACAUCAACAUCAGAGUUUUUGCAAAAGUGGAGAUCAUUGUUCGGAAUGCAGCGGAAUAAAACUAACGAUGAGUAAACAGAGAGAUGGGGAAGCCUGUCCCAUCACUCCUCAUGCUCCUCCUUGGUCGAGGUAGGGUCCCACUCGACUGUCCAACCCGGUGGCAAGAUGGACGGCCAAGUUACUCCAGCAACCAUGUCCUCCAGGGAACCUGUAAAAAUAUGCCACAAGCAAGACUGAGUAUACUAAUACUCAGCUAGACUUACCCGGUGUGAGGAGUCUACUCCUCUACCUCUAGACAUGCAGCUGUCUGGCUGAGGGGUUUGGUUGCCAAAAGCACUAGCUGGGUCUAAAAAUCAAGUUUUAGCUUUUUCAAGUUUUAGUGUGACUCUCUUAAGACUAAAUGUGUAUUAUCUACUCAUUCAUGGUAUCAAGCAAUUUAGCAAUCAACAUAUUAUGCCAAAAGAUCGCAUUUCCACUUGUUACUCAAUGCAGUACAAUGGAUCAAGCAGUCUCAUUAGCUGCGAGAAGCAGACGAUUCGAAUCGAGUUUUUAUCCUUGCAAGGUAAACCUAAACACACGACGUGGCGAGGCACUCCGUCCCCACACACAUCAACCGUCCCCAUCGAUUCCCUGGCAACAGAUCAGGGCUCACCGCCUUGGCGUACAAUGCCUUAGUGACCCCGACUGCCAUCGUGCAGUGACCGCACUUGUACCCACCAUAACCGGAAUGGGAGACCACGUCUCAGGUCGCGUGAGGGGUAAAGUCUGCGGGCAGGUUCACUCAGGUACUAGGCUUUCCGAUUUACCAUAUUUCUCGGUAUGUGUUUAGUACGUUCAAACGCUUGACACAGGUAUCCGCACGUUGAUCCUUAUUCCAAUUUCAUCUUGUAGACCACGCAUCCCCAUGGAUCCGUGUCCACAGACCAACAUCACUAAGAUAUGAAAGUGGGUACAACCAAUUUCCUGACCUCGCGCGAGUGCUAGAAAAAUCACUCGACUUUUACCGAGAUCCCAAAUUAGUAAAGCAGCUACUCGACCUAGCAUACUAGUAUCCAUCUCAAAGGAAAUCCUGAGGUAAUGCAACUAGGGUUUCAGGCAACUCCUACACUUAAGUGCACAAUACAAGCCUACAAUCAUUAAGUGUAGUAAAAUAAUAUAUAUAACUGGUUAUGCAUAAAACCGGGGCUUGCCUUCCAAAGCUGGGGCAUGCAGAUCCUCGAUGGCAGGCUCUGGUGCUGGAUCCGGGGCUACCUCCUCCUUGCUCCGGCACGAGGAUGUAUUCUCAGUCCGCGAGGUUACAAUCUAUCGAAUGCAAUGAAUAAUAUAUACGUAUGCUAUGAUAUAUAGAAUUUAGUAACAUUUAUGCCUAUUGAAGAAAAACUAAGUUGGUUAAUAACUUAGGGUUUUCCUUGUUAUAAGAGGCUCUUAGUGGUUUAUACUUAUCAAUUUAGGUUUGGGGUUUUGCCUAGAGAUAAGCAUAAUGGAUUAAGACUUGGAUUGCCCCUUAAAUGUUUUUAGUAGGCACUCAAGGGGUUUUGCUGGUUUGGUUAGGGUAACAUUAGUCUCCACUAUUAUUUCCCCUUUUCAUUUUCUAUUUAUGAUUUUAGGGUGGGUUUGAACUACAACAGUAAUUUAAAUUUUUCCAAAAAUUCUGUAAAAAUUACAGUGGUUUACUAUUGGUCACUAUAGUCUGUCCUAUAAAAUUGAGGUCCAGAAUAAUUAGAAUAUGCCCUGGACAAAAAUAACAAAAGUUGGGGCAAAAGGGUCACUUUGUACUACAACUCUUAUCUAGGCGUGGGUUCUGCACUAAGAGUCAUUUUUGCUGGUAUUUAUAAGUAAUAAAAAGCUUCUGUGCCAAAAAUCACAGAGGGCUACUUAGUGGUUUUUUAGUUAGGAUUUUCUAAAGUUUAAAGCUAAAAAGACACUUACAACUAACUUGCUAUUUGAAAAAUGUCAAACAACAGAACUCAUGAUUUUUCUAUGUUUAGAAUAACAAAACAUUAGUUAUCCCAAGGUUUGGGGGUGUUUCCUUCUCAGGGUUAUUUUUCUAGGGUUUUUCUAAGUUUUCCUUAUUUUCCUAAAAUAAAUGAUAUCUCAUGUCUUUUGUACUAAACAAGGGUCUAACAAAAUUUUCUAGUGAACUAUACUGAAUAAGGGAGCUAACAAAAAUGUGGGUGCUCCCUGGUUUUUAUUUUUAACUACCUAUCAUAUUUUCUUUAUCUUUAACCUAAAAAUGAUUUAAAUGGCAAACUCUACCUUAAUUUGGUGUACAGAGGGGUUUAUUAUUUUUAAACAGGUUAGGAAGUGAUUAAGUACUUCUCUGAAUUUUCUUAACCCCAGUCUAAUAGUGUAGCUAUUUUUCCCUAUUUCAUUUAGCUUUUGACCAGGUAAUCAUUUAAAUCAAAACUUUGAAGUCUUCUGCAACACUUAGGGGUUUUAUAUUUUUCCUGAGUAGUUUACAUUAUUUAGAAUCUAGCAAAAUUGGUUUGACUUGAUUUGGGUGAAUAAAACUGAAGUUAUGAAUUUUUUAAGUUUUGUUUGUAUUUAAAUCAGAAUUAUUAAAAAGGUUUUCUGGAAAACCAAUUUGCAUCGAAGACCCUGGGCUUUUCCUAAAACAAUCCCUUCAUUUAUACCCCUGCGCCACUAUUCCUUUGAGUCGCUGACACUUCAAAUAUCCCCCUAGCCUUUAUCUCUUCUCCCCCGAGGUCCCUCCCCUUAUUUAAAUAGUACCUGCGGGAGUAAACAGGGCGACGCGGCUUAUCGGCGGCGAGGGAGGUCCGGCGAAGGGCGGGGUUGGCUCCGGGAGGUUCUUGCGGUCACAGCGAGGUACGGCUCGACGGCUGUGGUGGCCGGAAUCGGCCGGUCCACGUGUGCAGGCGGGUGAACUCGUCGGCGACGAAUGCUCCGGCCUAACCACGGUGAUAUUGGUCAAUCUAAGGGCACGGGGAGCUUAACGGGAUGUCAAGCAAUCGACUCGUGUAAGGAAUCGGAGAAUGACUUACCGUGGCGCUCGGUCUACGCUUGCUAGCAGUCGGGUGAAGUCCGGCGACCGUGAACUGGCUUCUCCGACGAGGCAAAGUUUGAUUCCUCACUCGGGGAGCUUCACCGAGGCAUGCAGGGUCUACUCCGAGGGUUGGACGGGGUUGGGAGAGGCUCUACUGGCCGGUCUACGGUGGCGGGUAUUCGGGUGGCCGCGGGCACGCCGUGCGCGGGGCAACGCCGGUGAUCUAGUGCUCCAGUGAGGUCGAGAGCGUGCGGGGGAGUACGGUCGAAGUCUCUGGUGGCUUUAUAGGCACGGGCACGGGCAACGGCGCCGGCUCGGCUUGGCGCGACGCGGGGCACGCGGUGGCGGGCGUCGAGCGUGCUCAGUGCACGUCGAACACGUGGAGGUUUGUCUCUGCUCUUGUUCUAUCCCCUACUGAGUAGCGAAACAUGCGAAUCUUGCCCUAAGACCUUUGAGAGAUCUCUUCCCUGCACCUAGGGCUACCUAGUUCAUGUGAGUUCCAAGGGGAGAUGUGGUCGGGUUUGAGAGAUAUGGGGGUGGGAAGUUGGCUCUAUCCUAGCUGGCCGCACCGAGACAAAACUCGUGCCAAGUCGUGUCAAACAACUUAGGGUUGGGUUCAAACUUUUCUAGGGUGUUCUAGAGGUCUUUAGGCGCCACUUUGUCAAUUGGGUCAAGUGGUUUUGAUGUUUUAAAAAGGGUGAACAUGUUUGAUCUUUGGAAGAGGGUUGGUUUUGGACUUAGAAAAAUUCUGAUUUUUCUCUUAGGUUUUUCCCUUGGGUGAACCUUUUGGGGUUUUUCUGAAACCUUUUUGGGGUCACUUUCUUACUAUUUUUUGUAGGGUAUUAAGUGUACUACAACUUUUAUAAUUGGCCCAAGUCAUGAUCAUGUGGUUUUCAUAGCCUUUUGGUCAUACUCACUUCUAGGGCUACAAUUAUCCAUUUUGGGUUUGAAUUAGGGUUUGGGCAAUUCUCCCCACUAUAUGUGCAUGAUAAGCCAAGGCAUGACUUCUAAGAUGGGUUGCACUUACUUAGGAUCUUUAUUUCCAAGUUAGGUGUCAUUUACUUAAUUUAAGUCACAUGUGAUGAUGGGCUUUACUUGUGUAGUCUUGAGUGAAAACCCUAAGUAACACCUGGGGUGUUACAGCCCUCCCCCCUUAAAGGAAUCUCGUCCCGAGAUUUUCGGUAGAGUCCCUUGGAGGGGUGCCAUGAAGGUGCUGGUGUGUUGCUCUUUCCUUUAUCCAAGUUUCUCUAGUUAACUGCUCUUCGAAUGUCAUUCUCUUUGCGACUUCAGAAGGAAGUCCUUUUAGAGUCAUUUUCAAGGCUUACAAUACCUUCAACAUCUAAGUUUUUCUUAUAUUUAGAUUCAAAGGGCAGGAGGGGGUGGGGUUUUGGAUUACGUACCAACUCCUUUAGACAGAAAGUCGGGGAAGCAAGAACAUAGAAAAUCCUCAGUCUCCCACGUAGCUUCUUCUACUGAAUGGUGACUCCACUGAACCUUAUACAUUCUGAUCGACUUUGCCCGCGUUGAUCUCUCCUUUUGAUCCAACACCUUGACGGGGUGCUCUUGAUAAGACAAGUCUGGUUCUAUCUCAAUUUCCAGUUCAGGUAGUACUUCAGUGGGUAGCCACACUUCCGUAGCUGAGAUACAUGGAACACAUCAUGAACUAUUGACAUGUGGGUUGGCAAUUCCAAUUGAUAGGCUACGGGUCCACAAUUUGCUUUGAUCUCAUAGGGUCCAAUGUAGCGAGGAGCUAACUUGCCCUUGAUUCCAAAUCUCUAAACACCUUUGGUGGGUGACACCUUAAGAUAAACAUGAUCUCCCACUUCAAACUGUAGAGGCUUCCUCCUCUUGUCAUGAUAGCUCUUCUGCCGGGCCUGAGCAGCUUCUAGGUUCUUCUUAAUGACCCUGAUCUUCUCCUCUGCAUCAAGUACUAAGUCAGGCCCAAAAAAUUCUCUCUCUCCAGCUUGUGACCAAUUUAGCGGUGUCCUACACCUCCUCCCAUACAAGGCCUCAAAAGGUGCCAUCUGCAGACUGGACUGGUAGCUGUUAUUAUAAGAAAAUUCUGCCAAGGAAAGGCACUUGUCCCAAUUUUUACCAUAGUGUAGCACACAGGCUCGCAACAUGUCUUCGAGGAUUUGAUUCACUCUUUCUGUCUAACCAUCUGUCUGCGGAUGGUAUGCUGAGCUUCUUAUUGCACGGGUCCCAAGUGAUUCUUGGAGUUGCUCCCAAAAGCGUGCCACAAACAGUGCUCCCCGGUCAGACACAAUGGUCCUUGGAAUUCCAUGCAAAUGCACUAUUUGAUCAAUAUAGAUUUCUGCAUACUUCUCUGUCUUGUGGGUGGUAUGUACUGGCAGGAAAUGAGCUGUCUUGGUCAACCUAUCCACGAUGACCCAAAUAGAAUCAUGGUGUCGGGAGGUAUUGGGCAAUCCCACGAUAAAAUCCAUGCAAAUAUCCUCCCAUUUCCAGGAUGGUAUGGGAAGGGGUUGUAAGGUGCCUGCUACCUUCAAAUGGCUGGCCUUGACUCUCUGGCAAGUGUCGCAUUUAGAUACAUACUUAGCAAUUUCCCUCUUCAUUCUGGUCCACCAGUACAAAGAUCUGAGGUCAUGAUACAUCUUGUUACUGCUGGGGUGCAUGGAGAAUUUCGAAAGGUGAGCUUCAUCCAAUAUCUUCUUUCUGAGCUCGGGGUUCUUGGGAAUAACCAAUCGGUCUCGAAACCAUAGAAUCCCUUUGCUGUCCUGACGGAAGCAUUUGUAUUUAUCCACCUUCAGUUUGACCAUUUCCUUAAUGACUUGGACACCCUUGUCACCAAUCUGUGCCAUGACUAUUUGCUCGUGUAGGGUGGGCUCCACUGAAAUAUAACUCAAGGCACCAGAGGAAAUAACUUCGAGAUUCAGUUUGCACAUCUCAUCACAUAGGGUGGUGAUUCUUGCAUCCAUAUUCAUACAAUUGCACUGGGCCUUCCUGCUUAAGGCAUCUGCCACAACAUUGGCUUUGCCAGGAUGGUAAUGCACCUCCAAAUCGUAGUCCUUGAUUAGCUCUAACCAUCUUCUCUGCCUCAUAUUAAGAUCAGCCUGUGUGAAGAUAUAUUUGAGACUCUUAUGAUCAGUGUAAAUAUUACAAUGAGCUCCCAUCAAGUAAUGUCUCCAAAUCUUGAGAGCAUGAACCACGACUACUAACUCCAAAUCAUGUGUGGGGUAGUUCUGCUCAUGGGGUCUGAGUGCUCGGGAGGCAUAAGCAAUAACUCUGUGGUCUUGCAUCAAGACACAUCCCAAUCCAGUAGCGGAAGCAUCGCAAUAAACCUCAAAGGGUUUGGUGUUGUCAGGUUGAGCUAGCACGGGUGCUGUUGUCAAAUGCUGCCUUAGUGCUAUAAAGGCAUCCUCACAUUUCUAGCUCCAUUCAUACUUGACUCCCUUCUUUAACAAUUCAGUCAUUGGCUUGGCAAUCCUGGAGAAAUCUGGAAUAAAUCGCCGAUAAUACCCCGCCAAUCCCAGAAAACUCCGAAUCUGCCGUACUGUGGUAGGAGGUUUCCAAUCCAUUACUUCUUGUACCUUCUCAGGAUCAACUGAUACCCCAUCCUGAGAGAUGGUGUGACCCAGAAAUUUUAUCUCCUUCAGCCAGAAUUCACAUUUGGACAAUUUAGCAUGCAACUGAUGGUCGCGCAGUCUCUGAAGUACGGUAUGCAAAUGUUUAGUGUGCUCGGCUUCGUUCUUGGAAUAAACCAGAAUGUCAUCAAUGAAGACCACUACAAACUUGUCCAGCUCUGGCAUAAAGACCGAGUUCAUCAAAUACAUGAAAUAAGCCAGGGCAUUGGUCAGUCCGAAAGACAUCACCAGGUACUCAUAAAGCCCAUAUCUGGUAGAGAAGGCUGUCUUCGGAAUAUCACUGGCCCUGAUCUUGAUCUGAUGGUAGCCCGAGCGAAGGUCUAUCAUGGAGAAUACUUUGGCUCCCACCAUUUGGUCAAACAAUACAUCAAUGUGGGGCAAUGGAUACUUAUUCUUGAUGGUUACCGCAUUGAGAGGGCGGUAGUCAACACACAACCUCAAACUCUCAUCCUUCUUCUUCACAAAUAAGGCUGGACAUCCCCAUGGUGAAGUACUUGGGCGAAUGAAUCCUUUGUCCAACAACUCCUGUAGUUGCUUUUUCAAUUCCACCAAUUCUGCUGGAGGCAUCCUAUAGGGUCUCUUGGAUAUAGGUGCAGUUCCGGGUUGCAAUUCAAUUGCGAACUCUAUGUCUCUGUCGGGUGGCAUCCCUGGCAAUUCGUCAGGAAAGACAUUUGGGUAGUCACAUACUACAGGGAUUUUCUCAACCGGGGAUUCUAUCAUGGUGAAUGCACAAGAGCGGGUACAACCCUGAUCGGGCAAAUAUAAUGUGGUUUCACCACAAGUAGGGGAGUGCACCUCAAUGGCCCUAGCUGCAAUAUCAAUUACUGCCUGAUGUCUUGUUAACCAGUCAGUUCCCAAUAUGAUAUCCACGCUAUCCAAACCCAAAAUGAGGAGGGUGGUUUUAAUUAUCAGACUACCAAACUUUAUAGGCACAUGUCUAUUGAUUUGAUAGGUGGCAACCCUGCCUCCUGGUGUUGAAAUGGUAAUACCCCCAUUGGUGUGGUGAAAAGGUAACUAGCACUUGGCACUAAAUUUGGCACUGAUAAAACUGUGUGAUGCACUAGAAUCAAAAAGAAUAAUUGCAGGAUAAUUCAAAACUGAAAAGAUACCAGUCAUGACGGGCAGGGGCGAAGCCAGGAUCCGAAGACAGAGGGGCAGGCUUAGCCUCCAAGCGACCAAACCAGCAAGGACACAAUAUAAAAAUGGCAAGAGAACCAACCAUAAUGUAUAUAUUGAUAUAUAAUCUUCAUUAAAAACAGUAUAAUGAAACAGCAUCUAUUUUGUCAAACAAAAUAAAAUUACAUCUCAGUUAUUUUGAAUUUAGCUCUACGUGUAUUAGCUAGAUCAUAGGCCUUGAUAAUAUCAUCAGAACAAAUCAUUGCCGCUAAUUCCCUUUCAAUAUAAACGACCAGAUAAUCCCGUAAAUAGACAUCUCCCAUUUUUCUUCGAAGACGUGUCUUCACAAAUUUUAUAGUUGAAAAGGCUCUCUCUGUGGUCGCAGUUGACACAGGAAGAGUUAAGAGUAAUCUCAAUAAUUUAUCUACCAUCGGAUAAGAAGAAUAUUUACCCAGCUUAACUAAUCCACUUGGUUGGGACAAAAAUUAAGGGUUUCAGACUACCAAAUAAUAAACUGGCAGCAAGAUAAUAGACUAUAGAAUACAUUAUUAAUCUGAUUUGCUUGGGCCAUUGAGGGGUGCCAGGCCCACUCCGGCCCCCCUGGUGGCUUCGCCACUGAUGACGGGUGCUCCCUCUGGAAUGUCAGCCAUGGUGGUGAAGUUCAGCCUGCCCUGCCUCACUUGCACCUUCUGCCUCUUGCCUUGGUUUUGGUUGGAAUUCUGUCCCUGCCUCUGCUGGUUUCUGGGGCAAUUCUUAGCAUAAUGUCCGAUGUUACCACAACUGAAACACAUGUUGUCAUUGACCUGACGGUACUGCUACUGCUGUGGCUGAUUGUUGUUUCUCUGAGCUGGGGGCUGAGAGCGGUUGGGUGCCUGCUGCUGCUAUGGUCGGAUCACCCAACGUCCCUGCUGUUGCUGAGGUCCUCUGUUCUGAGUGUCAGAUACGAUCCUGAAGCGCUGUGGCUGAGCUGAAGGUCCUGCCACAGGGGUCUUCCUCUUCUCUUCUGCCUGACGGGCUGUGAUGCAGUCCUCCUGAGAAAUGGCCAUGUUGACUAGCUCAUUAUAGCUGUUGGCCCUGACUGUGUUGAGACGGUCGCGGAGCUUAGUGCUGAGCCCCCUCCUGAACCUGUCCCUCUUCUUCUCAUCAGUGUCUGCGUGGUAUCCGGCAUACUGGCACAGGUCAUUGAAGGCCUGAGCAUACUGUAACACUGUCCGAUUCCCCUGAGUGAGUGCCAGAAACUCAUUGAGCUUGCGGUCCAUAAUGCAUGCUAGUAUAUGAUGCCCCCUGAAAGCUGCCUUGAACUCUCUCCAUUCCACCUCAUGGUCAACUGGCUGCAUAGCAAGGAAGUGGUCCCACCAGGUCCGCACGGGUCUGUGAAGCUGCUGGGUGGCGAACCUGACCUUAGUCACCUCUAAACAAACUCCAUUGAGUAGUGGGAAUUUGGAUUCCACUACCCUCAUCCAUACAACCGCAUCAAGUGGAUCAUCUGCCCAAGUAAACAAAGGUGGCUGCGUGCCGAGAAACUCCUGAUAAGUGGCUGCUAUGGGGUGACGCUGAUGAUCACCACCACCAUAAUGCUGAGGUGGUGGCUGACGCUGAGCCAACUGUCGCAAGAUCUCGUUCUGCUGAGCCAUCAGCUCUUGCAGAGUAGGAGGCGGUGGCGGUGGUGGAGGAAUGUGUUCAUUCUGUCCACGACACGCUCUUCCAGCCAUAUGAAAAUUCAAGGAGGUUCACAAUAUCACAUUGUUGAUGUCAGAGUUCAUACACGGUGAAAGAUUUGCAAGGACGAAACUACUACUUUCUUGCAUAAUUCAUAAAAAUGACAUAAAGCUUUUCUUCAUCGAUUUAAAGCCGACGUCAUUCAUCACCCAUCUUCCAAAAGAGUUUGUUGUGAUUACAUCAGUAACUCAAAAGACUCAACUCUACUAGCCUAGUACCCUAGGGGUGCAAAAGCUAAGCUAGCCUCGAGGAGUUCUACCGCCACAGACUUCUAACUCUAUCUCUGCGACCUAGUGAGCAAACGAGGCAACGCUCGACUCAGGGGAAGGUGGUCUCCCUGAGCCGGCAGUGUCCAAGCUGGAGGCAGGCUCCUCUCCUCCCUCGAUGUCGACAUCCUCAUUGGCCUCCAUGUCCUGGAUCUCCUGGUGGUGCAUAUCCAGAUGCUGGUUAGCCUCCGCAAGCUGCUGCUGAGUGUUGAUUAGCUGAUCCUCGAGAACCUCGAUGGUGUUCUCCCUGGUUCCCACCAGCUCCUCAAGCUCUUGGAUCUCAUUUGACAUCUGUUCCACUUGUAGGUCUUUUUCCACCAUCUCAGUGGACAAGUCUACCACAAGUUCAUCUCUGUUCUCCAAGGUGAUCUUGGUAGCCUCCAACAAUGCCAUCAGAUGAGACAUUGCCUCUCCUCGCAUCUCUUGCAGACGAUACAGGGCAUUCAUGCACCGCACCGUCAAGUGAGCAGUCUGACCUGGGUAGAUAGCCCAUAUAUCAUUGGCAUGCUCCACUCGGUCCUUCCACAUUGGGUCGUCCUCCUUCUCCGUGGGGAACAAACCAAUGGGGUGAGUGGACAGCUCCAAGGGGUGGAAACCACAGAAGGUGGUCAGUCCGUCAAGAGCAAUCGCCUCGAUAGUAUCCUCAGCCCUGUAUCCAAAAGACUCGGAAUCCAACAAACGCCAGCCUGGCUGUAAGGGAUGAGGCUCUAGGGUCAUCCUCACCCUACAACGGGGCACUCGGUGCUUCUCAAACAGCUGCACCGCGUAGUGGGGAGGCGUCGUGUAACCAGCUCCCUGAAGUACUUCCCACAAGAUACGGGGAAACCCUCUCGUGCAAGUCCGUCUGUGUGGGACUGUGCAUUCCCUUCGUCCGAGGAUCCAUGAGAAGUCAUAUGUGUACAGUUAAGCGUAAGUAAAAAAGAAAAAGAACUAUAAAAUAAGAAGGGAUCACAACUCAACCUCUCUAUAACUACGACAAUGGCACUGGGUGUACUUAAUCUGUCAUUAUUGUGUAUUAAAGUUCUUACCCAAUUAUCAAGUAGUUUAAGUAAGGAUGCAUGCAUGCUCGUCCUAAGCAACCUCAUUUCAAUUUAGAGGGAUUAGGGAAAACUCCCAUCCCUUAUAGUAGCGGUAAGGCUUACUCAAAUAGCUACCUAGCUACCCCUCUAUCAUCCUAAGGCUUCACGUCCUAGGUCUAUCCUGAUCGUCCUACGACCUAUCCAACAUUGGUUUCUAUCAAGUUUUAUUUUGAAAAGGAUGGUAUUUAUAGUUUAUUGAUUCCUCUAUGGUGGUACGAGCUCCGAUACCAGCUGUGGCGGAACCGCCCGAAUUAUUCCAACUUAAGUGCCUAAGUCCCGCCUUAGAGGCUAGACCACACUUAAAUAGGAAUAACAUGUCAUUCCCUCGGAUCUAGUCCGACGAGGCCACUAACAGGAUCAAGUACCACGUACUCACUCGAUGGUGAGGCACAGAGCAAAUACAAUAAAGCAUAAAACCAUACAUUAAGGAGUAUCAAAUUAUUACAUCAACAUCGGAGUUUUUGCAAAAGUGGAGAUCAUUGUUCGGAAUGCAGCGGAAUAAAACUAACGAUGAGUAAACAGAGAGAUGGGGAAGCAUGUCCCAUCACUCCUCAUGCUCCUCCUCGACCGAGGUAGGGUCCUACUUGACUGUCCAACCCGGUGGCAAGAUGGACGACCAAGUCACUCCAGCAACCAUGUCCUCCAGGGAACCUGUAAAAUUAUGCCACAAGCAAGGCUGAGUAUACUAAUACUCAGCUAGACUUACCCGGUGUGAGGAGUCUACUCCUCUACCUCUAGACAUGUAGCUGUCUGGCUGAGGGGUUUGGUUGCCAAAAGCACUAGCUGGGUCUAAAAAUCAAGUUUUAGUGUGACUCUCUUAAGACUAAAUGUGUACUAUCUACUCAUUCAUGGUAUCAAGCAAUUUAUCAAUCAACAUCUUUUGCCAAAACAUCGCAUUUCCACUUGUUACUCAAUGCAGUACAAUAGAUCAAGUAGUCUCAUUAGCUGCGAGAAGCAGACGAUUCGAAUCGAGUUUUUAUCCUUGCAAGGUAAACCUAAACACACGACAUGGCGAGGCACUCCGUCCCCACAUACAUCAACCGUCCCCAUCGAUUCCCUGGCAACAGAUCAGGGCUCACCGCCUUGGCGUACAAUGCCUCACUGACCCCGACUGCCGUCGUGUAGUGACCGCACUUAUACCCACCAUAACCGGAAUGGGAGACCACGUCUCAGGUCGCGUGAGGGGUAAAGUCUGCGGGCAGGUUCACUCAGGUACUAGGCUUGCCGAUUUACCAUAUUUCUCGGUAUGUGUUUAGUAUGUUCAAACGCUUGACACAGGUAUCCGCACGUUGAUCCUUAUUCCAAUUUCAUCUUGUAGACCACGCAUCCCCAUGGAUCCGUGUCCACAGACCAACAUCAGUAAGAUAUGAAAGUGGGUACAACCAAUUUCCUGACCUCGCGCGAGUGCUAGAAAAAUCACUCGACUUCUACUGAUAUCCCUAAUUAGUAAAGCAGCUACUCGACCUAGCAUACUAGUAUCCAUCUCAAAGGAAAUCCUGAGGUAAUGCAACUAGGAUUUCAGGCAACUCCUACACUUAAGUGCACAAUACAAGCCUACAAUCAUUAAGUGUAGUAAAAUAAUAUAUAGAACUGGUUAUGCAUAAAACUGGGGCUUGCCUUCCAAAGCUGGGGUAGGCAGAUCCUCGAUGGCAGGCUCUGGUGCUGGAUCCGGGGCUACCUCCUGAGCAACUCCUUGCUCCGGCACGAGGAUGUAUUCUCCGUCCGCGAGGUUACAAUCUAUCGAAUGCAAUGAAUAAGAUAUAUGUAUGCUAUGAUAUGUAGAAUUUAGUAACAUUUAUGCCUAUUGAAGAAAAACAAAGUUGGUUAAUAACUUAGGGUUUCCUUGUUAUAGGAGGCUCUUAGUGGUUUAUACUUAUCAAUUUAGGUUUGGGGUUUUGCCUAGAGAUAAGCAUAAUGGAUUAAGACUUGGAUUGCCCCUUAAAAGUUUUUAGUAGGCACUCAAGGGGUUUUGCUGGUUUGGUUAGGGUAACAUUAGUCUCCACUAUUAUUUCCCCUUUUCAUUUUCUAUUUAUGAUUUUAGGGUGGGUUUGAACUACAACAGUGAUUUAAAUUUUUCCAAAAAAUUUGUAAAAAUUACAGUGGUUUACUAUUGGUCACUAUAGUCUGUCCUAUAAAUUUGAGGUCAAGAAUAAUUAGAAUAUGCCCUGGACAAAAAUAACAAAAGUUGGGGCAAAGGGGUCACUUUGUACUACAACUCUUAUCUAGGUGUGGGUUCUGCACUAAGAGUCAUUUUUGCUGGUAUAUAUAGGUAAUAACAUGCUUCUGUGCCAAAAAUCAUAGAGGGCUACUUAGUGGUUAUUUAGUUAGGAUUUUCUAAAGUUUAAAGCUAAAAAGACACUUACAACUAACUUGUUAUUUGAAAAAUGUCAAACAACAGAACUCAUGAUUUUUCUAUGUUUAGAAUAACAAAAAAUUAGUUAUCCCAAGGUUUGGGGUUGUUUCCUCCUCAGGGUUAUUUUUCUAGGGUUUUUCUAAGUUUUCCUUGUUUUCCUAAAAUAAAAGGUAUCUCAUGUCUUUUGUACUAAACAAGGGUCUAACAAACUUUUCUAGUGAACUAUACUGAAUAAGGGAGCUAACAAAAAUGUGGGUGCUCCCUGGUUUUUAUUUUUAACUACCUAUAUUAUUUUCUUUAUCUUUAAGCUAAAAAUGAUUUAAAUGGCAAACUCUACCUUAAUUUGGUGUACAGUGAGGUUUAUUAUUUUUAAACAGGUUAGGAAGUGAUUAAGUACUUCUCUGAAUUUUCUUAACCCCAGUCUAAUAGUGUAGCUAUUUUUCCCUAUUUCAUUUAGCUUUUGACCAGAUAAUCAUUUAAAUCAAAACUUUGAAGUCUUCUGCAACACUUAGGGGUUUUAUAUUUUUCCUGAGUAGUUUACAUUAUUUAGAAUCUGGCAAAAUUGGUUUGACUUGAUUUAGGUGAAUAAAACUGAAGUUAUGAAUUUUGCAAGUUCUAUUUGUAUUUAAAUCAGAAUUAUUAAAAAGGUUUUCUGGAAAACCAAUUUGCAUCGAAGACCCUGGGCUUUUCCUAAAACAAUCCCUUCAUUUAUACCCCUGCGCCAAUAUUCCUUUGAGUCGCUGACACUUCAAAAAUCCCCCUGGCCUUUAUCUCUUCUCCCUCGAGGUCCCUCCCCUUAUUUAAAUAGUACCCGCGGGGGUAAACAGGGCGGCGCGGCUUACCGGCGGUGAGGGAGGUCCGGCGAAGGGCGGGGUUGGCUCCGGGAGGUUCUUGCGGUCACAACGAGGUAUGGCUCGACGGCGGUGGUGGCCGGAAUCGGCCGGUCCACGUGCGCAGGCGGGUGAACUCGUCGGCGGCAAGUGCUCCGGCCUAACCACGGCAAUACUGGUCAAUCCAAGGGCACGGGGAGCUUCAUGGGAUGUCAAGCAAUCGACUCGUGCAAGGAAUCGGAGAAUGACUUACCGUGGCGCUCGGUCUACGCUUGCCAGCGGUCGGGUGAAGUCCGGCGACCGUGAACUGGCUUCUCCGGCGAGGCAAAGUUCGAUUCCUCGCUCGGGGAGCUUCACUGAGGCACGCAGGAUCUACUCCGAGGGUUGGACGGGGUUGGGAGAGGCUCUGCUGGCCGGUCUACGGUAGCGGGUAUUCGGGGUGCCGCGGGCACGUCGUGUGCGGGGCAACGCCGGUGAUCUAGUGCUCCGGUGAGGUCGAGAGCGUGCGGGGGAGUACGGUCGAAGUCUCUGGUGGCUUUAUAGGCGCGGGUUCAAACUUUUCCAGGGUGUUCUAGAGGUCUUUAGGCGCCACUUUGUCAAUUGGGUCAAGUGCUUUUGAAGUUUGAAAAGGGUGAACAUGUUUGAUCUUUGGAAGAGGGUUGGUUUUGGACUUUGAAAAAUUCUGAAUUUUCUCUUAGGUUUUUCCCUUGGGUGAACCUUUUGGGGUUUUUCUGAAACCUUUUUGGGGUCACUUUCUUACUAUUUUUUGUUGGGUAUUAAGUGUACUACAACUUUUAUAAUUGGCCCAAGUCAUGAUCAUGUGGUUUUCGUAGCCUUUUGGUCAUACUCACUUCUAGGGCUACAAUUAUCCAUUUUGGGUUUGAAUUAGGGUUUGGGCAAUUCUCCCCACUAUAUGUGCAUGAUAAGCCAAGGCAUGACUUCUAAGAUGGGUUGCACUUACUUAGGAUCUUGAUUUCCAAGUUUGGUGUCAUUUACUUAAUUUAGGUCACAUGUGAUGAUGGGCUUUACUUGUGUAGUCUUGAGUGAAAACCCUAAGUAACACCUGGGGUGUUACAGCCUUUACAAAGAUUCCCUGAGGCUGUAGCCGCCCGUUAGGUUUCCUAAAUGCACCGCAUUCCUCCCCAAGGGGCGAACCAACCUUGGUAGAGCGAGCCACAUACACCGAGCCCCAUUAACGGCAUGACGGCGAAGCGAACUACACCCUAGUUCCUCUAAUUAUUCAGCUAAGGGCGUCCCAUUCUACCCUCAUGGUUGCACUGUUUUUCCCGGGCGGUCAUCCAACGAACAGGUCCUUACGGAGAGGCACUCGAGAAACUGCUUGAGCCCCCUAAAGUAUCACCAGUCCAACAUCAUAAUCAUAGAGACAAGAUCGUAUCAUAAGUGUUCAUCACAUCAUGUUCAUUGAUUAAAGUAAAGCAAUAGCAUGAAUCUAACCAUAGUAGCCCAAAAGGUAAUCAAGGACUGGAUAAAUAGAAAGCUAGUAAAUCUUUAUGCUGGUCAUAGUAUGCGGGACAGUGAAUUAUAAAGUAAAUGGGACAUAAUGGGUCAGAGAACACUUGCCUUCACCAAAUAGAUGCUCAGGGUCUUCAAUCUCGUAGAACUCCACGAACCAGAUCACUUGGUCACCAUGCUCGAUCUUCAAUUCCUUGAGGCUCGGAAAUGGAUCGCAAUCUAUUCGCGACGCACGACAAAUACAAACAGGCACAGGCAAACAUAUACUUGCGUAAGAACAUUACACCAUGCAAAGGAAAACAUGAUAAAAAUAUGUAAUACAGAAUAUAGCUCGCUUCUACGAUCACGUGAGGAAAAAUGAAUGCAACAGUCGGAGCUACGGUUGAGAAGUUAUAACGUUUAUGUUACGCAAGUAAUAGUCAGGACAUUUAUAAAAUAUAAAUUAACAUCACUGCUUAGUUUCGAUUGAUUUGAUAUUCUAAUAGUUAACAACUACACAGGUGAUUAAUCAAUAUGAAUGAUCAUAAGCCAAACAAUUUAAUAACACGCGCGACAACGCGCGGAAGACGUGAGACGACGCGCGACACUGCGUGAAACAGCGCGCGGACGGCAUGUGAGACAACGAGCGUGACAACGCGCGAUACGCGCGAGCCAACACGACUACGCGCGUAAACAGCACGAUGACACGCAAAAGAUGUCGUGUACGAACAACAAUAAACAAAUAAUUAAUUAACAAUAUUUAGGCUGAUAUUAAUCAGGUUGAUUAACAUCUAUUUAUAAAAGCGUGAGUUAAAAAUAUAAAACAGUUUUAAUUAGAAGGUCAGUUUAAUAAGUAUCAAAUGAAUAGCUAAUUAAAUAAUAUAGACUUGUGGCGUGAUGAAAUAAUAUUAUUAUUAGUAUGUUGAUGAUAUUGUUAUGAAGUUAACGUAACGCGAGUGGGUCGACACGGAUUUAAUAACGUGUGCGACCGCACGGAACAUCGUAAACGACGAACGUGGACGACACGCGGAUCAGCAUGUAACCACGUGCAAAACACAUGCGCGACACGAGAGGAUCACUAACAAAUAUCGUGUUUAUUAUAAACGAGUGAUAAUUCAGAACCUGCGAGUUGACAUUAAUCACGCUACGCAUACACCUAGAAAUUACUUAACCCCACAAAUAGACUCCAUCUAUUCUACCAGCUAGAACACAAACACCUAGCAUCCUUGCAUUUUACUCUAAUUCUUACGUCACACAAAUGAAAAGCCACCUAAAUUACACUAUGCGUAUAUCUUAGACAAUUUAAUUUCUUUUGACACCUCCAUUUACCAAUCACAUGACAUACAAGAUUAGCACCACAAAGACAAGGGAAAAGAUAGGGGAAAGUUACUUUCCUAUUGCCGAGAUGGAGCACCACAUCGGCAACAUAAAUCUGGAGGUCGCCAUAUGUUGGGGACUUGUUCUCAAGUGCUAUGAGUUAAGAACAAGGCAACACAGAGAAUGUUAAACGAUAAAGUCCUUCGUCCUCUGAAGCAUUAUUUCCCUUAGGAUAUAACGAUCUUCAGACGAAGGUCAUGAAGGACGAACCUUCAUCAUCACAGUAUACAUUAAUGAAAGACGAAGCAUAUGAAACAUAAAAGAUAGCAUGAAUAAUCAUAUAACAUCAUCAAUUUAGCUUUUUUAUAUCAUCAUAGAAAAAUAGACAAUAUCGAAUUACAAAUGUACCUUCGGCUUGGAAGGAGAUGAAAAUACAAAUGUGACGCAAAAGCAAAUGCCAAGUCCGCGUGAACAGUACGGGAGUACUGUUCAUCUAUUUAUAGACGUGGGACGCAGCCCAUGUAAAAUUACAUUCAUGUCCACUACAUUUGCUAAUGACUUAUGAGGAUCUGUCAAAGCCUAAGUAGUCUUUUCAUCUUUAAGUCGGUUCCCCUUUCUGCCACUAUGCCGAAGCUCCCCUGCGCAUAGCUUCGGCUAUGCACCAUCCCUCGUACGGCUUGGUGAUCAGCCCGUCCUUCAUCUCAAUCUUCCUUCGUCUAGCUUAAGCUUCGUCCUGAUCGUACUUCAUGUUCACAAUCUGGGUCCGAAGAUAUCUGUUCAUACAUUUCACUUGGAAGAUAUUGUCAAAUCAUGUUUUUGAGGACCUUCGGAGGACGAAGGCCCCCAACAGUAGCCCCUCGCAAUAUUAAUUUAUUAAUGAUAAAUUUAGAUUGCGAUAUGGACGAAGGCCUUAAGCCGAAGGUCCGAAAAAACACCUUCCCUUUGCUAGAAUAGCAACAUUCACUGACAAGUGGGUCUUUCAACUUUCAACGCACUGGGCGUAUAAAUAAGAUCAUACCACAAACUCAUUUUGGUACACACACUUGCCAACUGCCCCUGCUUACUCAAUUUUAUCUCUUGCGCGCAAAAAUUUACUGAGCUUUUAGUUUUGAAGCUUCGGCAUUGAAAACAGUUUUUAGCAUUUCCGAAGAUGUCUGAAGACAAAAAGGCCGGUCCUGAGAUGAAGCUGAGUCUCUCUGAAGAGAAGAACCUGGGGUUCCUUAUAGCGAUGGCGGAGACCAAUACGGAAAAAAUUACCAAGGAGAUACUGGAAGGCUUGUCUGAAGAUACUGGUGACAGCGACAGUUACGAUGUAGAAAGUGGUGGGGAAGAGUCCGAAGAUCGGCCAUGGCGGCCAAGUCACGCGGUUUUCGGGAAAACCUCCAUUAAGCAGAGUCAUAUUGAUAAUAUGAGGGGCCGAUAUUUUCAAGAUAUAUCUAUUGUGAGAGCUGAUGCUGGAGAAAAAACUUCUCCCACCCCCGAAGAAGAUGAAGUCGUAAUCUUCCGAAGCUUUCUCAAGGCUGGGCUUCGAUUCCCCCUAAGCAACUUUGUUGUUGAAGUUCUGAAAACAUUUCAAAUCUACCUUCAUCAAAUUACUCCCGAAGCUAUCAUAAGAAUGGGGAUGUUUGUCUGGGCUGCGAGAAGCCAAGGUUUAGAACCAAAUGCCAAAAGCUUUUGCAACAUUCAUGAGUUGUUAUAUGAGACGAAGCCCUGGGGGAAAGAACAAUAUCACAACAACUUUGGGUGUUACAGCUUCGUUGCCCGCUCCGGGUCAAGCUGCCCUGUGCCGACCUUUCGGAAGAGAUGGCCCGGAGCCUGGAUGACUGAAUGGUUCUAUGUAAAGAAUGACCUAACAACGCAAGAAGACGUCAAGAGUAUCAUUAUGCGCCCCAUCUGGCAACGUUUCGGACUUCGAAGGCCGAAGGUUACAAUGGAUGAAGCAGCCGAGGAAUGCCAAAGAGCCUUCGGCGUAGUCUGCUCUUUUAUUGGGACAAGGGACUUGAUUCAAGAACAUAUUGCCUUCACGGUGUGGCCACUUGCAGGAAAGUGGGAAAUGCCGAAGGAGACCAUCAAAGAGUCCGACGAAGGCGGACUGGUCAGACUAAAAUACACAUUCAAAUACGGGGAUAAAUUUGUUGAACCUGAUGACGACUGGUUGAAAAGCAUUGAAACAUUAAGUGACGAACUGCUUGGGGCAUAUUCGAAGGCCGAGGACACUGCAUUAUCAGCAGCCUUCGGAGGCCGAAAGAAGAAAAGACUCAACCCGGUAUUUGACGCAGUCGGGCUUGUCUACCCUGACUAUCACUAUCCGGUGUUGGGUCGCAAAAGAAAGAAUACUUCUUCUGCAACAGAAACUACCACAAGUGCCACUAAUGAGCCAGCGCCGCAAAGGAAAAAGAUGAAGGUGCUCAUCCACCGAGCGCGCUUUAUUGAGCCGGCCACAGUGCCAGAAUUCAUUGGUGAAGUUUCCUUGGCCUCUGAAGCUACAGAACCAGCUCCAGUGCCGAAGAUAGAAGAGAAAUCUGAAGCGCCUUUAGCAGAGAAGGCGGAAAAAUCGAGAAUUGAAGGACAAAAAAUAUUGGAAAUCUUAAGUCCUUCAGCGAAUACUGAAACAAGAAAAAUCCAAAAGGGCCCAUUGGUGACCCCAAAAAGAAAAAGAAUGGUGAACGUACUAGAUGUCUUGGAAACAAUUAUGUCUUCAAGCACAACUCCAAAGAAGACUGUUGAACUUGCUGAAGCGUCUACUGAAACGUCGGAGCAACAAACUGAAGCUGAAGCUAAAGCUGGGCCUUCAGAGCCCAUCAAGGAACAAUCUUUGGAAACCGAAAAAACAUCAGAACCAGUUUUGGUUGAGAAGAUUGACACUGCCGUCCCCGAAGCUCCUGCCAGCACAUGCGAUUAUAUCAUACGACAUGCUUCGGGGAAAAAAUUAUCUGAAGAAGAGACUUAUGAAGCCAAUCACUAUGCCAGAGAGUUAAAAUAUCCAAAGGGAGCAGUGGUGUUUAAUGGGACAAAUGAGGAUGACUUCCUAUACUGCCUCCCUGAUAACAAAGAAUUAUCUGUCUGCCGAGAGAUGGCCAGAAGUAUGGGGUUCCCGAAGCUCGAAGCUGGAUUAUGUGCUAUGACGAAGGAGGAUCUCGCGGACAGUCUUGCGUAUAACAGCCUAAAGGUAUGGGAAUUAGUCGUUUUGAAAAAAUUUUACAAUACGUAAUUCAUUCUUUUAUUCUUAUACCAAGUCUUUACAUAUAGGGCUUAAUCCUAAGCAACGCAUUAAGAGCACAAAAGAGUGCCGAAGAUGAGAGCUAUGAAAUUGCGUUCAACAACCUUCGGUCAGAAGUUAUUAAACUGAGAAACGAAGCUCUGGAAAAGGAUAAAAUUUUGCUUACAUUGAUAGACAAGGUAAAAAAGGACGAAGCUGCCUCAAAGAUCCAGGCCGAAGCCCAAAAACGUGAGAUUAAAGAUCUUCAGAAACAGCUAGCUAGAGCUAAAGAGGAACGUGUGCUUGAAGAAACAAAACGAGAGCUUAGUGAUCAGUUGGUUAAUCAUUUAGAGUUAAGUGCUCAGGAGCUUCGCGCAUCCCAGAGGAAAUGCUAUGUUAAAUCUAUAGAAUGCGUCAAAAAGAUAAAAUCCAGCUUUGCCAGCGUUGGCGCAUUUUCUAGUGAAGAAAGUUUCUCCAGAGGCAAUCCCGAAGGUCCAUUGGAAUGGAUUAGUCAUGAAGCAGAAGCUUUCGAGGAAAUUCUGAGCAGCCGCGGUGAUAUCUGCGCAUUUUCGGGCGCCAGAGGAAUUGCUACUGUUCUAGAGAAAAAAGGUUGUGAUCAUAUUAAGCUGCUUGCGCAAUCCGAAGCCACUUUAUCCGCUGAAGAUAUUAAAGACCCCUCGACCGAAGCUAGCCAAGUUGGUGGAAAAUUUUUCACCGACGUCUGGGAUAAUGGUGGCCGAGAAAUGGCAGGAGAAAUUAUUCAGAGAAGUGAAAAGGGCAUUCACGAUGCUAGAGAAGUGGCUAAGGCUGCUGAAAAGAGCGCAGAGCCCGAAGGUCAAUUAGGUAUUUAAUUAAUAGUUUGUAUCGUGUUGUAAUUUUUAUUUCAAACUUUGUUCACGGUUUGUAAUAGUAAUGCAAAAAUAUUCUCUUCCCUCAGAACCUGCUGGAUCGUUUGUUGACCCUCACACAAAAGGGGAUGACGAAAUUAAACAAAUGGCCGAAACUAUCGUGGAUAAAGUUGUUGAACAGCUUCUAAAUGAGGCUGCCGAAGUAAUAUUAAGAGAAGACUAGGUGUUAUUAGGAAAAACAGUUGAAGUGUGAUUUAUGUAAUAUUUGGUACAUUUGAAUGUAAUAUACAAGUCUCUUUUCAUUAUUCAAUUCUUUACGAUGCAUGAAACUUUACAUACGUACCGCUUUUGAGCCUUCGGCGAAAAAACACCUUCCCUUCUUUUCAUGCUUCAUGAAGAAAAAAUUUUUAUGUAUCACAACAAUGUCCAUAGUACUCAGAUGAAGAAUAGCCAAGCUUCGUGAAAACAUUCUCCGAAGCUAUACUCCGAAGAUGAAGAUUGUGUCUCCUUGUGACUUAACACGAUUUUCACUCUUUCAAAGCAUACUUCCGAAGAUCAAUAUUGUGUCCCCUUCUUGUGCCAUAUGCAACAUGAUGUAUGAUGCUUAUGCUAUGCAAAAUGAUGUAAUGAUGUUAUGUUACGUAGAUGACAUUUGUUCCGAAAGAUACACACAUAUCCCCACACAAUAUUUUUGUAUCAGCGCUGAUUCUUCGCUGUAAGCUCUGCAUUCCCUUAGGAACGUCUUUGGAGCUUCUUCGCCUUUUACUUAGGCGGUAUAAGCUCUGCAUUCCCUUAGGAACGUCUUUGGAGCUUCUUCGCCUUUUACUUAGGCGGUAUAAGCUCUGCAUUCCCUUAGGAACGUCUUUGGAGCUUCUUCGCCUUUUACUUAGGCGGUAUCAGCGUUGACUUUUCGCUGUAUGCUCUGCAUUCCCUUAGGAACGUCUUUGGAGCAAAAAACUUACACUGCGCUCCCUUUGGAACGGCUUUUUGUAACUUCAGCAACUUACUCUGCGUUCCUUAGAACGACUUUUUGUUACUUCGAAGGAUUUUUAAUAAUUCGAAGGUCCUCCGCAAACUUUCAAGCUUCAGCAACUUAAGCCUUCGGAGAAAAUAGAUUUCCCUUAUGACCAACCACAAAACCAUUACAUGAAAAUCGAAAUGUUCUUUAUUAUACAGAAAAUAGGACUAAAUGGAAAAGACUGCUAUCAAGGUAGGAUACUUGUCAAUAAAUGUGCUUUGACUCCGGCACGGUGCUGUUGACUGUACGAGCUUCGGACUGCUCUCUGAAGUCCCUUUGGUGUGAAGCAUAUUGGCUCCCUUCUGGCUGUUGGCCUUGUUGCAGCGGUGGUGGAGGUGGAGGUUGUUGCCAGGAAGCUUGAGGUUGACUUGCCGAAGCAACAGAAACUGCAGGGUGGUUACCUACGUAUUCUGGGAUGUAAGGCACAUGGUACGAAGCAGUAUGCAUGACCUGCUUCGGCUGAGCUUGUUGUGCUGCAGCUUCGGCUAUCUCCUUUUGCUUUUGGAUGGUAACAUGGCACAUCCUGGUGGUAUGGCCCUUGUUUUCACCGCAAAACAAGCAAAAUAUUCUCCUUGGUUGAUCUCCAAAUCUUCCGCCAAAGCCCCUGGCGCCUCUUCCUCUUGGAGCUGGUGGCCGGAAGAAGCUUUGUUGUUGCCCCGAAGCCUGUGAGGAGGGCUGCGGCCUGUGCUGCUGACUCCCCUUAUCAUCACUUUGAGUAGAGUUAUGGAUGGACCUGACAUGCCUCGGAUAGAAUCUUCCUCCGAAGCCCCUGGUCAUCUCAGAAAAUCUGAAAGCCUCCUCCCUUCUUUGGCGAAAAUCAUUGUCGGCACGAAUGUACUCGUCCAUCUUUUGGAGCAGCUUCUCCAGAGUCUGAGGAGGCUUCCUAGCAAAAUAUUGAGCUGCAGGUCCAGGACGAAGCCCCUUGAUCAUGGCCUCGAUGACAAUUUCAUUGGGCACCGUUGGUGCCUGCGCCCUCAAAUGCAAGAACCUUCUGACAUACGCCUGAAGGUAUUCUUCAUGAUCCUGAGUGCACUGAAACAAGGCUUGAGCAGUGACCGGCUUCGUCUGAAACCCUUGAAAGCUGGUUAACAACAUAUCCUUCAGCUUCUGCCAUGAAGUGAUUGUUCCUGGUCGAAGGGAGGAAUACCAGGUCUGAGCAACACUCCUGACAGCCAUAACAAAAGAUUUUGCCAUGACUGGAGCAUUGCCACCAUACGAAGACACUGUUGCUUCGUAGCUCAUCAAGAACUGCUUCGGGUCUGAAUGGCCGUCGAAGAUGGGAAGUUGGGGUGGCUUAUAGGACGGGGGCCAAGGUGUAGCCUACAGUUUAGCGGACAGAGGAGAAGCAUCAUCAAAAACAAAAUUUCCCUGAUGGAAAUUGUCAUACCAGUCAUCUUCAUUGACGAAGCCCUCCUGAUGAAGAUCUUUCUGCUGAGGCCUUCGGGUCUGCUCAUCGUGAGAAAGAUGGCGAACUUCCUCAGAGGCUUCGUCUAUCUGUCUUUGCAACUCAGCUAGUCGGGCCAUCUUCUCCUUCUUCCUUUGCACCUGUUGAUGUAGCAUCUCCAUAUCCCUGAUUUCUUGGUCUAGCUCAUCCUCCUGAUGCGUCGGGCUGACGGCCUUCCUCUUCUGGCUUCGGGCCUCCCGAAGAGAGACAGUUUCCUGGUUAGGGUCCAGCGGUUGCAGAGCUGCAGCCCCAGUCGCUGAAGCUUUCUUCGGUGCCAUAGCGAGGGUCUAUGGCUUCCGAAGGUGUUCAAAAAACUCGAAGUGGGAGUGCGUUCACCGGAGGUGGGCGCCAAUGUUGGGGACUUGUUCUCAAGUGCUAUGAGUUAAGAACAAGGCAACACAGAGAAUGUUAAACGAUAAAGUCCUUCGUCCUCUGAAGCAUUAUUUCCCUUAGGAUAUAACGAUCUUCAGACGAAGGUCAUGAAGGACGAACCUUCAUCAUCACAGUAUACAUUAAUGAAAGACGAAGCAUAUGAAACAUAAAAGAUAGCAUGAAUAAUCAUAUAACAUCAUCAAUUUAGCUUUUUUAUAUCAUCAUAGAAAAAUAGACAAUAUCGAAUUACAAAUGUACCUUCGGCUUGGAAGGAGAUGAAAAUACAAAUGUGACGCAAAAGCAAAUGCCAAGUCCGCGUGAAUAGUACGGGAGUACUGUUCAUCUAUUUAUAGACGUGGGACGCAGCCCAUGUAAAAUUACAUUCAUUUCCACUACAUUUGCUAAUGACUUAUGAGGAUCUGUCAAAGCCUAAGUAGUCUUUUCAUCUUUAAGUCGGUUCCCCUUUCUGCCACUAUGCCGAAGCUCCCCUGCGCAUAGCUUCGGCUAUGCACCAUCCCUCGUACGGCUUGGUGAUCAGCCCGUCCUUCAUCUCAAUCUUCCUUCGUCUAGCUUAAGCUUCGUCCUGAUCGUACUUCAUGUUCACAAUCUGGGUCCGAAGAUAUCUGUUCAUACAUUUCACUUGGAAGAUAUUGUCAAAUCAUGUUUUUGAGGACCUUCGGAGGACGAAGGCCCCCAACACCAUAUAACAUGCCUCCACGCAACCAAACUAGACUCGAACCCCCAAUGUGGACAAUGAAUCCUAGUGAACUCAAUGUCGAUGAUGCCAGAGGGGCGGAGCUUGUCGUUGAGGCCAGGCUUGGCCAGCCUGCCGAACACCGUGUCACUGAGGUCGAAGUGGCACUUGGACACCGGGUAAUAGUUCAUGUCGGUGAUGAUCACUGUCUUUGUUGUAGUCGGGGCCGACACCGUUGGGCUGGCCAUACCAGGUGGCCCGGGCCCUCAUAGGGGCCUCAGCACACGGCAACAGCGGUGGGGGAUCCGUGCCUAGGGCUGCCGGGCGCGCAACGCGGUGCAAGUGCCCGCGACGGCAAUGGCUGAACUCGCCGAGGACGGGGAAGAGGAGAAUGGGGCGCAGCAAGGCCGACCAUGACUGAGGUUGCGGCUGCUCGGCAGAGACUCGCGCGCGGGGAGAGGGGGAGCUCGCUCGGCCAUGGGGUUCGGGUGGGGCUCGCCCGCGCGAGGGAGCAGGGCGCUUGGCGUUCCUCGCCAGGGCGCGCGUGACAUGGCUGCUUGGGACGCGACGAGGGCUGGGCAGGCGCGGCGCGCUGGGCUGCACGGCAGGGAGAGCGCGCGGAGGCGGCUGGGCGAGCGGCGUGCAGGCGGCGGCGCUAGGGUUUGGGAUGCUGGGCUGUGCGCGCUGUGGCCGCCAGGGGAGGUCGCGGCUGGGCGGGAGAGACGGUUUUCCCGGGAGUGAUGACGCGUGGGGCUCGCACGCAGGUGGCGGCGGCUGGGGCACGCCCGCGCGCUAGGGUUUUAGGGUAGGGGCGCCGGCGCUGGGUGGGCCGCGCGGCCGCGCGCGGGGGUGGGCCGGGGGUGGCUGGGCCGCGGCCAGGGGAGCGGGCUAGCGCGCUGGUGGGCCGCGAAGAGCUGGCCGCGGAAGGCUGGGGAGCGCGGCGCGCGGGGUGGGCCGCGGAGUGGGCUAGGGAAGGAGGGGUUGAGGGAGGUUUCCCUUUAUAUUUCUUUCCCUUUCUUAUUUCUAUUCGAAUUUAACUAUAGUUUUUGAAUCAGAGAUUCAAAUAUAUUUAGUGAGUUUGAAUUGAUGCACAAACAUAACAAUUCAACAAAAAGAAAUGUCUCGGCAUGCUAUGCAGCAAUCAAGGACUCUUUUUUAUGGUUUCAUUUUACUAGGCUUACAGAUAUAUAAAACAAAAUAACUUCUCCAUUUUUAGGAAAAAGAGAAGAAAAGCAAGGAACUGAGAGAGUAACACCUGAAUUUGGUGGAUUUUAGAAAAGAAAUUUUAUACCCCCAAAUUCAGGGUGUUACAUAUUGCGGCCGUCGGAACAUCAUCUUCAUCUAUAUCAUCAAGAUCAACUUGCUCUUUUGGAGAGCCAUUAGUCUCAUCAAAUAAAAUGUCGCUAGAGACUUCAACCAAACCCGAUGAUUUGUUGAAGACUCUAUACGCCUUUGUAUUUGAGUCAUAACCUAGUAAAAACUCUUCUACAGCCUUCGGAGCAAAUUUGGAAUGCCUACCUUUCUUCACCAAAAUGUAGCAUUUGCUCCCAAAUACUCGAAAGUAAGAUACAUUAGGUUUGUUACCGGUUAGGAGUUCAUAGGAGGUCUUCUUGAGGAGGUGAUGAAGGUAGAGCCGGUUUAUGGCGUGGCAAGCUGUGUUCACAGCUUCUGACCAAAACCGCUCGGGCGUCUUGAACUCUCCAAGCAUUGUCCUUGCCAUGUCGAUAAGCAUCAUGUUCUUCCUCUCUACCACACUGUUUUGCUGUGGUGUGUAGGGAGCGGAGAACUCGUGCUUGAUUCCUUCCUCCUCAAGGUACUCCUCCACUUGAAGAUUCUUGAACUCGGACACGUUGUCGCUUCUUAUCCUUUUCACCUUGAGCUCAAAUUCGUUUUGAGCCCACCUUAGAAAGCGCUUGAGGGUCCCUUGGGUUUCUGUUUUAUCCUGCAAAAAGAACACCCAAGUGAAGCGGGAAAAAUCAUCAACAAUAACCAGACCAUACUUACUUCCCCCGAUGCUAAGGUAGGCAAGGGUCCGAAGAGGUCCAUAUGUAGUAGCUCCAGAGGUCUUGAUGUUGUCAUCACAUUCUUGUUGUGAUGAGUGCUUCCCACCUAUUUUCCUGCCUGACAAACUACACAAGGUCUAUCUUUCUCGAAACACACAUUUGUUAGUCCUAACACAUGUUCUCCCUUUAGAAGUUUGUGGAGGUUCUUCAUCCCAACAUGUGCUAGACGGCGAUGCCACAGCCAGCCCAUGCUAGUCUUAGCUAUUAAGCAUGCAUCUAGAUCGAUCUCCUCUUUUGAAAAAUCAACUAAGUAGAGUUUGUCAUCUAAUACACCCUUAAAUGCUAAUGAACCGUCACUCCUUCUAAAGACAUAAACAUCAAUAUUUGUAAACAAACAAUUGUAGCCCAUGUGGCACAAUUGACUUACAGACAGGAGGUUGUAACCAAUUGACUCUACUAAAAACACGUUUGAAAUGGAGUGCUUGUUGUUGAUGGCUAUCUUGCCCAAGCCUUUAACCUUGCCUUGGUUCCCAUAUCCAAAGAUAAUUGUAUCCUAGGAAUCCUUGUUCUUGAUGUAGGAGGUGAAAAUCUUCUUCUCCCCCGUCAUGUGGUUUGUGCAUCCGUUGUCGAUAAUCCAGCUUGAGCCCCCGGAUGCAUAAACCUGCAAGGCAAAUUAGGCUUGGGUUUUAGGUACCCAACUCUUGUUGGGUCCUACAAGGUUAGUCACAAUAGUCUUUGGAACCCAAAUGCAGGUCUUGUCUCCCUUGCAUUUGGAUCCCAAUUUCCUAGCUACUACUUUUGCAUUCUUACAUAAAAGCGCGAAUGAAGUAUUACAAGCAUGGUAAAUGGUAGAAGGUUCAUUACAUAUUCUCCUAGGCACAUGAUGCAAAACAUUGCUUUUCCUAGGCCUACCAUGCACAAAAGUAGAGCUAGAUGCAAACAUAGCAUUUGAAUCAAAAGCAUUAUGAAUAUAACUUAUAUUAAAGUUAGAAUAACUACCAAUUUUCCUAUCAUACAUAAAAGCAUGGUUUCUCUUAGGAAUAUUAGCCAUAGGGGCCUUCCCUUUCUCCUUGUUGGGAAUGGGAGCCUUUUGGCUUGUUAAGUUCUUGGCUUCCUUUCGAAAGCCAAGCCCAUCCUUAAUUGAGGGGUGUCUACCAAUUGUGUAGGCAUCCCUAGCAAACUUUAAUUUAUCAAAAUCUAUUUUGCAAGUCUUAAGUUGAGCAUUAAGACUUGCCACCUCAUCAUUUAAUUUAGACAUGGAAAUUAAGUGUUCCUCACAAGCAUCAACAUUAAAAUCCUUGCAUCUAUUGCAAAUUACAACAUGUUCUACACAUGAACUAGAUUUAUUAGCUACUUCUAGCUUAGAAGUUAAUUCAUCAUUUAAGUUCUUUAGACUAGAAACAGUUUCAUGGCAUGCAGACAACUCAGAAGAUAGAAUCUCAUUCCUUUUAGUUUCUAGAGCAAGAGACUUUUGUAUACUAACAAGUUUGUCAUGUUCUUCAUAUAAUAUGUCUUCUUGCUUCUCUAAAAGUCUAUCUUUUUCAUUUAAAGCAUCGGUUAGUUCAUUAAUCUUUUCUACUUUAGCUCUAUCUAAUCCUUUAAAUAGACUAGAGUAAUCUACUUCAUCAUCACUAGAAUCAUCAUCGCUUGAAGUAGUAUACUUAAAGGUUUCUCGAACGCUUACCUUUUUGUCCUUUGCCAUGAGGCAGGUGUGGCGUUCGUUGGGGAAUAGAGAGGACUUGUUGAAGGCUGAGGCAGCGAGUCCUUCGUCGUCGGAGUCGGAAGAAGAGCAGUCCGAGUCCCAUUCCUUUUCGAUGUGUGCCUCGCCCUUUGCCUUCCUAUAGCUCUUUUUCUUCUCCUUCUUCCCGCCCUUUCCUUGUUCCUGGUCACUAGUAUUAUCGAGACAAUUUGCUAUAAAGUGACCAGACUUACCGCAUUUGAAGCAGGAGCACUUUCCCCUUGCUUUAUUCUUGUUGGGGUACUCCUUGCGUCCUUUUAAUGCGGUCUUGAAGCGCUUGAUGAUGAGAGCCAUCUCAUCUUCGUUUAGCCCGGCCGCCUCAACUUGUGCCACCUUGCUUGGUAGUGCCUCCCUGCUGUUGGUUGCCUUGAGGGCAAUAGUUUGAGGCUCGUGGACGGGGAGUGGACCGUUUAGAGCGUCGUCCACAUAUCACGCCUCCUUCACCAUCAUACGCCCGCUCACAAAUUUUCCAAGGAUCUCUUCGGGUGUCAUCUUGGUGUACCUGGGAUUCUCACGAAUAAGGUUAACAAGAUGAGGGUCUAUUACCGUGAAUGACCUUAGCAUAAGUCGGACGACGUCGUGGUCCGUCCAUCUCGUGCUUCCAUAACUCCUAAUCUUGUUGACCAGGGUCUUGAGCCGGUUGUAUGUUUGAGUUGGCUCCUCUCCCCUGAUCAUGGCGAACCUUCCCAGCUCGCCUUCCACCAACUCCAUCUUGGUUAUCAUGGUGGCAUCAUUACCCUCAUGAGAAAUCUUGAGGGUAUCCCAUAUUUGCUUGGCGUUGUCCAAGCCGCUCACCUUGUUGUACUCGUCCCUGCACAAGGAUGCUAGCAAAAUAGUGCUAGCUUGUGCAUUCUUAUGAAUUUGCUCAUUGAUAAAUACAGGGUUAUCGUUACUAUCAAAUUGCAUUCGACUUUCAACUAUCUCCCAAAUACUAGGAUGGAGAGAAAAUAAGUGACUACGCAUUUUGUGACUCCAAAAAGAGUAGUCCUCUCCAUCAAAGUGUGGAGGUUUACCAAGAGGAAUUGAAAGCAAAUGAGCAUUGGAAUUGAAAGGCAUACGAGAAUAAUCAAAUGAAAAAUUUGAAUUAACCGGUUUCUUUUUCUCGUCGUCGUCGUCUCUUGGUGAAGAAGAAGAUUCGUCGCUUUCGUAGUAGACGAUCUUCUUGAUGCGCCUCUUCUUCUUCCCGUCCUUCUUCUUGUGACUCGAGCCAAAGUUCGUGGGCUUGUCGUCUUUGGGCUCGUUGAGGAAGGACUCCUUGUCGUUGACCACCAUCCCCUUUCCCUUAGGAUCCAUCUCUCCGGGCGAUUAGUCCCUUUCGUGAAGAGUACGACACUGAUACCAAUUGAGAGCACCUAGAGGGGGGGUGAAUAGGUGAUCCUAUAAAAUUCAACAACUAAUAGCCACAAAACUUGGUUAAGUGUUAGUAUGGCUAAGUAGCGAGCUCUUGCUAACAAAAGUAUCACAAAAAAACAAUCACAAAAGACACACGAGUUUAUCCCGUGGUUCGGCCAAGUAUAACACUUGCCUACUCCACGUUGGGGCGUCCCAAUGGACGAGGGUUGCACUCAGCCCCUUUCAAGUGAUCAAAUGAUCAACUUGAAUACCACGGUAUUCUUUGCUUAUCUCUUUUCCCAUUCGCGAGGAAUCUCCACAAGUUGGAGUCUCUCGCCCUUACAAUAAAGAUCACGGUGAAAGCACAAGAGUAAGGGUGGGAAGCAACACACACAAAUUCGCAGCAAUACACACGCACGCAAGCCAAGACUUGAGCUCAAAAUGAAGCACAACGAGUUCACUACAAGAAUGGAGCUCAAAUCACUAACACGGUUGAUCAAGUGCGCGGAGACGGAGUGUGGAAGACUUAGAAUGCUCAAAGUAUGCUUGGGUGACUCCUCCAUGCGCCUAGGGGUCCUCUUUAUAGCCCCAAGGCAGCUAGGAGCCGUUGGAAGCCAACAAGGAAGGCUAUCCUUGCCAUCUGUCGGGUGGCGCACCGGACAGUCCGGUGCACCACCGGACAUCCACUGUAGACGGUCCGGUGCGGAUCUGUUUCCUUUUCGGGCGUAGUCGACCGUUGCAACUCCGGGCUGGUUGCCGCACCGGACACUGUCCGGUGCACACCGGACAGUCCGGUGCCCCCAGCCGACCGUUGGCAUGAGCCACUCGUCGCCUGCAGAUUGCGCGGCCGACCGUUGCGCUGGCGGCCGUUGGCUCACUGGACAGUCUGGUGCACCACCGGACAGUCUGGUGAAUAAUAGCCGUAUGCCGCCAAAGUUUCCCGAGAGUGUCCUGUUCGCUGGAGUCUAGCCUGGCGCACCGAACACUAUCUGGUGCACCAUCGGACAGUCCGGUGUGCCAGACCGAGCCGAGUCUUGGUUGUUCCAGCCAAGUCCUUUUCUUGCUCUCUUUUCUCUGAUUCUAGCACUUAGACAAAUAUAUUAGUACACAGAAAAACCAAUGUACUAAGUCUAGAACCAUACCUUUGCCUUGAUUAUCACUUCUCUCUUUGUUUAGCACAUGAGAGCUUAUUUAAAUGUGUUGGACACUUAAUCACCAAAACAUAAUAGAAAUUGCCCAAAGGCACAUUUCCCUUUCAACCAUAACAACGGUGGCUACCAUCUGAAUGCAACAAACAUCUAAGAACCUUUAAUUAAACUAUUACCUUGAAAAAACUAAGACUUAAAGAACAAAGUUCAAGUAAAGAUUUGUGUUCAUAAAGGUGUUAGGGCUGAAAACUAUGUUACUAUUUAUUUUGUUCAUAUUCAUUAUAUUCAAAUCACAUGUGCACCUUUCUAUUGACACCAAUUAUUUAGUAUCAAUUUUCUAGAUUAAUAUGCUACUAAAUGUGCCUAAAUUUCUAACAACGGGGAUCAUGUGACUCUUUCAACUGAUUAUUGCACAACUUAACUAAACUGAAGUUAACAUUGGUGAAUACUACCAUCAAAUAUUUUUUCCUAGUGCAAAAUAGCCCAACCAAGCAUCACCUAUGUGGCUAAUGUUACACAUGUGUAAAGGUAAAUGGAUCACGCCAUUCUCACCCAUGUAUUUGGAAAAUACCCUAAGGAAAAGACCACCUAUUUAUUUUAUUAUAUAGAGAUUGUCUUUCUUACAUAUAAGUUAUAACACAACAAAGUUGUCACUAAAUGCCAAAGCCAACUAGAUACCACAUCAUCUCUACCUUAUCUUACUAAUAUUCUUUUGGCAAAAUCCAAACUCAAUCUACAUAAGCACAAGGUCUAACAUGUGUAUAAAUACAUCCUAGAUUAGUAGGUAAUCCAUCAACCAUAUUAUUGAGACCAACAAGCAACAUAGAAUGUGGAAUCCAAUAGCAACAAUAGAACAACAAUGACGACCAAGAUAUUUUCCCUCCUUAUGCUCCAUGCUCUUUCUGCAUGUGUUGCUAAUGCGACCAUUUUCCCUCAACGCUCACAAGCUCCUAUAGCUGCCCUUCUUCACCCAUACCUCCCAUCAAUGAUAGAUUCAGUAUGUGAAAACCCAGCUCUUCAACCCUAUAGGCUCCAACAAGCAAAUGCAGCAAGCAACUUACCUUUAUCACCCUUGUUGUUUCAACAAUCGCCAUCCCUAUCUUUGGUGCAGUUAUUGGUACAAACCAUCGGGGCACAACAGCUGUAGCAACUCUUGCUACUUGUGAUCAACCAAGUAGCUAUGGCAAAC
rnacentral:lncRNA from 1 species